rnacentral:lncRNA from 1 species
AAAGGCGAUGAUGGGGAGAAGGUUAAAGCAGUAACCAUCUGUCAUCUAGACACAUCAGAAUGGAACCCAGAGCAUAUGUCCUUCCAAAUCGUCAACGUUAAGCCCGGAACCAUUCCCAUCUGCCAUUUCAUUUCCACUGAUGCUAUUGCCUGGGUUCCGAACCACAAAUCUGCAUGAUCAUCACUUAGCACUGUACGUAUAAUUAUCUCCUUACUUAUUUCUGCCUCUUCAUCAUGUGGUGUAAGAUAUAUGAUGAGAUGAAGUUUUUGGGAUUAGUGGUUGGGUUGCCUGAAAAACACAGAUUACAGAAACUGCUUGAAAUUAACCCGAUCAUGUUUUCUCUUGUAACUAUAUAGACUUCAACUUGUACUCAUAAUAAAGCAUGCUAUAUUUAUGAAGAGAUAUUAAUCUAUAUAUAUUUUUUAUAUAUGCUUUGGCUUUGUGGUUCUACCCAAUGUUUGAGUGUUGAAUUGUUACGUUGGAAUAGGCUGCUAAUGCAUGUAGUUAGAGAAGCCUUCAUUUAUAUCAAAGUCCUCAAACUAUCAAGAACUAAUGUAUCCAGAAACAUAUACCAAGACGCAAAACAACAUAUUUUCCAUGCUCUGUCUGUAACACCAAAGCAAACUUCCUUGAUCACAAAAGGAUCAAAUUCCAGUACUAAUCUAAUCCAUCAUGUAAAGCAUACAAGUGCCUCCCUAAAUACUAUACUCUUUUUGUUAUUUCCUACUAUACUAUUUAAGAUUUAAAAUUCAGGUCAACCCAUAGAUUUCUCGCCUUUUUCUUCUUCAUCUCGUCGGGCUUGUCUUCUUCUUGAGGAUUGUAUAGGCCAAGGAAAUGCUUUGAGUUAGUUUUUGCGCUUUUGCGUUUUGGGCCUUGGAAGUUGGGACCCAAACCAACUUCACAAAAAGAAAACGCUCAGACUAUAAUGAGUGGAAAGUUAUAAGGGGUAAGUUAUAAGGAGUUCACUUUAUAGCCAUCAGAUCAAUCUAAGGGCUGGGGAGAAUUGAGAUAAAGUUUUAAAAUCGGGUAGGUGAGGAACCCAAACCCGAAUUGAAUAUCCAGCACGUCCGAAAAAGAAGAAGAAGAGGCAAGCACGUCCGAAAAAGAAGAAGAAGAGGCAAGGUCGAAGUUUGAACAGAAAAAACUCAUCUCUUUAAAACCCAUAGCUCUGAGAAACGGUUGAAGGCAACGGUUAACGACGGUUGUUGAAGCCACUCCGUUCUCCAGACCCUGAAAAAGUAUUUAUUUUGAGUAGAAGGGGCAAAUGUGUGGAUUCCGAAACAGUGAAGGGGCGAAGCAGUGGAAGGGGAAGGAGAGAAGCCGUAUUCGUUGGAAGUGGUAGGUUCCAUUUGUGGAGCAAAGCAACACAAAGACCCCGCACAGACACCUUGCGAUUGUUCAAUAACCAGCAUUUGGUGAGUAAUUUAUGGAAUUUGAGUUUAGGGUUAGAGUAAUGGUUUUCCCCAAUUUGUACCAUCAAUUUUGUUGGAUUUGGCAUCUCUUCUUUGUGCUUCAGUUGCAUGUUAAUUUUUGCUUGGGUAUAUGUUAAAAAAAGAAUGAAAAUCAAGUCAAUAACAAGUGAAUAACAUGUCAAUAAUGAUAUGAAUAAGAUAAUGGUGUUGAAUUGGAGGAGGCCCUCAAAACAUUCCACAUUUGAAGCAGUGCAUAGUGCAGAUUAUCUCUCUGGCGCUAGAAUAUAUAUAUAUUUUGAAAUAAAUAUGAUUUCCUUUGUUACUAAAUUUGCCUGAGAAACAUGAGAACAGAUAAUAAUAAACUCAUGAAUAGAAGUGCAAAGCAUUUGAUGAGUAAUUUAUGGAAUUUGAGUUUAGGCCCAGGAAAUUCCUUGACCCCAAAAAAAAAAAAAAAGUUGAUUUAAAAUUCAGGUCAACCCAUAGAUUUCUCGCCUUUUUCUUCUUCAUCUCGUCGGGCUUGUCUUCUUCUUGAGGAUUGUAUAGGCCCAGGAAAUGCUUUGAGUUAAUUUUUGCAUUUUUGCGUUUUGGGCCUUGGAAGUUGGGACCCAACCCAACUUCACAAAAAGAAAACAGAUUUGCCAAAAAUCAAAUUUCAAGUCUCUCCUCCGAUCGAAAUUUGGAUUUGAUGAACUAAAGUGGUUUUACUUUCUCCAUCAGUGUUUGAUAACUUAAUUUGUUAUUUACUUUUUUUUUAAAAAACUUUGGCUUAUAUAUAUUAGUUUUCUUUUUUCCUUCAUAUUCACCACCUUUAUGUUGCAUAAGUAUUUCAGUCUUAAUGGGUUUCCAUCUACCACUCAUCUUUGCUCUUCUCAGUGUAAGCCUUUUUUUUUUUUUAAAGCACAAGAUUAGAGGGGAGGGGGAUUUCUCAAUGUAAGCUUUGCAGUUUCAUAAUUAAUAUUUCCAAUAUCUCACUGUUAGUAAAAUACAGAAAAAGUACUAAUAACAUAUGCACAUGUUACUAAUUUAUUGAGAUAAAACACCAUUUUGCCCCUAGAAUAUUUUAUUAGGUUUAAAGUUGACUUUUUGACCAGGAAGGAAUUUGGGUAUUUAGACUAUAUCGUUGCGUAGAGCAUGGCGAGAUGAGUCCGUAGACACAUGAUUGGCUCGAAUCAGAGUUAUAAUGAGAGAGAUACGAUCAAAAUACCCUCAGUGGUAUAACCGUAAUUUUGGCUUAAAGGGUUUGAUAAAAUAUAAUUUUUCUUUCUUUCUUUCUCUCUCUCUCUCUCUCUCUCUCUCUCUCCUCUCUCUCACGACGGCAGUGAUAGCCGGCCACUUUUUGGCCAGCCAUGCUCUCGUCCGGCCACUAAAGUUGACGGGGCCGGUACCAAAAUGACCGGGCCACCAUCCUUUUCCAACCCCAGCCAGGCCCCACUGCCAGCAGUCGUGAUUUUGCUGAAAAAUGGAGAAGAAGCGGCCGAUUUCGUUCGAACUUCUCCGACUUCGUUCUCUCUCCUCCGGCCACCGAUUUCGAUGAAUGAGGUAUGGUUUCUCACCUACUUUUUAUGCUCUAGCUGCCUGUUGGGUAGGAUUCGAUCAAUUCCUUGCGUAGGUAGCUUGAUUUUCGAAUUGGAUUUCGGCCGGUUUUGGGAUCUCGAUUCCGGCCACUUCCGGUCAGUUUUUGGGGUACAUCCCAAAACAAAAGUGGUUCUAAAUAGGGUGUUAUACCUAGGGUAGGAACCUUGAACCGUAAUUUUGAGAAUUUUCGGUGAUGCCUAAUCGCUUUGGACACCUACGCUAUGCCUGCGUGUGGGCACUAUAGAAAAAGGGCAUUGUGUCCCGAUGCAAUCCCCUUGUUGUCUUGAGCGCGUAGGUGUGCUCGGAUUUCAAUUUGGAUACCGUUUGAAUCUCGAACGAAUAUCGCAUAUUGUGCGUUAUUCGGGGUCGAUAGGUUUGAACUGUUGGAUAGUCUUAGAUUUAUAAUAUGUUAAUCUAGACAUUCUUAGGAUCGAAUGGGAUUAAACGGAUCGUAAAACGGAGUCCCGGAUACUCCAAAAAUGCCAACCCUAGGGCUAGGUUCCUAGUAACCGUCCGAUCGUGCGAUCGUGAGCGAUCCGACCGUUUGAUCCGAACCAAACUUGCAGGACGUGUAUCCUAAACCUUGUAGAACCCAUAGGAACUUUCGGAUUAGAAUUUGGAGGUCGUGGGCCCCUUGGGCCGUUUGACUAAGUUUGGGUAGUUUGACCCUUGGCUGAUCGUGAGUCUUCAGAGGUCUUGAGCGUUGUUGAGCUAUGUUGACUAGGUUUAGACUUUUAGAGUGUUUAUUAUUAUCAUAGGAAACUAUUAGAUAUUAUUUUAAUAAUUGAAAUUAUCAAAUUUAUGUUUAUGUGCAUGAUUGUUGGUCUAAAAAUAACAUUGUUUUCUUGAUAAAAUUACGUUGCAGUCUACUAUAGACUGGUAUCACUAAAUGGAGAUUACCUCUAUUAUUAGUUUAGAUAAUUAAGAGUAUGUCAGUUUGAAGUGCUAUAUGCACUACCCUAAGUACCACCCUGUGAUUGUUAGGUCCCAUGUGGUGUAGAUUAUACAGCGUCAGGACAGACCCCAUACGUGGCUUUGGAUGUUCUGGCGCAUGGGGGAGAUUAUGUAAUGGUUAGGUCAUACGUGGCGUAGGUUAUUCAGCGUGUUGACAGACCCUAUACGUGGCGUUGGAUGUUCCAGUAUGGAAAGAUUUUGUGAUUGUUAGGUCCCACGUGGCGUAGAUUAUCCGGCGUGAGGACAAACCCCAUUCGUGGCUUUGGAUGUUCCUGCGUAUGGGGGAGAUUAUGUGAUGGUUAGGUCACACGUGGCGUAGGUUAUUCGGCGUGUUGGCUAACCCCAUAAGUGCCGUUGGAUGUAACGACCGGUCCUAAAUAAAUUAGUGAAUAUUAAUUUAUUCAGAGAAAAUACCAUUUUGCCCAUAGAGUAUUUUAUUAGGUUCAAAGUUGACUUUUUGAUCAGAAAGGAAUUUGAGAAUUUCGAUUAUACCGUUGCAUAGAGCACGGCGAGAUGAGUCCGUAGACACGUGGUAUGCUCGAAUCGAAGUUGUAACGAGAGAGAUACGAUCAAAAUACCCUCAGUGGCAUAACCGUAAUUUUGGCAAAAAGGGUCGAUAAAAUCAUAUAUAUAUAUUUUCUCUCUCUCUCUCUCUCUCUCUCUCUCUCUCUCUGCGAUAUUGUCCCUCUCUCUCUUUGAUUCACUGCCAUCUGCCCACGGCAGGACUUGAGACUGGUCACGUUUGAACCGGCUCGAUGUCCCGAUCACGUCGCACCCAAAAUGCAAAUGGAAACCUUGAAUUCCAGCCACGGCUUCGACUGGUUUGAACUGGGUUUUUCCCGGCGUUGCGCCACCGCCUCCGCCGCCCAAUUCCGGUGAAACAGGUAUAAUUCCUCACCUAUUUUUCGAGAUCCAGCUGUUGUUGUGUAGGAAUUAGACGAUUUUCAUGUUUAGGAACUCGAUUUAGAAUUUAGGUUUUGGUCGAAUUUUCAAAGUGAAAUUUCGGCCACUUCCGCUGGUUUUUCGGGGUAUGUCUAAGAACAAAAGUGGUUCCAAAUAGGGUGUUAUACCUAGGGUAGGAACCUUGAGCUGUGAUUUUGAGAAUUUCCGGCGAUGCGUAUUCGCUUUGGACACCCACGCGCCGACAGCGCGUGGGCACUGUAGAAAAGGGGCAUUGUGUCUCAAUGCGAUCUGCUUGUUGUCUUGAGCUCGUAGGUAUGCUCGAAUUUCAAUUUGGAUACUGUUUGAGUCUCGAACGGAUAUCGCAUAGUGUACGUUAUCCGGGUUUGAUAGGUUUGAACCAUUGGAUAGUUUUGAAUUUGAUAUAUGUUAAUCUAGGCAUUUCUAGGAUCAUGUAGGAAUUCAGGGAUCAUGAAUCAGAGCCCCGGAUGUUCCGAUUUAAUAACUUAAAGUUUAUGUUUAUAAUAACUAUCAGAUCGUGCGAUCGUGAGCGAUCCGACUGUCUGAUCUGGACCAAACUUGCAGCACGUAUAUCCUAAACCUUGUGGAACAUAAAAAAAUUUCGGAUUAGAAUUUGGAGGUCGUGGGCCCCGUGGGCCCAUUUAACCAAUUAUGGGUAGUUUGAUCCUUGGUUGACCGUGAGUCUUCCGAGAUAGUUUUACCUUCCUAGGAGGAUUAUAAUGACCCUAGUGAUAGGUCUUGACCGUUGUUCAGCUAUGUUGACUAGGUUGAGACUUCUAGAGUGUUUAUUAUAUUAUUGUAGGAAACUCUUAGAUAUUAUUUUAAUAAUUGAAAUUAUGAAAUUUAUGUUUAUGUGCAUGAUCGUUGGUCUAAAAAUAAUAUUAUUUUCCUGAUAAAAUUACGUUGCAGUCUACUAUAGACUAGUAUCACUAAAGUGGGAAUACCUCUAUUAUUAGUUGAGAUAAUUGGGAGUAUGUCAGUUUGAAAUGUUAUACCCUAAGUACUACUCUAUGAUUGUCAGGUCACCCGUGGCGUAGGAUUUUCCGGUGAGAUGACAGACCCCAUACGUGGCGUUGGAAUUUCCAACGUAUGGAGAGAUUAUAUGAUUGUUAGGUUUCACGUGGCGUAGGAUUUUUCAGCGGGAUGACAAACCCCAUACGUGGCAUUGGAAGUUUCAGCGUAUGGGGAGAUGAUAUGAUUGUUAAGUCACACGUGGCGUAGGUUAUUUGGAGUGCUGACAGACCCCAUACGUGGCGUUGAAAUUUCUGGCGUAUGGAGAGAUGAUAUGAUUGUUAGGUCACUUUGGAUGUUCUAGCGUAUUGGGAGAUUAUGUGAUUACCAGUGAGAUGAAUAAAGGAUUGUUAUGUUAUAUUGGGAAAAACAUGUUUGUAGAAAGAAUUACGUGUGGCUUGAUCCCUCAGUAAGGGUACGUAGGCAGCCUAGGGUAGUGCCUUGGUGCAGUCGCUGACUAAACAUUAUAAUGUUGUUUUUAGGUUUGAUUAUAUGGUAUUAUGGGGCAAGGCCCCUAGGACUAUUGGUGAUAAUUCAUAGAUGGUAGUGGAUGCAUGCUAGAAAUUUGUAGGAAGUUAUUUCAUGUGGAUUGCAGUGGUACUCGUAAAAUUUAUUUGAGUUCCUUAAUUGCAUUGUUAAUAUAUUAAUUUACUUAAGAGUACUGCUAGUAGUUCUGCCUUGAUUUAUUUGAAGGCUGGAGGCCUUGUCUGGAAACUGUGUGCAAUUAGAUUGUGUGUGCUGGCAGUUGACUUUUUAAAUUGUGAAUUUUGUGCAGGUUGAAAUUUGGGAAAUGUUCAAUUUACAGGGGAGACUCUGCUGAAAUUUCGGUAGAAAGUCUUGUGCCCUUAUUCCUUUUUGGGGAAAAGGAUAUAGUUUUAGAAGUGGCGAUGUCGGGAAUUUCCACAGGAUUCGUCUCGGGUUUCGGGAAAUUCGGGGCGGGUCUGAAAAAGUUGUUUCAGUUUUGGCAAGUAUCGGAAAAGACCAAAAUUUUCCGACUUUAUUAUUACUAGAAACAAGGUCGAAGUAUUUACCAAUCAUGUGGCCUUCCAAGUGCUCUAGGUUAAGCCAGGAACCGUUCCUAUCUGCCGUUUCCUUCCCAACUAUGAUCAUGUUGUCUGGGUUCCAACCCACAAAUCUACAUUGGGCUACGUAUUUGAAUUUGUACUAAAGCGUGAUCUAUAGUAUGCAUAUAUUGGAUAAGUUUGAGAUCAGUGGCUUGGGUGUCCGCUGAGCUUGAACAAGUUUGGGUGUGCUGAGUGUUUCCAUGGGUGUGUUGAUGAUCAUGGUUAUUAGAUUUGUGAUAGUUUGGGCUCAAUUUCAACAGAACUCAUCUCAAGCCUAGAUAGUUGAUUCUUAAGUUUAUCAGGAAAAAAAAUUAAAAAUUAAAAAAUCUAAAGUUAAGCCCAAGGCGCCGAACUUGGACUUCUCACCAAACUGUGCAUAAAUUGAAAUAUUUAAUAGAAGCCCAAGAUUUUUGAAGCACAUAAUAUCUACAAAAAUCUACAAAGUGUAAUACUUUACAAACUUCUUAUGUGUACCAAUUUCUGCUCAAAUUAAUUUCUCUGUGGUGCUGAGAUUCAUCAUAAUUUUAGUAGAAAUUGGAAGUUUUCAUCAUUUUUGCUUUAAGUCUCUCCUCCACUCACUAAUAAAGAUUACUCAAGUGAGUUUACAAAACAUUUUUUUUCUACUCUCUCCUGAAGACUACACAUCUUCUCAAAAGAUUAGAUCACUUCACAUCUUGUAUAUGUGAAAACUAAUGCAAAAAGUUGAAACUUUAUCAUAAAACCUCGACAAAAAUUAGCUCUACUUAGAACAUUAAAUUUGGAUUCGUUGAUUUAAAUGGCAAUUUGACACUUCAUAGAAAUUUUUACAUACAUGUGUUAGUGUUUGAUCACUUCACUUAUUACUUACUAUAUUUAUUCCAUGAUUCUCCCUCAAGUUAUGUAAAUAUUAUUAUCAAACAUUUCAAUUCAUUUGUGAUAUUUCUUGUCCAUCUUUCAAUGUACCCUGAAAUCCAUUAGCCACAUAUGAUGACCAAAAUCCACACUCUGUUGUUUGCAAACGUUCAAUAUACGACUUGCAUCCACAGUCCUGACCCAAAUGAAAUGCGGAAACUGUCAAGCUAACUGUAGGGAGGACUAUAUUUGAUUUUACCUUAAAGACUGAUCCGAAACCACCUUCUCCAAGUUUAUUGUUGUUUGAAUAGUUUUUGGUUGCACAAACAACAGCGGCCAAGUCAAAUAAUGGCAAUUCCAGAUCUUCCUUUUGGCCGGGCUUCAGUUCUCCUGUGAAGUACGUAGUGAAGUAAAUAAUGUAGCAUGGAACCUUAGCUUAGAAACCAGAGAGGCAACAGCAAAAAUUUUCUAUAGAACUGAACCUACCUAUCUUAGAAAAUGAAGGGGCAGAAGAGUAGAAAAUCAAAUAGCUUACCAUAUUUUUGUUGCUGGUUCUUCCUCACAUAUAAUAGCAGGGUAAGGCCCAGGGUCAGCAGUCCAGUAGACAACACAGUACUGGUUACUAUGAUCUUUGUAUUGUGUCCUUGAUCUAGGAAUGAAGUAUUUGAAAGCAGAAGAUUGAGGAGUCAGAAAUUCAUAAAGAAAAAAUCUCUACUUUUUAUCAUCCAACGAACAAUUAAUGCUAGUUUCUGAGACAGUUCUAAAGAAAUAUUUUUCUAACAAUGUCAAAAGUUUUCUGGCUCUAUCUUGUUUCUAAUCAUGUCACUGUUGGAAGAUUUCUUUCUUCUUUUUUCCUUGGUGGCUUUUAUUUUUCUUUCAAACUUUGUUUUAAACAGCAAGAUGAUUCCAUACCUAGUUCUGACGAAGCCAUUCUUAUGUAAAUAUCUUGCCCAUUUAUAUUGGAAUAUCUUAUAUCAACCAGAUCGCUGAACCACAGCAAGGACCCCCUUCCUCCAUCUCGGAUAUCCAAAUUUGAAAAAGCGGCGCAGGAGCAGUUGUUCAUGCACAUCAUCUCACAUUCCUUGAGGUUCAUAAUUGUGUUAUACUAGGAUUGUUCUGUACUUUAUUUCACCCCAGUGUACUUCUUAAAGAUGUCUCCACUGCAAUUCAGUUGGCUCUUUCUCACAGAUCUAUAUGACCAAUCCACCAAGUCCCAGUCUUGUUGAAAGUCGGUAUAAAUCCUUUCAAGCAGCUACGUACUGGGGACUUGUCAAUACAACAUGCACCAUUCGGACCACAUAUUCCAUAUUUGUCGCAGAUAUCAGUCGUUGCUCUUAGAUAAACAACCCAACCUUGGUUUCCAUCACUCCCGAUGUAGCUCAGCCCAAAUCCAUCUUGAGUUAACGCCAGCCUGAAAAGAGUUGAGCUGUUGAGAAGCUUAUAACCAUAAUAUACUUCAUCAUCAUUAUCCAACACAAAAUCAUAUGUUGGAUUUAAAUUAUGCAUCCCACUAAAUUGGAUUCCAUUCCAUGGUGCAGUCCGAUAUUUUAUAACAGAACCCUCCCUCAGAAUUAAUUCAUGGUACCCAUAAGGACCAAGUUGAUAUGGGUAAUGUCCUUGAGAAGGAUCCUGGGGGCUUUUCCAGGGUGUAAGAUGCCAAUUAAAACCUGUGAUUUUGUUCCUAACAAGCUUCAUACCUGGUAUUAAUGUAUCUCCUGGGUAAUCAAAACUCUGCCAUAAAAUAUUAUCAGAGUCAUUACGACCAUUGCCAUCUAUCACAACAAGAUUUCCGGAAUCCAAAAUCUGUGCCACUGGAUUCUAUGAAGAACUUGAUGUGUUGGAAGACCUGUAGUGUUCUUUGUUGAAUAUUUGGAUUGCAAAGGGAGCAAGAAAUGUACUGAGAGAGAAAGAGAGAGAGAGAGAGAGAGAGAGAGAGAGAGAGAGAGCAGUGAGCCUUAGAUUGUUCUAACAGUUUUCUUACUCUGCAUGAACAUAGCAGCAGAGCUUAUAUUCCUUCAUGACUGUUACAUGUUCUCUCUUACAUCAGUAGAUUCAAAUCUAACGGUUUGUAAUAGUAAGCCAAUGUGAGUAUGACACAUGGCAAUACACAGCUGUCCUAACAGCUGGGAAUUCAAAACAGACUCUAGCAUUGCACCUGGCAUAUAAGCACAAGGCACUCAGCUAACACAAAGAUUAAAAACAGAUUGAAUAUAAACUGACAUAGAACUUACUAACUAAUCUGAAAUUAGCUAGACAGUUUACAUUUUAACACUCCCUUCUAAAGUGCUAGCUGAUUUCACUCCAAGCAUUCUCCUCAAAUAGUCAAACCUGUCUUUGGGAAGAGCUUUGGUGAAGAUAUCAGCAAUCUGCUCUUCUCCUUUGCAGUAGAGCAGUUCAAUCACUUCUUCUUGUAUUGCAUCUCUAAUAAAAUGAAACUUCCUUUUAAUAUGCUUGCUCCGUUGAUGAAAAACAGGAUUUUUAGCCAUUGCUAUGGCUGAAGUGUUGUCACAAAACACAGUUGUUGCAGUGGUCUGUUCUUCCCCAAAAUCUUCAAGAACAAACCUGAGCCAAAUGGCUUGUGAUGUAGCUUCUGCUGCACUCACAUACUCUGCCUCUGCAGUAGAGAGAGCCACACUGUGUUGUUUGACUGAUGCCCAUGAAAAAGCACCACUUCCAAAUGAAAAUGCAUAUCCAGAAGUGCUUUUCAUAUCUUCCUCAGAUCCACUCCAGUCACUGUCACAGUAACCAACUAAGAGUGCAGAUUUUCCUGUCACAUACUCAAUUCCAUAGUCAAUUGUGCCUUGUAUGUACCUUAGAACCCUUUUAGCUGCCCCAUAGUGCAUCUUAGAAGGGUUAUGCAUGAAUCUUGCAAGCAGGCAGGCAGAGAACAUGAUAUCUGGCCUGGUUGCAGUAAGGUACAGCAGGCUGCCUACAAUUUUUCUGAACAAACUUUCAUCUGCAGCAUCACUUCCAUCCUCUCUUUUCAAUUUAUCAGUAGCCACUAAUGGAGUGCUUACUGACUUGCAGUCUUUGAGUCCAAACUUAUCCAAGAGAGUGAGAGCAUACUUCUUUUGAUGAAUGAAGAUGCUCCCUUCAGUUUGUGUUACUCCCAUACCAAGAAAAUGGUGGAGUAAACCCAAAUCAGACAUCUCAUACUUGCACAUCAUUUCAGCUUUGAAUUCUUUCAUCAUUUCAUCUCUACUUCCUGUGUACACUACGUCAUCUACAUAGAUUGACACUAUUAGUGUUCCCACCUUCCUUUGUUCUCACAUAGAGAGUGGCUUCACUUGGACUUCUGUGAAAACCACACUGAUUCGAGUAGGUGUCAAUUUCACUAUACCAGGCCCUUGGAGCCUGCUUCAACCCAUAGAGGGCUUUUCUUAACCUAUACACCUUAUCCUCAUCAUCUUUAACCACAAAACCAUCCGGUUGAUCAAUAUAAACUUCUUCUUCAAGGACACCAUUUAGGAAGGCUGACUUGACAUCCAAUUGCCAUAGUUUCCAGCCUUUCUGAGCAGCAAGAGCUAUGAGAGUUCUAAUGGUGUCUAACCUUGCUACAGGAGCAAAGGUUUCAUUGAAAUCAAUCCCUGGUUUUUGUGUGUAUCCCUUGGCAACAAGUCUUGCUUUAUGUUUUUGAAUGGAGCCAUCAAGAUUAAGCUUAAUUUUGAAUAUCCACUUCACUCCCACAAUUGGUUUACUACUUGGCCUGUCAACCAAUUCCCAACUGGAGUUUUUCUCUAUCAUAAGUAUCUCCUCAGUCAUAGCCUUCCCCCAAGCUUCAUCUUUGACUGCUUCUUCAAAAUUUUCAGGUUCAAUGAUGCUCAUCUUGCAUUGAGCAUACACUUCACUCAAACUCUUCCAUUUCUUUGGGGUGUUAUCAUAAGUUUCUAAUGGAGCAGAGUCUUGAGUAGCAUGCACAUCAUUACUUGUUUGUGUUUCCAUAGGAGACUGUACAAUCUGUUGCUGUAACAGAUUUGGUUAUGAAUCCAAAUCUGAUACAAUUGAACUUACUCCAUCACCCCAAGACAUAGGGAUUUGCAAUGCCUCAUUGGUUUCCCAAUUCCACAUUGCUUCUUCAUCAAAAAUAACACUCCUAGACAGCUCAAUCUUUUGAGUUCUCAAGUUGAGCACUCUAUACCCCUUUUCACAUACACCAUAUCUUACAAAUACUCCCUUCUCACCUGUGUCUUCCAGCUUGUGCCUUUUCUGUGUGGGGAUGUGAAUAUAGCAUAGAGAACCAAAUAUUCUCAAAUGCUUGACACCUGGUUUUCUUCCACCGAACUUUUCAAAUGGAGUGGAAUUGUCCAGUGCACUUGUAGGACAUCUGUUCUGCAAAUAUACAGCUGUAUUGACAGCUUCUGCCCAAAACUUCAAAGGGAUUUUCUUCUCAUACAUCAUGGCUCUUGCCAUUUCCAUCACAGUACGAUUCUUUCUCUCUGUAACUCCAUUCUGUUGUGGAGAGUAGCCUACUGNNNNNNNNNNNNNNNNNNNNNNNNNNNNNNNNNNNNNNNNNNNNNNNNNNNNNNNNNNNNNNNNNNNNNNNNNNNNNNNNNNNNNNNNNNNNNNNNNNNNNNNNNNNNNNNNNNNNNNNNNNNNNNNNNNNNNNNNNNNNNNNNNNNNNNNNNNNNNNNNNNNNNNNNNNNNNNNNNNNNNNNNNNNGGUGUGGUCAUCAAUGAAGGUGAGGAAAUAUCUGUUCCCUCCAAGAGUGAUGGUCUGCAUUGGACCACAAAUGUCUGAGUGAAUCAGUUCUAGAGGUUGAGUGGCUCUCCAAGCUCCUUCCUUAUCAAAAGAGCUUCUGUGAUUCUUGCUUUCAGCACAACCUGAGCAGACCUUCUCAUGUUCUUGUAAAUUAGGCAUUCCCUGAACCAUAUCUCUCUCUUGUAACAACUUCAAACUAAUAUAGUUUAGGUGCCCAAAUCUUCUGUGCCACAGCCAGGAUGUUUCUCCAACUGUUGCUCUGUUUGCCAUAGGAGGAUUAACAUAGUCAAGAUUUAAAGGAAAACAUUUGUUUCCCUUCAUUGGCACUCUUGCAAUGCAAUCUUCCAACUGCCUAUCUCCAUAGAUAUCAACUGCAUUAUCACCAAAUACAAGCCAAUGCCCAUGUUCUAUCAUUUGACCUACACUUAGCAAAUUUUCAUCUAAACUUGGUACAAUCAUGAUUUCUUUGAUAUAUCUAGUCACACCCUUCAUUUCUAUAGCCAAAGUCCCUUUGCCUAUUAACUGCACUAGAUCACCAGUCCCCAUUUUGACUUUACUCUUCAUACUUUUAUCAACAUUUACAAGUAAUGACUCAUGGGAAGUCAUGUGAUUGCUGCAUGCACUAUCAACAUACCACAUAUUCACAUUCUUUCCAAUUGUUGCAGCAUGACAUGCAUAGAACAUAAUGGCAGGUUCAGUUACCUGAUUUGCAAUGUUAGCAAGUUUCCCUGCCUUGUUUGCUUGGUCACAGUCCUUAACAAAAUGACCAAAUCGAUUGCAGCCAUGACACUUUGGUUUUCCUUUAAACCAACACUCACCAUAGUGUAACUUCUCACAAUGUUUGCAUUUUCCAGAUUUGUCUCCUUGACUUGGUUUUCCCCCUUGAUUGGCACUGUUUUGGGGUUUAGAAUCCCAUUUCUUAUCCUUGGACUUCCAAUUCUUCUUUGAUUUAUUAGAGCCAGAACUAGAACUUGAUUGAGAUCCUUUUGAGUUUAUGCUCAUGCUGCUGAAAGCUUUCUCAGUGGUGCUUUCUGCAUGUCUGUCAAGGCGCUGAGCAAAACCUCUUAAUGCUGCAAUUACCUCCUGCACUUCAAUGGUUUCAAUGUCUCUAGUUUGCUCAAUCACAUAGCAGACUGGAUCAAAUUCCUUGGUUAAGCUUAUUAGCAGUUUUUGAACUAUCCUCCCUUUGGUCAGAUCUUCCCCAUAUCCCUUCAUCUGAUUUACAAGCUCAAGUAACCGAGUGAUGUAUCCAGACAAGAUCUCAUCAUCCUUCAUCCUGGUGUACUCAAAAUCUCGACGCAGACCCUGCAACAUGAUGGAUCUGACUUGCUUAUCACCAUGAAACUCCUGAUGCAAGAUAUCCCAAACACCUUUUGAGGUUUCUUCAUUUGAGAUUCUGGGAAAGAUGUCAUCUGAAACAGCACCUUGGAUAAUACCAAGAGCCUUAGCAUCUUUCAUCAACAAGGACACCAUCUCUGAAUCUGAUGACCCUUCUUUAUCAGCUUUUGAAUCUGGAACUUGAAGGCCUUUCUCAACCAAAUUCCAGAUUCCAUGAGAUUUGAAAAUUGUUCUCAUUCGAAUCUUCCAAAACUCAUAGUUCUCCCCAUUGAAUAUUGGAGCUCUAAGAUCACUCCCUCCUGACCCAGCCAUCUGAGACCAGACUCAAUGAGUUGAGAGUAGGAAAUUUCCCGUUGGAUUUCCAGACUCAGCUCCCACAGCUUCAACGCCCUCUAUCCAGAUCCAACCUGCGCACCUGAUACCAUGUUGAAUAUUUGGAUUGCAAAGGGAGCAAGAAAUGUACUGAGAGAGAGAGAGAGAGAGAGAGAGAGAGAGAGAGAGCAGUGAGCCUUAGAUUGUUCUAACAGUUUUCUUACUCUGCAUGAACAUAGCAGCAGAGCUUAUAUUCCUUCAUGACUGUUACAUGUUCUCUCUUACAUCAGUAGAUUCAAAUCUAACGGUUUGUAAUAGUAAGCCAAUGUGAGUAUGACACAUGGCAAUACACAGCUGUCCUAACAGCUGGGAAUUCAAAACAGACUCUAGCAUUGCACCUGGCAUAUAAGCACAAGGCACUCAGCUAACACAAAGAUUAAAAACAGAUUGAAUAUAAACUGACAUAGAACUUACUAACUAAUCUGAAAUUAGCUAGACAGUUCACAUUUUAACAUUCUUAUGGUCGGCAGGGACAAGAAUUCCAGGGCUGCUCAACUUGAAUACACCUGAUGAACCAGUGAGGGGUGUGUUUCUUUUAGUCUGCACUAUAUAUGCAGGGUCUGACUCUAAUUAGAAGAUAAUUGUAUUAAUUUGGUAAAGCUUUGUCUGUAACUGUCUCGCACCUUAAAAAAAUUUCACAAUUAGCAGCAUUGGCAAUACUUGAUUAGAAAGCAGAAACCCUACAGUAUAUAGUUAAGUUGAGUAGCUGGGAAGACAAUUAGUAAGCUUUCAAUACUAAAGUUGAAUAUUGGGGAGACAAAUUACUAGAGCUUCAAGUUCAGAUAAAUAGGAUGAAUUUCUCUUAAGGGAUCCCCUUUCACUGUAGCUUGGAGUAGAAUUCAUUUUGACACAAUAUCAAUUAUCAAUGUAAACACGUUACUGAUGCACUAUUGACAAUAUCGAUGCACGUCAUAUCAUAUUUGUGGGAGUAAAUUUCCUCACGAGAAUAUUUGGUUCAAAAGAUUCCCCUUUUUUUUUUUUUUGCCGCCUCUUUCUCCUUGCAAAAUAGAACAAAUAAGAGGACCACACCCGGGGGGUGUUGGCCAAAGGCCCUCCGAUGCUAAAUUAGUUCAAGUAUUUGUAAGAAAAAUACUAGCUAACUAGGGUACAGAGGUGUAUUUAAGGUGUAAACCGGGCAGCCGAAGUCUUAUGUAAAAGAGAGAGAGAAAGGAGGUGGCUAGCGUUUGAGAGGAAUUUUCUGCAGAGUUUUUAGUAGAGAUUUCAGACGUACCUCAACCAUUGUGUGUGGCCAUCUUUUUAUAGUGGUCUUGGAGGCUAGGGUUUCAGAGGAAUAAUUCCGUAGAUGGAAAGGAAUUAUUCCUCCCCUAUUUGGAAUUGAUUUGAUUAAUUAGGGAUUUGAUUUAUUAGGGUAAAUCAAAUCCCUAAUUGUGGUAGGUAUCAAAUCAAAUCCUUUUUUAAUUAGGUAACUCCUCAUUUAAUUGGGAAUUGUGGUAGGAAUCAAAUCAAUUCUCAACCUAAUUAGGUAACGUUCAAUUUAAUUGGGUAAUUCCCAAUUAAAUUGAGUAACUCCCAAUUAGGUUGAUUAAUUCCCAAUUAGAUCAAAUAAUCCCCUAAUUGAAGGAAUUAUUUGACCUAGGGUCUGAUUUAAUUCGAUUCCCACAAAUGCCCCCCAGCUUCUGCAUGGUGCAUGGUGGCACGUAGGAGAUGUAAAUUAUCUGUUGGGCUGUCCAGCUGUAACUGGGCUUCCUUCGUGGACCUGGGCUCCCGAGUAGAGGAGGUGUUUGACUUGCCAAUUUUAUGAACACCCAAUUGGAAAGGGUUUGAGAUUCCUUGUAGGUCAAGGAAUUUUGCUCCUUAUAAAUGUAGGGCUCCUCCAAAUUAUUCUCGACAUCAGAAAUCUACUCCUCCAAAUUUGUUAGUGAGAGAGAGAAGACUUUGGAGAAUUUUUCAGCGUGCUUGAGACUUCAUCUUUGCAGCCCAUCCAAGGUAAUUUGAUAGGAAGAAUUUUAUUUUGAGUUGCUAUGACUUUUGGCAGCAAGCUGUGAGACUAAGGGCAUGUCUUGAGGUGCGCGCUAGGGCUUUAGGCAUGGCAAGAGACUCGGAAAGGCUAGCAGGUUCGUUUCCACCUACGCUGGGCUCAAGGAGAAGGCAACAGGGCUUCAGGCCUUGUGGAUGAAGUGGGCUUUCGCUGGGAGCAAGAGGCCUGGAGCUGAGGCAAGGAGACAAUGGGCCUGGUACGAGGUGUGGGCUGAGCAUGCCAGCUUUGGAGCAAGGGGGCCAGGACGACUGCUGGGCAGGAGGUGCGCUGGGCUGCAUGCGCGAGCUGCGCCGAGUGCUGGCUGGAGGAGCGAGCUGGGCUGCGCGCUAGGCCAUUCAUGCUGGGCUACUUCCGUUUUUUUUUUGUUUUUUUUUAAAUUUUAUUUGCUGUUGCUGCUUUUUUUUUUGUUUUUUUGUUUUUUUUUUGUUUGGUAUUCUAACUCGUAAUUUUUUUUUUCUUCUUACAGCUACUUGUUGAUCAACCAUGUCUUCCGGAGAUGGUAGCAAGGCUCCAAGCUCUUAGGUCCUUUUGUAUUUAUGGGGAGGCUCCAUAGUGCAUGGCAAGAAGUUUGUGGUCAACUUGCAUCGCGUCACGACUUAUGCUCAGUUCCAGAAGUGGCGGGCCACUUAUGCGUCUGCCAUUCCAGAUGACGUGCUGGUCAAGCUAUUGAAAUCUCAAACUGAUAACGAGCCUUUGGUGGACGUGAGUGAUCAUGAUGCUAGGAUCAUUACCUUCCGUCCUUUUUACUUCUCUUUAGGCUUCAAAUUCCCGUUGUCAAAGCUCUUCAAGAAGGUGUUCUGUGCCAUGGGGUGUGCUCCGAGCCACUGUACUCAUGUGCUUCAAGAAUUUGAGUCGUUUCUUCAUGUUGGAGCUGACGAUGCGAGAGUUCUUUUAUUUUUUUCGAAGUGAGGCACUUUGAGCGGUACGCCCAAGUUCGUAUCUACAAGGCCAAGCUGUUCCACGGUCUCAGUCAAGGAGAUCACGCUUGACAUGAAGAUGUGUUGGAGGUCAGCAGACGGUGGGAGGGUGACGUCGGUGACGGCCCACCUGUUCCCAUCACCUAUUGUGAUGGUAUGUCUCUUUACGAUUUUUGAUAUGCUCCUUUUAUUUGAAUUUCUUGAAGUGUGGCAGACUAACUUCUAUCUUCUGCUCGUAGUGAGUGACAUUAGCAAGCAAUUGGAGCUCCGACCAGACAUGGCUAAGGUCCGUCGUGCUUUGAACAUCCCUCUAAGGUUUCACGAGUGGCGCUGGCUGUUGAGUGAGUACCGGGAGGAAGACGGUGGUUUUCUCCUUGCCGAGGAUGUCGAAAGGUGGAAGCAGAACGAUCCUGACCCUGAUGAUCUGCUUGGCAGACAGGAAGAAUGUUCUGCUUAAUCGCUCUUAAAGAGAAAGGCUGCUGCCAAAUCUUUGAGAUGUGAAGCUACUUCUUCGCAUGCAAAGGAUGGGUCUCCAUCGAGGAAGAAACCAAGGCUCCCUUCUGCUGAGAAGACUCAAGUGGGGUCUGCUCCCUCAUCAUCUGCCAGGGUUAAGCAUCUCGUGGGUGCAGAUAGCAAGAAGGUUGGUGGUAUGCAUGGUACUCGGGGUGUUCUGCCCAAGCUUCCUGCUGACACGCUCGAAAACCAUGAUAUACUUCGUGAAGUGGCUCGUGCCCAACCUAGUUCUGCCAAGCGUCAAAGAGAUGUAGACAUUCCUCCUAGAAGUUCGAGUUGUCUGCAUCGGUCAAAAGAUGGAGACCGAAGCGGGAGGUCUGCUUAUGAUCCAGCAUUAUUGACUCAUUUGGAGAUGAGGUUGGCGAAGGCUAAGAAGGUGAAAGAGUCAUCUGCCCGGGUUAAGGGUUCUUCCUCGGCGUUGGUAGUUGGUCCCAAGAUGAACAAGUCUAGCUCUGUAGGGGAUGCAUGCGUAUCUGAUCUGCUCAAGAUGAACUUCCUAUCAAACCCGUCCUCUUGUGUUGAGUUGGUUGAUCACAUCCCUCAAGCGGGCGAUCUAGGCACUUUCUCGUGCCUUUCCUUAGAAAAAUGAAGGAAAAUGACAUUCCAUCUGAUUCAAAAAGGACUGGUUUUUGCUACUGAGACUAUUUGGAACUCAUCUGCUAUUGCCCCUCUUCUGUCCAACUCAGCGAGUUGGAGAAGAAGAAUGCUGAUUGGCUAGACAGCUUUCCGCCGAGCAGGCCCGUUACGAGAAGAAGAUGUCUGAUUUGAGGGCGAUGAUAUCUGAGCUGAAAAGCUCCCUUACCGAGAAGGAUUUCGAGCUCAACUCUUCUGCUGCUGAUUUGGCUAGUCGAAAAGAUACCUUCUUUCGUCUUGAGCAUAAGAAUGCUGACAUCUUCCUUAGCUAUAACAAACUCCUGGCUAGAUUUCAUGCCUACCAUAAGUCUGCUAAAGAAUCCAAGACAGAUGGAGCUGCUGAAGGCGUAGCCGGUCAGGUGGAUGCCGAAGAGGCUGCAGCUUAAAAGUCUUCUGCUGGCGUCUCAGAGUAGAUGAAGACUCUUUUUUGUUUCUUUUCAGCUUUUGUAGUUUGCUUUAUUGUUUAGAAUAACUGGUCUUAUUUGACCAUCUUCUUUUUGUUGAACUUGGCUGGUUGGUCUGUUUGUUAGGGAAAUUUCAGUUACAUUUUCCAACUUCAAUUUGCAUAUUUGACUUGUGAACUGCUUAAGUAACCAGCCUGUGUUUUGAUUGCACAUCCCCCUUUAGAGAUUUGUGAGUACCAGGGUCCCCCUUGGAGGACUCCGGCCAUGCACAGUAUAUCUCGUAGGAUGGUUCCCCUUAGGAAGUUGGCGAGUACCAGGGUCCUCUUUGAGAGACUCCGGGUGUGUUCUGCACAUCCCGUAUGAUGCCUUAAUCGUCGCCUUGCUUCUCCCGUAGGACGCUGCUUAUAGGCAACUAUAUGACUAUCCUGCCUUUCUUAGGAAACGGAUAGGAACCUGGAUAUUUCCCGCAUGAAGCAUGGAGACCUCCUUUUAAGAAAUUUUUGGUGCACCAUGCUUCUCCCUUAGGACGCUUUUUUCGCAGGCUGGGUCUCCAAAUGGACGCUUUUAGUCGUUGCCCUGCGUCUCCCUUAGGACGCUCCUUAUGGGCAACUGUGUGACUAUCCUGCCUCCCUUAGGAAAUGGAUAAGACUUGAAUAUUUCCCGCAGUAAGCAUGGCGACCCCCUUUUAAGAAACUCCUGGCGUACCCUGCAUCUCCCUUAGGAUGCUUUUUAAGAGGGCUGCUUCUCCAAACGGACGCUUUUAGUCGUUGCCUAUGUCUCCCCUAGGAUGCUCCUUAUGGGCAACUGUGUGACUAUCCUGCCUCCCUUAGGAAACAGAUAGGAAACUAGAUAUCUCCCUUAGGAAAUUCCUAGCGCACCUUGCGUCUCCCGAAGGACGCUUUUUUAGCUGGCUACGUCCCGAAACGGACACUUUUAGUCGUCGCCCUGCGUCUCCCUUAGAAUGCGCCUUAUAGGCAACUGUGUGACUAUCCUGCCUCCCUUAGGAAACGGAUAGGAACCUGGAUAUCUCUCUUAGGAAAUUCCUGGGGCACCUUGCGUCUCCCGAAGGACGCUGCUUAUGGGAAAAUAUUGUGUUUCGUGGGCAGAUGAGACAUUUUGGAAUGAGAAACUGAACUUAUAUUGAUAUUCAUAAGAUUACAGUCCUUUAUUUGAAAAUGGAAAUAACUUGGUUCAAAAACUUAGAACUUCUAGCAGCUACGAGGAAGCACUAUGGAUAAUACUUUCGGAGAUGGUGAGCAUUCCAUUGUCGUGGUAUUUCCUUCCUAUCCAUGGUGUCCAGUGUGUUGCUUCCUCUGCCCCGGACCUGCUGAUCACAUAAACGCCCUCCCAGUUAGGAUUCACUUUUUUUGACCCGUGUCUUGGUGCAGUAAUGAAAGCCUUAGCACGAGGUCGCCUGGUUGAAACUGUUUGACCUUAGCUCUUUUGUCGUAGUAAGACUUCAACUGCUAGUGAUAGGAGGCGACCCGAAUAAUGGUCUUCUCACGCCUGCCCUCAAGUAAGUUGAGGUUGAGCCUCAUCUGCUCGGAGUUCUGAUCAACACUGCCUACCUUAAGACUUAUAGAGAGGACAGUGAUGUGAGGUGGUAUGAUCACUUCUGUUCCAUAGGCGAGAGAGAAUGGGGUUUCACCAGUCGAUCUUCGCUUGGUGGUGUGAUAAACCCAUGGUACUCUGGGGAGUUCAUCCACUCAUUUCCCUUCAGCGCCUUCCAGCCUUUUCUUUAAGCAGUCCAAUAUGACUUUGUUGGAUGCCUUGGCUUGUCCAUUUCCUUGUGGAUACCUCGGGGUGGACAAGUGUUGUUUGAUCUUGUAUUUCACAAAAAAAGCGGUGAUCUGCUUGCCAAUGAACUGUGAGCCAUUGUCGGUAACCAACGACUGUGGGCAGCCAAACCGGCAUAUGAUGUUUCUCCAGAUGAAUCACUCCACAUCGGCUUCUUUAGUAAAUGAUAGAGCUUCGGCCUCGAUUCAUUUAGUAAAGUAGUCGGUGGGGACGAUCAUCAUUUCUUUCUUGGCGGGCGCUAGUGGCAAGGGAUCCACUAGGUCGAUGGCCCAUUGCAUGAACAGCCAUGGACUGUUUUGCGGAUGAUAGACUUCGGCAGGCAAGUUAGGGAUCGGCUUGUAUUGCUGACAGCGUCACAUUUCUUGGCACAUUCAGCACAGUCGUGACGUAUGGUAGGCCAGAAGUAGCCUAUGUUUAGAACUUUCUGGGCGAGUGACCUGCCCCAGAAUGGUUGCCAUACUCGUCGUCGUGAAUUUUACAGAUAAUCUCAAGUGUUUGAUGGUACUUUAUGCAGGUGAGAUGAAGGCCGGAGUAUGAUCUGUGGAUGAGCUUGUUGCCGUGCAUGUAGUAUCUCUCGGCCUUUUGCUGGACUUUUCUAGCUUCGGACUUGUCCGUUGGCAGGUUUCCAUUCGUGAAAUAGUCGAUGAUGAGGUCUUGCUAGCUGGGGUCCUCGUCAAUCUGCAUGGUAUUAAUCGGCUCUAUUUCUUCAAUGCUUGGUCGGUCAAGGUGUUCGACCUAGAUGGAGUGUUUGAACUGGGUAUCCAGCGUUGAACCUUGGCUUGCCAGUGCGUCUGCAUGCGCGUUCUUUGCCCGGGACACUUGUUGGAUAGUGAAGGUAGGAAAUGCCUUCAACAGCUCUUGGACUCUAUCAAGGUAUAAGAUCAUCCUUGGGUGCUUUGCCAUAUAUUCACCUGAGGCUUGAUUCGUGAUCAACUGUGAGUUUGAGUAGAUGGCUAGCUUUUUGAUUGCGAGCUCCUUUGCCAAGCGUAAGUCGGCGAGUAAUGCCUCGUAUUCUACCUCGUUGUUCGAGACCGAGAAGCCAAGCGUAAUAGCUUGCUCUAACAGGGUUCUAUCCAGGGUGGUGAUAACGACCCCUGCUCCAGCUCCUUUUUGGUUCGACGCUCCGUCUACACGCAACUGCCACAUGUCUCUGGGAUGGCUUGGUUCUGCGGAGGUCCUGUCUGCUUUUGAACUUCCCUCCUUUUGGUUGACUAACUUCUCUUUUUUGGCUGAUGGGGUGAAUUCUGCGACGAAGUAUGCUAAAGCCUGGGCUUUUAUUGCAGUUUUUGGCCCGUAGAGGAGGUCAUAUUGGCUUAGCUCUAUAGCCCACUUCAUGAGUCGCUGAGAAGCAUCAGGGCUGUGGAGGAUUGAUCUCAAAAGAAAGUCAGUCAUGACUAUGACUCGAUGAGCUUAGUAGUAGGGUCGCAGCUUUCUCGCAGAAACUACAAGAGCCAAAAUAAGUUUCUCCAAUUUCGGGUAACGAGUCUCUGCAUCGAGGAGAGCUUUUGACGUGUAGAAUACCGGAUAUUGGGCCCCUAUCUCUUCUCGGAUGAGAGCUGAACUGACAGCUGAGUUGGACUUACCUCACUAGGGACUGGAUUUGAGAGCAUGGAAGGUGAGGUGAGGUAAGUCUUCAGAUUAUGGAAAGCUACUUUGCAGUCCUCAUCCCAUUUCUCUCUUUGUCCUUUCUUCAAAGCUUUGAAGAGUGGUCUGCACUUGUCGGUUGAUCUCGAGAGGAAUCGGUUGAGAACCGCUGCUUUGUCCGUCAGACUUUAUAUCUCUUUCACCGUGGAAGGCGACUUCAUCUCUAGAAUGGCUUUGAUUUGACGUGGAUGUGCCUCGACACCUCGUUGCGUGGCUAGGUAUCCCAAGAAUCGGCCGGAGGAUACACCAAACAGGCAUUUACUUGGAUUCAACUUCAUGCGAUACUGGCGGAGCAAGCUGAAUGAUUGGGUAAGACUUCCGAUGUGAUCUGCACGUUUUGGGGCUUUGACCAGCAUGUCAUCCACGUAGACCUUCAUAGUUUUGCCGAUCUGCUUAUUGAAGAUUUUAUUCCCGAGCCUUUGAUAGGUUGCUUUGGCGUUCUUCAGCCCAAAGGGCAUGACCUUAUAGCAGCAGGUCCCUCUCUCGAUGAUGAAAAAAGUUUUUGCCUUGUCAUCCUCGUGCAUCAGGAUUUGUUUAUAGCUGGACUAGGCGUCCAUGAAGCUAAGCAGUUGAUUGCCAGAAGUGGAAUCCACGAGUUGGUCGAUUCUCGGCAAUGAGAAGUUGUCUUUAGGGCAUGCUUUGUUGAGGUCUGUGUAAUCGACACAAACUCUCCAUUUGCCAUUUUCUUGUUUUGCCACCAAAACAACGUUGGCAAGCCACUCUGAGUAGGAGGCCUCUUCGAUGAAGCCGACAGCUAGGAGUUUGUCAAUCUCGGCCUCGAUGAUAGCAAGUCGCUGGGGUGCGAAGUUGCGUCUCUUCUGCGCCACUGGCUUGCAGGCAGGGUUGAAGUGGAGUCAGUGACAGAUGAUGUUCUUGUCGAUGCCAGACUUGUCUGACGGCAACCAUGCGAACAUGUCUCUGUUGCUCUGGAGGAAGGUGGUAAGCUCCACAUUCUCUUCUGGCCUUAGGCGCGAACCGAUCCACUCUUUCCUAUCUGGUUGGUCAGGAUCCAAGGGUAUUAACUCGACGUCCUCCUUGGGUUUCCAUCCUUCUUCAGGAAAGACCUAUGGACGGAUUUCCUCGACUUGGUCCUGACGCUUUAAUUGCUAUAAGAUAGCAAGAUCCAGUUGCUCAACCUCCUCCAGAUCUGCCUGGCUCACAGGGAGAAACUGCGCUUGUUUACCUUUCUUUAGCCCUUGGGCGGAGCAUUUCCUCGCCAUUGCCUAAUCGUUGUUGAUUUGGCCGACACCGCCCCCAAGGAUUGGGUACCGAAUUUUCUAAUGUGUGGCGGAGGUGAUUGCAUUAAUUUUGCCAAUCGAUGGUCUGCCCAGAAUGCCGUUGUAGGGUAAGACCUUAUUAAUGACCAUGAAGGUUAUGAGCUGAUUAUAAGUGGGGAGUAGACGUCGAGGUCUAUCAUGCCCACGGUAACCGUUGUUGCACCAUUAAAAUCGCUCAGCAACCUAGCUAAUUUGUAAAUCUUUGUCUCCAAUCCCAUCUGUUGAAUGACCUCCAGUUGCAGGAUAUUGGCUGCGCUGCCCUCGUCUGUGUGGAUUCAGUCUACCAUGACCUGAGCAAUUUGAAUGCUGAUGACAAGGGCUUCGUUAUGUGGCAUGUAGAGGCCGAUCAGAUCUUUCUUUUGGAAGCCGAUUACAGGAUCGUCUUCUGCUGGUGGAAGGUCGGUCGAGAUUUGGGAGAUCACAGUGGUCUGUUUGAUCUUCCUCUUUUUUUCCUUUCUGGUCAGCCCAGACUCCUCGGAGUCAGCUAGGAUUGUGUUAAUUCUUAUGACCUUCUGAGGCGGCUCCUUGGCGAUGUCACGAUCUUCUAUCCGCUGGAUGACCUUCUUUGCAAUGAAUUCUGUGCAGUGACCUUCUCUCACGAGUUCUUCAAGAUGUGCUUUCCAAGCGAAGCAGUUGUUCAUAGUGUGUCCGUGCAUUUCAUGGACGGCACAGUAUUUGCUAGUAUUCCUUUUGUCCGGAUCUUCUUUCAAGGGUGGUGGUCUUCUUACCCAAGGUUGUUCUUCACUUGGGCUAAGAUUUGAUGUAUGGAGAUGGUGAACUUGGUGUAGUUCUCUCCUGCCGUAGCAUCCCCUUAUGGGUGCGACCUGCGCUUGUCCUUGUCCCUGUUGCUAAAUCCGUCGCUUCUUUGGCCUGCCCCCUUAGUCGGCUGAUCUUCCUGCUUAGUAGAGUUCUUUGCGGCGAUUCGAUCGUCAUCCCAAAGCGCAUAGCUUUCCGCGGUCUCGUAGACCUCUGCCAAAGUUUGGCUGGGAGUGAUGGUCAGCUCGUGGUACAAGUCGUGCUCAGUCGAAAGGUCUUUCUUGAAAGCAGAGGACGCAAUUUGGUCAUCACAUCCUACAAUGUUGGCCUUUUCUACUUUGAAUCUCUUGAUGUAAUCUCUAAAGGAUUCGUCGAACUUCUUGCGCAGGUUAUACAGGUGGUCAGGGUUCUUCUUGAUUGUUCGGUAAGAGGUGUAUUCUUUGGUGAAUAAGUAAGUCAGCUCCUUGAAGCUGCUGAUCGACCUGGAUGGCAGAGUAUGGAACGAGUCUUGGGCUUCCUCACAAGGUCAUUGCAAACACCUUGCACAUCAGCGCGUCGUCAACCUUGUGGAGGAUCAUGACACUUUUGAAGUGUUUUAGAUGGCUCUCAGGAUCGGAAUCCCCCUUGAAGUGUGUGAAUGUGGGCGUUGAGAAUCGCUUCAGGAGAGCAGCCUGCUCGAUUUUGGCAGUGAAAGGUGUAGAGUAUGCCUGGUCUACCUCAUUUCGUACAUCUUCGAAAUUUCCACCGGUCUUCAAGUCUCGAAGUUGGUCAUUCACAAGCUUCUCUACGUCUUCCGCACACAUUGCUUGUCGGCCACAUUGGCGACCUUCACGAAUUGUUCGAUGCUGACUGACUUCCUCGUUGAUUUCCGAGGAUCGACCUUCUUGUCUGCAUUGCCUAGGUGGAGUGUUGGUGGAUUGCGCCUACGAAAGAUUCUCUGUGGCUUGUCAAUGAGAAUCGGUUCUUCGAGAGUGAGUAACGAAGUGCCUUUCCUCAUGGUCCUUAUUGUGAGGGUUAUCCAGCUGACCUCCCUGGGGCCUAGCCUUUCCUGAAUGCUUCUCUGCGAGUAGACAGUUGAAUGCUUUUCUUCACGAUCCUCGUUGUGAUGGUUGUUUGGCUGACCUCCUUAGGGUCUUAGCCUUUGAUGUACAUUUCCCUGCCUGCCCAAGUAGGUGCGGACGUCGAGUCGUGGGCCCAGCCUUUCGUGCACGUCGUUCCUUAAACUCAAUCUGCUCUGAGUGUGGCUUGCAGAUGCUUGCGACAUGUCGGCAGGUCGAUCACGUUGUUGUCCCUCGACUUGUCUGCCCACUCUUGCUUGACCUGCUUGGUACUCGUUGAGCUGUCUACCGGCCCGUUCAUCCUUCCUUCUUUCCUCGCCUGGUUGUCCAAGGCCAAGGUUUUGAGCAAAGCUUAUUUGGUUGAGGAGCUGCCUCAUUAGAUUGUUUUGGUCGUCCAUUCUUUAAGCUAGCUGGUCAACUCUCAGAUUAAGGUCUGCUUGAUUUCAUGGAUCAGGAGGAGAGAAGUGUGUGGAGCUCAACUGCACAUAGGCUAGGGUUUCAUUAGAGGUGUAUGCGGGAGCGUGUGUCGAGCGUGGAGGCAAUAGAGGGAAUGCUUGGAGUUGCUCCAAGACCGGCCCUAGGUCGGCGGUGGUAACGAGUCCACCUUGAUGGGAAGUUCCACCAUGUUUGGCGGCAGUGACCGAUGCAGUGGUGAGAGGUGGUGGUGCCACCAUGUCGAUCGCGGGAUCGUUGGUGGAGUGGCUUUGGGCCGUCGCAAAUCUAGCCAUCAUGGCGGCUUUGCCUCUCGUGUUCAUGCUUCCAACCAUGGUUGUUUGGAAGGCUUAGGUGGAUUGGAAAAUUAGAGGAACGGAUUCCUUGAGCACGCAUUGAGUAUAACUCGUGCUCUCAAUGAAAGCACCAAUUUGUGGGAGCAAAUUUCCCCACGAGAAUAUUCGGUUCGAAAGAUUCCCCUUUCUUAUUCGCCGCCUCUUUCUCCUCGCAAAAUAGAACAAAUAAGAGGACCACACCCGAGGGGUGUUGGCCAAAGGCCCUCCGAUGCCUAAAUUAGUUCAAGUAUUUGUAAGAAAAACACUAGCUAACUAGGGUAUGGAGAUGUGUUUAAGGUGUAAACCGGGCGGCCGGAACCUUAUGUAAAAGAGAGAGAGAAAUGAGGUGGCUAGGGUUUGAGAGGAAUUUUCUGCAGAGUUUUUAGUAGAGAUUUCAGACGUACCUCAACCAUUGUGUGUGGCCAUCUUUUUAUAGUGGUCUUGGAGGCUAGAGUUUCAGAGAAAUAAUUUCGUAGAUGGAAAGGAAUUAUUCCUCCCCUAUUUAGAAUUGAUUUGAUUAAUUACGGAUUUGAUUUAUUAGGGUAAAUCAAAUCCCUAAUUGUGGUAAGUAUCAAAUCAAAUCCUUUUUUAAUUAGGUAACUGCUCAUUUAAUUGACAAUUGUGGUAGGAAUCAAAUCAAUUCUCAACCUAAUUGGUAACGUUCAAUUUAAUUGGGUAAUUCCCAAUUAAAUUGAGUAACUCCCAAUUAGGUUGAUUAAUUCACACUUAGAUCAAAUAAUCCCCAAAUGGAAAGAAUUAUUUGACCUAAGGUAUGAUUUAAUUCGAUUCCCACAAUAUUUAGAUGCAUAAUUGAAUGCGAAUAAACAUCACUCUCUCCAGUGUGAAAUGGCGAAAAUUCUCUUCAAUCAAAAGUGGGCUUACUUCAAAUUUAGUUGAAGAAUGAUGGUGUGUCUUGCCUGACAAUUGACAAUUAGGUUUAGGAGCGUUCCUCUAGUAGAAAAAUCUAAAUCAUUUGUGGUCAUCCACUCACUUGGUUAGUCUUCCAGAAUCAAAUACCAAAUCAACCCAAAGGAAGCUGCAAUUUUCUGAAUUGUAUACUUGUUUUAAUUCUUCCUAUCUUUUUCUCUCUUUCAUUUUUUUUGUCUCCCUCAAGUUAAUACUUAAGUGAGUUGCCAAAUGGGGGUAAAAAAGAGAGUAGAAGAGAUGAACCCCACAUUUGACUUUAAUAGACAAAUGCCCAAGAGAAGUACCAGUAAGAGCAUCUCCAAUUGGGAGGUGCUAUCCUAUAAUUUGACACACAUUUCUUUUUUCUUUUUUUUCAAUUCUAACAACAUGUCAUCUAUAUCGCAAUAGGCCGUUGUAGUUAAAUUUUCAAAUAACCAAGUUGCUCUCUAUUUUCCAAAGAAGACUAGAAAACAACUUACCAUCUAUCUGGUGCUGCUUCUUCCAAACAUUAGAAAAAACAGAGCUACACCCAGGAGGAGCCCAGGAGAUGACACAAUACUGCCUACUAUGAUUCUUACUUUCUUCACAUUCAAUGAGACUAUAAAAUAUAACCCAAGUGGUCUAACCCCCCAGGGCGGAAAUUGGGUUUAGCAAGUUUAGCACUGAUUGUUGUAUAGUCUUAAACAGUCCUGAUCUCUUGGACCCCUGUAGUCCAAGAGAUUUAUGGUCACCCACCGUUGGAUGUAAAUUCAACGGUUGACUUGAAUCGGGUAAUAAUAAUUUAUGUCAUAUUGCAUUUAUAUAUAUCAUUUUGAACCAUUGGAUUAAUAUCCAACGGUGGGUGACCACAAUCUCUUGGACUCCUGUGGUCCAAGAGAUCGGGACUGUAGUCUUAAAAUAAGUAGUUUAGCGAGUGCAAACUUCGACUUAAAAAAACUCUCAUGUAUAGCCGCGCGGCUAUACUAUUUACAUAUAAAUAUAUAAAAAAGCACCCCCUAGUCACGUGUCACAAAUAGUAUAGUCGAAAACAGUAGAGCCGCGCGGCUAUACUGUUUUUAAAAUAAAAAAAACCAUAUUCGAUUCUCCUUAUAUUUAAAAGGGGUAUAGCCGCAUGGCGAUACUAAUUUUUUUUUUUCAAAAAAAGGGACCCCAGUACUCCUUUUAUAUAUUAUAAUAUAUUGUCUAAUAUUUGGAAUAUUUACUCUAAAAUAAACAAUAUAUUAGGUUCUUUUUGUCUACAAAUUGACCAUUAAACUUCUUAAUCACUCUUAUACUUUCAAUUAAAUCUACUAGGCUAGGUUAUGAUAUUUUCACUAAAAAACUCCUCCUUUUUUUCUUCUCUUUCUCUUCCUGUUUUGUUUAACUUAAGCUUAAGUUUUGUAAUUUUUUUUCCCGCCCUUUUUACAUGUUUGAGUAGGGUACUUUAAUAUUGGGAUUUAUGAACUUUUUUUGUAUUUCUUCUUUAUAUUGGAAUAUAAAUUAUUAACUUUUGAGUCUUUAAUAGUGUAGAUGAUGAGAUUAUUAUUCAACCAUUUUAUAAUAUGAAAUGAAGGACAAUCAUGAUUGUGAUGAAUGGAUUAUUAAUCAAUAUGAAAUGAUAUUAUGAAGUGGGCUAAAUCGAGUAGUUAGUAUCGUAUUGUUGAGACCCAAAAAAUCCAAGGCUAGGCCCAAAUAUAUUAUGAAGUGGGCUAAAUCGAGUAGUUAGUAUCGUAUUGUUGAGACCCAAAAAAUUCAAGGCUAGGCCCAAAUAUAUUUCCGGUCCAAUGCGAUACCUUACCGAGAAGAAACCUUAUUUGGGCACGCGAAAGUUCGUCAUAUGCUCUUGCACACAUGCCAUGCCAAGCAAAUAAGCAACAUGCCACGCUACAAGCUUAAGUGGGCCCAAGCCACGUGAAUGCCUAGGGCCUGCUGAGUGGGUUGUGGUAUGGAUGGUUAUGAGUAUUCACGAGGCCCAUUGAUGGUCUAAGGAGUGGAAGUUUUGGGCUACUUGGGAGCACCAAAACUCAAGCCCAUUCAUUGAGCCCAAACAUAUGGGUAAGCAUGAGAUAAAACCUAGUAGCCCAUCACCUUAAGAAAUCCUAAUAGCCCAUAACAUGUGAGAAAAUCCCACAUCAACCAAAGCUUCCAGCAGUCUGACGAAAUCAAAGGGAACUCACAAGCCGUUGGAAACAAAACAACCCAACACUGUAACACCCCGACCCCAAAUUUCCCCAAAUUUAACCCUUAUUUAAUUAUUUAAGGGUAUUUUAGUCAUAUUUUUAACCGGAGAGAGUUUGGGGCAAUGACUAGUAUUUUUGGAUAGGUCGUACUGAGACGAGUUUAUGGACACGCAGUGAGCUCGAAUCGGAGUUGUAACGAGAGAGAUAUGGUCAAAAGAAGCCCAGUGGCACAAUCGUAAAUAUUUUGAAAUGAGAUUUUUUAUAAAAAUCUGGUUUUCUCUCUCUCUCUCUCUCUCUCUCUCUCUCUCUCUCUCUCUCUCUCUCUCUCGCUAGCGACCUCUCUCUCUCUCCCCCGUCGGUCUCUCCCCUCUUUCUCCUCGUAACUCCGGCCACCGGCCCCGGCUGUGGACGGGGCCGGUACCAAAAUGACCGAGGCGUCGUCCUCUUCCUACCCCAGCCACCUCCCACCGCCAGCCGUCGCGGAUUCGCCGGAAUCUGGAGAUGAAGCGGCCUACGUCGUCCAAAUUUCAAAGCUGCCGAUCUCCCUCCUCCGGCCACCAAUUCCGUCGACCCAGGUAUGGAUUUUGAACUUCUCGAGCUGCUCUAGCUGAUGGUUGGGUAGGAUUAGAUCGAUUCUUAGCUUAGACAACUCGAUUUUCAAAUUGAAAAUCGGCCGAACUUCGGCUGCCGUGAUCGGCCAUUUCCGGCCACUUUUUGGGGUAGGUCCAAGAACAAAAGUGGCUCCAAAUAGGGUGUUAUACCUAGGGUAGGAGUUUGGAGCCGUGGUUUUGAGAUUUUCCGGCGAAGCGUUAUCGCUUUGGGCACCCACGCGCUGCCGGUGCGUGCGGCGGCGCGUGGGCACUGUAGAAAAAGUAGCACUGUGUUCCGAUGAGAUCCUUAGGUUGUCACGAGUGCGUAGGAUUUUGCGGAUCUCAAUUCGGACGUCGUUUGACUAUCGAACGGAUAUUCGCAUAUUGCGCGUUAUUCGGGUUCGAUAGGUUGGGACCGUUGGAUGGACCCAAAUUUAAUAUAUGUUAAUCUAAUUAAUUCUAGGAUCGUGUAGGAAUUCACGGAUUGUGAAUCGGAGCCCCGGAUGUUCCGAAUAAUAAUUUUAAAGUUUGUAUUUUAUAUUAAUUGUCAGAUCGUGCGAUCGUGAGCAAUCUGACCGUUCGAUCUGAACCAAACUUGCAGGACAAGUGUCCUAUACCUUGUAGAACCCAUAGGGACCUUCGGAUCGGAAAUUGGAGGUCGUGGGUUCCGCAAGUCGGUUUGACCAGGGUUAGAGAAGUUUGACCCUUGGUUGACCGUGAGUCUCCCGGAGUAAUCUCACCUUUCUAGGGGAGAUUAUCGGGUACUAGAUGAUUGUGGACACAAUAUUAGAAUUAAUUUAUAUAAUUAUAAUUAUAUAUGGUUGUACAAGGGUACAACAGAGUCUAGAAUGUCAGUUUGGAGUGCUAUACGCACUACUUUAGGUACCUCCCCGGAUGUUGGGAUUUACUACAAGUACCACCAAGUGAAAUUGAGGUCCCGCGUGGCGUAGGUUAUCCAGCGUUGGGAUAGGUCUCAUACGUGGGGUUGGUUGUACCGGCGUAUGGGGAGAUUUGUGAUAUUAUGUUCAGGUCUCACGUGGCGUAGGUUAUCCGGCGUUGAGACAGGCCCCAUACGUGGUGUUGGUUGUACCAGCGUAUGGGGAGCUAUGUGAUAUUGUGUUGAGGUCGCACGUGGCGUAGGUUAUCGGGCGUGUCGACAGACCCCAUACGUGGCGUUGGUUGUACCGGCGUAUGGGGAGAUUUGUGAUAUGAAAUUGAGGUCCCACGUGGCGUAGGUUAUCCGGCGUUGGGACAGGCCCCAUACGUGGCGUUGGUUGUACCGGCGUAUGGGGAAAUAUGUGAUAUGAUGGCAUGGUCGCACGUGGCAUAGGUUAUUCGGCUUGUUGACAGGCCCCAUACGUGGCGUUGGUUGUACCGGCGUAUGGGGAGAUUAUUUGAAAUGCAGAGAAACGAAAUAUGGUAUCGCCCAAAUGUGGAAUUGGGUUUUAGGGAAGAACUACGUGUGGCUUGAUCCCUCAAGGAGGGUACGUAGGCAGCCUAAGGUUAAUAGGUGCAGCCGCAGACUAAAUGUUAGUCAUAAUUGAUAUUUGAAUUGUUUGGUAGUUGGUUAAGAAUUAUUGGAAGGCCGAAGGCCAUUUGUGUGAAUUGCAUGAAAUUAUAUUGUGCAUGCUGCCAGUUGGGAAUAUUAAAUGCGUUUUUAUGCAGGUAUAAAUUUUAGGAAAUGUCCAAUUUAUAGGGGAGACUCUGCCGAAUUUUCGGCAGGAAGUCUCAGUUUUUAGUAUCUGGGCCUGGCAUCGGGAGGAUGUCGGGAAUUCCAAAGGGUCGUCUCGAGUUCUGAAAAAUUCGGUGCGGGUCCUUUCAAACACCUUAUAAAAUAUCCAACGCCGUGCAUCUCUGUUAAAACCAGAUCACAGCCAAACCACCAAAACCAUGCAAACCCAUAUGCUGAUCACCAUUUUUACUAGCACCCUUACCCAUUCUUUCCUCUUCAAGCUUUGGUGAGAAAACAAGAAACAAAAGUGGGCGGAUCUUCACCCACAUGGAGAAAUCCAGCUGCCUGAGGGCCCUGGAACUCCAAAAAACUUCUUACCUACAUGCUCAGGCUAGGGAAGUUUCACCAAAUAAGCAAGAAUGGAAGAAAGUGAAGGAAAAGGGGAAAGGGUGGCUUGACGAAAUUAAGGUUUUCAGCACUUAUAAAAGGAAACACUUUCUAUCCAGCAAAAACAACUCACCCUGGUUGCUGCAAGCCUCCUAGCAACCAUGAGAAUUCAUUGAAGGCAAGCAUCCCCUUUGGAACCCUUCAAUUUCAUGCUUUGUUCUUCCAUCUUCCUCCUUUCUCUCUCUCUCAAAACCCACAUCCAGAGAGAGCAAGCAUCAUCUCUCAUCUUUGGAACCCUUCGAUUUGAAGCCUUGUUCUUCCAUUGCUUCCCAUUUUCUCUUCUGUCAAAUCACCUAGGAGCUUGACGAAACUUUCGUCAAGCUGCUGGAAAUAUGGUAAAGCCACCCAUGCUUCCAUCUUCUUCCUCUCUUUCCAUAAACACACAUCCAAAGAGCAAGCUUCAUCUCUCAUCCUCUAAACCUCUGCAAUUUCAAGCCUCAUUCCUCUAUCUUCUCCCAUUUUCAGCGGUAGUGAGAAUGAUUUCUGCGUGUGCAUGGGAAGGAUUGUAACUCAGAUGAGGAGGAGAUGGUUUGGAGUGGGGUGAGGCAGUUGGAUAGAGCUCUUGGCCUUUUCAAGUUUGGAUGGGAAAGAGCAGGGAUGAAAGAAGCUUUACAACUGCAAGGGCAUAUAUGGUGCGUAGGGGCUGAAGGCAGAACACUUACAUAUAGAGGAAACACAUUUUUUGUCCAUGGGAUUCAUGUUUGACAAACACUUGUCUUAGACUAUGAGUUCAAAUUUCAAAACCUUUUUUUUUUCUUUCUGAAAUCAGGACCAGUGUGGAGAACUAGCAAGGAUUGGAGAAACAGAUUUUUGGGCGUCACUUGACCACAGAUUGUUGAUUGCUCAAAUGUGUAGAAUUGGCCAUCUUAAAUGUCAAAAUGAUUUAUCAAUUGGGGUUUUUUUAGAAACGUUUAUGUUUGUCAAUAGAGACAGAAGUCAGAGAACAUAAACCUUUCUCAGCAAAUUGAAAUUCUCAGUGCAUGCUCUGUUCUUCCAUGGCUUUCAAACCUUCUCUGCCACGGUGAAAUGGAUCGAUAGAGAUAGUUUAGGCCGUUCCAUUUGUUUGAUGAAGCAUUCGUUCUAGGGAUUCUGUAUAUUCAUAACAAAAUCACUAGAAUGAUUCUUAGAAAUUCAUCACUGCUAAAGGCAAUGGGUUCAGCAUAAUAACUUCUUAGUCUUGCUUCUUGGUCCUUUAUUUUCUUUGCAUAAUACUCCAAGUUUACCUGGGUUCUACAGAGAAAAUCUCGUAGAUACCUCUUUUUGUGGUCUUCCAUGGCAUUUAAGUGCUGCUUUCCAUGGUGAAGUGGGCCUAUAGAGACUACCUGAGGUGUGUAGGCUUUGUCAUUUCCACGCCGUAAUCGCUCAGGAACUCUGUAGAUACACCUUCAAGGGGGACAAGGGAGACAAACUAUCCAAUUCCUUGCGCCUUACAAAUAGAUCGCAUGGGUUUUCUAUUUCAUCUGCAGCUUCAUCAAUUCCUUCCAUUUUUCUCCUGAUCAUCAUGCGCGGUGAUUCAAAUAUUUCAUAAUGAACAUUGAAAUGAGAUGCUACAAGCAAACUUAUGAAAAGAAACAGAAAUACCAAAAAGACAAAUCAAUGUAGAUGGUUUAGAAAAUCUAAACAUUGCAAUUAUACUCCUUUGCCCAACUUCUAGGAGCAAACGUACACAAAGACCUUAUUGCUUCCAACUUUUCCAACAGAAUUUCAUAUGAAUUGCUCCAAGUGAAAUCCGUAUGAAAAAUCGGUAGUUGGAUUUUCAUCCUGCUUUAAUAUGAUUAUUUAACUUCUAACAAAAAAACUCUUAUUACUUGAGCAAGUAAAAUACUAUUCCAGGUUUCUCCUAGUUCUAUAUGCGCUUAUAAUUGGUAUACUCUAUAAAUACCAUAAUCUGAAUUUCUCUGUUUUGAUUACUUUAAUUUAUUACUUAUGUUUUAAUUAUUGUUUACUUAGUGAAUUAUUAGUAUUUAAGAGAAGGCCUUCCAUCGAUUAGGCACCACGUGUCUAUAAUAAGUAAAGCCGUCCGGCUAUACUUAAAAAAAAAAAAAAUUGUAGUAUAGCCGACCGGUAUAGCCGCGCGGCUAUACUAUUUAAUACAUUAUAUUUAAACGGUAUAGCCGCGCGGCUAUACUAUUUAAUAAAAUAAAAAACAAAAGAAAAAGAAAAAUUACCCUCCUAUUUCAUUAGUUUGUACUUUAUAGAUACUAGCCCCUUGACACAUGCUCACGCAUGUGCCAAUUGGUUUUCUUUUUCUUUUUUAUUUUUAUUUUUAGAAUUAAGAAAAAAUAACAGGAUAGUUAUGUUCCAUAAAAGUAGGACCUAUUAUCUUAUUUUGUUUUUAAUUUUAAUUUUUUUAAUAUUAAAAAAAUAUGAAUUUACGAUAUUAUCCUCAUUUAAUUAAUAAUUUCAAUUCUUAAUGUUUGAAUUAACAAAGGGCAUUUUCUGGUAUUUUGAAUGUUUCACCAUUCUCUGCCUUUUGCUUUAUAUAUAUAGAUUAAUUUGCCAGUUUCAAGAUAUCCAAAGUACAUAUUAGACUUUCACUAUAUAAAUUUCAAUAUAUAUUUUUUAUAACAUGUGUUGUUCUUAUUCAAUAAUAUGUGAGAAUUAUUUGUAUAAUACGUGAAUUUUGUGUGUCUUACUGAAUUUUUUUAAAUACGUGUAUUAAACGUUACAAAUACGUACAUAUAUGUACAACACGACUAUUGUAAGUUUGCUAUAUAAAAAAAAGUGAGAUGUAUCUAGAACACGAAUGUAUUAUCGAAAAAUAUAUAUGUAUGUAUAUAUAUAUAUAUAUAUGUAAAAGCCUAUAGCCUCUCACCUAUACUAUUUAUUAAAGACAAUUUAAAAAUUACAACAACAAAAAAACCAGUACAGCCACAAAGCUAUACUAUUUUAAAAAAAAAAAAUAGAAAAAAUAUCAAGUACUACACAGGGCAAAGGCCCAGUGUAAAAUAGUAUAGCCGUACGGCUAUACGUUUUUAAGAAGAAUUUAAAAAACUAAGUAUAGCUCACCGACUAUACUAUUUUUUAAUAUAAAAAAACAACCCCAUCCAUUAGGCGCCACGUGUCAACAGAAGUUUAUUUUUAAAAAAAAAAAUUAAAAGACAAGGAGUAUAGCCGGGUGGUUGUACUAUUUUUUUAUUUUAAAAAGAAGACAGUCCAUCGAUUAGGCGCCACGUGUCCAUAAUAAGUACAGCCGCUCGGCUAUAUGUUGGAUAUUUUGAAACUAGCAAAUUAAUAUCAAUAGCCGGUCGUAACCUAUGCUGUCCACGUCACUCAUGUUUUACCAGAGUUAAAGCAUCCACAAUGAGCUCCCCAAACCAUCUCUUUAGACAAAUUUUAGGGAGAAAUUGGAAAAGUACAACUCCAACCAUGCUCCCUAUCCACCAACUAAAAUAGGGAGACCUCUAGGAGCUCCUAAAUCUGAGGAGAGGGAAAGGACUCUUAGUGACUCCCUAUAAUUUAAUGUUGCUUUGUUUUAUGCAUAUUUUAAACUUUUAAUUAAAUCAAAUUAUUAUUUUAUAUUAUUUUGUAUACAGAUGGACCAAUUAUAUUAAAUUAAAAAAUAAUUAAAGUAUUUGUGACUCUCUAAACUAAGGAGUAUGAUUAGAGUUCAAAUUUUAUAAAAAGCUCUUAAAAUAGCUUUUGUGUGUUUUUAGCUAAAUUUUAACUAAAAAAUUUGAAGAUUCUUUAUUUGGGUUUCUUUCAAGACGAAAACCAUAUCCACAACAGACAUCUUUGGCUGUUCAUCACAAUUGAGAGACAAUGAAGAAGACAUAAGGGAGAGGCUGCCAAAUACUUAUCACCUUAGCCACCACCAACACCACAAGACCAAUAUGUGUAGGCCAGGAGGCUUUCCAAUUUUAAUAUAUAUAUAUAUAUAUAUUAAAAAAUAAAAUAAAAAUCAAUCUAUUAUCAUAUAUAUUAUAAAAUAAAGAUUAUUGCUCCAUCCUCCAUGCACUUGCGUGCCCUCUUACAAAGUAUGAAGUAGAUUUUGUUAGCUGGAUUUAUAAGAUCUUUUGUUUUUUGGAAAUUUUCUGAAAUAAGGAAAAUCAAGUAAAAUUAAUAAAGCAUAAAUUGGAAAGGGAAAAUAUCUAGAGGAUGCAUUGUAGGAUUGCUCAAGCCAAUAAUUGUACCCUCUAAAUAUAUAGGGACAUAUUUUUUUUGUUUUCAUGACAUGUCGUCCUAAAAUUAUUGUUCUUAGCGGGCUCUCCACCCCCUCUCGAUUGAAAACCUAUUGUGUAAAUCUUCAAUCCUGAAUUAGAAAAGUACAACUCCAACCAUGCUCCCUAUCCAUCUCCUAAAAUAGGGAUACCUCUAGGAGCUCCUAAAUCUGAGGCGAGAGAAAGGACUCUUAGUGUCUCUUUAUAAUUUAAUGUUGCUUUGUUUUAUGCAUAUUUAAACUUUUAAUUAAAUCAAAUUAUUUUUUUAUAUUAUUUUGUAUACAAAUGGACCAAUUAUAUUGAAUUAAAAAUAAAUUAAAGUAUUUAUGACUCUCUAAACUAGGGAGUAUGAUUGGAGUUCAAAUUUUAUAAAGAGCUCCUAAAAUAGCUUGUGUGUGUAGGGGUCUUUUUCUUCUGGCAACUACAGAUGGGUUGGGCUACCGUAAGGAGCAAACUGAAGAAAAUAUCCCCUGUGUCUGAGUUCAAAGAUUCGGCCCCAAAAUAUUUCGAAAAGGCAGUAAAGCCUUAGGAAACACCUUAGUUACCUUCACCAACGAAAAUGACGGCUGCUUACAGGUAGAUUCUUAGUGCUUACAGAUGAAUUCUUAGCUUAGCAUGAGGAGAUCGUGGCAUGGAAGCAAAGUUAGCAUGAGUUUAGCACUAAAGAGAAAAUUAUGUGUUCUUGGGAGGAAGAAGGGGUGUCCAGGUAAAUGGGAAAAGGUUUUGCAAGUAGAUUUGGCUAAGAGAGAAGGGAGAGAGAGAAGAGGGUGGCUAGAGUGCUUCUUCCGGCAGCUUGACAGUGACUCUGUCAAAUGUUAGAGCAAUCUGCCAUAAGAGGGAAAAUGGGGAAGAAGGAUGAACAGUGCACAAAAUUGCUAGGUUUUUGCAAGUAAGAGAGGAAGCUUGCUCUCUGGAUGUGGAUGAUCCGUUGGGUAGAAGAGGCCCCAUUUUAUAGCCGCUGGAAACUAUCAUUUCUCAAGAAACCCUAAUAGUUUCUACCCAAUUUGGUCAAGCUUUUCCCUUCCUUUCUCAUCUCCUCCCUUGACUUUUCCUAUCUUGGUGAAAUUUCCUCUGUCUAUUUGCACAAAAUCAGGAGCUCAAGGCCUCCCUUUCCCGCAACUGUUCAAUGGGAGACUCCAUUCUUAGCUAUUUUUCUUCUUCUUUCCUUCCUCCUUCCCUGACCAAAUCUGAUGAAGGAAAGCAAAUAGGUGCACACAUUGGUUUGAAGGGUGCUUCUCCUUCUAGCAGCUUACAUGCCAAUAUCCCUUGGGUCCUUGCAUGUUUUUUGCUUUGAAACUUGUUUCUUCCUUCCCGUCAACUCACGUGGUCUUCCAUGCUUCUUCAUGGCUUUAUCUUUCAGCCAAAAGAUGGAGUUUUUACUGCUUGCUACUUUUAAUUGUAUGGGUCUUCUAGGAUAGGAAGUCAACCUACCAAACAAAUGGGCCACCUUUAUCAAAUAUUGGGCUGUUGGGGUUAGUUUUAGUGGGCCAUUUUGACUGGGCUUUUUGGUUGGGUUAUUUAAGUUAUUUUCCCUUUUGUGCUCACCCAUGUAUUUAGGCCUAAGAAAUGGGCUUGGGCUCCGAGUCUCCCAAGCAACCCGGAACCUCCAUUUCUUGGCCCAUUAAUGGGCCUCAUGACAACCUAUUACCAUCCAUACCACAACCCACUCAAGCAAGCCCCGGGCAUUUGAAUGGCUUUGGCCCACUUUAGGCUUGUAGUGUGAUUGGGUGUGGCAUAACGAUUUCUCGCUUGGCAUGGCAUGUUGCUUGGCAUGUUUUUUCAUUACGAUGCUUGAUGGAUUUGUAGAGCUACCUAUUUUUAUGAUCUUAAUCUUGAUUCCUAGCAUGACAAAUUUAUUUAUUUGGCAUGGCAUGCGGAGCGUGACUUGUGCGUGGCGAGUUUUGUAUGCUCCAACUUGGGCCUUUCCUAAAUAAUGUAUCAUUUUGGGUUAUGAAUUCUUUCGGGCCCAACCGUGAAUUUUUUGGGUUUCAACAGUGUGUUUUUAGCUAAAUUUUAACUAAAAAAUAGGGAGCAUGAUUGUAGAUCAUCUUAUAUACCUUAAUUUGAAGAUUCUUUAUUUGGGUUUCUUUCAAGAUGAAAACCAUAUCCACAACUGGCAGACAUCUUUGGCUGUUCAUCACAAUUGAGAGACAAUGAAGAAGACAUAAGGGAGAGGCCGCCAAAUACUUAUCACCUCAGCCACCACCAACACCACAAGACCAAUAUGUGUAGGCCAGGGGGCUUUCCAAUUUUAAUAUAUAUAUAUGGAGUGAAAAAAAUAAAAUAAAGAUUAUUGCUCAUCCUCCAUGCACUUGCAUGCCCUCUUACAAAGUGUGAAGAAGAUUUUGUGUGCUUCAAGUCAUUGACUAGAGCUGAAACAUGGUUAGCUGGAUUUAUAAGAUCUUUUGUUUUCUGGGAAUUUUCAGAACCAAGGAAAAUCAAGUAAAAUUAAUAAAGCAAAAUGGAAAGGGAAAAGAUCUAGAGGAUGCAUUGUAGGAUUGCUCAUGCCAAUAAUUGUACCCUCUAAAUAUAUAGGGACAUAUUUUUUUUGUUUUCAUGACAUGUUGUCCUAAAAUAUUUGUUCCUAGCGGGCUCUCCACCCCCUCUCGAUUGAAAACCUAUUGUGUAAAUCUUCAAUCCUGAACGAUGCUCCUAAAACUCAAGUGUCCCAGGCCAAUUAUUGCUCUCAUACCACUUGUUGCAAUACACAUCCACUCAUUCUCAGGGAAAGAAACCCAUCGAUAUUAUCUCAAAUUUAACCACUUUAGUCUAUUAUGAUUAACUAUGUAUUUUAUGGAUCAAUGCAGUUGUGAGGUUUUAUACCCAAUUAGAUCGACCAAUACAGAGAUCACAUGUGGACUGAAAAGCGCCAUCGGUAGGGGAGUGUUUGGCACCCUUUACUGCCGAGUGCAACACAAGACCCCUUACCAGGAACUUAUCUACUAGGACACGUGAAGCCACCACAAGUAAUAUCAACAGUCCCACAUCGAAGUUUAACAUAACAUGUACACUCCCCAGGACUGAUAAAAGUGGGCACAAGUCCCAAAAAUGGGGGAACUUGGACUUUCAGCAAUUCAUCCAUUAUUAUGUCCAAAUUACUAUACACUCCGUACUUAUUCUUACUUAAGCAUUGGAGAGCCUUCGGCCGGUACCACACCAGUGCCUAAGGGCUUACCGAGCGUUCUCUAUCUUGCAUAUUGAUCGCUCUACUGAAGCCCAUAAAGAGUUAAAGGUCAAGACAUCACUAAGUUGAGCCCAAAAGUGCUGAACCACAUCAAAAAUAUGUAUAGAUUGAAAAAAUAAAAUAAAAAUCAAUCUAUUAUCAUAUAUAUUAUAAAAUAAAUAUUGGAUAAAUUACUCAAAUGGUCCUCAAACUUAUACUCGAUUUACAUUUUGGUCUCUCAAUUAAAUUAUUUGUUCAAAUGGUCCAUCAACUCUAUAUUAUUUCUGCAAAAUCUACAAAGUGGUGGGAGGCAGACCAACAAAAAAAAUUAGCGAAGGCUUAUAACUCUGGUAAAACAAGAGUUACUUGGAUAGAAUAAUGUUACGUCGUACUGAAGAUUUUUGGGUUUCUUUAAUUGGUUAAGUGAAGAUUCUUUAUUUGGGUUUCUUUCAAGAUGAAAGCCAUAUCCACAACCACAACCACAACUGGCAGACAAUCUUUGGCUGUUCAUCACAAUUGGGCGACAAUGAAGAAGACAGAAAUUGGAGUACUGUAUGUUAUCACCCACACCACAAGACCAAUAUAAGGAGGAUGGGGAGGCUGCGGAAUACUUAUCACCUUAGCCACCACCUACACCACAAGACCAAUAUGUUGUAGGCCAGGAGGCUUUCCAAUUUUAAAUUAGAUAAAUCGGAAACUGUUUCGAUAUCCAAUUGUAUUCUAUAAAAUCAAUGAACACGGUGCUUCAAGAAAGUAAUAAAAUUUCAAUAAUUCAAUUGAGUGGUCAAAUUCAAGUGAUUUUUUGUAGUGAUGAUCUUUGAAUGAGUAUCUAUAAAAGAGACGGUUUGGAUUAGUGAAAUACAAUAUGGAGUGGGCCCUACCAGCAAUCCACGACAAAAUGUCUGCAAGCUUUCGUAAUAUAAGGAGGAUGGGGAGGCUGCGCAAUACUUAUCACCUUAGCCACCACCUACACCACAAGACCAAUAUGUUGUAGGCCAGGAGGCUUUCCAAUUUUAAUAUAUAUAUAUAUAUAUAUAUAUAUAUAUAUAUAGGGAUGUGAUUUCUCUACUCCCCUUUUCUCUACUUAUACUCCCUUUUGCUUUUAAAUACUUUUUAAUCAAUUUUUUUUCCGCUUUCCUAUUAAUAUUCUACCAUUUCCCUACAUUAAUUUCUUUUUACUUCACUUUUAUAUUAGUUCUUUUUCUUUAUACUUAAUUUUUCAACUUGCACUCCAUUUUCAUUAUUUUUUUCCUAAUCGAGUAAGAAAUUAAGUUUUUUUUCCCCAUUUAAUACUGAAAAUGGAGUGUAAGUUAGAAAAUUAGGUAUAAAGAAAAAGAAAUAAUAUAAAAGUAAAGUAAAAAAGAAAUUAAUGUAGGGUAAAGGUAGAAUAGAAAAGAGAAUGAACAAAAUUGAUAAAUAAAUAAAAAAGGUUUAAAAAGCAAAAAGGAGUGUAAAUGGAGAAAAGGGGAAUGAGGAAAUCAGCUCCAUAUAUAUAUAGAUUGAAAAAAUUAAAAUUAAAAUCAAUCUAUUAUCAUAUAUAUUAUAAAAUAAAGAUUAUUGCUCCAAGGAAAUGACAUCUUUUGUUUUCUGGGAAUUUUCUGAACCAAGGAAAAUCAAAUAAAAUUAAUAAAGCAUAAAUUGGAAAGGGAAAAGAUCUAAAGGAUGCAUUGUAGGAUUGCUGAUGCCAAUAAUUGUACCCUCAAAUUAUACAUGGACAUAGGGGUGGGCAUUCAAAUAGGCAAACUAGAAAUCCGAGCUGAACCGCACCUAGGAAAACCGGAAAAAAAACCGAGUUGACCAAAAAGUCAACAACUGGUCAAAAAUCGAACCGGACCGAUUUGGACUGGUUUUGGAUUCAGUUUAUAUGCAAUGCUACAUUUUUAGUCUCAUAACUAAUAUUUAUCCAAGUUCAAUUUCAAAACAUCUUUCUUUUUUAGCUUUAAUAUUUAUUUUUAUAUGAAAUUAAAUAAUUUAUUAAUUUUCAAGUAAAUAAAAUAAAAUUUCAGUUGAAAUUUAUAUUAAAAAAAUAAUUUUAAUAAUCCAGUUCAAAACCAAACCGGACCAUCCAGCUGUGAGGUACAUUUCUCCCACAUGCCACAAUUGUAUAUUCACAAUUACGUCUGAUACAUCACAUCAUGCCACUUGCCUCAAAUGAAUUUAAGUGAGUGUGGCAGUGGAAAGUAAUUAAGCUCUAUAUUGGUGGGUGGACUGUUACUUCUGGGUUCCCCUCAUCAUUCGUCUAUAAAAUGGUGAAGGCAGUUGCUAUUGUUACCAUAAGAGCCAGCUCCGACUUCCUUUAAUUUCUUGCUUCAUAUCCACUAGCUACAUCUGUUACCAAGUUAAUUUCAGUCCUAAUGGGGUUUCAUCUCCCACUCAUCUUUGCUCUUCUCAGUGUAAGCUCUGCAAUUUGAUUAACUUUUCCAUUCUCUCUCAUUGUACUCUAUAUAAACGAAAGUUUUGUGUUCCUAUAAUUCUCUCCGAUUUUAUUUAGUACGUACUUAAGUGUCGUCCACUAAUUAAUUACACUUUGUGAUUUGAUUUUAAUUUGAGUUCGAAUUAAUGUUGCAGCUAGCAGCAGUGGCACUGGCAAACCAUGCUGCUCAACCAGCACCUCAACUUUACUGGAACUCCGUCCUGCCAAACACACAGAUGCCAAGAUCUAUCAGUGAACUUCUGCAUCCUGGUUUGUGUUGAGCUCUUUAGAAUCUUAGAUAUCUCUUCUACCUGCCAUUUUACUAAAAUAUGUUCCACCACAUAUUUAUCAGUUAACCACUGUUAUUACAUGAGUGACACAUAUUCACAAAUCGGCUGAUCACUUAUUUUCCAUUAUGACGUUGAUAUAUAAUUUGCAGACUCCACAAAUGAAGAAAAGAGCACAAAUGACGUUGGCAAACCUGAAACUUUCCCAUUGGGCAAUAAACAUUACUCCAGUCAAAAACAUUAUGGAAGAGGCAAACCUGAAACUUUCCCAUUGGGCAAUAAACAUUACUCCAGUCAAAGACAUUAUGGAAGAGGCAAACCUGAAACUUUCCCAUUGGGCAAUAAACAUUACUCCAGUCAAAGACAUUAUGGAAGAGGCAAACCUGAAACUUUCCCAUUGGGCAAUAAACAUUACUCCAGUCAAAAACAUUAUGGAAGAGGCAAACCUGAAACUUUCCCAUUGGGCAAUCAGCAUUACUCCAGUCAAAAAAAGUAUGGAAGAGGUGCUUCUCCAUCCGACAAUCAACCACCAAUUCCAUAGAAAUUCAAACACGGCUACUUUCUUGCCACGAGAAAGCGCUCAAUCGAUCCCCUUCUCCUCUAACAAACUACCAGAAAUUUUCAACCAUUUUUCAGUGAAGCCAACAUCUGAGGAAGCCAAAACAAUUAAGCAAACAAUCGAAGAGUGUGAAGCUCCAGACCUUAAGGGAGAGGAAAUAUAUUGCGCCACAUCUUUAGAAUCAAUGGUUGAUUUUAGCACUUCGAAGCUUGGAACAAGAAACGUUGAAGCAAUCUCGACGGAGGUAUUGGAAAAAGGAGCCACCAUGUCCAUCCAAAACUAUACAACAAUGCCGGGACUGAAGAAGUUGGCAGGUGACAAAGUCGUUGUGUGUCAUAAGCAGAACUAUCCCUAUGCUGUGUUUUUCUGCCAUGCAAUAAAACAUACAGCAGCUUAUGCUCUCUCCCUGAAAGGCGAUGAUGGGGAGAAGGUUAAAGCAGUAACCAUCUGCCAUCUAGACACAUCAGAAUGGGACCCAGAGCAUAUGUCCUUCAAAAUCGUCAACGUUAAGCCCGGAACCAUUCCCAUCUGCCAUUUCAUUUCCACUGAUGCUAUUGCCUGGGUUCCGAACCACAAAUCUGCAUGAUCAUCACUUAGCACUAGUACUGUGCGUAUAAUAUGCCUGUAUAAUUAUCUCCCUACUUAUUUCUGCCUGUUCAUCAUGUGGUGUAAGAUAUAUGUUGAGAUGAAGUUUUUGGGAUUAGUGGUCGAAAUUAACCCGAUCAUGUUUUCUCUUGUAACUAUAUAGACUUCAACUUGUACUCAUAAUAAAGCAUGCUAUAUUUAUGAAGAGAUAUUAAUCUUCAGGCAAAUAGAUAUUAUGAAAACAUAUAUAGCAAUUUAUCCAGAAGAAAUAUUAUGAAAUGAAAAGAAUAAAAAGUAAAAAAACAGAAGGAAAGGAAUUCGCACCUGCUAUGUAUGAAAGGACCAAGAUUGUUUUCCCUUUGGUUAAUGACUAGAAAAGCUCACUUGCAGAUUGCUUUCUCUGACCGUAGAUGCAACAGAAAUUUUCUCUUAAUAAUAGCACAAUGAUCGGGUAAUUGUAAGAACAAGUUGAUUUAAAAUUCCUUGACCCAAAAAAAAAAAAAAAAUCAUUUCAAAUUCAGGUCAACCCAUAGAUUUCUUGCCUUUUUCUUCUUCAUCACGUUGGGCUUGUCUUCUUCUUGAGGAUUGUAUAGGCCCAGGAAAUGCUUUGAGGUAGUUUUUGGCCUUGGAAGUUGGGACCCAACCCAACUUCACAAAAAGAAAACAGAUUUGCCAAAAAUCAAAUUUCAAGUCUCUCCUCAGAUCACUAAUACAGAUCAAAUUUUGGAUUUGAUGAACUAAAGUGGUUUUACUUUCUCUGUCAGUGUUUGAUGACUUAAUUUGUUAUUUACUUCUUUUUUUUUUUUUACUUGAUCUUUGUAGGGGUUUUUUUCUUCCGGUAACUUAAACGGGCUGGGCUGCCGUAAAGGGUAGAUUGAUGAAAUUGUCUCCUUUGUCUGAGUUCGAAAAUCAAGCCCCAAAAGCGCUUCGAAAGGGCAGUAGAGCCUUAGGAAGCGUUCUAGUCAUCUUCACCAACUAAAACAACAGCAACUUACAGAUGAUUUCUUAAGGCUUACAGAUAAAUUUUCUAGCUUGGCAUGAGAGGCUUGUGACAUGGAAGCAAAAUCAGCAUGAGUUUAGCACCAAAGAGGAAAAUAUGGCUUCCUAGGGAGAAAUGGGAGUGUUUAAGGUGAGGAAGAAGAGGUUUGCAGGCUGAUUUGGCUGAGGAGAGAGAAAGAAAGAACAAUGUUCUUCCAGUAGCUUGACAAAGCUUCUGACAGAUGUGAAAGUCGUCUGCCAUAAGAGGAAAAUGAAGAAGAAUGGUGAAUAGUGCAUGAAAUUGCUGGGUUUUUGCAGGUAAGAGAGAAAGCUUGCUCUCUGAAUUUGAGUUGGUUUUUGGUUGGGUAGAAGAGGCCCCCUUUUAUAGCUGCGGGAAACCAUCUUUUUUCAAGAAACCCUAAUGGUUUCUAUCCAUUUUGGCCAAGCUUUUCCCUUCAUUUCUCUUCUCCUCCCUUGACUUUUCCUAUCUUGGUGAAAUUUCCUCUGCCUAUUUGCACAAAAUUAGAGAUUUUGAGGAGCUCAAGACCCCUUUCCCGCAGCUGCCUCAGUGGAGAAUCCCCAUUUUCAGUCAUCUUUCUUCCUUCUUUUCUCCCAUCUUCCAAGGUUAGGUCUGAUGAGGGAAAGAAAUGGGUAUGCACACUGGUUUGAAGGGUAUUUUUGCUUGAAACUUGUUCUCUCCCAUGUGCUGGAGCUUCCCAGCAACUUACACACAUGGAUAUUUUGGCUUUCAUCGUGGCUUUUGUUUUCAGCUAGGUGCUGGAGAUUUCGCAGAUAUUUUCAUGAGUUGCUUGGGCCUUCUAGGACAAUAGGUUGGUUUAUCAAGUGAAUGGGCUAACUUCAUCAAUUGUUGGGCUAUUUUGGUUGAGUUAAUGGACUAUUUUGGUUGAAGUAAUGGGCUAUUUUGGUUGAAUUAAUGGGCUAUUUUUCUCUCUUUGUGCUCACCCACAUAUUUGGGCCUAAGAAAUGGGCUUGAGUUCCGGGGCUCCCAAGCAACCCCGGGACUUCCAUUUCUCGGCCCAUCAAUGGGCCUCAUAUCAACUUAUUACCAUCCAUAUCACAACCCACUCAAGCAAGCCCUGGGCAUCUUGCGUGGCUUGGGCCCACUUAAGCUUGUAGCGUGACGUGUUGCUUAUUUGCUUGGCAUGGCAUGUGUGCAAGCGCAUAUGACGAACUUUAGCGUGCCCAAAUUGGGUUUAUUCUCGGUAAGGUAUCGCAUUGGGCCGAGAAUUUAAUUGGGCAGAACUGUGGAUUUUUGGGCCUCAACAAUCUUAUAUAUAUUGGUUUUCUUUUUUUCCUUAAUAUUCACCACCUUUCUGUUGCAUAAGUAUUUCAGUCUUAACGGGUUUCCAUCUACCACUCAUCUUUGCUCUUUUAAGUGUAAGCUUUUUUUUUUUUUUUUUAAGCACAAGAUUAGAGGGGAGGGGGAUUUCUCAAUGUAAGCUUUGCAGUUUCAUAAUUAAUAUUUCCAAUAUCUCACUGUUAGUAAAAUAUGGAACAGGAAAAGUAUGAAUAAAAUACACACAUGUUUUAUUUAGCAAAAUUUUGACAAGAUACAACUGAAAAGUUUGGCCACUAUAUAAUAUUUUGAUAUAAUUUCUACACUUCUUCUCAAAAGAUUAGAUCACUUCACAUCUUGUGUAUGUGAAAACUAAUGUAAAAAGUUGAAACUUUAUCGUAAAACCUCGACAAAAAUGAGCUCUACUAGAAAAUGUUCAAUUUGGAUUCGUUGAUUUAAAUGGCAAUUUGACACUUGAUAGAAAUUUUUACAUACAUGUGUUAGUGUUUGAUCACUUCACAUGUUACUUACUAUAUUUAUUCCACUCAAGUUAGGUAAAUAUUAUUAUCAAACAUUUCAAUUAAUUUGUGAUUUUUUUAUUAUUUAAUCAAUUAUGAAUUAAUGGAUUCUUCUUGUUGUUUUGAAGACCAAUAAAAAAAAAAGGGUAAGGAUGGCUUAUAACUCUGAUAAAACAACAGUGACGUGGACAGCAGAUGUUACACCGUACUGAAGAUUUUUGAAGAUUCUUUAUUUGGGUUUCUUUCAAGAUGAAAACCAUAUUAUCCACAACCACAAUGAAGAAGACAGAAAAUGGAGUAAUUCAGAUGUUACCAGCCAUCCACGACAAACUGAAGUCUGCAAAGCAUUCGUAAUCUAAAGGGAGACUUUGGAAAAGCCCAAAGGAGAGAGAAAAUUUUUAAAAGAAGCAAAAAUGGACAAAAUUGCCCUUAUUUAUUUUUUGAUUUCCUAAGAAAUCCUUUACAUUUGCAUGUCUUUGGUUUGAAAGUUGAGAGGUUAUUCUGUCUUUUUUCAAAAAGCUUUGGCUUUUUCCAAAAGUGAAAGUUUUUUUAUGGGUAAAACCUAAAUUUACUUAAUCCCUAAAAAGGAUGGGGAGGCUGCGCAAUACUUAGCCACGUGUAGGCCAGGAGGCUUUCCAAUUUUAAUAUAUAUAUAAAUUGAAAAAAUAAAAUAAAAAUCAAUCUAUUAUCCUAUAUAAAAUAAAGAUUAUUGCUUCCAUGGGCAGUGCUAUGCACAGGACAGUGCCUGCCCAGCACAAAUUUUUUUUAAAUAAAAAAAAAAAAUCUACAUAUGUUAUAAGCUCAUCCAAAAAAAUAAAAUAAAAUAAAAGUAAAUUCUACAUAUAUGUUGCCCAUCUAGGUGGUUCCAUAUCUUCUCUCUCCUUCUCUUUUGGCUAUUAGACUUCUUGUUUCUCUCUCUCUCUUUGCUACCUCACAUCAGCAAGUUUCUCCCUCUCUUUUUUUGGGGUCAAAUUCUUCCUCUAUUGACAAAAUCUUCUAUUAUCUUGGGUGGGCAACUUGGCAACAACAUCUUCUCUUCUCCUUUUGUCAACAACAAGUAUUAUUCUCAUUCUCUCAUUUGCUAUAUAUCUUUAAUUAUAGUUUUAAUUUAAAAUUGAGUAUUCUAGGGUUUAAUUAGGGAUGAAUUAUAAUUUUAGAAUUUUGUUGAAAUUAAUUAAGGCUUCGAUUAGGGGUGAAUUAUUCUACUGCUUUGGUUUGGAAUUUUGUUAAAAUUGAGUAUUAUAGGGUUUAAUUAUGGAUGAAUUAUAAUUUUUGAUUUUGGUAUUAUUGAGAUGUUAUUAUGAGAAUUUGUUUCAUUUUUUUAUUGGUAUAUUUGAUUAAAAUUCUUUCUACAUAUUAUUCAUAGGCUAUCUUUUAUUAUGUCGGAUCACAAUCGGAAUCCCAAGAGAACAAAGAAUUUGAAUAGUGUUGUUUUGUAUUGCAUUGCAUUUACUUUUGGUUUUAGUUUUGCUUUUAGUGUAAAUUACUCAAAUGGUCCUCAAAUUUGUACCCGAUUUACAUUUUGGUCCAUAAACUAAAUUAUUCAUUCAAAUGGUGCACCAACUCUUUAUUAAUCAGUGCUUUGGUCCUACCGUUAUGUUUUCUAUUAAAUUUAGUCAUGUGAGCAGCACAUGCUACAUUUGUAGGGGUAAAUAAGACUUUUGACCACUUUAUCACCUAUGUAUCACCACUUUAUAACCUAUUUGGAGAACAUAGGUCAGUUAUGGACGGUUUUACAAUUAUAUUUGACGGCAACAUUAACAUAAUGUAACAGUGGGAUCAAUGGAGCGAUUAAUAUAGAGUUGAUGGACCGUUUGAACGAAUAAUUUAAUUGAGGGACCAAAACGUAAAUUGAGUAUAAGUUUGAGGACCAUUUGAGUAAUGUACCCUUCGCUUUUAUAUUUGUUGAACUUUUAUUUAUGGAUAGAUAUGCAUUUGAGGGUAAGACCCAUUAUGUUCCCCCUGACUUGGUGUAUCUUUUUAUGUUUAUUAAUGAAAUUCACUCGAACUGUUGAGUUUAGUAUGUAAGUUUUGCCUAACCGGCUUUUGAAUCCUAGAACCGCCACUGUUGCUCCAUCCUCCAUGCACUUGCAUGUGCUCUUACAAAGUGUGAAGUAGAUUUUGUGUGCUCCAAGUCAUUGACUAGAGCUGAAACAUGGUUAGCUAGAUUUAUAAGGACCCAUCUCUCUAUUUCCUAGACAUAUACCCAUCUCUCUAUAAAUCUAUAUGUAAAACUCAAUUUCAAACUUAAAUGACCAGUAAGAUAUAAGAGGUCAUAGUAUUCCUAUGUUUUUACAUCGUUGCCACCAGACUUCUUAUUUUAUUUAUAAUUUAUUUCAAGCAUUUCAUUAACUGCCAUAAUUGUAAUUAAUACUCCAUAUUAAUAGCAUAUCAAUCACCCCAUUUCUUUUGAUUGCCAUUCCCUCUAACAUAUCGCCCCUUAAAAUUGAAAACCAAAAAAAAAAAAAAUGUAAAUUACAUAUCCAAUAAUGUACCUAUGAAAAAUAUAAAUAUAAAUAUAUACGUAUAAAAAUAUAGGUUUAUUAUUUACCAAAUAAAAAAUAUAAAAAAACUAGGUCAGUUGCUUUGUAAUUGAAAUUUCUAUACAUUUUCCACAAAUUAAAAAUAGGUACACAAUAAUUUAUAGAAAAUAUAGGUGCAUUAUUUAUCCAUAGGUAAAAAUACCUAUAAAUGCACAUAGGUAAAUUAUUUACCCAUAUAUUAUUUUUUUGCUAAGGAUUUACCUUAGUUUUUAGUAGAUUAAUUUACCUACCUAGAGGCAUAGGUAGCUUAAAAAAAUUGUAGCACCUUAGUUGGUUGCAUACUAAUUUACCUACCUAGAGGCAUAGGUUGCUAAGAAAAAAUGUAGGUAAAUUCAUGUACCUAAACACAUAGGGGUCAAAUAGAGAAUAACAUGUUAUUUCCCUUCGAACAAAUUAAUUUCAAACCAUAACAAUAAUUGAAUUCGGAAAUUGGUAUAAAUAAAAGGAAAUAAAUAAGCUAUCAAUUUGAAAAUUAAAAUAAGAAAUGAUCAAGUAGUCAUAUUUGAAAAAAAAGAAAAGAAUAUAUUCUUGGUUUUUAUAGGAACAACGUGUAUAUUCAAACCAAAUGGCAGUAACUACACCAAGCUUUAAUUACUUUUUUUUAAGGCCAAAAGUCACUUUUGGUCUCUGUAGUUUGACACUUCUAUUACUUUUGACGCUGUAGUUUCAAUUCCGUCAAUUUUGCCAUUGUAGUUUCAUAUUUGUAGCAAUUCAAGGACAUGUUAAUAUUAAUGUCAAUUUGUUUAAUGAUGCAAGGGGUAAUUUCGUCAUCCCAAAAUCCUUGAGCAUAAAAGCUUGUCUGAAAUUCUCCCCAUUUCAUAUUAGGGCUCGAAAUUCAACCACUAAUCCCAAUUUUUGAAGAACCCUAUACCCAAAUGACCAAUUUCAAGCCCUAAUAACAAAUUAGGGAAGUUUUAGAUGAGCUUUUAUGCUCAAGGAUUUUGAGUUGAAGAAAUUGCCCCUUGCACUGUCAAAGAAAUUGAUAGGAAUACUGACUUGUCCUUGAAUUGCUACAAAUACAAAAAUACAGGGUCAAAAUUAACAGAAUUUAAACUAUAUGGUCAAAAGUGGUUAAAGUGCCAAACUACAAGGACCAAAAGUGACUUUUAGCCUUUUUGUUUAAAUAAGGAAAAAACUUACCUAUUAAAUCCUUGGAAUCUAUACAAAAUUGAAACACAGUUAAUCAGCAUUGAAUUGCAGCUAAUUUCUUAAACAAGGGUAUUAUAGGAAUUUAAAAAGUAUAACAUUUAAUCCAUUGAGCUUGAUUAGGAAUCUUGAUGAGUUGGAUCCUAGUUAUAUAGUUUCUCUUAUAAAAAUCGGGUUUUAUUUAUAGACAAAUAAAACAAUGGGUUGUAGGUAAGAAAAUAUUAAUUUGAAGGGAAAGUGUCACAUCCUGGGAUCGGCUCCGCCGUAGCACGAUAUUGUCCGCUUUGGGCCCCCCUCUCUGCCCGCACGGUUUUGUUUCUGGGAGCUCACGAGCAACUUCCCAGUGGGUCACCCAUCCUGGGAUUGCUCUGGCCCCCAACUCGCUUAACUUCGGAAUUCCUAUGACUCCGAAGCCAGUGAGCUCCCAAAAGGCCUCGUGCUAGAUGGAUGCGGGUGUGUACAUAUAAGACACAUCACCCCCUCUCCGUUGGUUGAUGUGGGAUCUUACAGAAAGAGUCAAAUUUACUAAAUUAAUAAAGCAUAAAUUGGAAAGGGAAAAGAUCUAGAGGAUGCAUUGUAGGAUUGCUCAUGCCAAUAAUUGCACCCUCUCGAUAUUGAAAAACCUAUUGUGUAUUAUUAUCUUCAAUCAUGAAUGAUGCACCUAAAACCCAAGUGUCCCAAGCCAACCAUUGCGCUCAUACCACUUGUUGCAGUACACAUUCACCCGUUUUUAAAGAAAGAAAUUCUACCAAUCGAUAUUGUCUCAAAUUUAAUCACAUAGGUCUAUUAUGGUUAACCAUAUGUACUUUUAUCGGCCAUAUAGAGGUACCUUUUUCCAACGUGCAACAAUUGUAUUUGAUUCACAAUUAUGUCUGAUAUACAUCACAUCAUGCCACUUGCCUCAAAUGAAUUUAAUUGAGUGAGGCAAUGGGAAGUAAUUAAGCUCUAUAUUGGUGGGUGGAGUGUUACUUCUGGAACCCUCAUCAUUCGUCCAUACAAGGGAACAAUUCCCUUCCUUCUAUAAAAUGGUGAAGCCAGUUGCUAUUGUUUGUUAGAGUUUUAGGAUCUGAGUGUUAGAUUUUGUGAGAAGAGAGAAGAGAAUUUAGUGAAAACUUCCAAUACUGCUCUGCUAUACGUGUAGCAGAGAGAACAUUCUGUUUUGUUAUAUAUUUUCAGUACAACAACACACACUUGGUGUGAGAAGAAAAAUGACUGUUAUGCACAGUACCAGCUGGAUGCUUUCCAUCAAAGUAAUCUCAGCCAUUCACUAUCUAACCAAUCAAGCUAUGACACCUGGACUAAGUAUAAAGAAAUACAACUAAGCAGAAAACAAGACUCUUAAUCCUGAAAUCAACUUAAGCACUUAUAAUUCAACACUCCCCUUUAAGUCUUGAGGUGAUUUCACUCCAAGCAUGCCUCUGAGAUAAUUGAAUCUGUCUUUGGCCAGAGGUUUGGUAAAAAUGUCAGCCAAUUGUUCAUUUGUAGGACAAUAUUCCAGAUUGAUUACCCCUUCUUGCAAUGCAUCCUUGAUGAAGUGAUACCUCCUGUCAAUAUGCUUUGUCUUCUGGUGGAAUACAGGGUUUUUAGUGAUUGCAAUUGCUGAGAUAUUAUCACAAUGCAAUGGAGUAGCUUCAGUUUGAAGCUCUCUAAAGUCUUCUAGCACAAAACGGAGCCAAAUAGCUUGAGUAGUAGCCUCAGCUGCACUGAUGUACUCAGCUUCUGCAGUAGACAGUGCAACACAGUUCUGUUUCACUGAGGCCCAAGAAAAUACUCCACUUCCAAAACUAAACGCAUACCCUGAUGUGCUCUUGCAAUCACCAACUGAUCCUCCCCAAUCACUGUCACAGUAACCAACUAGAAUUGAUCUUUUGCCUUUCACAUAUUCAAGACCAUAGUCCAGAGUUCCUUUGAUGUAUCUCAAAACCCUUUUAGCUGUUCCAUAGUGUCUAUUUGUAGGACAGUGCAUGAAUCUAGCUAGCAAGCUUGAGGCAUACAUGAUGUCUGGUCUUGUAGCAGUUAAGUACAGCAAGCUACCAACAAUGCUUCUGUAUUGUUCUUCAUUUGCAGCUCAACUCCCAUCAUCCUUAGCUAGUUUCUCAGUGGCAACAAGGGGUGUUGUCACAGGUUUGCACUCAGUCAAACCAAACUUGCUCAACAAGGUGCUAGCAUAUUUCUUUUGAUGUAGAAAUAUACUAGACUCAGUCUGAAUAACUCCCAUGCCAAGAAAGUGAUGAAGUAAGCCCAAAUCAGUCAUCUCAUACUUAGCCAUCAUGUCUUCUUUGAAUUCAGCCAACAAUGCUUGACUGCUCCCUGUAUACACAAUAUCGUCUACAUAGAUAGACACAAUUAGAAUCUCCUUAUCUCCCCUUACUUUGGUAUAUAAGGUUGUUUCACUUAAGCUUUUCACAAAACCACAUUGAGUGAAGUAGCUGUCUAUCUCUCCAUACCAAGCCCUUGGGGCUUGCUUCAGACCAUAAAGGGCUUUAUGCAAACGAUAAACCUUGUCUUCUUUACCUUUAAUUACAAAACCUUCAGGCUGACUGACAUAAACUUCCUCUUGCAGCACACCAUUAAGGAAAGCAGACUUCACAUCAAGCUGGAACAAUUUCCAAUCCUUUUGAGCAGCUAGAGCAAUAAGUGUUCUAAUGGUGUCCAAUCUGGCUAUAGGUGCAUAAGUCUCAUUAUAAUCCAGUCCAGGCUUCUGAGCAUACCCCUUAGCCACUAAUCUUGCUUUAUUCUUUUGCACUGAGCCAUCCAAAUUCAGCUUUGUCUUGUACACCCACUUAACUCCAAUCACUGGUUUUUCAGUUAGUCUAUCUACCAAUUCCCAUGUUUCAUUCUUUUCAAUCAUCUGCAGUUCAUCUUCCAUAGCCUUAAGCCAAGAUUCAUCCUGAGCAACAUCAGCAUAUUUUUCUGGUUCCAUGAUACACAAGUUACACUGAGCUAGAACAUCAUCUAGCCUUCUCCAUUUUAGAGGGGUGUGAUCAUAAGCUUGAGUUCUCCUUUCUUCACUGCUUAUAUCACCUGGAGUUGAUGAAAUGCUCUCUUGCAUAUCCAAAGUUUGAGGUGUACCAGUAGAAUUCUCAUUAGAACUGUCAGAUUUCAAGUCCAAAUCAACUUGGUUUUCAAUUGAGUAUGUUGUCAUAACUGAACCAUUUUUGUUUGUCCAAUGCCAAGCAUUUUCUUCAUCAAAUGUCACAUCCCUUGAUAGUAAAAGCUUGUUAGAAACAGGAUCAAAAACUCUAUAUCCUUUUUCACAAGUUGCAUAUCCCACAAACACUCCCUUUGUACUCUUAGGAUCCCGCUUGUGUCUCAAUUCAGUUGGCACAUGAACAUAACACAGAGAACCAAACACUUUCAGAUGUGCAAUUCCAGGCUUCCUUCCACUAUAUGCUUCGAAUGGAGUAAUGUUGUUGAGAGCUUUGGUAGGACAUCUGUUCAGCAAAUAGAUAGCUGUAUGCACAGCUUCUGCCCAUAGGAAAUAAGGCAUUCCCUUCUCAUGUAACAUUGAUUUUGCCAUCUCAAUGACAGUUCUAUUCUUCCUCUCAACUACUCCAUUCUGCUGAGGAGUAUAGGCCAUUGUAAGCUGCCUUUGAAUGCCAUUAGCUUCACAAAACUCCAAAAAAUCAGUAGACAUAAACUCUCCACCCCUGUCACUUCUUAUGCACUGAACCUUGUGUCCAGUUUGUAAUUCAGUCAUGGACUUGAACUUCUUGAAACAAAAGAAGGCUUUUGACUUGUUUCUCAAGAAGUAUACCCAAAUCAUUCUUGUGAAAUCAUCUAUAAUCAGCAUGAAAUAUCUGUUCCUUGCAACAGACUCAUUUCUCAUGGGACCACAGAGAUCCACAUGUAUUAGCACUAGUACUUUGCUUGCUCUUUGAGCUUGAUCUUUUGGAAAAACAUUUCUGUGCUGUUUUCCAAAUUGGCACCCGUCACACACACCACUUUGUUCUUCCAAUUUUGGUAAACCAUGUACCAUUUCUUUAUCACUUAGCUGCUUCAAUCCUCCAAAAUGCAGAUGACCAAAUCUCUUGUGCCAAAUCCAUGUGGAUUGAAGAAAACUAGUCUUCAUUAGUAACUGUUUUUCAGCUAGAAAAGAGACAGGAUAGCAUCUGUUACUCUUCAUUUGCACCUUUAUGAUGAGAUAAUCCAUGGAUGGGCUAUCAAAUACCCUGCACAUCCCUUCUCCAAACACUAGACAGUACCCAUGUUCAUCCAUCUGCCCAACACUUAGCAGAUUUUCUUUCAAUCCUGGCAGAUACAUUACUUCUCUGAUGUAUUUCCUGCCCUUUGCUGUAUCAAUACUCAGUGAGCCAAUACCAGCUACACUCACUAAUGCACCAGUUGGCAUUUGUACUCUCCCAGCUACAUUAGUUCUCACAUCAACCAGCAAAUCUAAAUUUCCUGUCAUAUGAUUGCUGCAGCCACUGUCAAUGUACCAUUCAUUGGUUUUGAUCUCAGUGGUUGAGCAAUUGGCAUAAAACAGGUUUCCUGUAACCUCCAUUUGAUUUACACAAUUAGCCUUCUGCACAUUUUUGCUCACUGUACAGUCUCUAGCAAGAUGUCCAACUCUGUCACAGUUAUAGCAUUUUGGUUUUCCCUUAUACCUGCACUCACCAAAAUGAUGCUUUGAACACACCUUGCAUUGAGGCUUUGUGUUUUCCUGAUUUGAGAACUGUGUUGAAGUGUGGUUCUGUGCAGAAUAAUUAUUCUGCUGUGUCUUGUCUUUUGCCUCCCAUGACUUCCCUUUAGAGUUCCAGCUUCUCUGUGACUUAGAUGAACCAGACUGAGAAGCAUUUUUGUUCUGACCCUUUGAAUUCACAGUGAAUGAGGCAAAUGCCUUCUCAGCUGUAUCAACACUAUGCAUUUCAAGCCUUUGCUCCCGACUCUUCAAAAUGGCAGUUACUUCCUGCAAAUCCACAGUUUCUAGUGUCUUUGUGUUUUCAAUCACAAUGCAUAUAGGGUCAUACUUCUUACUUAGACUAAUUAACACCUUCUGAACCUACCUCUCAUUUGACAGAACUUCACCAAAUGUUUUCAUUUGGUUAAUCAAUUCAGUUAGUCUAGUAAGAUAUUCAGAUAAGGUUUCACUAUCACGCAUCCUACUGUAUUCAAACUCACGUCUAAGGUUUUGAAGCUUUACCGAUCUAACAUGCUCUCCACCAUGAUAUUCUGAGUACAGCAGAUUCCAAGCCAUCUUUGCAGAGUCAGCAUUGGCAAUUCUGGGAAAAAUCUGAUCAGAAACAGCAUUUUGAAUGAUACCCAAGGCCUUCGCAUCCUUCAUGAGAAUCGCAGCUGUUUUCUCAUCAACUUCUUCUUCUGAACCAUCCUCAGAUUCCUGCUUCGUCUUUGAAUCUGGGAUUAAAAACCCCUUCUCUACCAAACCCCAUAAACCAUAUGAUCUGAAUAUGGUUACCAUCUUAAUCCUCCAAAAUUCAUAGUUCUCACCUGAGAAAAUGGGGAUUCUAGCCUCUGAACUUCCAGAUCCAGCCAUUACGAAUUUCAGAUUCGCCUGGAAACAAGAUGUUUUCAGAUUUGACCCUUGAUCGAGCUCAAUCAGCUUCGUGAGCUUAGAAUGAGCUCACCUCGAUCGAUUUUCUUCACAGAACAACGCCCAGCUUCAGAUAAUCAAACUUGGCUCUGAGGCCAUGUUAGAGUUUUAGGAUCUGAGUGUUAGAUAUUGUGAGAAGAGAGAAGAGAAUUUAGUGAAAAUUUCCAAUACUGCUCUGCUAUACGUGUAGCAGAGAGAACAUUCUCUUUUGCUAUAUAUUUUCAGUACAACAACACACACUUGGUGUGAGAAGAAAAAUGACUGUUAUGCACAGUACCAGCUGGAUGCUUUCCAUCAAAGUAAUCUCAGCCAUUCACUAUCUAACCAAUCAAGCUAUGACACCUGGACUAAGUAUAAAGAAAUACAACUAAGCAGAAAACAAGACUCUUAAUCCUGAAAUCAACUUAAGCACUUAUAAUUCAACAUUGUUACCAUAAGAGCCAGCUCCGACUUUCUUUAAUUUCAGUCCUAACGGGGUUUCAUCUUCCACUCAUCUUUGCUCUUCUCAGUGUAAGCUCUGCAAUUUGAUUAACUUUCCCAUUAUCUCUCACUGUACUCUAUAUAAAGGAAUAAGUGUCGUCCACUAAUUAAUUACACUUUGUGAGAUUUGAUUUUAAUUAGAGUUCGAAUUGAUGUUGCAGCUAGCAGCGGUGGCACUGGCAAACCAUGCUGCUCAACCAGCACCUCAACUUUACUGGAACUCCGUCCUGCCAAACACACAAAUGCCAAGAGCUAUCAGUGAACUUCUGCAUCCUGGUUUGUGUUGAAUAAAUAUAGUAUGUUACUGGAGUACGUAUGGCAACAUAUUCACAAAUGUGUCACGUAUUUUCCAAUAUGACGUUGAUAUAUAAUUGCAGACUCCACAAACGAAGAAAAGAGCACAAAUGUCAUGAAUGCUGUUGGGAAUGGAAAGCCAAUUGACCACAAGGGCAACCUGAAAAUACUGUACUACCACAGCUUGCACGACGCCCAUUUUCUUACAAGAGUGAUGAUCGUCCCACUGACAAUCAACUCCAUUAUAAAAACGUAGCUAUUUUCUUCUUGGAGAAGGACAUGCGCCCUGGCACAACAAUGAGCUUCCAAUUCCCUAGAAAUUCAAACACGGCUACUUUCCUGCCACCAGAAAGAGCUCAAUCGAUCCCCUUCUCCUCUAACAAACUACCAGAAAUUUUCAACCAUUUUUCAGUGAAGCCAACAUCUGUGGAAGCCAAAACAAUUAAGCAAACAAUCGAAGAGUGUGAGGCUCCAGGCAUUAAGGGAGAGGAAAUAUAUUGCGCCACAUCUUUAGAAUCAAUGGUUGAUUUUAGCACUUCGAAUUUUCGAACAAGAAACGUUCAAGCAAUCUCGACAGAGGUAUUGGAAAAAGGUGCCACCAUGUCCAUGCACAAGCAUACAACAAUGCCGGGACUGAAGAAGUUGGCAGGUGACAAAGUCGUUGUGUGUCAUAAGCAGAACUAUCCCUAUGCUGUGUUUUACUGCCAUGUAAUAAAACCAACAGCAGCUUAUGUUCUCUCCCUGAAAGGCGAUGAUGGGGUGAAGAUUAAAGCAGUAGCCAUCUGCCAUCUAGACACAUCAGAAUGGAACCCAAAGCAUUUGGCCUUCCAAAUCCUCAAAGUUAAGCCCGGAACAAUUCCCAUCUGCCAUUUCCUUCCCACUGAUCAUAGUGUCUGGGUUCCGAACCACAAAUCUGCAUGAUCAUCACUUAGCACUGUACGUAUAAUAAGCUUGCACCCCUGUAUAAUUAUCUCCCUACUCUACUUAUUUCUGCCUCUUCAUGUGGUGUAAGAUAUAUGAUGAGAUGAAGUUUUUGGGAUUAGUGGUCGGGUUGCCUUAAAAACACAGAUUACAGAAACUGCUUGAACUUAACCCGAUCAUGUUUUCUCUUGUACUCGUAAAGCAUGCUGUUGUGGUUCUACUUAAUUUCGUUCUCCCCAAUGUUUGAGUGUUUAAUUGUUACGUUGGAUAAUGCUUGUAGUUAGAGAAGCCUUCAUUUAUAUCAAAGUCCUCAACUUGUAAAGAUAUCAAUGGUCCUAGUGCUGCCACGUGUAAGAAGAUUGAAGAAUAAAGCUGUUGAGAUAUUGUUAGACCUGUUAUGCAGUUUAGGAAAACUGUUAGUAUUGAUAAGAGAAGGUUAGAGAUGUUAGAGAGGUUAGAAAACACGUGAACAAGGCUUUAACUCAGCUGAUAUAAAGUCUGUAGUUGUGCUCAGUUGAACUUAAUGAGAAAUACAACAAGUCUCUUCUCUAUCUCUGAAAUUCUCUCUGCUCUCUCUGCUUUACUUCUUUUGUCUCUGCUCUACAUUUUUUUUCAAUCUUCCUAUCUUAACAAAACUAUCAAGAAUUAAUGCAUCCAGAAACAUAUAUACCAAGACGCAAAACAACAUAUUUUUCAUGCUCUGUCUGUAACACCAAAGCAAACUUCCUUUAUCACAAAAGGAUCAAAUUCCAGUACUAAUCUAAUCCAUCAUGUAAAGCAUACAAUCUACAAGUGCCUCCCUUAAUUUGUCCAUUGGAUAUAUAUGUCACUUUUUGGUAAUUUGGUAUAGCAGCACCACGUAGUCUUGAAAUAGUAGUGCGGCUAUACCAAAUAUACCAUUUGCCCCUGCAUUUAACAGAAAAGUAAACAAAAUUGACGGUAGAACUAUUUGUCCUAACGAAACUGCAGUUGAAAGACCAUGAGAACGAUUUUGAAAAUUGAGGGACUCAAAUGAAAAUUGGGUCUAAGUUCAAGAACCAAUAAAACGAUUAACCCAUAGAUUUUGGAUCCAGUACCACAUCCCAAAGAGAAAACCACAAGUUUGCAAGCAAGUUUGUCCAUAAUAACACUACGUACAGUAUGGGCAGUGCGCUAGACUCAUCUCACUUUCUCAACCUAUCCUAUAGUUGUCUAAAAGAGUUUCUAAUUUAAUGUACUGAGAUUUACGAAAGAAAUAUCAGAGAAACAAUUUUCAGGCAAUAAAAAAAUGUCUUGGCAAGAAAAUGUACAAUUUGUUACAUAACUUAUUAAAUAUGAACAGUUGAAAGAAAAAAGAAUCUGGAUGAGGGAUUUGCAAAUUCCUAUGGCCCAAUUACCUUUUUUUCUUUGUUGUUUUUUUUUUUUUUUUUUUGGUUCUUUUGAUCCAGUAGCAUAUUCCAAAGAAUGAAAACCACAGGCAUGCAAUGCAAGCUCUUUUCCCACGUUUUCCUCUGUUUUUCUCCUAUCAUGGAAGUGAUUAAAACACACCUCUAAGCUUGUUUUGCGUUUGGUAGCCGAGUGUAAAAGCUCAAUGCAAGAUAGUUUGAGGUAGAAUUUUCUCCUAUUUUAUUAGGACAAUGAUAAUUAAAAAAAAGUGUGAUUCAUUGAAUAUUUGCGGGGUUUUGUUCAGACCUGACAAAGUUCUAAGUCAACACAUCAAAUUCCUUUUUCCAACAUGCAACAAUUGUAUUUGAUUCCCAAUUUUUUCUGAUAUACAUCACAUCAUGCCACUUGCAUCAAAUGAAUUUAAUUGAGUGAGGCAAUGGGAAGUAAUUAAGCUCUGUAUUCGUGGGUGGAGUGUUACUUCUGGAACCCUAAUAAUUCGUCCCUACAGGACUCUAGAACUCUCAAACUUCUUACAAGGACUACUUAACUCUAUAGCUUAAUGCAUAUAGCAUAUAUAUGCAAACACAAUUAGAAAUUCUACAACAGAAGCAAGAUCAAUCUCACUAUGCCUUCUAAACAAACAAACAAAUAAAACAAGCAUAUUAAUUGCUUUAAUCACUCUACUAACAUCAACACAGCACACUUAGUUUACUAACAGAUGAUAUAGAAAGGAAAAAAAAGGACCAAUAGGGAGAAAAUGGUGAACUAAGGAGAGACUAAUACUUCUGGUCCUUAGAAGGCAUAACAGAAAUAAUAGAGCACACUGCUUGAAUGCAAGUCAGUAUUAGGAGCAAAACAGCUGCAAUGAAAGAAAUAGUUGCCCAAGGUGUAUUGAAAUAAUGUUGCCUCAAAUUUGCCUUCCAUUUGUUCCAAGGCUUUCUGCAGUAGCUAUUAAGGCGCUCAGAAAGAAUAGCAAAGUAGAAGCUUUCACGAUACACUGCAAUUCCUUUUCCGAGGUUGUUAAUCAGAGUGCACACCUCAUUGUAGUCACCAAGCAUAUUUUUGACAAUCCCAUCCUUCAGAAGGAACUCCACAUCCUUUUCGGUGUUCACAAACUCAUCCAUGAGUGAAACAUAAUCACUUAUGUAAUUCUUACGGCAAUGGCACUAUUCAAAGGCAAUGAGGUUACGGAGUGUGAGCUCUGUGUAAUCGUGUAUUUUUAGUUUUGGAAUUUCUAGAAUCCCAUCGUUGAAUUGUGUUAACGCAGCUUUCCUUUCCUAGCCUACACGGAAGUCAACUUCACAAUCUCCUCCUAGCAAUUAGUCUUUCCUGCUGUAAAUCAGAUUUCCUACUGUAAAUCGGAUUGUAUUCAUGUCUAUAUUAUUUCCUACUUUAAGUAGAUAUCUUGUACUAGUAUAAAUAGGGACUUUGUGUAAUCUGUUAAAUACAAGGAAAUAUAUACUCUGCAUGGUAUCAGCCUAACCUAGGGUUCUCUCUCUCUCCCUUAUUCGAUCCUCUUCUCCUUUAGGUCCACCUCAUGGCUUUGUCUGAAUCCACCAUCUCCCUCCCAAGCCCCAACUCUUCUAUUUUAUCAAGCUUAUUGACUCCAACUAUCUUCUUUGGCUCCGCCAACUCAAACCCUUUUUAGUCGGCCAUGACCUCUGGAAAUUUAUCGAUGGCAUUCAUAAACAACCUUCUGCCCACACCUCCACCUCUACCACCGCAACACCCACAACCACCACCACUCUUACCCAAAUCAAUCAUGCCCAUGCUCAGUGGUACCAACAAGACCAACUCAUUGUUAGCUACAUCACCAAUACACUCUCUGAGUCCAUUCUCUUUCUCACUGUUGGUUGCACCUCUGCCCGGGAUCUCUGGGAGUGUCUCCAACGCCACUUCUCUCAAUCCAGUAUGGCCAGUGAAUCUACUCUUCGUUUUAAACUCAUGGAUUUGCAAAAAGGCUCUGAACCCACUUAUGCUUACAUUCGUCAUGCUAAGUCCUUUGCCGAUUCACUGGCUGCCAUCAAUGAACCUGUCUCCCCAAAAGAACUUGUCACUACUGUGCUUUGGGGUUUAAGACCCUAUUGCAACAUCCUCGUCACAGCAAUUCUCAAUUUCCCUCUGCUUCCUAACUUUGCUAAUCUUCGUGCUCGUUUGUUAGCAUUUGACGCACAGACUCCUUGAAUCUCUCCUGAUCAAAACACAGCGCAAAUGGCCACCCAAUCCUCUCCUCACACCACCGGUCAUACUUCCUUCCCUUCUCACCGUGGUGGUGGCUCUUCCAACAACAGGCGUGGUGGCCUCGGUGGCUGGCGCAAUAGCGGCCGGGGUGGCUGGCGCAGCUUCUCAUCUUCCUGGAGCAACCCGUGGAAUGGCUUCCAGCAGCUCCAAUGACCUAAUCAACCAUGGCCUCCUUUUGCUCCAAGUUCUGGAUCUCAAAGCAACUGGCCUUCCUUUCAGCCUCCUUGGGCCUAAUCUGCCGCUUCUAUCAAACACUUUGCCCGGCCCAACUCAGCUCCUGGUGUCUUGGGACCCGCUUGGUGCACUACCUGCAAUACCAAUCACAUACUACUACAAUAUGUCCUCAUCGCUACAAUGGCCCAGAAUCCUUUCUUUGCUAGGGCUCAAUUCAUGUAGCCACCUGACUCUACUUGGUACCCUGACACAAGUACCACUCAUCAUAUGAUUGGUAGUCCUUCUAAUCUCCAAAAUCAAUCCUUCUAAUCUCCAAAAUCAACAGCCAUAUCAGGUUCAUAAUUCUGUAUUUCUUGGUAAUGGAGAUUCUCUCCCUAUCUCUCAUACUAGCUCUCUCUUUUGUCUUCCAUCUCUUCGUACUAAUCUUCUUUUUGUUGCCCAUUUUACUUGUGAUAAUUUAGUUUUCUUUGUCUUUACUCUUGACUUUUAUCAAAUCUAUGACUUAUGUACUGGUUCGUUACUCUUUCAGGGCCCUUCUAAAGAUGGUCUUUACCCACUUUCCAUCUCCUCUCACUCAUCCAUAGUCCCCCAUGCCCUUACCACCGUGCACUCUCCUGCUUGGCAUCAUUGCCUUGGCCAUCCAUUCCAUCGUGUGCUCUCUCAUUUAGCGCCAUCUCUAGGCUUUAAAGUUUCUCAUGCUUUCUGUAAGGAUUGUGCACUUAGCAAAUCCACCAAACUGUCAUUUCUUAGUAAUAAAACCUUUGCCCCAUCUCCCUUUUAUUUAAUUCACUCUGAUGUAUGGAUGUCCUCGGUCAUUUCUGUCACUGGUUAUCGCUAUUAUGUCUUGUUUACAGAUGACUUUUCUCGUUACUCCUGGAUCUAUCAUAUGCACCGUAAAAAUGAGGUCUUUUCUCACUUUCAAACCUUUCUUGCUAUGGUUAAAAAUCAAUUUCACACCACUGUACAAAUUCUUUAAAGUGACAAUGGCACUGAAUAUGUUAAUAAUGCUUUCUCUGAUCUUUGCAGUCAACUAGGCAUCCACCAACGUUUCACAUGUCCCCACACUCCCCAACAAAAUGGCCUAGCUGAACAUAAACACAGACACAUUGCCACCAUGAUCUGUCCCCGGUCAUUUAUUCAACCAUCUUGACCUUUUGCUUGAUCAUUUUCCACAAGCAACCGUCCACGUACCCCAAUAAUUUAAAAGGGCUGAUGAUCUUUAAUUUGGUGAAAGCUUCUAUCUACCUACCGUGCUAUAUAUGAGCUAUGCAAUCGUGACCGUGUUACAUGACGUCCCAAUGUCGUAGGGAUAAAAAAAUAAUAGUCAUGGUUUUCUUAUUAAUGUCAAUACAUUCAUAGCAAAGAGCUUGUAGCUCUAGUGGUUAAGAGCAAUUACCCAUGCACUUGAGAUAUUUUGUGUUUAAAUCCCCUCUUCCCCAAUAUUUCUUGUAUAAAAAUAAAAAUAACAAUAAUAAUGACAUUAAUGUUGUAUUCUAUAAAGUGUUGGACAUGUUUUAUACCCCUUUCUUGCAAAUUACAGUUUGCCACGUGUACAAAAAUAAUAGAUAAGUGUUGGACAUCAAGAGCACUUACAUAUAGGUUUAAUAGGUAAGUUUUGAAUAUUUCUGUAUUUAGCUUUAAAUAUUGAAAAUCAACCUAUUAGCAUAUUAAAGAUUUGUCCAUAUUCGACGUACAUUCUCUUAUUUUUCUCUCAUUGAAGUAAAUACAAAACUAAGCACAUAGUGGGAAAGUGCGUCACGAUUAGGGGUGGGUUUAGUCUAGGUUGGUUCAUUUUUGGGCUCAAUUUGAACACCGAACUGUAAGCUUCGGUUUGGCUAUUUUGGAAACCGAAACCAAACCAUAAUUGAUGAAAACCGACCACUUCGAUUACCUUCUGGUCUUCCAACCAGAAGAAAACUCAAAACUUUAACCAUACCAAGUGCAACAGAAUUACACCAGGCUGGAUUCAAGUUUAUGAUGGUUAAAGAUAAAAACUUAUUUGACAUACAAUUUGAGAAUGGAAUCCUCAAAAUUCCACACCUGCGAAUACGGGGUUUAACAGAAAUUUUCUUCCGCAAUCUUAUUGCCUAUGAGCAGUGUGAGCUUCAUGAUCAUUACAUCAACGACUAUGUCUUCAUCAUGGACCGCCUGGUCGACAGUGCCAGGGAUGUGGAAUUGCUUGUGAAGAGUGGAAUUCUUGAAUCUAUGCUACCGGACAGCGAGGCAGCAGGGGAAUUUAUUAAUUCUCUUGACUUGGGGCCUAUUUUAGGCAAGCUUGAAACAAGACUAUUUCAGUUCACCAUGGGCUGGCCUGUCUAUUAUUGUAGCCGCUAUACUAGUUGUGCUCACAUUUAUUCAAACAGUGUGCUCCGUAAUGGCGCUGUAGGUUCUUCAUUUCCUCAAUUUCAUGUUUAGUGGUUGCAGAUUUGUUGCUCAUGUACGUGUUUAUCUAAAGUUAAAUAAGAGUGAUUGACUGGAUUGACUGUUAGUCUGUUAGUUUGUUUUUCUGGGGUUUUUCCCCCCUGUUCGUCAAAAAAAAAAAUAAAAGAGUGAUGGCUUGUGCCUAUGAAAAUUACUUAGGAGUAUGCUCCACAGAGCCAAAAUAAAUAAACUAGGGAAGUGGAGGUUCUUCUGUUUGUAUAUAAAUGAGCAAUUCAAACUCUCAGUGCCAAGGGAGUUACCCUUGAUACAUUUGUUAAAAAUUAUAUAUUUGGUCUUACAUCAAACAAAUAAUUUGAAGGGCUUUUUUGACAACUGCUGACAGCGUUUGGCAGAAAAGUUUAGAAGCGCUUCUACGCUUCUAGAUCAUAAAAGUGCUUUACCAAAAAGCACUUAGAUUUCUUAUGAAAAUUUCAACAUUUUUAUAAUAAAAGCGCUUGCUAGAAGCACUUAUAAGCAGAAGUGCUUCAUAGAGAAGCAGUCCCAAACGAGCUUGAUUUUCAAAUGUGCUGCUUAAGAAGAAAUUUAAUACGUUUUGAAAACAAAAAAAAAUACGAAAUUUAAUACGUUUGUUUUACAAAUUGUAUUAAUUGUUAUCAAUAAUACUUGUGCACACCCACAACAUACUUCUUUCUUUCUUUAUUUUCCUUCAGUACAGUUCUGCCUUUCUUUAAUUAUUUUUAACGAAUGCAAAGAGUUUGUCACAAAAUCAAGGAUUGAAAAAAAAAGAGAGUAAAUUAUGUGCUAGAGAAACUUUCCUGCAGAAAUUGAAGAACAACUCUAGUUUCUCUCUUUCGCCUUGUACUCCCGCACUGAGGUUAGUAUUGUUAUAAUGUGCAGAUUAUACGGUCACUCUUGUAUAAUGGCGAGAAGGCUCUAAUUAUAUUUUUGAACCUCUUUGACAGGACCCGCCCCGAAUUUCCCGAAACCCAAGACGAAUUCUGUGGAAAUUCCCUACAUCACCCCGAUGUUGGGCCCACUUCUAAAACUAUAUCAUUUUUCCUAAAAAGGAAUAAGGGCACGAGACUUUCUACCGAAAUUUCGGCAGAGUCUCUCCUGUAAAUUGAACAUUUCCCAAAAUUUCAACCUGCAUAAAACACAUUUUAUAUUACCCAACUGGCAGCAUGCACAAAAUAAUAACAUGCAAUUCACAUAAACGGCCUCUGGCCCUCCGGUAAUUCAGAGCAAUGCAAACUAGCAACUCUAAACCUAAUAAAACAACAUAAGUAACAUUUAGCCAGCGGCUGCACCCAGGCACUACCCUAGGCUACCUACGUACCCUUACUAAGGGAUCAAGCCACACGUAGUUCUUUCAUACAAAAUUUCCAAAUCCAUCAACAUGCAAUCAAUUACAGAAUCCCAAACAAAAUCUUUCUCAAACAUCAUUAGUUCCCAACUCAGUAUAAUAAUCCUUAAUUCAUCUCUGUAAUAAUCACAAUAUCUCCCCAUACGCCGGAACUACCAACACCACGUAUGGAGCCUGCCUGUACGCCAGAUAACCAACGACACGUGGGACCUCAUCAUCAUAUCACAUAAUCUCCCCAUACGCCGAAACUACCAACACCACGUAUGGGGUCUGUCAACACGCCGGAUAACCUACGACGUGUGACCUCAACAUCAAAUCACAAUAUCUCCCCAUACACCGGAACUACCUACGCCACGUAUGGGGUCUGUCCACAUGCCGGAUAACCUACGACACGUGGGACCUCAUCAUCAUAUCACAUAAUAUAUUAACGAUCAAGAAAUAUCACUACGGUCAUUUAAUCCUCCUGGGAAGGUAAAACUAUCUCAGGAGACUCACGGUCAACCAAGGGUCAAACUACCUCAUACUUGGACAAACGAGCCCACGGAGCCCACAACCUCCGUUUUACUAUCCAAGAGUUCCUAUAGGUUCUACAAGGUUUAGGAUACACGGCUUGCAAGUUUGGUCAAGAUCAGACGGUCGGAUCGCUCACGAUAGGACGGUUACUGCAAACCUAGCCCUAGGGUUGGCAUUUUCGGAGUAUCCGAAACUCCGUUUUACGAUCUGUCGAAUCAUAGACGAUCCUAAGGAUUUGCAGACUAACUAUAAUAAAUUCAAGACCAUCCAACGGUCUAAACCUAUCGAACCCGGAUAACGCGCAAUAGGCAAUAUCCAAAUUGAAAUCCGAGCACACCUACGCACUCGUGAGGACUAGGAGAUUACAUCGGGACAUAGUGCCCUUUUUCUACAGUGCCCAUGAGCCGCCGCACGCACCAGCAACGCGUGGGUGCCCAAAGCGAUUAUGCAUCGCCAAAAAAUCUCAAAACCACGGCUCAAGACUCCUACCCUAGGUAUAACACCCUAUUUGGAACCACUUUUGUUCUUGGACCUACCCCAAAAACUGAUCAGAAGUGGCCGGAAUGGCUGAAAUGUAAUUCAAAAAUCAAGCUACCAACGCUCAAAAUCGAUGCAAUCCUACCCAACCAUCAACUAGAUUAUGAAGAAUGGAUAAAUUUCCAUACCUUGAUCGCCAACAAUGGCGGCCGGAGGAGAGAGAUCUGAUCCGGCGAAGUUCGAGUGAAAACGGCCAAAAAUCAUCUUUUUCAGGCGGCUGGAGGGCGACCGAUGUCAGGGAAGGGCAGGGUCGUGACGCUAAGGCUGAGCCUGUCCUUUUGGCACCGGUCCCUUCCGCAGCCGUGUCCGGUGGCUGGAGUUUCGAAGAGAGAGAGAGAGAGAGAGAGAGAGAGAGAGAGAGAAAUCUGAUUUUUAUCAAACCUUUUUGCCAAAAUUACGGUUAUGCCACUGAGGGUAUUUUGAUAGUAUCUCUCUCGUUACAACUUCGAUUCGAGCCCACCACGUGUGUACGGACUCAUCUAACUGUGUUGUACGCAACGGUAUAGUCGAAAUUCCCAAAUUAUUUCCUUGUCAAAAAGUCAACUUUAAACAUUAUAAAAUAUUUUAGGGAAAAAAUGGUAUUUUCUCUCAAUAAAUUAGUAACUAAUUUAUUUAGGACUGGGUCAUUAUACUCUUUUUCGCUUCAAUGGAUGGGAAAAAAUUUUAUGUAAUAUCCCACAUCGACCAACGAAGAGGGGGCGAUGUGUCUUAUAUGUACAUGCCCGCCUCCAUCUAGCAUAAGGCCUUUUGGAAGCUCACUGGCUUCAGAGUCAUGGGAACUCCGAAGUUAAGCGAGUUGGGGGCUAGAGCAAUCCCAGGAUGAGUAACCCACUGGGAAGUUGCUCGUGAGCUUCGAGAAACAAAACCGUGAGGGCAGAGAGAGGGGCCCAAAGCGGACAAUAAGGCCUCGUGCUAGAUGGAGGCGGGCAUGUACAUAUAAGGCACAUCACUCUCUCUCCGUUGGUCGAUGUGGAAUGUUAGAAUGGAAUUGUUACCUUUGGUGUGGAGGUGUUCUAUCAUUUGAGCAAGAAAUUCCCACAUAUUCUUCAACUAUUUUUCAAGCAUGCAUAUUCCUCCCUAUCAAUCUUUGGUUUCUUCCUUUACUGUGCAUAGUAAGGAUCCAGUCAGGGACGGACCGUCGCUAUGACUAUCCUGGGCUAUAGCCCAGGCAAAUUAUUUUUUUUUCUAGUCUAAAAUAGCAAUCCCACCGCUUGCUGUAGUACUUGUUCAGUUCGUCACAAACAUGAGCAUAAUAGAAGUUAUCAACAUCUAUAUAGGAACCCCAAUGAAAAGGCUGUUAACUAAUAAUGAAGUUAACCCGUCAAUUUUUCCGCAUAUCAGAUAUCUCUCAGAAUAUGCGAUUCCAUAUUCAAUAAGCCACUCCACAUGCCCUGAGGUUUUCAUCAAACCACCCAUUAAGGAAACAUACUGACUCAUGUAAUUAUCAUUACUCAUCGGGUAAUGCAAUUGUUCAAAGGCAAGGACAUUUCUCAUUAUUUAUGUAGCGAACCCCAAUGGAAAUGGUGGGAUCUUCAGAACCCCAUCGGUGCUACUGAAUUGUAUGUCAAAUAUGUUUUCACCUUGUCACGCCUCAAACUUGACUCCAGCGUGCUGUAAUUCUGUCAAGCUGGGUAUGGAUGAUGGGAGUUUGAUGCAGGAGCAUAGGGGUGGAUCAAGAUAGAUAUUUACUAUUUAAUUAGUUAUUUCAUGAUAUAUUGUUAUUUUCUUAUUUAGGUAGUUUUAUGAUAUCUUUUAUUAUUUAUGUGUGAUUUUAUAAUUAAUUAGUAUACUUUUGGACCAAGUAGCCUUGGUGCUCAAGUCUUGUAAAGCCUAUAAAUAAGGCUAAUGUAAUAGUUGUAGAAUAGAUGUCGAUGAUUAAUAAAAUCGUUUAUUUGUGGCAUGGAUUUGCUACGAUAUAUGUGAGUUUGCACUAGCCCUAGAUUUCAGUGCUCGUGUAUGUGGUUGGUGACCUGUGUCCGGAUCCCGAUCCCCAUCAAUUGGUAUCAGAGCUAUGGCUCAAGAUCUGCUAUAUCGGGGAGGUUUUUGGAUGGAGGGUCGUUUUAACAACUACAACGACAUGGAGGAAAUUAGGAGGAUGCUACGGCAACUUAUGGAACACAUUGCUCGCAUUGAAGCUCGAACCCAGAUAGGUAAGAGUUCUGACGGGGAGGGAUGUGUGAACCCUUAUCUGAACCGAGUAGCUCGCAUCGACACUCUAAGCCGUGAGAGUCUCGACGGGGAGUACGAGGGAGAUAGCCCUUUUCAUUAUUGUGCUCCGCUGUGUGAGUCAAGUGAAGAGGGGCACGGUUAUUCUCAUUGUGUCUUUGAAGGUAUAAAUGAAUUUAGUAAUUUUGGUGCAUCUUGUUAUUCAUCAAAGUUAUUAAAUUUGGAUUUACCUCCAUUAUUUGAUCCUUGCAAUUGUGAAAAUUGCAAUAAAAAUUGUUUGGGUGUUCAAAGCAAUUUUGAUAAGCAAUUUAUUGACCAGAACAGUGAAGAGAUGAGAAUUGAGAAAACUUUCGAAGAUAUUAUUGAUUUUAUGGGCAUUAAUAUUUUCACUUGGAAGGUUGCCAAAAAUCUGGUUGAUUUUGUCAAUCGGUUGAAGAUUCUAGAGAGAAACAUUUGCAUUGCUAGAGGGAGUAAGAAGUCAAGAAUAACGAAAUAUUCCAAAUAUCUUUUUAUUUGGAAAGGAAGGUUUCAAUUGGAUGCUAAAAGAUCCAAAAUUAAUAUGCAGCAAUUGAAGAUUCUACUCGGAUUUUCCUUAAUCAAAGGCUUGAAUUCGAGGACGAAUUCUUUCCAACUAUGGGAGUCUGAUGCAGGAGCAUAGGGGUGGAUCAAGAUAGAUAUUUACUAUUUAAUUUGUUAUUUCAUGAUAUAUUGUUAUUUUCUUAUUUAGGUAGUUUUAUGAUAUCUUUUAUUAUUUAUGUGUGAUUUUAUAAUUAAUUAGUUUACUUUUGGACCAAGUAGCCUUGGUGCUCAAGUCUUGUAAAGCCUAUAAAUAAGGCUAAUGUAAUAGUUGUAGAAUAGAUGUCGAUGAUUAAUAAAAUCGUUUAUUUGUGGCAUGGAUUUGCUACAAUAUAUGUGAGUUUGCACUAACCCUUGAUUUCGGUGCUCGUGUAUGUGGUUGGUGACCUGUGUCCGGAUCCCGAUCCCCAUCAGAGUUCCCCUCCAGCUUUUGAUUCCAACGGUUGAUAGAGUUUAAAUAUUUUCCUGAAAAGAUCAAUAAUAUGUGCCACUGAUCUAAAAGUCUCCAAAUUGUCUUCCAAUUUGUCAACAGGCAAUAGAUGUUCGAAGAAACUGAAAGAAAUACAAAUUAUUGAAAGCCCCUCAGUAAUGCUGUUAUUGUCAGCAUUAGCAGGGAGUGUAAUUUUCUGUGGGUCGAAAAGAUCCUCGAGAAUGAAGAAUGGCAACUGAUUUUCAAGCAACCACGUAUCUGUCCAUGCAUCUUGCAACAUACCUGGUUUGUCAAAUAUGCGGUCAUUUUCGUCCCAAAAUUUGAAGUAGUCCUUCAAUAAGGGCUCAAUAACGAAGGCGGCGCCCACUAGAAUGAUUGUUACAAAUUCAUCACUGCUAAACUUGAUGGGUUCUCCAUAACAACGUCUCAAUCUUGCUUCGUGGUCCUUUAUUUUCUUAAUAUAAUCCUCCAAACUCACAUUGGUCCGACCUAUAAAAUCUUGCAGGUAUCUCUGUUUGUUCUCUUCCAAUACGACAUUCAAGCCUUCCUUUCCAUGGUGAAGUGGACCUAUAGAGACCGACUGCCUGAGGUGUGCAGAGCUUUUCAUUCACACAUACGUAGAUAAAAUGUCUGGGGGCUCAGAGAGUGAUGAAUGUGCAACAGCUAAUGGGAGGGUUUAUAUUCCUGAAGUAAGAAAUGAGGAAACACCAGCAGUUGGGAUGAAGUUUGACUCGCUUGACCUCGUUUACAAUUUCUAUAAUAGAUAUGCAUUCUUGGCUGGCUUUGGUAUUCGACUUCAUUCUAGCUUUUGGGGGAAAAAUAAGAAAGAGAUUUUGAGGAAAGAAUUUGUAUGUUGCAAACAAGGUGCAUACAAGAAGGAUGAAACUCGGGAGAGAAAAAGACAACGGGGAAUAAGUAGAUGCAAUUGCAAAGCAAAGAUUGUGGUUGUGAAGACAAAUGGGAGCAAGAAGUAUACCAUUUCUCUUUUUGCAGAGGGACACAAUCAUAAGAUGACACCCUCAGAAAGAAUGCAUUUAUUGAGAUCACACCGUCAUAUUUCAGAUUCUACAAAAGUACUCACAAAACAGUUGGGUUCAGUUAAUAUUCCCAUUCAUCAGAAGGUAAGUAUAUUCGAGGUGCAAUCCGGAGGAAUGGAUAAAAUCGGUUUUAUCAAAAAAGAUAUCUACAAUCUUGAAUGUAGUGUGAAUGGGAAGCUGAGGAACCACGAUGUUGAACUAGUGACCGAGUAUUUUAUGGCUGAACAGAAAAAAAAUGAGGCUUUUUAUUUCAAGAUUGAGGGAGAUGGGCAUGACAGGUUUAGUCGAUGUUUUUGGGCAGAUGCAACUUCUAGACGGGCGUAUGGGUUUUAUGGAGAUGUUGUUGUAUUCGAUACCACAUUCAACACGAAUCGAUACGACUUGACAUUUGCACCAAUGUUGGGAGUUAAUAACCAUGGUCAGACAAUUGUCUUAGCAUGCGCAUUUUUGAGCAAGGAAACGACUGAGUCGUUUGUUUGGAUGUUUGAGGAGUUUAAGAAAGCCAUGCCAGGUGGGGAACCUAAAACGAUCAUUACAGAUCAAGAUGCGGCAAUGGCCAUAGCGAUUUCAAUAGCCUUCCCGAGUACAUUUCAUCGACUUUGCAUAUGGCACAUCACAUCAAAGUUCUCUGUUAAGUUACCACGUGACGCUUAUAAGGAGUAUUGGCCUGAAUUUCAGAAAGCCAUAUGGGAUACUGACAAUAAGGAUGAGUUUGAUGCAAAAUGGAAUAUUGUGGUUAUAAAGGCUGGUUUGACUGACCAUCCAUGGCUAAGUUCAAUGUUUGAUUUAAGGGAAUCUUGGGUUCCAGCCUACGCACGACAAUUUUUUGCCGCUGGAAUGUCAAGCAGCCAAAGAGCGGAAGGUUCUCAUGGUUUUUUCAAGCAAUACAUAUCAAGGAGAAAUUCGUUGAUGGAUUUCAUAAUACGAUUUGAGAGGGCAUUUUCUCAUCAACGUGAAAAAGAGUUAGUUGCUGAUCACGUAGAUGCAUUUGAAGUGGCUCAAUGUCUUCUACCGAUGCCAAUGAACAAACAAAUGGCUACCUUGUACACAAGGACAAUGUUUCAAAAGUUUGAGCAAGAACUAAUACAAAGUACAGCAUGUUUCCUAGAGCUCAAAACAGAGGAUGCAUGUAAAGUUGUGUUCAACGUGAGCGAAAGGAAAAAUUGGGAAACAAGAGUGGCAGAAGUCGUAUAUGUCAAAGAUUCUGACCACGCAUCGUGUAGCUGCAAAAGAUUUGAAUUUGUUGGAAUUAUUUGCAAGCACAUCCUAGCAUUGUUCAGAAGGGACCAGAUUGAAUAUAUGCCCGAUAAAUAUAUUUUGAAGAGGUGGAAGAAAACUGCGAAAUGUGGAUUGGUGUCAGAUGCAAAUGGCAACGAAAUUAAAGACUGUGCAGAUCCUGGCCUUCUAAUAAAGCGGAGUACAAUGUCUCGACUUGCUUCAAAUGUGGUUGAGGAUGCAUUAAUGAGUGAAGAAGGAUGUGAGCUACUGUCAGAGACUCUAAAAAGUUUGCAGGUGAAGUUGAAGUUGCUGAAGGAUGGACCAAGUAAUAACGAAGUUGGAGGGUCCAGCUCUCAAACACAAUAUAUGAAAGACCCUAAGAGAGUGAGGUGCAAAGGAAGGUCGAAAGGAAUAACGGGAGCAAAGGAAAAGGCAAUGAAGCGAGGGAUUAGACACUGUCGGGAGUGUGGACACAUUGGUCAUGAUAGAAGACAAUGCCCAGCCUUGAACACACCGUAAGAUGCUACCACUAUUUGUAAUAAUAUCUAAAAUAUGAAAAGGUAAAAUUUUUAUGUGCUUGUGUUUGAUGUUUAUGCAGGACAUCACCGUCGAACAAUGACAAAUCAACUCCAAUACAUCGUAGUGACCCAUUAUUCGACGAUUUUGACAAGAUGCACAGACCAACUGAAUGAUUGAUAUUUGUAUUAGACGAAAUGUGGUUGUUAUGAAGAUUAAUGAUCAAGUGAAGUUUUAUAGAUUCAGUUUUUGAAUGUUAUUGUGUUUUUGUUCAUGUCCACCGAUGAGCUCUUACUAUGUCCACUGGUAAUUGAAAUGAAAAUUUUCUUGGUUUCAUUCUUCCAAGACAUUUGGAGACAUGUUAAUUUUACGUCUUCUCCCUAUUUAUAAAUUUUCAUAGACAUUUGAUCAAGUUUGAAAUUUGUAGUUAUGUGAAGAAGCAAUGACUCUUACCAUGUAAAAUGGGCAGUUUAGGGUGAAAUUUGUUUUAACAGAGAUUCAUUUUUCAAUUCCUCAGGGUAAUGCAGCAAUUACAGCAGCCAGCUGUUGUUUCCAUUACCAGUAAUCAUUUCCAGCAGCAGCCACUUUUUCCGACUGGUUAUUAGGGGCACGAUUUUGUACACUUUUGUAAGUGAAGGAUACUCGAAGCACUUUGUUGGAACAGAGCAAAUAGAAACCAGCGGGUAAAAAAAAAACAUAACAUUGCAGCUAAUUACAUUUCGAUACAUAGGUGAAAAAUAUUAAAGGGUACACUAACUUACAUAAAUACUCAUAAUUCCACACACAAAAGAACAUUUGAUUGCAAAACAUAUUAUGUGCUUCCUCAUAGCAAUACCACGAUCUCCCCAACCAACUGAACAACGGUAGCCACAAUCACUGGGUCGUACUCGUCAGCUUCUUCUUAGCAGGUCUCACAUGCUUAUGGCCACUCAUAUCCCUAGUGAUAUACACGAAAUAAAUCUUCAGCAAUAUUUGGAAUUUUAUUAUAUAUAAAUAAACCAUAAACCAUUCAGUAAACAAUGUAUAGCACAUGUUAUGUAACUUAUGACUCACGUGUCAGUUUUUUUUUUAACACAUUAGUACUCCAGCUCUUUAAUGUAAAUGGACAUGAUAAGGAGCAUUUACUGAUUCCCGGCUUUCUAUGAUAUUGACUGCUUCUUGAAUAAUAUUUCCAUAUUUGCAAAAUAUAAUGUUAGACAUUAUAACACAUGAUGACUUGCAAUACAUAGUCCCAAUAAUUAUAUAUCAAGCAAAUGAAACUGAUAUUUGUGUUAUUUUAAGUUAGAUAAUGACAUUAAGGGAGUAUAUGUGCAAUACCACGGUCACCCUCAACCAACUGAACAGCGGUAGCCGCAAUCACUUAGUCGUAUCGGUCGGCUUCUUCCGAGCAGCUUUGACGUGCUUAUGCUCAUUCAUGUCACCCCCAUCGUCUAGUAUCUCUCUCACAGCAUCAGGGGACACAUAGUUCCAAUCAUAACUUGUAUGAGUAGUUGCCGCAAAUGCUCGGAAUUUGUCGAAUCCUUCGUUGAAUGCCAACUCCAGUUCAGUAUGGUGCUCUUCGCAUCGCAUAUGGUUCAUCAAACAACCUUUGAUUUCAUCAUUCAUUACUGUAUCCAACUCCUCAGCUUUCAGCUUCCUGCUAUGACUCAGCUUCAAGUACUUGUUCUUUUGGGAUAACGCUUUGUUCACCCUAAUGUUAAGAUCAGCCAAAAUUGCCUCGUCUUCAACACAUUUCUCGUGCCAUGAAUUGAUCAGUCUGGAAUUAUAAUCCAGCUUGCCACUGACUGCAUGUAUUGCCUGUAAUGGAUCAUCGGAGUCCCCCUCACUCCCAAAUGAUGUUGAAAAAGGAAGGGGUCGGCGAGUACAAUGUGGAAAUAGAACCUGCCACUCCAAUUUGUCAUCUUCGAUUGUGUUGUUGGCGCCUGAAGAGGUUGACAUGCUUGAAUAAUCCUCUUUGUUUUGGGAGGAUGAGGAUUGCAUAUGCAAUUUCGUUUGAGAAAGGGAACAUAGGUUUAUAGACCAACAUACCAAAGCUUGUGUGUAGUCAACAUAUGUACUUUUUGGCGGGAAUUUUUUAAAAAUAGGUGUUAGGUUUUGCUUUUCAAGCAUGUCAACCUCACACUCUCCUGACACCACUGCUAGUGGUUGAAACAAAGUCAAUGGAAGUGACAUCUACUUAGUUAACUCAACCAAACUAGUUAGGAUUAAACUUAGAUUGUAUCAGACCAAAAAAUAAUUUCUACUUUGUCAACCAAAUAUUUUUUGGCGGGAACCCUUUUCUUGGUAUUACUAUCACCCCUUUCAUAUAAAAUCUCCUUCCACACAAAACUCACUCCUCCACCGAAUCUGUCUCCAUCUACCGAUACUCUCUCAAGCAAACAAACUCAUUCCCCCCAAAGAAUGAGCAUAAGCACAACCAAGUUUGAUGUGAGCAUAAUAAACACCCCUCCAAACAAAGACCGGCUUCGACACGCAAGUGAGUCACCGGACAAGCAAUGUCACAUUGCUAGACAGAAUGACCAUUUUGUUGGAAGUUUUGAGUCUGAAAGAGUUGUUGCUUUUUGGAAGGAGAGGCAUCUUCAACUUGGUGAUGAAAUCCAAAGGGCAAGGGCACGUUUGGAAUUUGUGGAAGGCCAAAUUGAAGAUGACAAAAGGCAGGCCAAUCUGGAUAGGGCGAAGUUGUAGCGCAUGAAGCGUAGACACAAACGACUUCGGAGUGUAGCUGUUCAAAAAUACAAGAACUCAUCUAAUGUAGUGGAGUCAAAGAAGCGUGUGAUGCAAGCUGGAUUCGACUACUUCCGAUCCUAUGCAAAACUCGUCGUACCCGGGUUUGAUUGGUCAUCUAUUACCGUUUCCGACGUCACCAAAUAUACUCAGCAAGGGAAGUAACCAUUUUGGUUCUCGUGUUUUAGCAGAGGCAAAUAAGUGGAAUUGGAAUUUUGGUUACACUCUGCUUCAAAGCUAUUUUGAUGCUAACUACUAUGGAAGAUUUAAACCUUAAUAUUUUGAUGUCUUUAAUUACGAAAACAGAAGAUGCAAAGAGCUCAUCUACUUCAGCCAUAUGUUGCUGCCAUGUCCAUUUGUUUUUGAUCACUUAUCAGAUUUGGACAUGGUUGCAUCAUAUGCAAUGUUGCCUUUAUUUAUUAUAUGUUAGGACAAGGUUUAUGGAAAAGCUUUUGUGAGUGCGUUUGUGACAAGGUUAUGGAAUUAUUAUGUACACUUUAUAUAUUGUUUUUUGUACUGGUUCAUUUCCUACUAUUUCUUGCUUUCUUUAUAUUUUAUGUUUGUGGAAUCCCUCUCAAAGUUAACAUAUACUGUGAAAAAAAUAUUAUGCAACUGAUUAUAUAAUCACUCAUAUAGACUAGGACAAAUAUUCACUAAGGGUUUUAAACUUGCUUCACUUGUGUGAUGUUAUUGACAAAAAGUAUGGCAUUAUUUAUGUGAUUUGACAUGAUUGAAAAUAUAUUACUGAUUCCCAAUGCGGCGUCAUAUGGACAACGUAUUGAAUACCUGUGACGUGUUAAUAACUCAAGGUGCAGUUGCAUGUGGACAACUUCUUGAAUACCUCUGACGUGUUGAAAACUCUAGGUGCAGUUGCAUGUGGACAACUUAUUGAAUACGAACUGACGUCUUCAAAGCUCUAGGCGUAGUUGCAAUGAUGGCUUCAAAGCAUGUGCAAUUAUUUUUUAUGUACAUUAUUAUAACAAAACAUAUUAUUGUAUAUAGUGAAACUAAAUAUUGUAUUAUUAGAAAUUAUAUUUCGAAUAUUAUCCGAAAUAUACGUGUUAACGUGAAUUUGGGUUAAGAGGAAAGUGAGUUAUGUACAAAUAAUUUUCAUUUUCUCAUUUUCCGGGCAUUUUUUGGAUUUUCGUAGAAUUUAUUACCUAUGUCCACAGAUUGUUGCACUAAAAAAGCCAAAAUAAUAGCAAGAGGACACCUGGAGCGAUCUCAGCCCGUCACUGAUGACUACUUGCACAAGUGUACGUCAGUCAACAUGGCCACACCCUCCCAUUUUACCCUAAAUUAUUAUUUUAUUACUUUUCCUUACAAAAAUCAGAACUAAUUACACACAAAAUAAAAAAAUUAUCCGAAAAUUGCUACGAACUCAUUGACACUCCAUCUCCGUUGCUGAAUUCUCCGAUUCAUUGUUACGUAUUUGUAAAAUUAAUUCCCAACAUUAACGGGAGAUGCUUGUUGAAGUAGGUUAUUCAAGUUGAAGUUAACAAACAUCAAUACUUAGGGUUAAGAGGAAAGUGAGUUAUGUAACACAAUUUGGAUUAUUUCAUUGCGAGACGAAUGAUUUAUAGGUUCUCCUAGUUUUAUGACGUCACAAGUAGGCCGGAGUAAUUUUUGGGGCAUUUUUACGAUUUUCCUACUAUUUUUUACCUAGUUUCAAAGAUUUUUGAACAAAAGAAUCCAAAAUGUAAAAGAAGAUGACACCUGGCGCGAUCUCAGCCCGUCACUUUUCACUACUUGCACAAGUGUACGUCAGUCAACAUGGCCACAUCCUCUCAUUUUACCCUAAAUUAUUAUUUUAUUACGUUUUGUCUUGGAAAAUUCAUAACUAAAUACACAAAAAUUCAAAAUUAUUUCUGAAAAUUGCUACGAACUCAUUGACACUCCAUCUCCGUUGCUGAAUUCUCCGAUUCAUUGUUACGCAUUUUUAAAAUUAAUUCCCAACAUUAACGGGAGAUGCUUGUUGAAGUAGGUUAUUCAAGUUGAAGUUAACAAACAUCAAUACUUAGGGUUAAGAGGAAAGUGAGUUAUGUAACACAAUUUGGAUUAUUUCAUUGUGAGACGAAUGAUUUAUAGGUUCUCCUAGUUUUAUGACGUCACAAGUAGGCCGGAGUAAUUUUUGGGCCAUUUUUACGAUUUUCCUACUAUUUAUUACCUAGUUUCAAAGAUUUUUGAACAAAAGAAUCCAAAAUUAACAAGAAUAUGACACCUGGCGCGAUCUCAGCCAGUCACUUUUGACUACUUGCACAAGUGUACGUUACCGAACAUGGCCACAUCCUCCCAUUUUACCCUAAAUUAUUAUUUUAUUACCUUUUUUCUUGGAAAAUUCAUAACUAAAUACACAAAAAUUAGAAAAACGAUCCGAAAAUUUCUACGAACUUAUUGCGAUUUCAUCUUCCUACUGCAUUCCCUGUUUAAUGGUUAUGCUACAUUAGUAUUUUAUUAUUAUUUAUCCACAAUUAUUAUAAUUAUUAUGAUAUUACUUUUUAGGCUGUCCAUUUGUUAAUUAUACCACAUCCAACUUGUUGAAAACAAUUUUAUUUUCCGUGCGAAUAGGCCAUUUGUAGUGCUUAUCGGUUUCUCUGUUCUUCAAUUUGUUAAUUUUUUUAUUUUUUAGGUUGAAGGGAUGUUUUGAAACAUAAUAUGGAAAUAUACAAGUCAUCCAUUGUACUCCUUCCACACAAAAAAAUAGUCUACGUCAUUCACUGUUCAACACCCUAGGUUAAGACACGUGUAACCAAAUCCGUUCGGAUAUGCUAAGUGGGAAAAUGUCAUUCCCAAGCACUGGUGAAAAGACACUUAUUUACUCCAUGCAUGACUUUUGGUUUACCAAAUAUGAAGAUUGGGGUCGGUGAGCAAAAUAUCUGUGUCAGUAAAAUGUCAUUCCUAGCCAUCUAUGAUGUAAGUAAUAAUUCCGCUAUAUAAUAAAUAUUAUACAUUUAUAUAUAAAACGGUUUAUGACAAAAUACCAACAUUUGAACAACAUUUAAACUGAGAUAGGUAUAACGUAGCCAGCCAACCUAGAAGUGAAGAGAAGCAAGUCCACAAUGCAUCAAAACUGUAAAUUCGUACUAAAACUAAUGCAAAAAUACGUGAUUCCCUCGCACAACUUACUCACGCAGGAUUUUGCACCAAAAAAUACUCUCACGGUGCCAUUUGCAUCGGUUGCAGCAAGUCCAAAACGCAGGAUUUAUCUUGUCUUCACUAGGCCACCCUGGAAUAACAAAAUACCAUUCAUUGUUGUUACAAGCGCUGCACCGAUUGAACUUAAUCUUCCCAUAGUCAAACAUAUCUACGAUAUGUCUUGCAACAAAUGCUCCGCGACAUCUUCCUGUUAAAGCAUCCCUGGUUCCUUUCAUAUCAAUGUUGUUACGUUGAUUCAAAGAACACAAGAAUUGUAAUGCAUCCUCUUUUGACUGACCAAUUCCGGACAUACCAAGUAGUCCAACUACAUAUGCCGCUUCCAUAUGGCCUGCCGUGGCUGCAAUGCGCAUCCCAUACAACGCUUCCACCUUACCGUCUGUGAAAAAACCUUCGAAUGCUUCUCUAAAUAUGGACUCAGGGUUAUCGCAAGCCCUGCAUUGUUGCAAGAAAUGCUGGACUGCAGGUUUGGCACGGUAGCAGAUAGGAUGGUGUGGGUACUUUGCCAUUGAAAUGGUGUUCCACACUUGUGGACUGUUUGCCAAAAUGUUGAACAAUCGGCACACACAUGCCAUACGGAAGAGAUCUUCCGAUGAUUCGGUUGCCACGUAUAACAUCACUUGAAACCAAGCGGACUCCGGGAUAAAGGCUUCGGGCAUAUCGAAAUGGAGAUGCUUCCUUCUCUUUCCUCCGACUGUAGUGAAGUGUUUCGAAUUCAUUGAAAAGUUUUUGGAAUGGAACGAUUUGAGGAGUGGCAGAGGGGAUAAAUGAUAAUAUUUGGGGUACACGUUCUACUUCCGAGCCUCUGUUUAUAGUGUUUUGAAAAGGUGUUUCCAGUUGGGGUUUUUCCAAGUUGACCCUUUUGAAAGAAACUGAAUCCAAGUGAAUUAAAACUUAAGACAAAAGAAGGGAAAACGUCAUAACGGUGCAUACAGAGUCAGACAGUUAAAAAGUUAAUUAAAUGGCUAUUUGCAUAGCCAUUUUUGGGUUUAUCCCACUAUCAAAUUCAUUGAUACAAAUGUGAUGGAUUACUGACUAGUGACAGAAGGUCCCAUCAUAUACUUUUUCAUUUUCGCACACCCAACUAUCCCUAGUAAUGUUAUUAAAAUGGAACCAAUAAUGACGGAUUCUUAUCCAACUAGUUGCCUUAAUGAAAUAUAAAUAAAUUAAUAAAAUUGAAGCAGUGUCCCGUCAUUAGUCAGAAAAUAUAUUUGGUAGUGAAGUAGUUUCUAUUGCUUUUCGGGCUAAAAGAUGUCACAAUGCUGACGGUACAGGUGUCGACAUCGUGACCAACCCACCAAAUGAUCCCAAAAAAAAGUAAUAUAACUCGAUUUGGGCAGAGAUGAGAGAGAGCUGAGUGACAAGUUUAGGGUUAUGAGUGAAGGGGUAUGAAUGACAACUAUGAGUGAGAAGGUAUGAGUCCGAAGAGGUUUCAGUGAGAAGAUUUGAGUGAGAAGAGGUACAACUGAGAAGAUUCAACAUGUCUUCGUCUUCAUCUCCUGCUCAAACAAAGAGGUGUCAGUAUUGUGGAGCUACAAUGGUGCUUCGGGUUUCAAAAUCUGAAAAAAAAUCGAGGGAAGCCAUUCUGGAAGUGUCUAACCUCCUAUGUAAGUUUUAAUUUAAAGAAUAUGUAUGUGGGUGAAAAAAAACCUAUGUCUAACUCUGACAGAAUUAUAUUCCAUAUAUGAUGCCUGCAAUUAGGGAGCCACCAGUUGCAAUGGAUUCGAAUGGGUUGAUGUAACCUCCGCUGAAGCAGAACAUCAAGAUGACACGUAUGAUGUUAGAGUGCUGAACAUGCUGAAGUCCAUUAAGGACUUGGUAUUAGUUUUAUUAGUUGUAUUAAUUGUCAUUUUAUUUGUUCUUUUAAUGAUCAUUUAACUGCACGGUUUAAAAGAUUGUGAAAGUUCUCUCGCACAAGACAUAUUGCACGCACCACCAAUGAGACCCUAAACCCAUUUUGUAAUAUUUGGUAACUGCAUGUAUUUCGCAUGUUAUUGAAUGUUUAUUGAAGGUUUAUUGAUAGUUUGCUGCAUGUAUAUGGAAUAUCAUUGCCCCAAAAUUGGAUGUUUAUUGGGGCCACAAGUAUCACUCAAGUAAGAAUGAAGGGGAGAAACGGACCUUAUUCUUUCUUAUAGUAGGAAGAACAACUGUUAAGUUUAAUAUCCUAUUCAAUACGACUUCCCUAUGGUUGGUGUACUUGGGGACUGAAGUAUAUUGCAUCAUUAUUGUGGGCAAGGGCAUGUCUAUUGUGUGUGUUAAGGGAGUAUUGUGUGGGCAAGGGCAUGUCUACUGUGUGUAUAUUGCAUGUCUACUGUGUGUAUAUUGCAUAUCUAUUCUCUGUAUAUGGCAGGCCAAGUUUGUGUAUAUUGUUUGUCUGUUGUGUGUGUAUUGCUUGUCGGUGCGUUUGUGAAUUGUGGUUCAUUUUGUGUAUAUUGUCUUUGUUUCUACUUUUAUGCUACUGAGCUGCGGAAAACCUCGCAUGUUUAGACACCUAUUAUGAUGCAACACAUUGCGAUUAAUGGUGGCUUGCAUCAACAAUGACAUAUCACUUUGCAAUGAUGUAAUACACUUAAAAAGCCGUCUUCAAAUCCCAAUUCACAUAUGCAGUCUUAAAAUUCUAAUUCAAUGCAGUUUGGUUAACAAACAUGUAAAUGUCAUGAAGGAGUUAGCGGUAGAAUUCGAUAAGGACCCGUACGUCUCUAUUGUGUAUUUACAUUAGUUUGAGAAUGGACAUUCCCAAAACCUUCUCAUGUACCAUUUGUCAUCUUCAACCAAUAUCAUGGGAAGUAAGCAUCUCCCCUUGUUAUCUCCGCAGCCAAUUUCAACCGAAAAAAAGGCAUGUUGUGCGAGGUGCAAGUAGCUAACGGAAGCUUAGCGCUGAAAAGCUCAAUGUACUUUAACACAAACAUGCCACAAUCGCCUCUGAAGCAAAACAAGAACUCGAUCAAUUCAACUAAUGACAUUCUAAUGUAAUUGACAAUUGAAAGUAAUAAAAUUAAAUUGCAAGUUGUGCUUACUCAUUAGACUGUUGUGGAACAUCCACACGCUCUAUUGGCCACGGACACCACCAAUCUCGGCUGCAAUUGUUUGCAUAAACACCUUCUUCAUAAAAGUCGAUGGUGUUGAGAAGAUUUGGAAGCGUAAUUGAUAGCGGGCCGAGUUCUUCCUUUACGAUGUCAUCUGGAAUUAGUGAAACCUUUGAAUCGUACACUUUGAUUCACACAAUACCAGAUCAAACANNNNNNNNNNNNNNNNNNNNNNNNNNNNNNNNNNNNNNNNNNNNNNNNNNNNNNNNNNNNNNNNNNNNNNNNNNNNNNNNNNNNNNNNNNNNNNNNNNNNNNNNNNNNNNNNNNNNNNNNNNNNNNNNNNNNNNNNNNNNNNNNNNNNNNNNNNNNNNNNNNNNNNNNNNNNNNNNNNNNNNNNNNNNNNNNNNNNNNNNNNNNNNNNNNNNNNNNNNNNNNNNNNNNNNNNNNNNNNNNNNNNNNNNNNNNNNNNNNNNNNNNNNNNNNNNNNNNNNNNNNNNNNNNNNNNNNNNNNNNNNNNNNNNNNNNNNNNNNNNNNNNNNNNNNNNNNNNNNNNNNNNNNNNNNNNNNNNNNNNNNNNNNNNNNNNNNNNNNNNNNNNNNNNNNNNNNNNNNNNNNNNNNNNNNNNNNNNNNNNNNNNNNNNNNNNNNNNNNNNNNNNNNNNNNNNNNNNNNNNNNNNNNNNNNNNNNNNNNNNNNNNNNNNNNNNNNNNNNNNNNNNNNNNNNNNNNNNNNNNNNNNNNNNNNNNNNNNNNNNNNNNNNNNNNNNNNNNNNNNNNNNNNNNNNNNNNNNNNNNNNNNNNNNNNNNNNNNNNNNNNNNNNNNNNNNNNNNNNNNNNNNNNNNNNNNNNNNNNNNNNNNNNNNNNNNNNNNNNNNNNNNNNNNNNNNNNNNNNNNNNNNNNNNNNNNNNNNNNNNNNNNNNNNNNNNNNNNNNNNNNNNNNNNNNNNNNNNNNNNNNNNNNNNNNNNNNNNNNNNNNNNNNNNNNNNNNNNNNNNNNNNNNNNNNNNNNNNNNNNNNNNNNNNNNNNNNNNNNNNNNNNNNNNNNNNNNNNNNNNNNNNNNNNNNNNNNNNNNNNNNNNNNNNNNNNNNNNNNNNNNNNNNNNNNNNNNNNNNNNNNNNNNNNNNNNNNNNNNNNNNNNNNNNNNNNNNNNNNNNNNNNNNNNNNNNNNNNNNNNNNNNNNNNNNNNNNNNNNNNNNNNNNNNNNNNNNNNNNNNNNNNNNNNNNNNNNNNNNNNNNNNNNNNNNNNNNNNNNNNNNNNNNNNNNNNNNNNNNNNNNNNNNNNNNNNNNNNNNNNNNNNNNNNNNNNNNNNNNNNNNNNNNNNNNNNNNNNNNNNNNNNNNNNNNNNNNNNNNNNNNNNNNNNNNNNNNNNNNNNNNNNNNNNNNNNNNNNNNNNNNNNNNNNNNNNNNNNNUUUUCCUCUCCCUCAUCUCUAUUAUUUGGCCCUUCACCCCCUUCAAUCCCUUCAUCUUCUUUUUCCUCUCCCUCAUUUCUGUUACUUGGCCCUUCAUCCCAUUGAAUGUCAUCCAUUUCCCCAUAUCCCUUAAAUAGAUGUGAGACGACACAACGAUUCGUCCUCUGUUUCAGUAAAGCUAGGUCCCUCCUUACUUCCUGCUCAAACUGAGGACCUAAACAUUGGUCCAAUAGUUUUUCCAUCCGUAUGACCUUUAAGUGAAGGACGUCUUUUUCCCGCUUUUCUUGAAACAACUCGGACCUCAACAAGCUUACCACCUUGUUCAACUCAUCAAGAUCACCACAUGAAGAAGGAAUUGACUCUGCCGAGACAACAGCAGGGCGAUCCUGUGGCCAACUCCAAUAUGGCUGUCUCAUUUCCUCUUCACUUAGACAUAGCGCCCGCAACUGAACUGACUGUUUCAGAAUACAGACAAGAGUCAUAUUAAAUCAUUCUACUUCAUAAUUUCAUUCAAUCUUAUCAAUAGUUCUAAGGGCUGCAAACCAAACCUCUUUGCUCUGGAAAAAAUAAUUGUUCAACUUUCUCAUCUCUGGAACAGACGUAGUAGUUCUCCAUCGCAAAAUACGCGGGACAGCGGUCGGAUCAACAACCUUGCAGUAAUUCAGGUCCGCCAUUCUAGGAAUUAAUUCAUAUACCCAAAUCUACACAAUUCACAGGACAAAAGUCAUUAUUUAUGUUUUAAAGAAAAACAAAACAUAACUGACAUGAACAUUAUUACCAUGUACCUGGAAAGCAUACGUGAAACCUUUAAAACUCCAGCCACUCCUUUGCGCUUCACUAUGCUUAUCCUUCUUGCCCUUCUCAUUUCUCCGGCUUGUUCCCGUUACCUUACUUUUCCCCUUCCCUCUUCCCUCUUCAUUUUCCAAGCUUUUCACAUACUUUGUUGGUGCAGAAAAUAGACUGUCUUGGGUUUUGUCAAAGGACACCGAACCCCACGGAUACCUGUUGAACGCAUCCAAGUCCUCUACAAGGGUCAGGUAAUUUAGAUUGAUGUUCAAAUGUUUGUCCCUUCCCAAAACCACUAACUCAGCAAAGUAAACAAGAGGUAGCUUGAAGAUGUCAUCUUCCUCUGUGCACCUCACAAAUGCUUCUUCUAAAGCAUUGCAUGUAAUUCCUUCGUCUAUAAAAUAUCUUUUCUGAAGUCUGAUUUCAUUACUCUCUCCACUGGAAACUUCAGGCACUUCCCCAAAACGAAGCCCUGUGAUCAAACAGAAAUCCUGACGAGUGAACUGAGCAACGUCACACCCUAAUAAGAAACUCAGUCCAUCCAAGUCUUUCACACCCUGCCCCGCUACUCUACGCAACACAACCCCAUGCACAAUCUGUCCGCUAAACUGAAUCUUAUCUAUAUUCAGAAGAUGGCCAAAGCAUGAUGUCUUGAAUUGUUCUAAUUGUUCCGCACUCAACUUCGCUCGAAUUGCAGCUAGAGAUGAAUUUGCAUGUGAGCAGUUGUUCACCCGUGAUGAAUAUACCUCUGCCUCUGGCCAUACCAGCUCCACGUUGGAUCCCAUUUCCUCAAAUACAAUGUGAAAUAACGUGAACAUAUAUACUACCACGUAUUUGCACAAUCACAACUAGUCAACCAGGCACAUUACAACUUUUACAAAGUACAUGAGCAUAUGGAUUACUCAUCACAGGCUUUAACAUCAUCAAAGCAAUAUGACAAUUUUUGUGCAAAUACCUGUUAAUGCAAUGAUUAUGUGAAUUACAAACAAUUUCACGUGUUUUAUUUAUGGAUCCAUACUCGUGUGAGUGCAAUGUAGGCAAGUUCUGCACUUCACACACAUGACAAUUAUUGUCAUCUCAUACACAACCCAAAAUAAAUAAAUAAGAAAUAUAGUGGAAGGAAGCAAAGCAAAGCAUGUACUCUGCUAUCUGCUUGCUAAGCAAUUGCCACAUCCUUCUUUCUUUCUACCUUUUUCUUCAGUCACCCACAAUCGUCAUAGAUCAACCUUCAUUUCAAAUGCUUUGCACUUUUAUUCAUGAGUUUAUUAUUAUCUGUUCUCAUUUCUCAUAGGCAAAUUUAGUAACAAAUGAAAUAAUAUUUAUUUCACAAAAUAUAUAAAUUCUAGUGCCAGAGAGGUACUCUUCACUCUGCACUGCUUCAAAUGUGGAAGGUUUUGAGAUGUUAUUGACAUGUGAUUGACUUUAUUUUCAUUCGUUUUUUAACAUAUACCCAAGCAAAAAUUAACAUGCAAUUGAAGCACAAAUAAGAGAUGCCAAAUCCAACAACAUUGAUGGUACAAAUUGGGGAAAACCAUUACUCUAACCCUAAACUCAAAUUCCUUACAUUACUCAUCAAAUGCUUUGCAGUUCUAUUCAUGAGUUUAUUAUUAUCUGUUCAAAUGUUUCUCAGGCAAAUUUAGUAACAAAGGAAAUCAUAUUUACUUCAUAAAAUAUAUAUAUAUAUAUAUAUAUUCUAGCGCCUCUUCUUAAUCUGCACUAUGCACUGCUUCAAAUGUGGAAGGUUUUGAGGGCCUCCUCCAAUUCAACACCAUUAUCUUAUUCAUAUCAUUAUUGACAUGUUAUUCACUUGUUAUUGACUUCAUUUUCAUUCUUUUUUUAACAUAUACCUAAGCAAAAAUUAACAUGCAACUGAAGCACAACGAAGAGAUGCCAAAUCCAACAAAAUUUAUGGUACAAAUUGGGGAAAACCAUUACUCUAACCCUAAACUCAAAUUCCAUAAAUUACUCACCAAAUGCUGGUUAUUGCAAGGUGUCUGUGUGGGGUCUUUCUGUUUCUUUGCUCCACAAAUGGAACCUACCACUUCCAACGAAUACAGCUUUUCCCCUUCCCCUUCCACUGCUUCGCCUCUUCACUGAUUUGGAAUCCACACCUUUGCCCCUUCUACUCCAAAUAAAUACUUUCUCGGGGUCUGGAGAACGGAGUGGCGAAUCGUUGCCUUCAACUGUCGUUAGCCGUUGCCUUCAUUGGGUAUCUCAGACCUCUGUGUUUUAGAGAGAUGAGUUCUUUCUGUUCAAACUUCGAACUUGCCUCUUCUUCUUCUUUUUCGGACGUGUUUCCCUCUUCUUCUUCUUUUUGGACGUGCUGGAUAUUCAAUUCGGGUUUGGGUUCCUUACCUACCCAAUUGUGAAACUUUAACUCAAUUCUCCCCAGCCCUUGGAUUAAUCUGAUGGCUAUAAAGUGAACCCCUUAUAACUUACCCCUUAUAACUUUCCACUCAUUAUAGUCUUGGCCAGGUAUGGCGGCCAUGCUAGUAAGUGUUGGGUCUUUGACCCAACUUAAGCUAAAUGGGUCAUAAGAUGACCGAUCAUCUUAUCUCAUAAGGAUAUAUAAGUCAUGUUAUGAUUUAGGAUUUUAUAGGGUUUCCUUUGUAAGAGGUAAGAGAGAAACAAGCUCUCUCUCUCUCUACACAAGGAGGUCAGCCAUAGCAAGGGAAAGGCUCCUAGCACUCUCCUCUCUCUUAUUAUAUCAUCCUUCCAAGGACAGCUUUGGUAUGGUAAAGUUGGAGGUUGCACACUUUGUGCACUUUGGUAAGAACUCAUCCAAGGGAGCCAAGAUUAAAUUGGUUAGCUGUUGGAUUAAAUUGGUUAGCACGAUUCAACGGUUAAUAGAUAAAACUUCACAUAAAAGUCAUAUAUAAGGCCCUCACUAUAGAAUGACUCGUUAGUUUAGUCUCUUGUUACAUAUCAAAUGUUAGAGAUAUUUUUUAAUAAGGAUCUGCCAUACCACAUAGUUGGAUAAGACAUUAUACACGGCUUUUGUAAGAGCAUCUCCAGCGCUCCAAACUAGCCCAAGCAGCAGGGGGGCCUAAGUCUAGGAAGCAGCUCCAGCUCGCAAGAUUCAACCCAGGCAAGGUGUGGAACCCACGAGGAGAUCUAGCCCGUCACCUUGCCUUUGGGUUUCAGUCAAGCUGAUGUCAACGAAAGAAUUUCAAAUUUUUUUUACCGUUACAAUGUACGCGCCAACGAUAAAUUUUCUUUGGAUUUCUUGCAUUGAUCCACAGCUACCAAAAACCAACAGCUACAAGCCACGUGGCUUCUCCAGGAGCCUCCGAUCCAAAAAUCAUGUCAAAUCUAACGGCAGUCCAUUUUUUGGCUAAAAAUAUCAAAAAAUUAUGGAAACAUGUUCUAUAAAUUCCUACAAAUAUUAUUCACUUCCCACACCAAAUCUUCAUACAAAUUCAUAUCCUUUCAAUAUUUUUCACUUUCCAUACAAGAUUUUCUACUACUAAGUUUCGUUUGUGUAAAAAUACAAAUGACCUCUUCUAUCGAAGCCGGAGGCGCGUGUACAACCGUGGAAGAUAUUUUGUUGCGUGAGUGUUGGGUCAAAGUUGGUCAUUCCCUGAUCACGGGCAAUGAGAUGAAGUCCUCUCGUAGGAGUUUCUGACAUCGCAACGAAAGUAAGAUGUGAUAUGAAAAUGUAAGGAAUUUGAUGAGAGGAAUGGGAUUUGAGGAGUUUGAUGUAGGAAUUGAUGUAGGAAUUGAAUUUGGGAGGUAUGUAUAUAAGAUUUGAGGGUAUGUGUUUAGGGAUUUUGAUAAGAGGAUUUGAGGAAUUUAGAUUUGAAGGAUUUGGAUUUGGGGAAUUUAAAUAUGAGGAAUUUGAUUAGGGUUUGGGUUUGAAUAUGUGAAAUUUGAUAUGAGAGUUUAGAGACAACAGAUGAUCGAUUGCUCUGAUACCAUGCUAAAAUAUGAUAUGGUUUGAAUACUUUAGGUUGAGUUUUAUUCUUUUCCAUAAAAAGGUAUAUAUAGGAGUUUACAUGAGUGCUUUACAAAGAAAUAGAUACAAUAAUCAAUUAGGAUAAUAUCUCCUAAUUAUACAAUAAUUUGUCAACUAUAUAGAAUAGGAAAGUAAAUUCCUUAAUUAAUCAAGAAAAUAAAUCUCAUUGAUUAAUUAGGAGACUAACGUCAACAUUUAUAAGCCAUAAAAGAGCAGAAAAAGAGGUACUUAGGAGAUUUUAUACGUCGGACUAAGGUAAGCUUAAAGGACUAUAUCAAAAAAAUAAGGGACCAAGAAGCAAGACAGAGAAGUUGUUAUGCAAACCCAUUAAGUUUAGCAGUGAUGAAUUUGUAAAAAUCAUUCUAGUGGAUUCUGCCUUCACUAUUGAGUUCUUAUUGAGGUUCUAUCUGAAAGGAUCUGGACAUGAAGGAGACCGCUUAUUAAACAAACCGUGGAUGUUUACAGCCUGACAUGUGGUUGCUUGAAAAUCAGCUCCCAUUCUUUAUUCUUGAGGAUCUUUAUCACACAUACAUAAUAACCGACUCUUUUAGGAAUUAUUACAGUACUCAUGAUCAUGAGAGGCUUUCAAUAAUUAAUAUUUCUAAGAAUUUCUUCACAGCCGGAAUAUUGAAUUUGGAGGGGAAGGGAGACAAAUGGAACAGAAUAUCAUCUUCUUCUAGUGUUGGAAAUUUUAUAUUAUUUAAUAAUAUUUAAUUUCUAUUGUGAAUGAAAAAUAAGUUUCUUUAAGAAACGUGUGUCUUAGGCCAGUUUUUCUAACUGGUCGGCUUCCUUAGAUUUGUGCCUAUUGCUUUUCAAAGUAUAAUGAUGCAAUGGUUGUAUCUCGUUCAGGCAAAUGGAAGGUAUAUAGCAAUUUAUAGAACAAUACAGUAAUCCAGAAGAAAUAUUAUGAAAUGAAAAGAAUAAAAAGUAAAAAAAGAGAAAGAAAGGAAUUCCCACCUGCAAUGUAUAUGUAUGAAAGGAAGGACCAAGUUUGUUUUAAAAUGGUAAGAACAAGUUGAUUUUAAAUUGGGUUCAGAUCAACUCAUAGAUUUCUUGCCUUUUCUGUUCUCCUUCCUUGGACAUGAACUGUUUAAUCUUGGACUCUUCCCCAUCAUGUUGGGCCUGUCUUCUUCUUGAGGAUUGUAUAGGCCUAGGAAAUGCUUCGGGGUAGUUUUUGUGUUUUGGGCAUUGGGACCCAACUUCACAAAAAGAAAACAAAUUUGACCAAAACACAAAUUUGAAGGACAUUGAAAUUGUACCCGUAGGAUAGAUUAAAACACUAUAAGGGAGGUAAAUAGUACGUUUACAGAGUUUAAGUGUAAUAAAGGAAUAAAAACAUGCCCAGAGAAUUGAUAAGUGAUAUCAAUUCUUGAAUAUACGUGAAAAUUAUUUUAUGUGGUUAAACCCCACCUCUGGGGAAAAUCCACGGAACUUCUUAGUCCAACUUCUAUCACUUAUCCUAGACACAUUCUAGAUAAUGUUUGCCAACCUCUUCGUAACUCAACUUCUGUCACGAGAUGAUCUUUCAACACUUUAUGUCGAACGCAAUACUGGUCACGAUUUCUUCAAGCUCGCCGGAGUUCUUCCAAUUCUCCUUAUAUUGAAUCUGAUACUAGUCACGAUCGAUUCAAGCUCAUCGGAGAAAAAUCGCCACAACAAUCUUGGUGCCCUCAACCGUAUGAGUCACUGAACAUGCAAAUGAAUACAAUAUGAAUGAUAAAAGUGUUUGAUAAAUCACCAAGUUAUGGAACACUUGAUGAUUUAUCUCAAAUAAAAAUUCAGCUUUCCAAAGUUUAUGAAUUGAAAAUAUGACCGUUAAAGCUCUCUAAACAAAGAAGACGAAGGUCUUAUUUUAUAGACUUUUACUUUACAAGAAAGAAAACACGUUGAAAACCAAAUCUCCAAUUUCCAAGGCUUGACAGAAAAUCACAAAAUUAUCUUUCCUAUUCUAGAGAUUGGUCACAUGAAGUCCAACCAAUAGGAAAUGAGAUAUUUAAGAAAGGAAGAUUUUGAUCAAUAUCAAUAUCAAAUGAAUUCUUAUACGCCUAGUCAAUUGUUAUGGGUAUCUUGACUCCUUGAUAUUGUGAUAUGAUUGAAACAUGAUUUCCACGUUAGAAAAUUAAGGGGAUGUUAAAACAUGAAGGUAAUAGGAGAAUCAAAUUGAUUUGGGCCAAAAUUGCCUAAAAAGAAAACACUCCUUAAUAAACUUCAAUUUACUUUUAAAAAUAGUAAAACGUGAUUGAAUCGUUCUUUAAAACAAUUCCCUAAUAUACAUGCAUGAUAGUGAUAUCACUUACCUUUGAAUCAGAUGGCUUUCACGGGUCAAGCCACAAGUUUUUGUCUUGGGGAUUGCUGAGCUUCAUCAAUCCUGCCAAUGUCAAUUUUGCCCCUAAGCUCUCUCAAAGCACGUUUACAACCUAUGCUAACAUAUAUUAGAGUUUAUGUUAGUAUCAAGAAAAUGCCAACACUAAUUUCGUAACACGUAGAAAUUGUUAGAGAUUGAAGUUUUUAUCAUUUUUUCUUCCAGACUCUCCACCACUCACUAAUAUAGUUUACUCAUGUGAUGAGUUUACAAAACCUAUUUCUCUACUCUCACAAAGACUAUACUUAGGGGGGUGUAUUCAAUUAGGAUUCUAAAGCGUUUAAAAAGAUUUUGUUUAAGUGCCAGCUUUCAUAGAACUUGAUGGAACUUUAUAAUUCGUAUAGAACUUGAUAGACUUUCAGAAGACUUCUGUAUAAUUUUUUAAUAAAACUUUCUUAAGCUUUCAUAGAACUUGAUAGGCUUUCAUUCCAAACUUAUGUAGAUGGUAUAUUUCAUUUUAUCCCCAUCCUUGACAUUUAAAGAAAGAAACUUGAAUUUUUUCAAUCAAAUUUGUUUUUGUUACCAAAGCAGCAAAAACAAAAAGUACUUGUUUGCGAUGGAAGAACAUAUGCACAGUUCAAAAUGAAAAGAAUAAGAAGCAAAGUACCUAUUUGACCAAUGAAUGCUGUGUCAACUAGAGAAGCAAUUGGAUCGGCUGUCAAAGCCAAUGCUGCAGGCAAUGCAUCGAUGGUCCAAAUUGCAAUAAAAAAAUAUUUUGAAUAAUGGCUCUUGCAGACAAAGACCACAUAAAUUCUGAACUGGUCUAGCUUGAAUAAUAAGGUUAGAUUAGCCAAUUGAUGAGAUUAAAAGCAAAGCAAGUUGAUGAAUUUAUCAUCAACUAUUUAAUAACCACAGUCCUGAUCUCUUGGACCCCUGUAGUCCAAGAGAUUUAUGGUCACCCACCGUUGGAUGUAAAUUCAACGGUUGACUUGAAUCGGGUAAUAAUCAUUUAUGUCAUAUUGCAUUUAUAUAUAUCAUUUUGAACCAUUGGAUUAAUAUCCAACGGUGGGUGACCACAAUCUCUUGGACUCCUGUGGUCCAAGAGAUCGGGACUGUUAAUAACCAAUAGAGUAUUUAAACAUAAACAACAAUGUUUGAUCAACAAAACAAAUAGUCCAAAUAUCAUCCAAAAAACAAUAACAAAAAAUCAAUCAUUCCAAACAAACUAGUCAUUCUCAAAAACUCUCAAAAAACCCACUCAUUCCAAAUUGUAGGAUAUCCAAUUUGAGCACUCCUCAGGAGACAUUUUCAAAAAUGCAUCCUUUUUUGUGUUACUAUGCAACAAAGAGAGUGCUUUAUAACGAGCAUGUUCAUCCAAAUUUGGGGUCUCCUUAAUGGCAUCCCAUAUAUAACUCCGCUGCUCUCUCUCUUUUUCCCUUUUUGCCAAUAGGUUAUGGACCUCCCGGAAGUCGAUGACAAUUGAAUCAAUGCUAAGGCUAAUUCUUCCCAUAGCUUGCUGGGUGGUCACAUUUGAGAUAGCAUUCCCUUCCAAAUAUGUUCUAGUUCGUUUCCUCUAGUAACAAGCAUAAAUCCUAGUAACAAGCAUAAACCCUAACCCCAACCUAUAACCUAAUAACAAGAAGAAAACCCAACGAGGUAUUGAUCAAAGAAAAAUUAGGGAGCAUACCUUCACAGAUGGAGGAAGGAAGCUGUUCGUCUUCGCAGAGAGAAAAUCUAGGGAAAGAGAAAAACGUCUUAUGAAAUACUUGGGGGGGAGGUUGGAUUUAUUUUGGUCUUUUUUAUUUAUAACUCUCCCCUUAAAACCUACGUAAAUUUAUCACUUAAUGAAAUCCUUCCAAAUAUAUGACCUUUCGAAUACACCUAGAUUUGAUUCAACUUUUUUAUAAUCAUAAUUGAAUACACCCAUAUUUGAAUGGACUUUUUAAAAGUUCAUAUAGGUCCGAAAUGAAUAUACUCAAACUUGUAAAACCUCUUUUAAAGUUUGUAUAAAUCCAAAUUGAAUACACCUGGAUUUUUAAAAUCUUUUUAAACACUUUAUAAUCCUAAUUGAAUACACCCCCCUUAUUCUCAAAAGACUAUAUUACUUUACCUCUAUCUCUGUGAAAUGUAAAAAGUUGAAACUUUAAUGUCAAACCUCAACAAAAGAUGAACUUUCAUCAGUUACGUUGAAUUUGGAUUUGUUGAACUUAAGUGGUUUUAUUUUCUUUGUCAGUGUUUGAUGACUUAAUUUGGUAUUUAUUUCUUCUUUUUUUUCCUUGGAAAUGUGUUCCACCAACGUGAGGAAGAAAAAUAUGCACAAAUUAAUAUAUUUAAUAGAAGCCCAAGAUUUCGGAUGCAUAUAAUUUCUACAAAAAUCUACAAAGUUUUUUACUUUACAAACUUCUUAUGUCUACCAAUUUCUACUAAAAUUAAUUUCUCUGUGGUGCUCAAAUUCAUCAUAUGUGUGUCGUUAAUUUUAUUGAAAAUUGGAAGUUCCCAUCAUUUUUGUUUUUUGGGAAUUUUCUGAACCAAGGAAAAUCAAGUAAAAUUAAUAAAGCCUAAAUUGGAAAGGGAAAAUAUCUAGAGGAUGCAUUGUAGGAUUGCUCAUGCCAAUAAUUGUACCCUCUAAAUAUAUAGAGACAUAUUUUUUUUGUUUUCAUGACAUGUGGUCCUAAAAUUAUUGUGUAAAUCUUCAAUCCUGAACGAUGCACCUAAAACUCAUCCACCCAUUCUCAGGCCAAUUAUUGCACCUAGUGGGCUCUCGACCCCCUCUCAAAUUUAACCACAUAUUUUAUGGACCAUCCAGCUGUGAGGUACAUUCCCCCCACAUGCCACAAUUGUAUAUUCACAAUUACGUCUGAUACAUCACAUCAUGCCACUUGCCUCAAAUGAAUUUAAGUGAGUGAGGCAGUUGGAAGUAAUUAAGCUCUAUAUUGGUGGGUGGAGUGUUACUUCUCGGUUCCCCUCAUCAUUCGUCUAUAAAAUGGUGAAGGCAGUUGCUAUUGUUACCAUAAGAGCCAGCUCCGACUUCCUUUAAUUUCUUGCUUCAUAUCCACUAGCUACAUCUGUUACCAAGUUAAUUUCAGUUCUAAUGGGGUUUCAUCUCCCACUCAUCUUUGCUCUUCUCAGUGUAAGCUCUGCAAUUUGAUUAACUUUUCCAUUCUCUCUCAUUGUACUCUAUAUAAACGAAAGUUUUGUGUUCCUAUUGUUCUCUCCGAUUUUAUUUAGUACGUACUUAAGUGUCGUCCACUAAUUAAUUAUACUUUGUGAUUUGAUUUUAAUUUGAGUUUGAAUUAAUGUUGCAGCUAGCAGCAGUGGCACUGGCAAACCAUGCUGCUCAACCAGCACCUCAACUUUACUGGAGCUCCGUCCUGCCAAACACACAGAUGCCAAGAUCUAUCAGUGAACUUCUGCAUCCUGGUUUGUGUUGAGCUCUUUAGAAUCUUAGAUAUCUCUUCUACCUGCCAUUUUACUAAAAUAUGUUCCACCACAUAUUUAUCAGUUAACCAUUGUCAUUACAUGAGUGACACAUAUUCACAAAUCGGCUGAUCACUUAUUUUCCAUUAUGACUUGAUAUAUAAUUUGCAGACUCCACAAAUGAAGAAAAGAGCACAAAUGACGUUGGCAAACCUGAAACUUUCCCAUUGGGCAAUCAACAUUACUCCAGUCAAAAACAUUAUGGAGGCAUACCUGAAACUUCCCCAUUGGGCAAUAAACAUUACUCCAGUCAAAAACAUUAUGGAAGAGGCAAACCUGAAACUUUCCCAUUGGGCAAUCAGCAUUACUCCAGUCAAAGACAUUAUGGAAGAGGCAAACCUGAAACUUUCCCAUUGGGCAAUAAACAUUACUCCAGUCAAAAACAUUAUGGAAGAGGCAAACCUGAAACUUUCCCAUUGGGCAAUCAGCAUUACUCCAGUCAAAAAAAGUAUGGAAGAGGUGCUUCUCCAUCCGACAAUCAACAACUCCAUUAUAAAGACUUAGCUAUUUUCUUCUUGGAGAAGGACAUGCGCCCUGGCACAACAAUGAAGUUCCAAUUCCCUAUAAAUUCAAACACGGCUACUUUCUUGCCACGAGAAAGCGCUCAAUCGAUCCCCUUCUCCUCUAACAAACUGCCAGAAAUUUUCAACCAUUUUUCAGUGAAGCCAACAUCUGAGGAAGCCAAAACAAUUAAGCAAACAAUCGAAGAGUGUGAAGCUCCAGACCUUAAGGGAGAGGAAAUAUAUUGCGCCACAUCUUUAGAAUCAAUGGUUGAUUUUAGCACUUCGAAGCUUGGAACAAGAAACGUUGAAGCAAUCUCGACGGAGGUAUUGGAAAAAGGAGCCACCAUGUCCAUCCAAAACUAUACAACAAUGCCGGGACUGAAGAAGUUGGCAGGUGACAAAGUCGUUGUGUGUCAUAAGCAGAACUAUCCCUAUGCUGUGUUUUUCUGCCAUGCAAUAAAACAUACAGCAGCUUAUGCUCUCUCCCUGAAAGGCGAUGAUGGGGAGAAGGUUAAAGCAGUAACCAUCUGCCAUCUAGACACAUCAGAAUGGGACCCAGAGCAUAUGUCCUUCCAAAUCGUCAACGUUAAGCCCGGAACCAUUCCCAUCUGCCAUUUCAUUUCCACUGAUGCUAUUGCCUGGGUUCCGAACCACAAAUCUGCAUGAUCAUCACUUAGCACUAGUACUGUGCGUAUAAUAUGCCUGUAUAAUUAUCUCCCUACUUAUUUCUGCCUCUUCAUCAUGUGGUGUAAGAUAUAUGUUGAGAUGAAGUUUUUGGGAUUUGUGGUCGAAAUUAACCCGAUCAUGUUUUCUCUUGCAACCAUAUAGACUUCAACUUGUACUCAUAAUAAAGCAUGCUAUAUUUAUGAAGAGAUAUUAAUCUUCAGGCAAAUAGAUAUUAUGAAAACAUAUAUAGCAAUUUAUCCAGAAGAAACAUUAUGAAAUGAAAAGAAUAAAAAGUAGAAAAACAGAAGGAAAGGAAUUCGCACGUGCUAUGCUAUGUAUGAAAGGACCAAGAUUGUUUUCCCUUUGGUUAAUGACUAGAAAAGCUCACUUGCAGAGUGCUUUCUCCGACCAUAGAUGGAAGAGAAAUUUUCUCUUAAUAAUAGCACAAUGAUCGGGUAAUUGUAAGAACAAGUUGAUUUAAAAUUCCUUGACCCAAAAAAAAAAAAAAAGUUCUUUUCAAAUUCAGGUCAACCCAUAGAUUUCUUGCCUUCGUCUUCUUCAUCACGUUGGGCUUGUCUUCUUUUUGCGUUUUGGGCCUUGGAAGUUGGGACCCAACCCAACUUCACAAAAAGAAAACAGAUUUGCCAAAAAUCAAAUUUCAAGUCUCUCCUCCGAUCACUAAUACAGAUCAAAUUUUGGAUUUGAUGAACUAAAGUGGUUUUACUUUCUCUGUCAGUGUUUGAUGACUUAAUUUGUUAUUUACUUUUUUUUUUUUACUUGAUCUUUGUAGGGGCUUUUUUUUUUCCGGCAGCUUAAACGGGCUGGGCUGCCGUAAAGGGUAGAUUGAUGAAAUUGUCCCCUUUGUCUGAAUUCGAAAAUCAAGCCCCAAAAGCGCUUCGAAAGGGCAGUAGAGCCUUAGGAAGCGUUCUGGUUACCUUCACUAAUUAAAACAACAGCAACUUACAGAUGAUUUCUUGAGGCUUACAGAUAAAUUUUCUAGCUUGGCAUGACAUGGAAGCAAAAUCAGCAUGAGUUUAGCACCAAAGAGGAAAAUAUGGCUUCCUAGGGAGAAAUGAGAGUGUUUAAGGUGAGGAAGAAGAGGUUUGCAGGCUGAUUUGGCUGAGAAAAGAGAAAGAAAGAACAAUGUUCUUCCGGCAGCUUGACAAAGCUUCUGACAGAUGUGAAAGUCGUCCGCCAGAAGAGGAAAAUGGAGAAGAAGGAUGAAUAGUGCACGAAAUUGGUGGGUUCUUGCAGGUAAGAGAGAAAGCUUGCUCUCUGAAUCUGAGUUGGUUUUGGUUGGGUAGAAGAAGCCCCCUUUUAUAGCUGCGGGAAACCAUCUUUUUCCAAGAAACCCUAAUGGUUUCUAUCCUUUUUGGCCAAGCUUUUCCCUUCCUUUCUCUUCUCCUCCCUUGACUUUUCCUAUCUUGGUGAAAUUUCCUCUGCCUAUUUGCACAAAAUUAGAGAUUUUGAGGAGCUCAAGGCCCCUUUCCCGCAGCUGCCUUAGUGGAGAAUCCCCAUUUUCAGUCAUCUUUCUUCCUUCUUUUCUCCCAUCUUCCAAGGCUAGGUUUGAUGAGAGAAAGAAAUGGAUAUGCACACUGGUUUGAAGGGUGUUUUUCCUUGAAACUUGUUCUCUCCCAUGUGCUGGAGCUUCCCAGCAGCUUACACACAUAGAUAUUUUGGCUUUCAUCGUGGCUUUUGUUUUCAGCUAGGUGCUGGAGAUUUUGCAUAUAUUUUCUUGAGUUGCUUGGGCCUUCUAGGACAAUACGUUGGUUUAUCAAGUGAAUGGGCUAACUUCAUCAAUUGUUGGGCAAUUUUGGUUGAGUUAAUGGACUAUUUUGGUUCAAGUAAUGGACUAUUUUGGUUGAAAUAAUAGGCUAUUUUUCUCUCUUUGUGCUCACCCACAUAUUUGGGCCUAAAAAAUGGGCUUGAGUUUCGGGGCUCCCAAGCAACCCCGGGACUUCCAUUUCUCGGCCCAUCAAUGAGCCUCAUGUCAACUUAUUACCAUCCAUACCACAACCCACUCAAGCAAGCCUCAGGCAUCUUGCGUGGCUUGGGCCCACGUAAGCUCGUAGUGGCAAUGUUGCUUAUUUGCUUGACGUGGCAUGUGUGCAAGUGCAUAUGACGAACUUUCGCGUGCCCAAAUUGAGUUUCUUCUCGGUAGGGUAUCGCAUUGGGCCGAGAAUUUAAUUGGGUAGAACCGUGGAUUUUUUGGGCCUCAACAAUCUUAUAUAUAUUAGUUUUCUUUUUUUCCUUAAUAUUCACCACCUUUCUGUUGCAUAAGUAUUCCAGUCUUAGCGGGUUUCCAUCUACCACUCAUCUUUGCUCUUUUAAGUGCAAGCUUUUUUAUUUUUAUUUUUUUAUGCACAAGAUUAGAGGGGAGGGAGAUUUCUCAAUGUAAGCUUUGCAGUUUCAUAAUUAAUAUUUCCAAUAUCUCACUGUUAGUAAAAUAUGGAACGGGAAAAGUACGAAUAAAAUACACACAUGUUUUAUUUAGCAAAAUUUUGACAAGAUACAACUGAAAAGUUUGGCCACUAUAUAAUAUUUUGAUUUAAUUUUUUUUAUUUUUUUAAUAUAUAUUAUUUUUAUUCAAUAAUAUGUGAAAAAUAGGUGUACAAUAUAUGAAAUUUGUAUGUAUUAUUGAAAAAUUCGUAAAAAAAAAACAUGUUAUUAAAUGUGAAAAAUAUGUACGUAUAUGUAUAAAACAUGUAUUGUACAUUACUUUUUAACAAACUUGUAUUUUACCUAGUCUUUAAACCGUAUAUGGAAAACGGAAGUAUUAUUGAAAAAUACAUAUGUACGUAUAUGUAUAAAACAUGUAUUGUACAUUACUUUUUAACAAACUUGUAUUUUACCUAGUCUUUAAACCGUAUAUGGAAAACGGAAGUAUUAUUAAAAAAUACAUAUGUACGUGUAUAAUAUGAGUAUUAAACAAAAAAAUGUGCUAAGUACUUAUCUUUUAAUUUAAUAAUUCAUUUCAUUUUGUGAUCUCAUACGUAGUAAUGAGAGUUCAAAUUAAUGUUGCAGCUGACAAUGGUGGCUCUGGCAAGCCAUGCUUGAUGCAGGAGUAUAGGGGUGGAUCAAGAUAGAUAUUUACCAUGUAAUUAGUUAUUUCAUGAUAUAUUGUUAUUUUCUUAUUUAGGUAGUUUUAUGAUAUCUUUUAUUAUUUAUGUGGGAUUUUAUAAUUAAUUAGUUUACUUUUGGACCAAGUAGCCUUGGUGCUCAAGUCUUGUAAAGCUUAUAAAUAAGGCUAAUGUAAUAGUUGUAGGAAAAGAGAUGUCGAUGAUUAAUAAAAUCGUUUAUUUGUGGCAUGGAUUUGCUACGAUAUAUGUGAGUUUGCACUAGCCCUAGAUUUCGGUGCUCGUGUAUGUGGUUGGUGACCUGUGUCCGGAUCCCGAUCCCCAUCAAUGCUGUUCUCCCAGUACCUCAACUUUACUGGAACUCUUUCCUGCCAAACACAAAUGCCAAGAGCUAUCAGUCAACUUCUGCAUCCUGGUUUCUAUUAAGGGACUUUUCGUGAGCUUAUCAUCUACCCAAAUUUUACUCAUCCGACGUAAUUUUAAAAGUGAUUUGAUCCUUUGGCAAAGUAAUCUUGAACUACAAAAAAGGAGGGCACUCGAAUAGGCAUGCCAUUUGGUAUUACCCACCUCUAAUUUCUUUUAAAAUUUUAGUAAUUGAUUUUUAAGAUUAGAAAAUGGGAAAGUUCAAAACCGAAAAAGUUGUUUCAGUUUUGGCAAGUAUCGGAAAAGACUAAAAUUUUCCGACUUUAUUAUUACUAGAAACAAAGUCGAAGUAUUCACCAAUCAUGUGGCCUUCCAAGUGCUCAAGGUUAAGCCAGGAACCGUUCCUAUCAGCCAUUUCCUUCCCAAGUAUGAUCAUGUUGUCUGGGUUCCAACCCACAAAUCUACAUCAGUACCUGAACUAAUCAGUUCUACAUGAAUAUUCAUUCAUGGCAACCUUGGGCUAAGUAUUUGAAUUUAUGCUCAUAAAGCUUUAAUGCUUUUGAGGGCCAAUCGUUGUCUACAUAUGGUAUUGUAGCAUCUUUAGAUGGAAGAGGUCAGGGGUUCAAUUCUUGUUUUCCACUUCUUUAUUUGUUGGUUUAUCGAGUGUAGAGUGGAGUUGCACCUAUAUGUUCGUCUCUCACCCCAUCAUUUACCAUUGAUAUAUAUUUAAUAGAAGCCUAAGAUUUCGGAAGCACAUAAUUUCUACUUUACAAACUUCCUGUGUCUACCAAUUUCUACUAAAAUUAAUUUAUCUGCGGUGCUGAGAUUCAUCAUAAUUUUAAUAGAAAUUGGAAGUUUUCAUCAUUUUUGCUUUAAGUCUCUACUCCACUCACUAAUAAAGAUUACUCAUGUGAGUUUACAAAACAUUUUUUUUUUCUACUCUCUCCUGAAGACUACACUUCUUCUCAAAAAAUUAGAUCACUUCACAUCUUGUGUAUGUGAAAACUAAUGUAAAAAGUUGAAACUUUAUCGUAAAACCUCGACAAAAAUGAGCUCUACUACAAAAUGUUAAAUUUGGAUUCGUUGAUUUAAAUGGCAAUUUGACACUUGAUAGAAAUUUUUACAUACAUGUGUUAGUGUUUGAUCACUUCACAUGUCACUUACUAUAUUUAUUCCACUCAAGUUAGGUAAAUAUUAUUAUCAAACAUUUCAAUUAAUUUGUGAUUUUUUUAUUAUUUAAUCAAUUAUGAAUUAAUGGAUUCUUCUUGUUGUUUUGAAGACCAACAAAAAAAAAAAAAAGGGUAGUGAUGGCUUAUAAUUCUGGUAAAACAACAGUGACGUGGACAACAGAUGUUACGCUGUACUAAAGAUUUUUGAAGAUUCUUUAUUUGAGUUUCUUUCAAGAUAAAAACCAUAUUAUCCACAACCACAAGCACAUCCGGCAGACAAUCUUUGGCUAUUCAUCACAAUUGGGAGACAAUGAAGAAGACAGAAAAUGGAGUAAUUCAGAUGUUACCAGCCAUCCACGACAAACUGAAGUCUGCAAAGCAUUCGUAAUCUAAAAAGGAUGGGGAGGCUGCGCAAUACUUAGCCACGUGUAGGCCAGGAGGCUUUCCAAUUUUAAUAUAUAUAUAGAUUGAAAAAAUAAAAUAAAAAUCAAUCUAUUAUCAUAUAUAUUAUAAAAUAAAGAUUAUUGCUCCCAUGGGCGGUGCUAUGCACAGGACAGUGCCUGCCUAGUCCAAAUUUUUUUUAAAUAAAAAUAAAAAUCUACAUAUGUUAUAAGCUCAUCCAAAAAAAAAAAAAAAAAUAAAAGUGUUGUAAAUUAUAAGGUGGAGCCCACAUGUUGGAAGGCUUUGCCUACAAAAGGGUUCACACCCUCCCUUUGUAAUUAGACAUUGAGAAUACUAAGGAAGACAGAAAUGAAUAGAGAGAAAACAUUCCCUUCUCUCCAUCUCAAUUCCCUCUCCAAUUCCUCUAGAUUUAUAACACGUUAUCAGCAGCACGAAUCGCUUUCAAACAAUACCAGCUGAAUUUUAUGAUGAAACCCAGAUCUCUCAUCCAUCUCUGCUGCUCCACUACUUCAAAAUAAAUCCCACAGAAAAAGAAAAAGCCUCAAUGCUCUCUCUCUCUCUCUGUCUCGCUUGGGAGACUUGGACAAUUCCUCAUCCCCGUUACUGACAAUUUCAACAGCUUCAGGGGAAGCUAGUUUAUCUUCCUCUGCUCACGAAACCAUGACUCUUUCAGAGCCAAACAACAACACAAUAGACAACGCAUGGAGACCAGACUGGAGCUCGUCGGCUAAGGCACCGACGAUCCGACCCUACCCGUAUGGACCUUCCGGAUGUGGUUCCUGGGUCUUGUCUCAUGUGCCCUCCUCUCAUUUCUCAACCAAUUCUACAAGCAGCAGAGCUUCAAAUCAAACAGAUCAUGGCAUCGCUUUCACACCUCCCCAUCUUCCUCUUCCUCCUGUUCACCGCUUUCUAUUCUACAGCUUCGCAGUCCUUCAUCGGCGCAUCCAAAGGCGACAUACCGGCGCUCGCCUCAGAUCCGAACGCGGCGGCUCAGUGGGUGAACUCGAAUGUCCUCGCCUUCUACUCGGCCAGCAACAUCGACCUCAUCAACGUCGGCAACGAGGUCCUUUUUCUCCAACGACCAGGGCCUCAUCUCGCAGCUCCUCCCCGCCAUGCGAAAUGUCCAAUCUGCCCUCUCCGCCGCGUCCCUCGGCGGCAAGGUCCGUGUCUCCACGGUCCACUGCCUCGCCGGAUCGGGAUCCUUCCUUCAAGUGUUUCUCUGUCUUCGACUUGAAAAAGAAGGUCAUGGCAGGCCUAUGUAAAAAUUGCGAAAAGGAAGGCAAUCUUCAACCUUUUCUCCUGUCUCUCUCUUGAUCAAUUCAUGGAAGGCACAUUUGGGUCUUCCGGGGGCUCAUCAAAUGAGUCAGCAAUGUCAAAGGUGGAGGUGGUGGAGCAAGACUACGUGGGGAUGUCAUAUGAGGCAACCUCAUACCCAGCUGAGGCAGAGCUUGUGCUGGGCCUGGGCCUUGGCCUGAGCCUUCGUGGUGGUGGUGCAGGGAAGCAGCCAAAGCCAUGUGCAUGGGGUGAGCGUGGUAGAAUCUUGACUGCUAAAGUUAGGUGCUGAGUUACACUGUGUUCUCUGCUACUGACCCUAAGAGGAGUGCUAGAAACUUCCAUGUUCCGCCAUCAUUUCGCUUUCACUGUUACAAGGCACUGGAGUAUGUUUAAUUGAAAAGUGAGAUACACAGCAAGUUGAUCAGCCUAGUGGAAAGCAAAGGAUUAUUGCCAGGGAUAUGAACACCCACCGAAAUAAAGGGAUAAGUACUCUUUUUCCCUUCGACCAGUUUUUUUUUGUCCCACUGGGUUUUUACUGGCAAGGUUUUUCACGAAACAUAUUCCGUAUCAUUUGUGGUCUCUAAGAGGGAGUGUUGUAAAUUAUAAGGUGGAGCCCACAUGUUGGAAGGCUUUGCCUACAAAAGGGUUCACACCCUCCCUUUGUAAUUAGACAUUGAGAAUACUAAGGAAGACAGAAAUGAAUAGAGAGAAAACAUUCCCUUCUCUCCAUCUCAAUUCCCUCUCCAAUUCCUCUAGAUUUAUAACAAAAAGUAAAUUCUACACAUAUGUUGCCCAUCCAGGUGGUCCCAUAUCUUCUCUUUCCUUUUCUUUUGGCUAUUAGACUUCUUGUUUCUCUCUCUCUCUUUGCUACCCCACAUCAGCAAGUUUCUCCCUCUCUUUUUUUGGGAUCAAAUUCUUCUUCUAUUGACAAAAUCUUCUAUUAUAUUGGGUGGGCAACUUGGCAACAACAUCUUCUCCUCUCCUUUUGUCAACAGCAAGUAUUAUUCUCAUUCUCUCAUUUGCUAUAUAUCUUUAAUUAUAGUUUUAAUUUAAAAUUGAGUAUUCUAGGGUUUAAUUAGGGAUGAAUUAUAAUUUUGGGAUUUUGUUGAAAUUAAUUAGGGCUUCGAUUAGGGGUGAAUUAUUCUACUGCUUUGAUUUGGAAUUUUGUUAAAAUUGAGUAUUAUAGGUUUAAUUAUGGAUGAAUUACAAUUUUUGGUUUUGGUAUUGUUGAGAUGUUAUUAUGAGAAUUUGUUUGAUUUUUUGUUGGUAUAUUUGAUUAAAAUUCUUUCUACAUAUUAUUCAUAGGCUAUCUUUUAUUAUGUCGGAUCACAAUCGGAAUCCCAAGAAAACAAAAAAUUUGAAUAGUGUUGUUUUGUAUUGCAUUGCAUUUACUUUUGGUUUUAGUUUUGCUUUUAGUGUAAAUUACUCAAAUGGUCCUCAAAUUUGUACCCAAUUUACAUUUUGGUCCAUAAACUAAAUUAUUCAUUCAAAUGGUCCACCAACUCUUUAUUAAUCGGUGCUUUGGUCCUAUCGUUAUGUUUUCUAUUAAAUUUAGUCAUGUGAGCAGCACAUGCUACAUUUGUAUGGGUAAAUAAGACUUUUGACCAGUGGCGGAUCCACGUUGGGACAAGAGGGGUCGGACGACCCCUUGGAAGGCUGGAAAUUUGGCAAGGGAGUCCAUGAAAGCCCCCUUGGACAGCUGCUGGAAGCCCCCUUGUAUGCACACAAUGUGCUCGACGAAAUGCCCCAACGAAAUGUCCUGCGCAGCUGUGCUGCGCCUUGCGCGUAAUUUUUUUUUAAAACCAGCCUUGCCAAACGACGUCGUUUGGUCAAGGCUCAGUCAAAUUUUUUUUUAAUUAACCUGGCCUCAAAACGACGUCGUUUUGGGCCAGGUUUAAAAAAAAAAAAACAGAACAGUACACACGCACAGCAGCUCUGCACAGAUUCAUUUUCUCCAAACCUUUCAUUCCCAAUUCCACAGCCCCUCUUCCCAUCCUCUCAAACCCUAACCUCCCAACCUCCCAACCUUGGACAACCUCCAUCAACUCUUCACCGGUGGCCCAAUGCCGAUCACCACCACCUUCUACCGCCGUCCGCCGCCCAUUUUUUAAACUACAAGUAAGUAAGCAUGGAAAAUCUGAUAUUAAUAAUUAUAGUGAUAAUAUAUAUUGUUGAUAUUGAUAUUUUUUUUUUAUGUAAUGAAAUUUAUGGAUAUGAAUCAUAUUGAUUGAUUGAGUUUAUGCUUGAAAUUUAUGGAUAUGAAUCAUAUUGAUAUUUUUUUUUAUGUAAUUAAAUUUAUGGAUAUGAAUCAUAGUGAUAAUCAUAUUAAUGUAGAUUGAUUGAGUUUAUGCUUGAUUGAUAAUAUGAAUUGAUUGGGUAUAUUAAAUAUUGAUUGCUAUUUGAUAUGAUAAUUUGGUAUAUUGAAUAUUGAUUGAUAUGGGUUUAGGGAGUAUAUUGAAUAUUGAGAGUGGGUUAUUGAAAUUUUCAUAUUCAUAUGAUAAUUAGGAUAAAAAUUAAUGAUUGAUUGAAUUAAUUGAUUUGUAGAUUUAUGGAACGAUUCUUUAAAAGAAAAUUAUCUACGGAUAGUUCUUCUCUGUCUAAUCCGGGUAGUUCAAAUGCAAGACCAAUUGAAGUAGAUGAGAUCUUAGCUAAUCUUCAAGCAGACCCUGGACUAAGAACUCGAAUGGCGGAUUAUAGUCCUAAUAUUAGGGAUGAGAUCCGAAGAGCAUAUCUACAAAAGGGACCUUGUCAACCUAGAAGUUAUAAAUUCCCACAAACUAAUCAAUCAGGAAUUAAUAGACGCUUCAUUGCUCAUUGGUUUGAUGAUCAUGAUUGGUUGGAAUAUAGUAUUGCUAAAGAUGCUACGUUUUGUCUUCAUUGUUAUCUCUUCAAAUCUAAUUUUGAUCAAGUGGGUGGUGAUGCAUUCACUGGGGUAGGCUUCAAUAAUUGGAAGAAGGCGAAAGAAAGAUUUAACCUUCAUAUUGGACCGGUUGGUAGUGUUCACAACCAAGCUAGAGAAGUUGCUUACAAUUUGAUGCAUCAAACUACACACAUUGAAACAAUUGUGCUCAAGCAAACAAGCCAAGCUCGCACGGCUUAUCGCACUUGCUUGAAUGCAUCACUUAAGUGCACUAGGUAUUUGUUGCGGCAAGGGCUUUCUUUUCGUGGUCAUGAUGAAAGUGCACAAUCAAGUAAUAAAGGGAAUUAUUUAGAGCUCUUGCAAUUUCUUGCGGAUCAUGAUGAAAAAGUUAAGGCCGUUGUAUUGGAAAAUGCUCCGGGAAAUUUAAAGUUAAUAGCUCCUUCAAUUCAAAAAGAUCUUGUCAAUUCUUGUGCCAAAGAAACCAUUGAUCUUAUCUUGAGUGAUGUAAAAGAUAGAUAUUUUUCAAUAAUGGUGGAUGAAGCACGUGAUGUUUCAAUAAAGGAGCAAAUGGCAAUGGUGUUGCGUUAUGUGAAUGACAAAGGACAAAUAAUUGAAAGGUUUGUGGGGGUUCAACAUGUAACCGACACUACUUCAAGUGCACUAAAGGAAACAAUUGAUGAAUUCUUUUCUUCCGCGAAUUUGAGCUUUUCCAAGCUACGAGGACAAGGUUAUGAUGGAGCUAGCAAUAUGAGAGGUGAGUUCAAUGGCCUUAAGAGAAAGAUUUUGAGAGAACAACCUUGUGCAUUUUAUGUUCAUUGCUUUGCUCAUCAACUUCAACUAGCUCUUGUUGCGGUAGCAAAGAAAAACAUUGAUGUCAACUCUUUUUUCACAACGGCUAAUAGUUUGGUUAAUGUGGUUGGAGCAUCUUGUAAGCGUCGCGAUGCACUUAGAGCACAAUACCAAGAAGAGCUUGUGAGAGCUUUUGAAGAUGAUUGUCUUAUAACGGGGCGGGGCUUAAAUCAAGAAAGGACUCUCAAACGUGCCGGCAAUACACGAUGGAACUCACAUUAUGGUACGUUGAUUAGUAUCAUUUCUAUGUUCCCAUCUGUGGUGAAUGUGCUUCAAAUGAUUGUUGAUGAUAAUCUUAAUGAUAGUUCGGGUGAAGCCUAUAAGUUAAGGAGAGAAAUACAAUCUUUUGAGUUUGUGUUUCACUUAUUUGUAAUGAAAGCUAUAUUGGGAAUAACAAACACUUUGUCUCUAGCAUUGCAAAAGAAAGAUCAAGACAUUGUGAGUACAAUGAAUUUAGUGAAAACAUGCAAGGAAAACCUGCAGUUGAUGAGGGAUAAUGAGUUUGAAGAAUUGGUUGGGCAAGCAUCCUCGUUUUGUUACAAAUAUGAUAUUAUAGUUCCUACCAUGGAUGAGGAAUAUGUAAUUCCAGGGAGAUCAUGGCGUAAUGCUCCAAUGAAGACAAAUUAUCAUCGUUAUCGUGUGGAGAUCUUUAUUCAUGUAAUUGAUGGGCAACUUGCGGAAUUAAAUGAUCGCUUCAACGAGGUAAGUACUGAGUUACUUACUUGUUUGGCAUGCUUGAGUCCAAAAAAUAACUUUGUGACUUUUGACAAACGAAAGCUAGUUCGUCUUGCUCAAUUUUAUCCUUAUGAUUUUUCGGAUAGAGACUUAUUGAUGCUUGAAGAUCAACUUGGUGUUUAUGUUCAUCAUAUGCGUUCGAGUAGUGAUUUUUCUCAAUUGGAAGGGAUUAGUAGUCUUGCGGAAAAAAUGGUGGAGAAAGGAAUGCAUGAAAUAUUUCCUUUUGUAUUUGCUUCUUACAUUGGCUUUGGUUUUACCGGUUGCAACUGCAUCAGUGGAGAGGGCAUUUUCCGCUAUGAAUAUUAUUAAAAAUCCACUUCGCAACAGAAUGGGAGAUCAAUGGUUGAAUGAUAGCUUGCUUGUUUACAUUGAGAGAGAUGUUUUUGCUUGUAUUGAUAACGAAAUUAUAAUGCAAUGUUUUCAGAAUAUGAAAACUCGUCGUGGACAAUUGUAACUUGUAUUAUUGGUUUUGUUAUGAAUUAUGAAUGAAAGUACUAUCUUUCUAUCUUUUUAGCAUUAUUUUCUUUGUAGAAAAAUUUCAGAACUUUUACACUAAGCCCCCUUGGCUACAUAAUCCUGGAUCCGCCACUGCUUUUGACCACUUUAUCACCUAUGUAUCACCACUUUAUAACCUAUUUGGGGAACAUAGGUCAGUUAUGGACGGUUUUACCCUUACAUUUGACGGCAACAUUAACAUAAUGUAACAGUGGGAUCAAUGGAGUGAUUAAUAUAAAGUUGAUGGACCAUUUGAAUGAAUAAUUUAAUUGAGAGACCAAAAUGUAAAUCAAGUAUAAGUUUGAGGACCAUUUGAGUAAUUUACCCUUCGCUUUUAUAUUUGUUGAACUUUUAUUUAUGAUAGAUAUGCAUUUAAGGGUAAGACCCAUUAUGUUCCCCUGGCUAGGUGUAUCUUUUUAUGUUUAUUAAUGAAAUUCACUCGAACUGUUGAGUUUAGUAUGUAAGUUUUGCCUAACUGGCUUUUGAAUCCUAGAACCGCCACUGUUGCUCCAUCCUCCAUGCACUUGCAUGUGCUCUUACAAAGUGUGAAGUAGAUUUUGUGUGCUCCAAGUCAUUGACUAGAGCUGAAACAUGGUUAGCUAGAUUUAUAAGGACCCAUCUCUUUAUUUCCUAGACAUAUACCCAUCUCUCUAUAAAUCUAUAUGUAAAACCUAAUUUCAAACUUAAAUGACCAGUAGGAUAUAAAAGGUCAUAGUAUUCCUAUGUUUUUAUAUCGUUGCCACCAGACUUCUUAUUUUAUUUAUAAUUUAUUUCAAGCAUUUCAUUAACUGCCAUAAUUGUAAUUAAUACUCCAUAUUAAUAGCAUAUCAAUCACCCCAUUUCUUUUGGUUGCCAUUCCCUCUAACAUAUCGCCCCUUAAAUUUGAAAACCAAAAAAAAAAAAUGUAAAUUACAUAUCCAAUAAUGUACCUAUGAAAAAUAUAAAUAUAAAUAUAUACAUAUAAAAAUAUAGGUAUAUUAUUUACCAAAUAGAAAAUAUAAAAACCUAGGUCAGUUGCUUUGUAAUUGAAAUUUCUGUACAUUUUCCACAAAUUAAAAAUAGGUACAUAAUAAUUUAUAGAAAAUAUAUGUACAUUAUUUAUCCAUAGGUAAAAAUACCGAUAAAUGCACAUAGGUGAAUUAUUUACCAAUAUAUUAUUUUUUUGCUAAGGAUUUACCUUAGUUUUUAGUAGAUUAAUUUACCUACCUAGAGGCAUAGGUAGCUUAAAAAAAAUGUACCACCUUAGUUGGUUGCAUACUAAUUUACCUACCUAGAGGCAUAGGUUGCUAAGAAAAAAUGUAGGUAAAUUCAUGUACCUAAACACAUAGGGGUCAAAUAGAGAAUAACAUGUUAUUUCCCUUUGAACAAAUUAAUUUCAAACCAUAACAAUUAUUGAAUUUGGAAAUUGGUAUAAAUAAAAGGAAAUAAAUAAACUAUCAAUUUGAAAAUUAAAAUAAGAAAUGAUCAAGUAGUCAUAUUUGAAAAAAAAGGAAAGAAUAUAUUCUUGGUUUUUAUAGGAACAACGAGUAUAUUCAAACCAAACGGCGAUAACUACACCAAGCUUUAAUUACUUUUUUUUAAGGCCAAAAGUCACUUUUGGUCCCUGUAGUUCGGCAUUUCUACCACUUUUGAUGUUGUAGUUUCAAUUCCGUCAAUUUUGCCAUUGUAGUUUCGUAUUUGUAGCAAUUCAAGGACCUGUUAAUAUUAAUGUCAAUUUGUUUAAUGAUGCAAGAGGUAAUUUCGUCAUCCCAAAAUCCUUGAGCAUAAAAGAUUGUCUGAAAUUCUCCCCAUUUCAUAUUAGGGCUCGAAAUUCAACCACUAAUCCUAAUUUUUGAAGAACCCUAGACCCAAAUGACCAAUUUCAAGCCCUAAUAUGAAAUUACGGAAGUUUUAGAUGAGCUUUUAUGCUCAAGGAUUUUGAGUUGAAGAAACUGCCCCUUGCACUGUCAAAUAAAUUGACAGGAAUACUGACUUGUCCUUGAAUUGCUACAAAUACAAAACUACAGUGUCAAAAUUAACAGAAUUUAAACUAUAGGGUCAAAAGUAGUUGAAGUGUCAAACUAUAAGGACCAAAAGUGACUUUUAGCCUUUUUGUUUCAAUAAGGAAAAAACUGACCUAUUAAAUCCUUGGAAUCUAUACAAAAUUGAAACACAAUUAAUCAACAUUGAAUUGCAGCUAAUUUCUUAAACAAGGGUAUUAUAGGAAUUUAAAAAGUAUAACAUUUAAUCCAUUGAAUUUGAUUAGGAAACUUGAUGAAUUGAAUCCUAGUUAUAUAGUUUUUCUUAUAAAAAUCAGGUUUUAUUUAUAGACAAAUAAAACAAUGGGUUGUAGGUAAGAAAAUAUUAAUUUGAAGGGAAAGAGUCAAAUUUACUAAAUUAAUAAAGCAUAAAUUGGAAAGGGAAAAGAUCUAGAGGAUGCAUUGUAGGAUUGCUCAUGCCAAUAAUUGCACCCUCUCGAUAUUGAAAAACCUAUUGUUUAUUAUUAUCUUCAAUCCUGAAUGAUGCACCUAAAACCCAAGUGUCUCAGGCCAACCAUUGCGCUCAUACCACUUGUUGCAGUACACAUUCACCUGUUUUUAAAGAAAGAAAUUCUACCAAUCGAUAUUUUCUCAAAUUUAAUCACAUAGAUCUAUUAUGGUUAACCAUAUGUACUUUUAUCUGCCAUCCAGAGGUACCUUUUUCCAACGUGCAACAAUUGUAUUUGAUUCACAAUUAUGUCUGAUAUACAUCACAUCAUGCCACUUGCCUCAAAUGAAUUUAAUUGAGUGAGGCAAUGGGAAGUAAUUAAGCUCUAUAUUGGUGGGUGGAGUGUUACUUCUGGAACCCUCAUCAUUCGUCCAUACAGGGGAACAAUUCCCUUCCUUCUAUAAAAUGGGAGCAAUUCUCUCACUGUACUCUAUAUAAAGGAAUAAGUGUCGUCCACUAAUUAAUUACACUUUGUGAGAUUUGAUUUUAAUUAGAGUUCGAAUUAAUGUUGCAGCUAGCAGCGGUGGCACUGGCAAACCAUGCUGCUCAACCAGCACCUCCACUUUACUGGAAUUCCAUCCUGCCAAACACACAAAUGCCAAGAGCUAUCAGUGAACUUCUGCAUCCUGAUUUGUGUUGAAUAGAUAUAGUAUGUUACUGGAGUACGUAUGGCAACAUAUUCACAAAUGUGUCACGUAUUUUCCAUUAUGACGUUGAUAUAUAAUUGCAGACUCCACAAACGAAGAAAAGAGCACAAAUGUCAUGAAUGCUGUUGGGAAUGGAAAGCCAAUUGACCACAAGGGCAAACCUGAAAAUACUGUACUACCACAGCUUGCACGACGCCCAUUUUCUUACAAGAGUGAUGAUCGUCCCACUGACAAUCAACUCCAUUAUAAAAACGUAGCUAUUUUCUUCUUGGAGAAGGACAUGCGCCCUGGCACAACAAUGAGCUUCCAAUUCCCUAGAAAUUCAAACACGGCUACUUUCCUGCCACGAGAAAGAGCUCAAUCGAUCCCCUUCUCCUCUAACAAACUACCAGAAAUUUUCAACCAUUUUUCAGUGAAGCCAACAUCUGUGGAAGCCAAAACAAUUAAGCAAACAAUCGAAGAGUGUGAGGCUCCAGGCAUUAAGGGAGAGGAAAUAUAUUGCGCCACAUCUUUAGAAUCAAUGGUUGAUUUUAGCACUUCGAAGCUUCGAACAAGAAACGUUCAAGCAAUCUCGACGGAGGUAUUGGAAAAAGGUGCCACCAUGUCCAUGCACAAGCACACAACAAUGCCGGGACUGAAGAAGUUGGCAGGUGUCAAAGUCGUUUUGUGUCAUAAGCAGAACUAUCCCUAUGCUGUGUUUUACUGCCAUGUAAUAAAACCAACAGCAGCUUAUGUUCUCUCCCUGAAAGGCGAUGAUGGGGUGAAAGUUAAAGCAGUAGCCAUCUGCCAUCUAGACACAUCAGAAUGGAACCCAAAGCAUUUGGCCUUCCAAAUCCUCAAAGUUAAGCCCGGAACAAUUCCCAUCUGCCAUUUCCUUCCCACUGAUCAUAUUGUCUGGGUUCCGAACCACAAAUCUGCAUGAUCAUCACUUAGCACUGUACGUAUAAUAACCUUUACCCCUGUAUAAUUAUCUCCCUACUCUACUUAUUUCUGCCUCUUCAUGUGGUGUAAGAUAUAUGAUGAGAUGAAGUUUUUGGGAUUAGUGGUCGGGUUGCCUUAAAAACACAGAUUACAGAAACUGCUUGAACUUAACCCGAUCAUGUUUUCUCUUGUACUCGUAAAGCAUGCUGUUGUGGUUCUACUUAAUUUCGUCCUCCCCAAUGUUUGAGUGUUUAAUUGUUACGUUGGAAUAGGCUGCUAAUGCAUGUAGUUAGAGAAGCUUUCAUUUAUAUCAAAGUCCUCAAACUAUCAAGAAUUAAUGCAUCCAGAAACAUAUAUACCAAGACGCAAAACAACAUAUUUUCCAUGCUGUGUCGGUAACACCAAAGCAAACUUCCUUUAUCACAAAAGGACCAAAUUCCAAUACUAAUCUAAUCCAUCAUGUAAAGCAUACAAUCUACAACUGCCUCCCUAAAUUUGUCCAUUGGAUAUAUAUGUCACUUUUUGGUAAUUUGGUAUAGCAGCACCACGUAGUAUGCAUUUAACAGAAAAGUAAACAAAAUUGACAGUAGAACUAUUUGUCCUAACGAAACUGAAGUUGAAAGACCAUGAGAACGAUUUUGAAAAUUAAGGGACUCAAAUGAAAAUUGGGUCUAAGUUCAGGGACCAAUAAAACGAUUAACCCAUAGAUUUUGGAUCCAGUACCACAUCCCAAAGAGAAAACCACAAGUUUGCAAGCAAGUUUGUCCAUACUAACACUACGUACAGUAUGGGCAAUGUGCUAGACUCAUCUCACUUUCUCAACCUAUCCUAUACUUGUCUAAAAGAGUUUCUAAUUUAAUGUACUGAGAUUUACGAAAGAAAUAUCAGAGAAACAAUUUUCAGGCAAUAAAAAAAUGUCUUGGCAAGAAAAUGCACAAUUUGUUACAUAACUUAUUAAAUAUGAACAGUUGAAAGAAAAAAGAAUUUGGAUGAGGGAUUUGCAAAUUCCUAUGGCCCAAUUACCUUUUUUUCUUUGUUUUUUUUUGGUUCUUUUGAUCCAGUAGCAUAUUCCAAAGAAUGAAAACCACAGGCAUGCAAUGCAAGCUCUUUUCCCAUGUUUUCCUCUGUUUUUCUCCUAUCAUGGAAGUGAUUAAAACACACCUCUAAGCUUGUUUUGCGUUUGGUAGCCGAGUGUAAAAGCUCAAUGCAAGAUAGUUUGAGGUAGAAUUUUCUCCUGUUUUAUUAGGACAAUGAUGAGCUAUAUGUGACAACAAAUUGCUUUAAUAAUGAAAAUUAAAAAAGUGUGAUUCAUUGAAUAUUUGCGGGGUUUUGUUCAGAGCUGACAAAGUUCUAAGUCAACACAUCAAAUUCCUUUUUCCAACAAUCGUAUUUGAUUCACAAUUUUGUCUGAUAUACAUCACAUCAUGACACUUGCAUCAAAUGAAUUUAAUUGAGUGAGGCAAUGGGAAGUAAUUAAGCUCUAUAUUGGUGGGUGGAGUGUUACUUCUGGAAUCCUAAUCAUUCGUCCCUACAGGACUCUAGAACUCUCACACUUCUUACAAGGACUACUUAACUCUAUAGCUUAUUGCAUAUAGCAUAUAUAUGCAAACCCAAUUAGAAAUUCUACAACAGAAGCAAGAUCAAUCUCACUAUGCCUUCUAAACAAACAAACAAAUAAAACAAGCAUAUUAAUUGCUUUAAUCACUCUACUAACAUCAACACAGCACACUUAGUUUACUAACAGAUGAUAUAGAAAGGAAAAAAAAGGACCAAUAGGGAGAAAAUGGUGAACUAAGGAGAGACUAAUACUUCUGGUCCUUAGAAGGCAUAACAGAAAUAAUAGAGCACACUGCUUGAAUGCAAGUCAGUAUUAGGAGCAAAACAGCUGCAAUGAAAGAAAUAGUUGCCCAAGGUGUAUUGAAAUAAUGUUGCCUCAAAUUUGCCUUCCAUUUGUUCCAAGGCUUUCUGCAGUAGCUAUUAAGGCGCUCAGAAAGAGUAGCAAAGUAGAAGCUUUCACGAUACACUGCAAUUCCUUUUCCGAGGUUGUUAAUCAGAGUGCACACCUCAUUGUAGUCACCAAGCAUAUUUUUGACAAUCCCAUACUUCAGAAGGAACUCCACAUCCUUUUCGGUGUUCACAAACUCAUCCAUGAGUGAAACAUAAUCACUUAUGUAAUUCUUACGGCAAUGGCACUAUUCAAAGGCAAUGAGGUUAUGGAGUGUGAGCUCUGUGUAAUCGUUUAUUUUUAGUUUUGGAAUUUCUAGAAUCCCAUCGUUGAAUCGUGUUAACGCAGCUUUCCUUUCCUAGCCUACGCGGAAGUCAACUUCACAAUCUCCUCCUAGCAAUUAGCCUUUCCUACUGUAAAUCGGAUUGUAUUCAUGUCUAUAUUAUUUCCUACCUUAAAUAGAUAUCCUGUACUAGUAUACAUAGGGACUUUGUGUAAUCUGUUAAAUACAAGGAAAUAUAUACUCUACAUGGUAUCAACCUAACCUAGGGUUCUCUCUCUCCCCCUUAUUCGAUCCUCUUCUCCUUUAGGUCCACCUCAUGGCUUCGUUUGAAUCCACCAUCUCCCUCCCAAGCCCUAACUCUUCUCAUUUUAUCAAGCUUACUAACUCCAACUAUCUUCUUUGGCUCCGCCAACUCAAACCCUUUUAGUUGGCCAUGACCUCUGGAAAUUUAUCGAUGGCAUUCAUAAACAACCUUCUGCCCACACCUCCACCUCUACCACCACAACACCCACAACCACCACCACUCUUACCGAAAUCAAUCCUACCUAUGCUCAGUGGUACCAACAAGACCAACUCAUUGUUAGCUACAUCACCAGUACACUCUCUGAGUCCAUUUUCUCUCUCACUGUCGGUUGCAUCUCUGCCCGGGAUCUCUGGGAGUGUCUCCAAUGCCACUUCUCUUAAUCCAAUAUGGCCAGUGAAUCUGCUCUUCGUUUUCAACUCAUGGAUUUGCAAAAAGGCUCUCAACCCAUUGAUGCUUACCUUCGUCAUGCUAAGUCUCUUGCCGAUUCACUAGCUGCCAUCAAUUAACCUGUCUCCCCAAAAGAACUUGUCACUGCUGUGCUUCGGGGUUUAGGACCCGAUCACAAAAUGCUCAUCACAGCAAUUCUCAAUUUCUCUCCGCUUCCAGACUUUGCUGAUCUUCGUGCUCGUUUGUUAGCUUUUGAUGCACAGACUCCUCGAAUCUUUCCUGAUCAAAACACAACGCUAAUGGCCACCCAAUCUUCUCCUUACACCACCGGUCAUACUUCCUUCCCUUCUCACCGUGGUUGUGGCUCUUCCAGCAAUAGGCGCGGUGGCUGGUGCAGUAUUGGCCGUGGUGGCUGGCACAACUUCUCAUCUUCCUAGAGCAACCCGUGGAAUGGCUUCCAGCAGCCCUAAUGACCUAAUCAACUGUGGCCUCCUUUUGCUCUAAGUUUUGGAUCUCAAAGCAACUGGCCUUCCUUUCAACCUCUUUGGGCCCAAUCUGCCGCUUCUAGCAAACACUCUGCCCGACCCAACUCAGCUCCUGGUGUCUUGGGACCCGCUUGGUGCACCACAUGCAAUACCAAUCGACAUACUACUACAACAUGUCCUUAUUGCUACAAUGGCCCAGAAUUCUUCCUUUGCUGGGGCUCAAUUCAUGCAGCCACCUAACUCUACAUGGUACCCUGACACAAGUGCCACUCAUCAUAUGACUGGUAGUUCUUCUAAUCUCCAAAGGAAAUUAAAUGAAGGAGUCCUACGAAGGCUCAAGGCUCGAAAGCACACGAUCCGGCUCUGCUGCGGAGCUCACUCAACUACUGGCUGAGGGGGCGCAAAACAGAAAAUUGUGAGUGGACAAAAAUAAAAAUUCAGUUCAGUGUAAACCAACGUAAUAUAACCCCACCGUUUAGAAAACCAUGCAAGAAAUCCAAAUGCAUCUCAAAACCAUCAUAAUCAUCAAAUCAAAAUCAAAUACUGGAUGCCAAGUCCGAAAUCCAUAAAGAAAGCUUUACAAACCCACCAUCCAAAUCUUACAAUCCCACAACUAAACUCUCGAAAGCGUACCCAUUGGCAGUACCAGCAAGGAAGUAUCCUCACCGAGAAACAAGAACAAAAGAAUAGCUAUAUAUAUAAUUAUAUAAUAUAACCACACCUAGUUGUACCGGGAAAACAAUCCAACCGGGGGAUUGUUUGACUAGUCACCAUGGCAGAGUCAAAGUAAACAAAUUCCUCAAUUCACCAUGUGACUAGGGAACGAGCUGUCCAACUGGGGGACCAACUCUCAGCCAGCAUGUACCGUCGAUAGCCUCAAAACCCGUACGUCUGUGACCAGUCCUACGCGUGCAGACUACCCAAUCAAGGGUUUACAGCAACAUCCCAUCAAGGAUGCCCUAGGUUCCCACAAUUCCAAGUAUCUCAAGUUUGCGUAUCCAAGUUCCAAAUCCGGGGAGGUACAUAGGGUAGUGCUUAUAGCACUCCAAAUUGACAUUCUAUACUCAUCACUUUCCACAAUCUCAUCUCAACAACCUAAGUACCCCACACAUAGCCAAACAUAUAUAGAAAUUCUCAAAAUCCAUAUAUACAUACUCAAGAUACUCAAAUAUGUCAAAAUCCAAAAUAUAUUUCCAAUGCAUCAUAAAAAUAUCACUUUUAACAAUUGAAUAAAUAAUAUAUAUCCAAUAUACCAAUUAAAACAUCAUGCAUAAUAUUUCCCAUCAUAAAAUCAUGCAUAAGAUUUGAAAACAAAGUCCACUCACAAGUAGUCCCACACUGCUUGACCUUGAGAGGGUCCCGCCUACUGCGUAUGCGUGGUUGGAGUACCUAUUUCAGAAUACGUAUACGAGAUUAAUAAGAAGCGUUUCGAACGAGAACUUUGAAUUAAAUAUCCUAAUUUCCCAGGUUUCUAGUAAGUGUACUAGGAACGAGACGUUCUAAGGUUCCACUACCCAAUUCGAACCAUGGAAGAGCUUCGGGAGACACUCGGUCAACCGGCGGUCAAAUUCCCAAAUCGGGUCAACUGGCCCACGGGACCCACGACCUCCGUUUUUAAAAUCCGUAAGUUCCUAAAGGUUUCACAAUGUCUAAGAUACUACUAUCACAAGUUUGGUCCGAAACGGACUGUUAGAUCGCUUACGAUCGCACGAUCAGACGGUUAUUGUAAAACGUAAACUUUAAGUUAUUGAAUCAGAACAUCCGGGGCUCCGAUUCACGAUCCGCGAAUUCCUACACGAUCCUAGGAAGGUCUAGAGUAACAUAUAUUGGAAUGGAGUCGAUCCAAAGGUCCGAACAUAUCGAACCUAGACCGGAUAACUCCUAAUAUGUGAGAUUCGUUCGGGGUUCGAACAUCAACCAAAUUGGAAUCCUAAGGUACCUACGUGCUCGUGACAUUAAGGGGAUCAAUUGGGACAAAAAUGCCCCUCUGCUACAGUGCCCACGUGCCACCACACGCGGCGGUAGAGAGUGGGUGUCCAAAGCGAUUUCUCUUCGCCGGAAAAUCUCCAAAUUACAAGCCACUCUCCUGGCUACAGGUUCUACUCAACGAGUGGAACACUUUAUUCAACUACAGCCAAGUCCAAUUCGGACGGCAAGUGGCCGGAAACUCACGGUUUAACCCGGAACUUCAUGGCUUGGAUUGGGCGACCAUCGUCACCAUUGUCGUGGCACAACCUAGGAAAUAGCUAAAAGGAGAGGAGGGCUACCUAUUCCAAGCGAUGGCGCAGCUCGCGGUAGCCGAAAAUGUAGCCGAUGACGUUGGCAGUUUUGGCCGGUUUUUCACGUCGUUGCCAUCGCCGUUUGUCGAGUUUUCGAUUGGAGAAAAGGGGUGGGGUGAGUAGAGGAGGAAGAGAGGAAGCUUUUGCAAGAAAUGACACUUGUCAGGGAGGGGGGGGUUGGGGGAAGAGAGAGAGAGAGAGAGAGAGAGAGAGAGAAAAAAAAAAAAUUUCAGAUUUUCAUCCAAACCCUUUUCGAAAUAUUUACAAGUUUGCCACUAAACUACUUUUGGUUGCCAAAUCUUCGUUAUAACUCCGAUUCAAGCCUACCACGUGUCUACGGAUUCGUCUCAAUACAACCUACCCAAAAAUACCAGUCACUGCCCCAAACUCUUUUUGGGUAAGAAAAUGACCAAAAUACCCCUACCCCAAGGGUAAAUUCAUAAUUUCACUUCAAUAAUUUAAUAAAGAAUUAAAUUUGGAGUCGGGGUGUUACAUUAACUACCUGUUUAGUAGGUGUGGGGUUUUAUACAAAAAGCAUCGAUGUUAUUGGGAGUGGAACCACUUAUUAUAAGUUGUGAUUUAUUUAGUCAAGUUUCCUAUGUGGGAUUUUCUAUUCUUCAACAAGCCCCCUCAUGUGGGACCACCACAUAGUGGGCCACAUGUAAAGCUAAGUCCACAUCGGAGUCAAUCAUUCAAGCCCAAUACCUAAACACCACGUAUUGUGUGAGGGGUAGGGGUAAACAUUCAAGCCCAACAUGUGAACCACCAAAUAUUAAGUAAGGGUAAAGGCUCAAUUCAGGCCCAAUCAAUGAACCCAUUAUGAUAUCAUGUUAAAUUUCAGAUAGACGGGACUGUGGCCCACCACUAGCAACAUUGAUAUUGUCCCCAACUUAACUACAUGUUUAGUAGGUGUGGAGUUCUAUACAUAAGGUCUCGAUGUUUUUAGGAGUGGAACCACUUAUUAUAAGUUAUAAUUUAUUUAGUCAAGUUUCCAGUCAACCUGACUUUGAUACCAUGUUAAGAUUUUAAAGGGACGAACUCUUGGCACUAUUAGUAACAUCGACAUUGUCCCCAACUUAACCACCUGUUUAGCAAGUGUGGGGUUUUAUCCUAAAGGCCUCGAUCUUAUUAAGAGUUGAGUCAUUUAUUAUAUGGAACUUUCUAUUUUGUUAACUCUGUGUAUUCUUCAUCAAUGUGAACACCCCUAAACCAAUCAUACCUGAUACGAAUUGAAACACAAGUUUGUUUUUUGCCUUUGGUAGAUGAGUAGCUAGAAAAGCUCAAUGCACUUGCUCUUCUGCUACAUUUCAAUAUAAGAACAAGGUUUGGAAGUCAGGUCAACUCCUCAUAGCUUCCUUGCCUUUGCUUUGACAUGUCUAUGCACUUCUUGGGGAAGUUUGAAUAAUCCAUUGCAGGCCCCAUGACAACUAAGGAACCAACAUUUUGUAGAAGGUUUUGUCUAUACCUUUUGACUAUAAGUAAAAUCUUUUGUAUCUGCUCUUAUGUUUCGGUGAAGUUUCUAUGUGUCCUUUGUGCCGAGUUUCUAUGCGUCCUUUGUUGAACCAAAAAAUGAGGUUGUUUCUUACUAGAUUCAAAUACUUAAAAGAAAAAAAGAAAUUGUUGUUUCUUAAUGGAUUUUAUGAUGAACAAUAUCAAACUCUCCUCUUAUACGUCUGUUGGUAAAUUUUAACAACAAUAUUAAAACCUUGCAAGUGCACAAAUCAAAUGAUAGUAUAGUAAGCAAGCAAGGGUCGAUCCCACGGAGAUUGUGAUCUAAAGAGAUGUUUAUCAAUGUCACGCAAUGAAAAUCAAAACAAAGGACUUCCAAACACACGCCAACACCAAGGGGGGUUUUGAUUUGUUUUUGUGAAUCAAACAAAAUAAGGAAAAGGAAACAAAAGAGAAUUUAAAUUAGAGUUUAAGAGAAAUUGGUUUAAAAUCAAUCAAGAUCAAUAGCUAGGACUUACUAUCCACCUCCAAACAAUCAAUCAAUCCAUAAACAACAAUAGAUAAUCAAUUUCUAGUAAGCACACUACUACAAAAAAGCAAAAAGACGACGGUAAAUCACCGUCGUGUAUUCGGUUUUUCAAUGGUCGUGGAAUCCACCGUCAUCUUUUCCCUCAUAAACCACGACGCUAAAUCACCGUCGUUGUUACAAUAUACAACGUCAUCAACAAAUACAAAACGACGUCUUUGUACUGCAAAAAGAUCUAAAAAAGCAAUCGAUGAUGAGAAAAGACGACCAACUCUCUAAACAAACCGUCGUUAAAAAGAAAAAAUAUGACACAUAUUAACAGAACAUGGCCGCAAGAUAGACAUACAACGACGAAAAUUAAAAUAAGACGCCGUUAAAUAUCAUUUUCACGACAAUAAAAAAUAUGUCGUCUUUAAAUACAUUAGAAGACGACGUUAUUGAUACCUACUACGUCGCCUAUAUAAAAAUAACCGUCGUAAAAUAAAUUUUCCACUUCGAUUUUUCUAUAAAAGAUGACGUGGAAAUAGUUGUCAGUGUCAUUAUUUACGACGUAUGUAUUUAUAGAGUAGACGUUGAACAACGAAACAACGUCGGUUACAAAUAUAUGAGAGUCGUAUUACAAAAUUUAUACGUCCUAUUUUCAGAAACAAACAACGACGAUAAAUAUUAGACGUUGUUAAAUAAAACAACGUCGAAAACAAAUAAAAACAGACGUGUUUAGUCUGCUAAAGUUCUAAAAAAUAGUCGAGGAUGAGAAUAGACGACCAACUCAAACAAAUCACCGUCGUUAAAAAGGAAAAAUAUGACACAUAUUAAAAGAACAAGGCCGCAAGAUAGACAUACAACGACGACAACUAAAACACUACGCCGUCAAAUAUAAUUUUCACGACAAGAAAAAAUAUGACGUCUUUAAAUACAUGAGAAGACGACGUUAUUGAAAUAUACUACGUUUCUUAUUUACAAACAACCGUCGUGAAAUAAAUUUUCCACUUCGAUUUUUCUAAAAAAGAUGAUGUGGAAAUAGUUGUCAGUGUCAUUAUUUACGACGUAUGUAUUUAUAUAGUUGACGUUGAAAUGCGAAACAACGUCGGUGGCAUUUAUAUAGUCGACGUUGUAUUUAUAUGUAUUCAUUACUCACGACGCACUUAUUAAUAUAGACGACGUUGAACUUCUAAACAACGUCGGUUCCAAAUAAAUGAGAGCCGUAUUACAGAAAAUAUAGAUGGCGUUGAUUAUGAUGAGAGCCGUAUUACAAAUAACGUCGUUUAAUUGAUAUUAGACGGCGGUUAUAAUGAAUUACCGUCGGAAUUCAUUUCGUUCCUCUUCGUUUAUAAAAGAACUUGCGACGUGGAAAAUGUAUGAUGACGUCGUAUUUUUUAACGUUCAGAUUAUAUAUCUCGUUUUUUAGACGUCGGUAUUAUGGGAUUGGAGUCGUGUUAUUUUGAAUUACAUGGCGGUUCUUAAUCCUUCCCCGACGUGAUAUCCUGAAUAAUUGCUUCAUAAUAGCGUCGUGGUUCUUCAUUGUUACGUUGCUUUAAGACGUCGGUAAAUAUGCUGAAUAACUGGUUCACAAUAACGUCGUGUUUUAUUUGAACGUAGAAAGUGAAGAAAUCACAUUACAAUAUAUUACAAAAUUAAUGUCAUACACUGCCAAUUACAUAAGCAUCAUUCAAUCCAUAUAUCUUCACACCCAUCUCGAAUAUUUUGACCGCCUAACUCACCCACCAGUUCAUCAAAUGUGUCAACAUUUGGCAUCCCUCUAGUAAAUGGCUCACACUCAAUUAUCACAUCACCUAAGACUUCAUCACCAAUAACAUUAUUAUAUUCUCUAUUAGGCAUUGAUAACACUACCGACCAACCACGAUGCAUCGGGUCGUCAACAAAAAAUAUUUGUUUGACUUGAGAAGCCAAAACAAAUUGGUCAUUCCUAUGUCCAAUUUUACUCAAAUCUACAAGGGUAAAUCCAAGUUCGUCGACUACAAGACCAGAACUAUCUAUCCAAUCACACCUAAAGACUGGGAUUGUAAACUUUUGGUAGUCAAGGUCCCAAAUUUCUUGAAUGACACCAUAGAAACCCAUAUUUGAGAGAAUUGAGUUUUUAUCCUUGGCACUAGCAACUUGCAUGGUAUGUGCAAGUAAAUAAACUCCACUAUUUUGAGUUGUCCGCACAUCAUCUUGUGCCUUGAUAUUGAAUUUAAUACCUUUAAUAAGAUAGCUCCUAUAUAAUGGCACAGCCAUGUUUGGACCAGCUGCUAGCCACCUUAAAUUUUCUGAUACGCCAUGAUUGUCUUCCUCAAGUUCACUUUGAACCUGCAAAUUAAUCAUAUAUCUUAAUGCAAUCUAACAUAGAAAUAAGAAGAAAAUUAAAAGAGAAAUAUGUUAUUCAACAACAUAUACCUUGAAGCGUAGCCAUUGAAUGAAAGUGUUAUUGUGCUUAUCCUGCAGCCACUUUGUGAUUUAAGGUAUGACAAUCAUGUGAUUUAAGGCCAAGAAGUCUUGAAUCUUGUAAAGAUACAAGAUUUUUAAUAUUUGAAGAAUAACCUUCAGGGACCUUCAUACCAUAGAAAGAAUUGCAAACCUCUCUCUUCUCUGCUCUUGACAAAUUCCAAGGCCCAGGAGGCAAACGAGUACGUCUUUCUCCAUACUCGGGUUGCAAAUCAGUUUUGACCCCCAUGUUCAAUAAAUCUAAUCGAGCAGCAAUCCCAUCUUUAUUUUUUCCAGGGAUCUCCAGCAAUGUACCAAUGAUACUAUCGCAAACAUUCUUCUCAAUGUGCAUAACAUCUAGGGCAUGCCUCACAGGAAGGUAUUUCCAAUACUCGAGAUCAAAGAAUAUUGAUUUCUUCUUCCAACAAACUCUGUCACCAUUUUCAACCAUGUGCAGCACUUCUUCUCCGGUUAAUGGCUCGGGAGGUAUGCCAUAUUCAGGUUUCCCAUUAAAAGCUGCACGUUGCCUCCUAUAUGGAUGAUUGAUUGGUAACCAUUUUCUAUGCCCAAUGUAACAAAUUUUGUGGCCAUUUUCAACCUGUGACUAGGUGUAUCAUCGCCGCAUAUUGGACAAGCUUUAUAUCCUUUAACAACACAACCAGAUAAGUUUCCAUAGGCGGGGAAAUCAUUAAUUGUCCACAUUAAUGCAGCUCUGAGUGUAAAGUAUUCUCCAUUAUGUGCAUCAUACACUCCUCUAAUCCCAUCCCACAAAGAUUUUAAAUCAUCAAUCAAAGGCUCCAAGUAGACGUCUAUAUCAUUUUCGGGUUGUUUAGGACCGGAAAUCAAUAAGGUUAACAUCAUGAACUUUCGUUUCAUGCACAGCCAUGGAGGGAGAUUAUAUGUAACUAAGAUAACCGGCCAACAACUAUAUCUGCUACUUAGAGAACUGUGGGGAUUGAAUCCAUCAGAUGAAAGAGCCAAUCUCAAGUUUCUCGGCUCAUUACCAAACUCAGGCCAUUUAUCAUCAAGAAGUUUCCAAGACGGGGAAUCCGCCGGAUGAGACAUCUGACCGUCAAUUGAUUUUCUAGCAGCAUGCCAAGUCAAACUCUUAGCUGUCUCAUGUGAUUGAAACAUCCUUUUAAACCUUGGAAUUGGAGGAAAAUACCACACCACCUUCGCUGGCACAUCCUCUUUCAAGAUUGAAUCUUUGCCUUCCUUCCACCUUGAGAUACCACAAGUAGGACAAUUAGUUGAAUCCUCAUACUCCUUCCUAUACAAGAUGCAAUCAUUGGGGCAUGCGUGCAUUUUCUCAUAACUCAGCCCCAAUGCACACAAAGUCUUUUUUGCCUCAUACAUAGAGGUUGGUAUUGUAUUUCCUUCUGGAAGCAAAUCGCCUUGAAGUAUCAAUAAUUCUGUAAAACAGACAUCACUCAUCCCAUGUUUUGCCUUCAAAUUAUACAACUUCACUAAUGCCGAUAACUUCGUGUACUUUCUACAACCAGGGUACACUGGUUGAUCUCCAUCCCCAAUCACAUUGGCAAACUCAUACGGAUCGGAACCAAAAUCACCAAAAUCAUUAUCAUCCAUAUCAAUUUCUUCAGACACAAAACUGUACCUACUAUGGCCAUCAUCUUCUUCAACAUUUCUACUAGCAUUAGUAGUUGCUUCCCAAGGUUCUCCGUGAAAUGUCCAAUUCUUAUAGCUUUGGUCAAUUCCAUUAAAGUAUAAGUGAUCCCUUAUAAUUCCAACCCCAAACAACUUCAAAUUAACACAUUUAACACAUGGACAACGGAUAUGUGUUGUAGUUAGAAGAUUUUCUACAGCAAAGUUCAAAAAUGCUUCCACCCCAAACUCAUAUGCCUUCGAUCUUCUAUCCGAGUGCAUCCAUGACUUAUUCAUCUCCGACACUAUAACCUAUUAUCUAUAAUAAAGUGAAAAUACAGGCAAUGACCAUCACUAUAGCAGAUUAUACAAAGAUCUAAUAGCAAGUAAUACAUAACAGAGACGACGGGUUUUAAACAAAAACAGACGUAUUUGGCAUAUAUAGACGACGGAUUUUCAACAGACGUCGUCUAAUAUAAGUAAUACAAACGACGGUUUAUGAAAAAACCGUCGUGUAUAAGUAAUACAACGACGGUUUUUUCAUAAACCGUCGUGUAAUCGUCGUCGUAUGCCUAAAAAGGCGUCGUGUCUCAGUUUAUUUUCAAGAACCCAAAACCCAUUAAGAACACAACAUAUAUAUGAAACCAAGCAAGAAACCAACAUAUACAUGAAGCCAAGCAUGAAAACAAUAAAUCCAUUCCCAAUUCAACAUAACAUAGGGUGAUUAAAAGAUCCGACAAAAUUAAAACCAUUCCCAAUUCAACAUAACAGAUAAUGUAAUCCAUGAACCCAUUAAACAGAAAAUCCAUGAACCUAUACCUAUAAGCACAUUAUUAACAGAUCGCAAAGCAUAUACCUAAAACCCUUUAACAAAACAACCUAAUAUCAUUCAAUGAAUUUACAAAGGGAAGAUAGGGUUUGUACUUACAGGUUGGACGAGCUCACAGAUUCGACGAAGCCUGGAGAGUGCAACUUUUAAUUAGAGCAGAAGUGAGAGAGCGAAUGUUAUGUUGCGCGAAAUCUGAAAAUUUUAGGGUUCAGGGUUAGAAGUAUAAGAAUAAGAGCCAAAUAUAAAAAAAUUUAGGGCGCGCGAAAAUUUUUAGAGCGCGCGCUCUUUAAAACGUCGAAAGAAAAACCAUGGCGAAAGUUCUACAAGAACCGACGUAAAUGUAAUAUUCCACGACGAAAACACUUAACGUAACGCCGUUUAUUUUGACGUUCAUUUUUCGGAUUAAUUUUAAAUUUAUUUUGAAUAUUUUGAUAUAAAGACGACUGAAAAACCACGUCGAAGUUAAGAAAUUGAAAACGUUGUAAAUUAUAAUAGACGACUUACAUAUUAAAAUGACGUCGUUUAAAGUGGAAACCAUGUCGGAUAUUUUACUGCACGACGUAACAUAUGUAUUCCACGACUCAACCACCGUCGUUAACAAUUAAUACCCUAAACCCUUAAAACUAAAUUAUAUAAUUUUAAAAAUUAAGUUUAUAAAAGGGUUUAUGGUUUUACAGCCUAAUAUAUACCCUAUACUACCCAAAAAUUAUACUUUAAAAAUAAACCCCAAUAAAUAACAACCCUAAUCUCUAAACCCUAGACUCUAAACCCUAAACCAUAAAACUAGAAGUGAUUUUAUGACUCAUCAAAACAAUUUUGUUUUGGAUGGUCAUUUUAAAUUUUUUUUAUUCAAAAUGAAUUUUUUCAAGGUUUAGGGGGAAGAAAAUAUAUCAAUGACUUCAUAGGAGUUGACUUUUCAUUUUUCUGAUUUAUUUUAAAUUUAUUUUGAAUAUUUUGAUAUAAAAAUAAUAAAAUAUUCUUAUCACAAUAACAAACCACGUCGGUGUUAAUAAAUUUUAGACGUUGUAAAUUGUAAUAGACGACUAAGUUGUUAAAAUGACGUCGUUUAAAUGAGAAACCAUGGCGGAUAUUUAACUAUCCGACAUAAAAUAUAUAUUCCACGACUUAACCGCUGUCGUUACAAAGUACUACCCUGAACCCUUAAGAAAUUGAAGACGUUGUAAACCAUAAACGACUCAAUUGUUCAAAGAACGUCGUCUAAAUAUCCUUUUACGUCGGAUUUGGUUAAAACGAAACAACAAAAAACGACGGCUUUUGACUUUAUUACGUCGUUGGAAAAGUAUUACACGUCGGUUACGCAAUUUGUAUGUUUGUUUUUUUUUUUAAUUUAAGAAAACCUCAACAAAUUUUUACAUUAUAUAUUAUAGACAAAAUUUGUACAUUAUACAUAAAUAUCAAGUGUUCAAUAAUUCCCCUAUUCCAGGUGAAGGCAAACAAACUCUGACCAUUCAUUCCGGACUUCAUCAAUUGCUUCUUGGGGGUAUGGCGCUUCCUGUUUUCCCUUGGCAUACUGCAUAAACAAUGACUAUUAGGGUUUAUAAAUAAAAAGAAAUUCAAUCACAGACGACGAUAUUUUUCAUAACCGACGUACUAUAUCUAUUCAACGACGGUAAUUUUACAUGACCGUCGUUGAUAAUACAAAAAACGACGUAAAAUGUAUGAAGGUAAUUUCUUCUUACCUUCUUCUCAAACCCCAAGGAAGGAUCCAUGAUGAUGUCCCUCAUGAAGCGCAUCACAUAAUACCCGCAUUCGACAUUGCUGGGUUGCUUUGGUGUCCCUGACAGAGUUUUCCAAAUGGCUGCCUUACGGCCUGGUCUGGCUAUGUGAGAAUUAUAAAUUUUUAUAGCACUGUUCACAAUGUUUUUGGCCUCUUCAUCGACCACACGAUUUCCUGGCAGAGGAUCCAGAAAAUAGACGGUUUCUCUCUUUGCUCUUACAAUCAGCAAGAUCCAAUGACGGCUGCACAAAAUUAAUAUAAAAACGACGGUUAUUUACAAUAACGACGUAUUAUAAUGUUUCACACGACGAAAUAAAGUAGCAAUCGACGACAUUUUACAUUUAUCACGACGAUAAAUAACUACCGACGUGGUUAGUAGUUUCAAACGACUCAAUAAAAUAAAACACCGACGUGGUUAGUUUAUACGCUGUAAUUUAUUGAAAAUCAUAAAAACAAAAUCCUGUUAAGGAGACUAACCCUGGAUUGUAAGGCAUCAGGAAAAUCUGUUCACCGUCAGUCUUUUGAAGUCGAGCUGCUAGUAAGCGUGAUCUGUCAGCUAUUGUGCCAGAGUUGGCACUAACUGUAGCAAGGUCGAUAAAGCCAACCAUAUUGCACAUAUUUGCUCGUUUCAAAACAUCGUGCAAGUGCCUAAAUAUAUAAAAUAAUAUAAACAAGUCAGCACAAAAAAACACACGACGGUUAUGUAUAACAAAACGACGUAUUAUAAAAUUUCACACGACGUACUGAAAUAGACAACGACGUUAUAAUAUAUUUAUCACGACGGUAAAUACUAACGACGUGGUUAGUUAGUUAAGACGACGUAAUAAAUAAACCAACGACGUAUUAUUUUAGAAUGACAAACCUCAUAUAUACAAAAAAACACGACGGUUAUGUAUAACAAAACGACGUAUUAUAAAAUUUCACACGACAUACUGAAAUAGACAACGACGUUAUGAUAUACUAACGACGUGGUUAGUUGGUUAAGACGACGCAAUAAAUACACCAACGACGUAUUAUUUUAGAAUGACAAACCUCAUAUAUACAGCAAUGACAGUGGCUCCUAUUUCUUCCAUGCCUGCAAAUUGUGUAAUAUCUUCAGGCAGGAGGAAGGUAUCGCGCUCUAGACCAAACACCUCCUUAUCAAUUGUAAAGUGCAGGGUCUUAUCCUGAGGCACGAGUGUCGUUUCCACAUAACGACAAAGGGAGUUUAAAGAAGAUGGCGCCUCCAUAUUUGAAUAAUCAACAACUUUAAUAACCUGUUUAAAGAAAUAUAAAAAAUGACGUGGUAAUUCAAUAAAAACGACGGUUUAAGGAAUAAAACGUCGUCUGAAAAGAAUUUAAACGUCGUCUGAAGAAACCGUCGUGGUGAAUAAUUUAUUACGUCUUAAAAAAAAUUCCGCCGUCUAAGUUGUAAACAAACGACGGUUUAAAGAAAAAUAUCGACGUCUGGAAUUUUGAAAAACAAAUAAAAAAGGCAAAGUUAUGUGAACAUACCUGGUCGUCAUCUUCUUUCUCCUUUUCAUCAUGUUUUUCUUCUGUCUUCCCUUCAUCUAUUACGUCGAGAAUGACUAACUCCGUCGUCUAAAAACCACAAAGUUUUAAAAUAACGACGUUUAAUGGCGUGUAAAACAAGUAAACUAAAUACGACGUGGUAUUGAAAUACAAACGACGGUUUAUGUUUAAAAUCGUGGUGGUAUGUAUUUCAAACGACGGUUUUAUUAAUAAUAACGACAUCUAAUGGUUUUUAAAAAAACAGAGAAUUCAAAGUUCAGAUAUGUUACCUUUUCUUCCUGAUGUUUCCCAUUUUUGGCAGUAUCAUCCUCAAAAUGCUGGGAUCUCACAUCACCUCCAGAGCAGCUUGCUUUGUCAGACAUUGGAUUUUUGGGACUUUGGCUAAUUCUGGGUUUAAGCAUGCUUGGAUCAAAAUUGGGAAUUAAUUGGGAAAGCUGACUCAGGAAAUGCUCCCUCUCAGCCUCUACCAAUUGUUUCGUUCUAGCCUCCAUCCUUAAAGCCUCUUCCCUUGCCUUAGCUUCCAUCUUUUUAGUCUCUUCUUGAAGGAGAACUCUUAAACUGUCCUUCAAACGGUCGUCAAAGCUCACUCUCUGUGGUUUGGGUAAAUUGAAAUAUUGCCUUGGUGAGAUCCCAGCACCUACUCCUCUCACUCUGCCUGGAUGCUCGGGGCCCAAAGCCAUGGUCAGCACAUCAUUGCUGCCAGAAACAGUGACUUUGCCUUCCGAGACUUGUUUUUGCAAUUCAUCCUAAAACAAAGAUAUAUAAAAAAGUAAGAACAAAAACACACGACGGUUAUUUAUAUACAAACGACGUAUUAUAUAAUUUCACACGACGCAAUAACAUAUAAAUCGACGUUAUUAUAAUUUAUCACGACGGUAGUUUUUAAACCGACGUGGUUAGUUUUUAAAACGACGAAAUGAAUAAACCACCGACGUCUUAUGCUUUAUUUACAGAUAACAGAGGGAUGAUUCAAUAUUCACACCUUUAACGACCUUGUUUAAAAUAUUUCGACGUAGUAAUUCAAUACAAACGACGCGAAAAUGAACCACCGACAUCUUAUGCUAUAAUUACAGAAAACAGAGUAGUGAUUCCUGAUUUAGACCUUUAACGAUGUGGUAAUAUCAUUCACACGACGCAAAAUAUAACAUAAGACGUAAUAAGAAUUAUUCACAGUUUAAUAAAAAUUUAAAACAGAGUGAGUAGGCUUACAAUUAAUUUUGCUUUCUCUGCCACCUUUGGAUCCGGGAUGUUACCAUGUUUGUCCUGUCUAGCUCUCUUCCAUAAGGUAGAUCGAUCAAUUUCUACCCCAGGCAUGGUUUCCUCCAAUUGAUCCUCCAAACCAGCAUAUCCUUUUCGAGACAAUCGAUGAUUGUACUCAAGUUUCUCCCUAAUCUGUGCAUGUUGAGAAUGCACAGACUCAAAAUCUUUGGAUAACCUUGAAGCUACAAAGGCAUCCCAUUGUGCUUUCUCUAUGAAUUUAUAUAUUUCAGGGGGUUGGCUUAAUCUCUCCCUGUCAUUAGUGUAUGGAAGGAUAUAUUGCCUCGUUAGUGUAGACUUGAAAUCCUUCCAUUUCUUGGCAGCAGAAGCUAACACAGAGCUCUUGCCCCCUUGACCUACCACAAAAGCAAUGUCAACUGCUUCCCAAAUCUGCUCCUUUAUAUCCUUGGAGAUUUGAGCCUAUUUCAUGUCCACAAGUGGAACUCUGGAGCGUGCCAACACACCAAUGUAGGACUGCAUCUCACUAUGUGCUUGGCCAAUUCCUUUCCCCCUUUUAUUGUACUCAACAAUUGGCCUCAGUUUCUGAAGUUUUCUCUUCACAACAUGAGGCAUUGUGCUCAUACCUCGACCAGACUUUGAAUCAUCAGAGAUUGUUGUCGUGCUGGUUCGUUCUGUCUCAGCAGAUGAUGAAGCAAACUUCAUCUUCUUCGAAGGCUUCACUUGAGGAGGUACCAUUCCAAGGUCCUUACCUCCAUUUUUCUUGGAGCCAGAAUCCUUACUUUGGUCUUAGUGAGAAACCAUUUUUACAGACAAAACUGCAAGUGAAAAUAUUUCAGGAAAAGAUUAAGAACACAAACGACAGUUAUUAAUAAAAUACGACGUAUGAUAUGAUUUUAAACGACGCAAUGAAAUAAUCUCAGACGUAAUAAAUGUUUAAAACCAAGGUAAUUAAACAACGACGAAAUAAUUAACUAUAAACGACGUGAUAAUUAACUAUAAACGACGAAAUAUUUAUAUAACGUCGUGGUAUUGAUGUUCACACGACGUCAGUCGUAAUAUACCGUCGUCUAUAUAAGGAUCCAAAACCCUUCUUUCUUUCUCUGUGAAUGUUUGAUUGCAGAUUUGAUUUUUCUGAACCAUGGUUUUUGUUUUCUAAUUUGAUAAAAUACAAGGCCAAGAAAGAAAGUUUUGGAAUCUUAUAUAGACGACGGUAUUUUAAUAUGACGUCGUGGUAUUAACAUUCACACGACGUAAAACAAUAAGAUACUGUCGUCUAUAUUAGAUACCAACCCUACUUUCUUUUUCUUUAUAUUUUAUCAAAUUAGGGAAAAACAAAAACCAUUGUUCAGAGAAAUCAAACCUGCAAUUAAACAAGCAAAUAAAAAAAAGACUAUAAUUUUAAAAACAACUUUGUCAAUUUUCAGACGACGCUAGAACGACUGACGAACCGUCGUGGUCUACAUAUUUAACCACGUACAUAAGAAGCUACCGUCGUCUUAUUUAGUUGAGGUAGUUGUCUUCAAAGUUGGAAACUUUCCCUCUUUGUCUGUAUAUUUUAUUGAACUUGGAAAGAAGUAAAAUGAUUUUGGCCAGAAAAAAGGUAAAAAGAUUUUUCAAACAAAAAACGUAUGAGCAUGCAAAACAACAACCAAAAUAGUGAAAAUGAAAGCUUACCUUUUGCGUGCAAUGAAAGCAAGAGGAAGAUUAUGUUUAAGUUCAGAGACGACGAAGAAGAAGAGAGGAAGACGAUGAGAUACUCUGACAGUGCUCUGACAAGGAAAAAAGUCUAAAAGUUUUCUCUGGGAGAUUGAACUUUUUAAUCGGGUUUGAAAACGGCGCAUGUGUAUGUCAGGUAGACGAAAAGUUGCUUACAUAUAAAACCAUUUCAAAAAAAUAAUACGGCGGUUACAUAUAACUACGACGUAUAAAUUACAAAAUACGACGGUACAUUUAACUUCGGACGUGGUAAAUAAAUACGACAGUAGUGUUGUAGGUACCGUCGUAGUAAACUCAAAAAUUAAAGUACAUAAGUAAUAACUCGCGUCAUGGUAGAUUAUUUAACACGUCGUUUUUAUUAAUUUACCGACGUGGAUUUCUGUAAUAUACGUCGAUAAUACCGACGUUGAUUUUACAAUUUAAACGGCGGUUUUUUUGUAAGGACCGCCGUUGGUUUUAAAAAUUUAUUCUAUAAAUUUGUCGCUUUCAUUCAUUUUCGGUUUACAUUUAAGGUUCCAAGUUCUUCCUCUCUCAGUCUCUCACGUCUCAAAGACAAUAAUUUGGAUGUCUUUCUCAAAGAGAAAUUGAGCUUACUCGCAUCAAAUAUAUGUCCACAAGAAGAAGCUUGUCAACUAGCCUUCUCACUUCCUUGAUCAAGCCUGAUAGGACACUUAGUGCUUCUGAAUACUCCUUGCUUUCCAUCAAAAGAGAUGCAAGCCUGGCCUCCACUCGCUGUCGAAGGAAAGUUCGCUUCUCAGGGAAAUCUUCUUGAUUUUCUUGGCUAAGAAGAUCCGUCAGAUUUGUGAUAGCCUCUUCCUUUAUCCGUAGAGCUUCAGAAGAAGAAGAUGGGUUUCAAGAAUGCGAUAAAGAAUAGAAAUGGCUUCAGAUGGCCUCUAAAGCAUGAGCAAUCGAAUCAGUAGUUGUUGGGAGAUAUGAUGAAGACAUUGUCAAUGCUUUGAACUAUACAAGUCCUGCAGAAAGAUAAAGGACCAAACUGUUAAAGAAACUGAAACAAUGGCGGUUUUCUGUUCUACCGUCGUCUUUUCUCGUCGUCUAUAUUAAGGUAAGAUGGCGGUAGAUUUAUAAUUACCGACGUAGAUUAUUUUGUUAAACGUCGUUAAGUGUACUACAACCGACGUGGAUUUUAUUUUUAAAUUAUAAAUAGAGUUUUUUUUCCCCUAUUCUUUCAGUUUUAGUUUUCAAUUACAAAGCGUGAUAAAUAGAUUUUUCUUUCCCGAGGAAAUUUAAAAUGAGGGAAAUUAAUGUUCUAGAAUUUGUAAACUAACACGACGCAAUAUUUGCAAAUCUGUGUCAUCUGUUAAGAUUAUGAUGUGGAACAGAGUUCCAUCUGGUAAGAUUUCGUAACCCUUGGGAUCUCAGACAAAUCUGAUUAUGUCGGCGGUUUUCUAUAUAAAUCGUCGUGGUUAUUUCAAUUCUUGUCAUUAAGUAGAUCUACCGACGUAGGAUAAGAAAAUCAAAGAAAAAAAUUGUUAACAAAAAUUCUUAUUAAGACGACGGUUAAAAUUAAAGGUACGACGUAUAAAAUGAAUAAAUACGACGUUAAAUUUUAUUGUACGAUUUAAAGAUAACGUCGUAGAACUAUAAGAGAAUGACGUCGAUAUAUUUAUAUUUUCCGUCGUUGUACAUUAAUUUAAUACGGCGAUAUUUUGUAUUUUAAAGCCGUGGAUUUGUUUGUAAUUAUACGGCGUCUUAUACGAAAACCUCGUCGUGUUAUUUUAUGAGUAAAAACGGCAGUUUUUAUUGAAAUCGUCGUCUUUACUUUCUACGUCGGUCGAUUCAUAACUUCUGCCGUUCUUUGUUGGCAUUGAUUUUACACUGCGAAAAUCUGUUUCAAAUAGACGUCGGUUGUUUAAUUAUGUACGUUGUUGUUUUUGAACAGCCAUUUGAAUCUCCAUUUUUUAGUUGUCUAAGGUUGUAUUACACGACGGUGUUUUUAGAACCGUCGUCUUUUUAAAAACCACGACGGUUUUCACUUAGACCGUCGUUGUUUUCUGGUCGUCUUUUUCACUUUUUGUAGUAGUGGCAUAUGAUGACGACACUCACAACAAGAUCAUGGCAUUUGACUCGAGUUGUAUGAUUCUCUCUUAAGUGUAUGUAAAGUGUAUGACAUUUACAUCAAUACGUGUAUUCUUAAUUGAAAUCUACUAUGGCAUUUACUCAAAUUAACAAUCAAGAAUCCAUUAAGAUCAAAGAGAAUAUGAGUGUCACAAAAACCCUAAAACAUGGCAUUUGUUAUUAGGAAUUCAAGAAUCGAUUUCUCAUAACUAGUUCUUAACCCAAUUAUUCGUUGCAAAUAAGAACACAUUCAAUAUGGCAAUUGACCUAUGUUCUACAACAAUUUAAUUCCAAUACAUGCUUCUAAGUUAGCUACUCAAAGAAACAAAAUAUCAGAAUUCACAUAACAUAUAGAAACCGAAAACAUCACGCUUGUAGAAACUAAAAAUCCAUUAACCUUGUUUAUAAAAUUGAAAUCAUGUUUAGGGCUUCAAGAUUAAGCCCUAACUAACAAGAAAUUAGUUACUCAUGGUCUUGGAUGAACUCAAAAAUAAAUACAUAAGAACUGAAAAUUAAAGAAGGAAGGAAAAGAAAGAACUCGUUCGCAGCUUUCUCCUCUUGCGCUGUUGAUCUCUUUAGGACGUGAAUCCUUUUUAUCAGCCUUGCCUCGUCUUUUAUAUCACUUAUAUCAGAGUUCUAAACCCUAAAAUUGACUGAAAAGUCGUCCAAGAAGUCUUGGUAAACAAGGAAUCCAAAUAGGAAAGUAAAAAUCACAAUUCCUAACUCCACUGGGAAAUACAGCUCAGCCCAAUGUUCACACGAUUUUGGGAUCUUCGACCUUGUAGAAAAAUCAUUAAAAAUAUAUUUUAGAAAGAUAAAUGUCUUAUCUUUCCAACCAUAUAUAGCACGUAACUUGAAAAAUUCGGAAAGGCUUCCGUUUCUUCACAUUCACGUAGCAUGUACGAAACUGUCCUGUCUGCACGUGGGCUAACUUUACUUGUAAUACUGUACCAAUUGGCUCGGUAGAAAAUUCUAGAAAAAUCAUAGAUUGAACUUCAAGAUGUUAGCUUUCAUCUCCAAUCAGGGGCGGCCUUGGGGAGGUGCAAGUGGCGCCACCGCACAGGGCCCCCGAAAAAAAAAAUAUUUAUAUUAUAUAUAUAUAUUAAUAUUAUAUGAAUCGUAUAUAUAAUAUAGCGUCUGGAUAUUUGCACAACAGCGUGUUCAGGGGAGUUGGAUGGAGCACAUCUCUCUUUGGCAAAAGGGCCCGAGUUCGAUGCUCCUUGAUGUCGUUCUACUGGCUAGCCUUUUGUGAUAUUAUUUUUGCAUUCAAACUUUACAUAAUUAUUGAACCAUUGGAUUAAUAUGCAACGAUGGGUGACCACAAUCUCUUGGACUCCUGUGGUCCAUGAGAUCGGGACUGAUAUUACAUGACUUAUUUUAUUAAAUUAUUAUCAUGUUGAUGAUUGGUUGUAUGAGAAUAUAGUUUGUAGAAAUAUUUAUCUAUUUCUUGUUGGGGUUUUCUUCCAGGUUAUAGGGUUUUGGAAUUUUUCUUUGUAAUCUAAACAUGCCACCUACUAGAAAAUACGUUUAUGGAUAUACAAAACGGCUUAGAAAAAGAAAAUUCGAGGAAUUGACUCAAUCUCAAAGAGGAGCUCUUGAUAGAUUCAUUGUUAGAGAAUCACAUGCUACAAUUGAUGAAAAUAUUUAAAUUUUUAUGAAUUUAAUUUCUGAUUUUCAUUGCAUAUUUAUUGAUGGUGAAUUUUAGUUAUAAAAAAAAAUUGUUUAUGACAUUAAGUUAUGGCAAAUUUUUAUAGUAUUUUCGUAUUAGAUUAUGCAAGGCCCCAAUUUAAGUUUCGCACAGGGCCCUCAAAAUCUCAGGGACGGCCCUGUCUCCAAUUGGUCUUGUGCUAAAAUUCCUCCGAAAAGUUGAUUUUCCCUUAAAAACCUUCUAAGAGUGCAGAAAAGCUGAAAAUCAGAAAAAUAAAGUAAUAAGCCAUUUUUAAAUCUAAUUCUCUUACAAAACCAAAGUAAAAAGAGUACAUAAAUGAGUAUAUUUAUGGACUUAUCAACGUCUUCUUCGUUGGACUUGGGGUUGUUUUCCUUAUAUGUCCCCUAUAUAUAUAUAUGGCCUUUAGUUGAGCCCACAAAUACCUUCAGUUAGUUUUUGGGUUUAGGGGCCUACAGAACCUGCACUAAACAAUAAAAGAAAAUACCUAAUUAGUUUAGUACGAAUUUAUAAUGAAGGCUUUAUUAGGUGAAGUUUUAUUUCUUAAUCGUUAGAUCAAAUUGGUUAGCAUCUGAAGUCGCCCAAAGAUUUGAGAGGGAUUCCACAAACAUAUAAUAUAAAGAAAGAAAGCAAUAGUAGGAGAUGAACCAGUACAAAAAACAAUAUAUAAAUAGUACAUAAUAAUUCCAUAACCUUGUCACAAACGCACUCACAAAUGCUUUCCAUAAACCUUGCCCUAACAUAUAACAAAUAAAGGCAACAUUGCAUAUGAUGCAACCAUGUCCAAAUCUGAUACGUGAUAAAAAAAAAAGGACAUGGCAGCAACAUAUGACUGAAGUAGAUGGGCUCUUUGCAUCUCGUGUUAUCGUAAUUAAAGACAUCAAAAUAUUAAGGUUGAAAUCUUCUAUAGUAGCAAGCAUUAAAAUAGGUUUGAAGCAGAGUUUAAAGAAAAUUCCAAUUCCACUGAUUUGCCUCUGCUCAAAGACGAGAACCAAAAUGGUUACUUCCCUUGCUGAGUAUAUUUGUUAACGUCGGAAACGGUAAUAGAUGACCAAUCAAACCCAAGUACGACGAGUUUUGCAUAGGAUCAGAAGUAGUUGAAUCCAGCUUGCAUCACACGCUUCUUUGACUCCAUUGCAUUAGAUGAGUUUUUGUAUUUUUGAACAGCUACACUCCGAAGUCGUUUGUGUCUACGCUUCAUGCGCUGCAACUUCGCCCUAUCCAGAUUGGCCUGCCUUUUGUCAUCUUCAAUUUGGCCUUCAACAAAUUCCAAACGUGCCCUUGCCCUUUGGAUUUCAUCACCAAGUUGAAGAUGCCUCUCCUUCCAAAAAGCAAGAACUCUUUCAGACUCAAAACUUCCAACAAAAUGGUCAUUCUAUCUAGGAAUGUGACAUUGCUUGUCUGGUGACUCACCUGCGUUUCAAAGGCGGUCUUUGUUUGGAGGGGUGUUUAUUAUGCUCACAUCAAACUUGGUUAGUAAAUCCAUUCUAUGGGGGGAGUGAGUUUCUGUGGAGGAGAGAGUUUCAGUAGAUGGAGACAGAUUCGGUGGAGGAGUGAGAUUUUUGUGGAGGGAGAAUUUCUAUGAAAUGGGUGAUAGUAAUACCAAUAAAAGGGUUCCCGCCAAAAAGUAUUUGGUUGACAAUGUAUAAAUUAAUUUUUGGUCUGAUACAAUCUAAGUUUAAUCCUAACUAGUUUGGUUAGUUUGGUUGAAUUCACUAACUAGAUGUCACUUCCAUUGAGUUUCUUUCAACCACUAUCAGUGGUGUAAGGAGAGUGUGAGGUUGACAUGCUUGAAAAGCAAAACCUAACACCUCUUUUUUUUAAAAUUGAAAGAAAGUACAUAUGUUGACUACACACAAGCUUUGGUAUGUUGGUCUAUAAAGCUAUGUUCCCUUUCUCAAACGAAAUUGCAUAUGCAAUCCUCGUCCUCCCAAAACAAAUAGAAUUAUUCAAGCAUGUCAACCUCUUCAGGCGCCAACAACACAAUCAAAGAUGACAAAUUGGAGUCGCAGGUUCUAUUUCCACAUUGUACUCGCCGACCCCUUCCAUUUUCAACAUCAUUUGGGAGUGAGGGGGACUCCGAUGAUCCAUUAGAGCUAAUACAUGCAGUCAAUAGCAAGCUGGAUUAUAAUUCCAGACUGAUCAAUUCAUGGCGCGAGAAAUAUGUUGAAGACGAAGCCAUUUUGGCUGAUCUUAACAUUAGAGUGAACAAAGCGUUCUCCCAAAAGAACAAGUACUUGAAGCUGAGUCAUAAAAGGAAGCUGAAAGCUGAGGAGUUAGAUACAGUAAUGAAUGAUGAAAUUAAAGGUUGUUUGAUGAAUCAUAUGCGAUGCGAAGAGCACCACAGUGAACUGGAGUUGGCAUUCAACGAAGGAUUCGAAAAAUUACGAGCAUUUGCAGCAACUACUCAUACAAGUUAUAAUUGGGACUAUGUGUCCCCUGAUGUUGUGAGAGAGAUACUAGACGAUGGUGGUGACAUGAAUGAGCAUAAGCACGUCAAAGCUGCUUGGAAGAAGCCGACCGAUACGACUAAGUGAUUGCGGCUACAGUUGUUCAGUUGGUUGAGAGUGAUCGUGGUAUUGCACAAAUUAGAAGUAUAUUCCCAUAAUGUCAUUAUCUAAUUUAAAAUAACACAAAUAUCAGUUUCAUUUGCUUCAUAUUGUAACACCCCGACCCCAAAUUUCCCCAAAAUUUACCCUCAUUUAAUUAAUUAAUUAUUUAAGGGUAUUUUAGUCAUAUUUUUAACCGGAGAGAGUUUGGGACCAUGACUUGUAUUUUUGGAUAGGUCGUACUGAGACGAGUUCAUAGACACGUAGUGGGCUCGAAUCAGAGUUGUAACGAGAGAGAUAUGGUCAAAAGAAACCCAGUGGCACAAUCGUAAAUAUUUCAAAAUGGGAUUUUUAUAAAAAUCUGGUUUUUCUCUCUCUCUCUCUCUCUCUCUCUCUCUCUCCCGCGACUUCUCUCUCUCUCCCGUCGGCUCUCUCUCUUUCUCUCCUUGUAUCUCCGGCCACCGACCACGGCUGUGGGCGGGGCCGGUACCAAACUGACCGGGACGACGUCCCCUUCCUUCCCCGACCAUUCCCCGCCGGCAACGCGGCCGUUGCUGGCCGGAAAAUGCAGAAAACCGCCGGGAGGUCGUCGAAACUUCAACGCCGUCGAUCUCCCUCCUCCGGCCACCAUUUUCGUCGACCCAGGUAUGGAUCUUGAACCUCUCGAGCUGUUCUAGCUGUUUGUUGGUUGGGUUUUGAUCGAUUCGAUCUCUAGAUCACUCGAUUUUCGAAUUGAAAAUUGGCCGAAACUUCGGCCGCCGUGAUCGGCCAUUUUCGGCCACUUUUUGUGGUAGGUCCAAGAACAAAAGUGGCUCCAAAUAGGGUGUUAUACCUAGGGUAGAAGUUUGGAGCCGAGAUGUUGAGAUUUUCCGGCGAAGCGUUAUCGCUUUGGGCACCCACGCGUGCGGCGGCGCGUGGGCACUGUAGAAAAAGUAGAUGUGUUCCGAUGAGAUCCUUAGGUUGUCACGAGUGCGUAGGAUUUGGCGGAUCUCAAUUCGGACGUCGUUUGACUAUCGAACGGAUAAUCGCAUAUUAUGCGUUAUCCGGGUUCGAUAGGUUGAGACCGUCGGAUGGUCCCAAAUUUAAUAUAUGUUGAUCUAGGUAUUUCUAGGAUCGUGUAGGAUUUCACGGAUCGUGAAUCGGAGCCCCGGAUGUUCCGAAUAAUAAUUUAAAGUUUAUAUUUUAUAUUAACCAUCAGAUUAUGCGAUCGUGAGAAAUCCGACCGUCUGAUCUGAACCAAACUGGCAGGAAAAGUGUCCUGUACCUGGUAGAACCCAUAGGGACCUUCGGAUCGGAAAUUGGAGGUCGUGGGUUCCGCAAGUCUGUUUGACCAGGGUUAGAGUAGUUUGACCCUUGGUUGACCGUGAGUCUCCCGGAGUAAUCUCACCCUUCCAGGGGGAAUUAUCGGGAGCUAGACUAUUGUGGAGGGUUACACAAUAUUAGAAUUAUUUAUAUAAUUAUAUAUGGUUGUACAAGGGUACAACAAAGUCUAGAAUGUCAGUUUGGAGUGCUAUACGCACUACUUUAGGUACCUCCUCGGAUUUUGGAUUCGCUACAAGCACCACCAAGUGAAAGUUAGGUCCCGCGUGGCGUAGGUUAUCCGGCGUUGGGACAGACCCCAUACGUGGCGUUGGUUGUACCGGCGUAUGGGGAGAUUUGCAAUAUGAUGUUCAGGUCUCACGUGGCGUAGGUUAUCCGGCGUUGAGACAGGCCCCGUACGUGGCGUUGGUUGUACCAGCGUACGGGGAGAUUAUGUGAUAUGAUGUUGAGGUCCCGCGUGGCGUAGGUUAUCCGGCGUUGGGACAGGCCCCAUACGUGGCGUUGGUUGUACCGGCGUAUGGGGAGUUAUAUGAUAUGAUAGUAUGGCAUGGUCGCACAUGGCGUAGGUUAUCCGGCGUGUUGACAGGCCCCAUACGUGGCGUUGGUUGUAUCGGCGUAUGGGGAGAAUAUGUGAAAUGCAGAGAAAGGAAAUAAGGUAUCACCGAUGUGUGGAAUUGGGUUUUAGGGAAGAACUACGUGUGGCUUGAUCCCUCAAGGAGGGUACGUAGGCAGCCUAAGGUUAUUGGGUGCAGCCGCAGACUAAAUAUUAGUCAUAUUUGGUAUUUGAAUUGUAUGGUAGUUGUUUGAGAAUUAUUGGAAGGCCAAAGGCCAUUUAUGAGAAUUUGCAUGAAAUUAUAUUGUGCAUGCUGCUAGUUGUGGAUAUUAAAUGUGUUUUUAUGCAGGUUGAAAUUUUGGGAAAUGUCCAAUUUAUAGGGGAGACUCUGCUGAAAUUUCGGCAGGAAGUCUCGGUUUUUAGUAAGUGGGCCUGGCAUCGGGGUGAUGUCAGGAAUUCCAAAGGGUUCGUCUCGGGUUUUGAGAAAAUUCGGGGCGGGUCCUUAAACAUAUAUAAUUAUUGGGACUAUGUAUUGCAAGUCAUCAUGUGUUCCUUCUGUCUAACAUUAUAUUUUGCAAAUAUCAAAAUAUUAUUCAAUAAGCAGUCAAUAUCACAGCAAGUUGGGAAUUAGUAAAGCCCCAUUAUCAUGUCCGUUCACAUUAAAGAGCUGGCGUACUUUUUCUCAAAAAACUGACACGUGAGUCAUAAGUAACAUAACAUGUGCUAUACAUUGUUUAGUGAAUGGUUUAUGGUUUAUUUAUAUAUAAUAAAAUUCCAAAUAUUGCUGAAUAUUUGUUUUUUCUAUAUCCCUGGGAACAUGAGUGACCAUAAGCAUGUAAGACCUGUUAAGAAGAAGCUGACUAAUACGACCGAGUGAUUGUGGCUACCGUUGUUUAGUUGGUUGGGGAGAUCGUGGUAUUGCUAAGAGGGAGCACAUAAUGUGCUUUGCAAUCAAAUUUUCUUUUGUGUGUGGAAUUAUGAGUAGUUCAAAUGUUAGUGUACCCUUUAAUAUUCUUCAACCGUUUGAAAUGUGAUUAGCUGCAAUGUACUUUUUUACACGCUGCUUUCUAAUCACUCUGUUCCAACAAAGUGCUUUAAGUAUCCUUCAGUUACAAAUGUUUACAAAAUCGUGCAUCUAAUAACCAGUCGAGCUCAGAUCUUAAUAACAAGUAAAACACUAGAACAUAACAUUCGGAAAAAGUGGGUGCUGCUGGAAAUCAUUACUGGUAAUGGAAGCAAGAGCUGGCUGCUGGAAAUGCUGCAUUAGCCUGUGAUAUAAUCAAUGAAUCUCUGUUAAAACAUAAUUCACCAUAAACUACCCAUUUUACAUGGUAAAAGUCAUUGCUUCUUCACAUAACUCAAAAUUUGAUACUUUAUCAAAUGUCUAUGAAAAUUUCUAAAUAGGGGAAAGACGUAAAAUUAACAUGUGUCCAAAUUUCAUGCAAGAAUGAAACCAAGCAAAUUUUUAUUUCAAUUAUCAGUGGACAUAGUAAGAACUCAUCGGUGGACAUGAACAAAAAAAUAAUAAUAUUAAAAACUGAAUCUAGAAAACUUCACCUGAUCAUUAGUCUUCAUAACAACCGAAUUUCGUCUAAUAGAAACAUAAAUCAUUCAGUUGGUCCGUGCAUCGUGUCAAAUUCAUAGAAUAAUGGGUCACUACGAUCUAUUGGAGUUGAUUCGUCAUUGUUCGACGGUGAUGUCCUGCAUAGACAUCAAACACAAGCACAGAAAAAAUUUACCUAUUCAAAUUUUAGGUGUUAUUAUAAAUAGUGUUAGCAUCUUACGGUGUGUUCAAAUUUCUUGCGCAUUGUCUUCUAUCAUGACCAAUGUGUCCACACUCCAGACAGUGUCUAAUCCCUCGCUUCAUUGCCUUUUCUUUUGCUCCCGUUACUCGUUUCGACCUUCUUUUGCACCUCACUCUCUUAGGGUCUUUCAUAUAUUGUGUUUGAGAGCUGGACCCUCCAACUUCGUUAUUACUUGGUCCAUCCUUCAACAACUUCAACUUCACCUGCAAACUUUUUAGAGUCUCUGACAGUAGCUCACAUCCUUCUUCACUCAUUAAUGCACCCUCAACCACAUCUUAAGCAAGUCGAGACAUUGUACUCCGCCUUAUUAAAAGACCAGGAUCUGCAGAGUCUUUAAUUUCGUUGCCAUUUGCAUCUGACACCAAUUCAGAUUUUGCAGUUUUCUUCCACCUCUUUAAAAUAUAUUUAUCGGGCAUAUAUUCAAUCUGGUCCCUUCUGAACAAUGCUAGGAUGUGCUUGCAAAUAAUUCCAACAAAUUCAAAUCUUUUGCACCCACACGAUGCGUGGUCAGAAUCUUUAACAUAUACGACGUCUGCCACUCUUGUUUCCCAAUUUUUCCUUUUGCUCACGCGAAAGACAACUUUAGAAGCACCCUCUGUUUUGAGCUCUAGGAAACAUGUUGUACUUUGUAUUAGUUCUUGGUCAAACUUUUGAAACAUUGUCCUUGUGUACAAGGUAGCCAUUUGUUUGUUCAUUGGCAUCGGUAGAAUACAUUGAGCCACUUCAAAUGCAUCUACGUGAUCAGCAACUAACUCUUUUUGACGUUGAUGAGAAAGUGCCCUCUCAAAUCGUAUUAUGAAAUCCAUCAACGAAUUUCUCCUUGAUAUGUAUUGCUUGAAAAAACCAUGAGAACCUUCCACUCUUUGGCUGCUUGACAUUCCAGCGGCAAAAAAUUGUUGUGCGUAGGCUGGAACCCAAGAUUCUCUUAAAUCAAACAUUGAACUUAGCCAUGGAUGGUCAGUCAAACCAGCCUUUGUAACCACAAUAUUCCAUUUUGUAACAAACUUAUCCUUAUUGUCAGUAUCCCAUACGGCUUUCUGAAAUUCACGCCAAUACUCCUUAUAAGCAGAAUGUGGUAACUUAACAGAGAACUUUGAUGUGAUGUGCAAUAUGCAAAGUCGAUGAAAUGUAGUCGGGAAGGGUAUUGAAAUCGCUCUGGUCAUUGCCGCAUCUUGAUCUGUAAUGAUCGUUUUAGGUCCGCCACUUGGCAUGGCUUUCUUAAACUCCUCAAACAUCCAAAUAAACGACUCAGUCGUUUCCUUGCUCAAAAAUGCGCAUGCUUAGACAAUUGUCUGACCAUGGUUAUUAACUCCCAACAUUGGUGCAAAUGUCAAGUCGUAUCGAUUCGUGUUGAAUGUGGUAUCGAAUACAACAACAUCUCCAUAAAACCCGUACGCCCAUCUAGAAGUUGCAUCUGCCCAAAAACAUUGACUAAACCUGUCAUGGCCAUCUCUCUCAAUCUUGAAAUAAAAAGCCUCAUUUUUUUUUUCUGUUCAGCCAUAAAAUACUCGGUCACUAGUUCAACAUCGUGGUUCCUCAACUUCCCAUUCACACUACAUUCAAAAUUGUAGAUAUCUUUUUUGAUAAAACCGAUUUUAUCCAUUCCUCCGGAUUGCACCUCGAAAAUACUUACCUUCUGAUGAAUGAGAAUAUUAACCGAACCCAACUGUUUUGUGAGUACUUUUGUAGAAUCUGAACUAUGACGGUGUGAUCUCAAUAAAUGCAUUCUUUCUGAGGGUGUCAUCUUAUGAUUGUGUCCCUCUGCAAAAAGAGAGAUGGUAUACUUCUUGCUCCCAUUUGUCUUCACAACCACAAUCUUAGCUUUGCAAUUGCAUCUACUUAUUCCCCGCUGUCUUUUUCUCUCCCGAGUUUCAUCUCUCCUGUAUUCACCUUGUUUGCAACAUACAAAUUCUUUCCUCAAAAUCUCUUUCUUAUUUCCCCCCCAAAAGCUGGAAUGAAGUCGAAUACCAAAGCCAGCCAAGAAUGCAUAUCUAUUAUAGAAAUUGUAAACGAGGUCAAGCAAGUCGAACUUCAUCCCAACUGCUGGUGUUUCCUCAUUUCUUACUUCAAGAAUGUAAACCCUCCCAUUAGCUGUUACACAGUCAUCACUCUCUGAGCCCCCAGACAUUUUAUCCACGUAUAUUAUUGAUCCACUUCUAUAUUAUUGCAUAGCAAAUAUUAAUUCAUUAAUAAAUCAUUACUGCAUCACAACAUAUCAAUGCAUUCCACUUACACAAAACAUUGCCCAAAUUGACACAAAACACGCAUAGCCUAACUUGUUGGAUUCCGAUUACACAAAACGCAAGCAAAAUUUAAUAAUAGUUACGUCAUCUCUUGUGAAAUAAUCUAGAAAAAAUAACAUUAGAACCAACAUGUUCAACUAAGAACACAAAUGCAAUUCAAACCAGCAAUCACAUAACUUCACCCAAUAUCCUCUCCAAAUGCUUACUCCUAAUGUCAUUAAGCCUAAGUUUAGGAUCUUUUACCUACAUUUCAUAAUUUUUCACCCCCACCAAAAAUAAUCAACUAAGUAUACUGAAUAUUCAUAAGGAAAUGACGCAUUAUUGAUGCCACAAAUGACGAAUUUCCUACCCUCACAAAAAACAAAUCAAACCCAAUUAAAUCAAUCCAGCAAGAGUGAACUUACCUCUCAAAAUCAAUCGGGAGCUCCGAAGUCAGUAAGCUUGAGAGAAUGUGGUGGACAUUAGAGAAGACUCUUUGGUAUUGGAGACUCCAUCUCUACCAAAAUCGAGGAACGAACUGCUGCUACGGCGUCUAGCUACAGAAAAAGAUAUGCUACUUUACUUUCAUCUGGAAUCUUGUUUGCUGAACGAAAAAGAGAAAGGGUUUUCACUUGAGCCAUAGAAUCAAAACAAGGCAACAUCUAGGUAAGAGCCAUUAAUCGUCAUAUCGAGGAUACCAUAGAUCGCAGGCCUCCCAAGGAGCUGAUGACAAUGGAGCGACUAUAGGGUUUGGGAGCUUUGGAUCCUUCUAAUUGUGGGUUUGCGUUACAUUCAAAAAAAGAGGAGUGUGUUGUUGAGUUUUUCACAUAGAGGGAAAGAGGGAAAGAUCUUCAACUGAAGUUGGGUUUCCAACGGGUCAAAUUUCAACCCGGUUCUACAUGCACCCUCUUUUAAAAACUCACCGUUGGAUUUCAUCCAACGGCUCGUACAUACCCCUCAAAAACACCCCUUAUAACUUUCCACUCACUAUAGAAGCUCUCCCCAGGAAAUGCUUCGAGGUAGAUUUUAUGUUUUGGGCCUUGGGACCCAACUUCACAAAAAGAAAACAAAUUUGACCAAAAAACAAAGUUGAAGGACAUUGAUAUUGUACCUGUAGGAUAGGUUAAAACACUAAAAGGAAGGUAAAUAGUACGUUUACAGAGUUUAAGUGUAAUAAAGGAAUAAAAACAUGCCCAGAGAAUUGAUAAGUGAUAUCAAUUCUUGAAUAUAUAGAACGUAAAAUAAAGGAAUACGUAGAAAAUUAUUUUAUGUGGUAAAACUCAAUCUAUGGGGCCACGGGACUUCUUAGUCCAAAAAAAAUCCAUUGAACGAUGAUUACAAGAAGUACUCACACACUUAUCCUAGACACAUUCUAGAUAAUUUUUACUAACAUCUUUGUAACUCAACUUCUGUCAUAGGAUGAUUUUUUGACACUCCUUAUGUUGAACGCAAUACUGGUCACGAUUUCUUCAAGCUCGCAGGAACUCUCCUUAUAUUGAAUAUGAUACUAGUCACGAUAGAUUCAAGCUCAUCGGAGAAAAACAGCCACAACGGUCUUGGUGCCCUCAAUGGUAUGAGUCACUGAACAUGCAAAUAAAUACAAUAUGAAUGAUAAAAGUGUUUGAUAAAUCACCAAGUUAUGGAACACUUGAUGAUUUAUCUCAAAUAAAAACUCAGCUUUCCAAAGUUUAUGAAUUGAAAAUAUGAUCGUUAAAGCUCUCUAAACAAAGAAGACGAAGAUCUUAUUUUAUAGAAUUUUUCUUUAUAAGAAAGAAAACACAUUGAAAACCAAAUCUCCAAGGCUUGACAGAAAAUCACAAAAGUAUCUUUCCUAUUCUAGAGAUUGGUCACAUGUAGUCCAACCAAUAGGACAUGAGAUAUUUAAGAAAUGAAGAUUUUGAUCAAUAUCAAUAUCAAAUGAAUUCUUAUACGCCUAGUCAACUAUUAAGGGUAUCUUGACUCCUUGAUAUUGUGAUAUGAUUGAAACAUGAUUUCCACGUUAGAAAAUUAAGGGGAUGUUAAAACAUGAAAGUAAUAGGAGAAUCAAAUUGAUUUCGGCCAAAAUUGCCUAAAAAGAAAACACUCCUAAAUAAACUCAAUUCACUUUUAAAAACAGUAAAACGUGAUUGAAUUGUUCUUUAAAACAAUUCCCUAAUAUACAUGCAUGAUAAUGACAUCACUUACCUCUGAAUCAAAUGCCUUUCAUAGGUCAAGCCACAAGUCUGUGUUUUGGGGAUUGCUGAGCUGCAUCAAUCCUGCCAAUGUCAAUGCUGCCCCUAUGCUCUCUCAAAGCACGUUUACAACCUAUGCUAACAUAUACCCUAAACCCUAGUAUCAAGAAAAUGCCAACACUAAUUUCGUAACACGUAGAAAUUGUUAGAGAUUGGAAGUUUUUUUUCUUCAAGUCUCUCCACCACUCACUAAUACAGAUUGCUCAUGUGAUGAGUUUACAAAACCUAUUUCUCUACUCUCACAAAGACUAUACUUCUUCUCAAAAGACUAUAUCACUUUACCUCUAUCUCUGUGAAAUGUAAAAAGUUGAAACUUUAAUGUCAAACCUCGACAAAAGAUGAACUUCCAUAAGUUACGUUGAAUUUGGAUUUGUUGAACUUAAGUGGUUUUACUUUUCUGUCAGUGUUUGAUGACUUAAUUUGGUAUUUACUUCUUCUUUUUUUCCUUGGAAAUGUGUUCCACCAACGUGAGGAAGAAAAAUAUGCACAAAUUAAUAUAUUUAAUAGAAGCCCAAGAUUUCGGAAGCACAUAAUUUCUACAAAAUUCUACAAAGUGUUCUACUUUACAAACUUCAUAUGUCUACCAAUUUUUACUAAAAUUAAUUUAUCUGCAGUGCUCAAAUUCAUCAUAUGUGUGUCCUUAAUUUUAGUGAAAAUUGGAAGUUUCCAUUAUUUUUGUUUUACGGGAAUUUUUUGAACCAAGGAAAAUCAAGUAAAAUUAAUAAAGCAUAAAUUGGAAAGGGAAAAUAUCUAGAGGAUGCAUUGUAGGAUUGCUCAUGCCAAUAAUUGUACCCUCUAAAUAUAUAGGGACAUAUUUUUUUUGCUCAUACCACUUGUUGCAGUACACAUUCACCCGUUUUCAAAGAAAGAAAUUCUACCAAUCGAUAAUGUCUCAAAUUUAAUCACAUAUUUUAUGGACCAUCCAGCUAUGAGGUUUUAUCUCAAAAACCUUCGGUACAUUUCUCCCACAUGCCACAAUUGUAUAUUCACAAUUACGUCUGAUACAUCACAUCAUGCCACUUGCCUCAAAUGAAUUUAAGUGAGUGAGGCAGUUGGAAGUAAUUAAGCUCUAUAUUGGUGGGUGGAGUGUUAGUUCUGGGUACCCCUCAUCAUUCGUCUAUAAAAUGGUGAAGCCAGUUGCUACUGUUACCAUAAGAGCCAGCUCCGACUUUCUUUAAUUUCUUGCUUCAUAUCCACUAGCUACAUCUGUUGCUCUUCUCAGUGUAAGCUCUGCAAUUUGAUUAACUUUCCCAUUAUCUCUCACUGUACUCUAUAUAAAGGAAUAAGUGUCGUCCAUUAAUUCUCUCCGAAAGUGUCGUCCUGAUUUUAAUUAGAGUUCGAAUUAAUGUUGCAGCUAGCAGCGGUUGCACUGGCAAACCAUGCUGCUCAACCGGUACCUCAACUUUACUGGAACUCCGUCCUGCCAAACACACAGAUGCCAAGAUCUAUCAGUGAACUUCUGCAUCCUGGUUUGUGUUUGAGCACUUUAGAAUCUUAGAUAUCUCUUCUACCUGCCAUUUUACUAAAAUAUGUUCAACCACAUAUUUAUCAGUUAACUACUGUCAUUACAUGAGUGACACAUAUUCACAAAUCGGCUGAUCACUUAUUUUCCAUUAUGACGUUGAUAUAUAAUGUUGGGAAUGGAAAGCCAAUUGACCACAAGGGAAAACCUGAAAAUACUGUACUACCACAGCUAGCACGAAGCCCAUUUUCUUACAAGAGUGAUGUGGGGACCAAAUCUCAUGUAUCAUAGCUUAACCCAUAUGCCACAACUAAAAGACGUGGGAUGAUCGAACAGCAUACCCACAUGGUCAUGGAUCUCUUCAGAUAAUCAAUAUUAAACAACCCAUAAACUUCUCCCUUUGAAGAACAAAUUAAAACCAAUUUCUAGAGGAAGGUUACAAAACAUUUUAGCCCGUGAAGAACAAAUCAAGACAAUAUAACCCAUUUGAUAACAAAAUCAAAAUGAGAUUUACCAAUACUAGAUGACCACGGCGCCAGUAUAAUGGUACGACGGCGGCGUUAUUGUAACGGUGGAGAAGUGGAUGGUAUGACGACGGUGUUAGUGUGACGGUGGAGGAAACGAUAUUAUGAAGGAGGCGUUGCUAUGUUCGGUGGAGGAGUCGUGUGUUUCACAGUUCAAUAUAUCCUUUUUAGUCAUUUUAUAUUAGGGUAAAUCAGUAAUUCAAUAAAUAAUUUGAUAGUAUGGUGUACUCAGUUAAUAUUAGGGUUCAUUUAACAGCACUCAAAUUAACUAGUGUAGAGUCUAUCUAUAUUAUUAAUACUAAAAAUAAAUAUAUGACUAAAUAACUCAAAAAAAAAAUAAAUCUACAAUCUUUUUUUUAAAAAAUUUUUUUUAUAGAAUUUUAUUAGAUUAAUAGGCACUACUAAAAAAUCUCCUUAUAAACUACAAAUACACGCAUAACUUAUACUAAUGUGAGCUACUGACACCACCUGCCACAUGACAGUUGUCCAAGCAUAGUGUUGUCAUUCAUUAUUCCCCACAGCAACUAACAUCCAAUAAAGGGUUGGGGCCCACCCAUACUCCACCUCUCUGUAUGUAGCUCUUUGAGAAUACAGAAGAAAUAUUUUUUAGGGAAAUAGCUUAAAAUGAUACCCAUUUCAUAAUUUUAAUUAAAAAUACCACCCCUUUCCAAUUUUUGUACAACUAUCACCUAUAAAUAUAAAAUUAUUGUCCACUUAUUGCUGAUUUUUCACAAGUUCAGAAAUUUUGGAAAGAAGAAGCUCACACAGCUCUCUCUCUCUCUCUCUCUCUCUCUCUCUCUCUCUAGCACAACUCUCUUUCUUUGGUAUCUGUCUAUCACAGCUCUCUGUGUCUCUCUUGGCUCUCUCUAUCUUGGCUCUCUCUCUCUCUAGCACAACUCUCUGUCUCUCUCUUUGCUCUCUUUCUCAUAGCGCAGCUGUUUCUCUCUCUAGCUUCGUUAUGUCUCUUUCUCCCCUAUUCGAUCUCUUGCUUUCUGUUUGGAAUCGCGAACCCCUCCCUUUAGCUAUGUCUUCUGAAUAGCUGCUUGCAACCUUGAAGCUCUAGUGGAUUGCCGACCUCGAAAAGGUAGUGUUGAUGGUUAUUUUCUUAAUAUCAGUGGGAUUAUGUGAAAUGGGUUAUAGUUUGAUUGUUUGGGUUUGUGUUAAAUUCGUUUUGGCUUUAAUUUCUUUGGGUUAGGUUUUGUUGAAUAUUCAUACUCAUUCAUCUGGGUUUGUACCAAUUGCAUUUAGAUUGGUCUGGAUAUGUGAAUCUUGAAACUUGGGAUUUUCUAUUUGAUGUAGUAGAUCUGUAUAGUGUGAUUCUGUUGUGUUCCUCUUAUUUUACAGUCGUAUUGCUGUUAUAUUGUCAUUAUAUUGCUUAUAUAUUGCUGUUAUAUUGUGGUUAUAUUGCUAUUGUAUUGUUUGGUUAUUGUGGUUAUAUUGUGUUAAUGAAAUGUUGUUUUGUCAUGGUCAGAAAUGGAGACAAUUGUUAUUCUCGUGUGCUACAAUGGAAAAUGGGUCACCUCGAAGAAGAUGUGCAAAUACGAAGGGGGUGACUCAAAAGGCUUAAUAGUUCCACGGACCAUCAAAUUUGUUGAACUGUUGGACCGUGUGCAUUAGAUUGGUAAUACAAACAGCAGGGAAGACAAGGUUUGCUUAAAAUUCUCAGUUUUGGUGGCCUCGAAUGAGUGGAAGCACAUAAAUAUUGAGGACGAUGAUGAUAUCAAUUUUUUUAUGAAGUACAAUUCCGAGGUAACACCUUCAAAACUAGCUCCCUUACUCGUGAGUAUAGAAGAUAAAGGAUUGACAAAUGAUGUAGUUCAUAGUAUGCAUAUCACGACAGAUAGUAGUCGGAUGGGUCAUUCUUCAGUUGCCAUUGUUGAAAGCAAUGAAGUAACUUGGAAUAAUACGAAUGUCACUGAUGUGGGAGGUGAAGUAGGGACAGAUUUUGUGGAUAUGAUUGAUUUUAGCGAGGUGUAGGAGAUGCAUGGUGGUGAUAAUAGUACUGAAAGAAAUGAAGUGUCAGUGUACUCUGCCCCUCCUAAUUUGGGCUGCUUCAACAUAGCUGCCCAGUUGCCAAUAAUGCGUUUAGGAGGAGAAUCUGAACCCACUCGUCAACAUUAUUGGAGUCAAAUAGGUGAACAAAAUCGGUACAAUGCAGCCGGUGUAAAUGAUGAAGAAGCAUAUUUGGACAGCGGGUUUUCACGAAGUGAUUGGAAUCCGAAAAUUACAGUUGGGCAAAUUUUCUCUAGUAAGAAAGCAUUGUUGACGGAGUUACGGUUGACGGCAUUAAGAGGCCACUUUGAAUUUAAGGUGCAAUUCUCUUGCACUAAAAGGUUGCUUGUGGUUUGUUGUCAACGUCCAUGCCCAUGGCGGGUCCGAGCAUCGAGAAUUGGAGAAUACAGCUUCAUGAUUGUGAGGUGUACAACUGUCCAUGAAUGUGAUUUGAGGUUCGUAAGUGACAAGCAUCGUCAAGCAACCGCAGCACUUGUAGCCACUUCACUUAAAAGGAAGUGACAUUAUGAGAGAUGUGAAACACAACUUUGGUUGCACCAUCCAUUAUUCGAAAGCUUGGAAAGCAAAGGAGUUAGCUCUAUUGUCCAUUAGAGGAUCAGCGGAGGAGGCAUAUUAUAUCCUUCCAGCUUAUUGCUAUGAAUUGGAGCGUAUGAAUCCCGGCACAAAAACACACAUCCAAACUGAUGAGAACAAUCACUUUGUGUAUUUAUUUAUGGCGGUUGGCGCAUGUAUUAGAGGGUUCCGUUCUUCCAUGCGCCCAGUGAUAGCCGUGGAUGCCACUCAUUUAAAAUCCAAGUACAAGGGUGUUAUGUUUGUAGCAAAUGCAUUCGAUGGUAAUUGAAAUAUAUAUCCUCUUGCUUUUGGGAUCGGGGAUUUGGAGACGGAUGCAUCAUGGCAUUGGUUUUUCACUAAACUUCAUGAAGCCAUUGGUGAGUGUCCCAAUCUUGUUAUUAUUUCUGAUCGCAAUGUUAGCAUAGAGAAUGUGUGGAACAAAAUUUUUCCAACUGCACAACGUGGCAUAUGCUUUUAUCAUAUGAAGGGGAACAUGAAACGCACUUGCUAGUUGAAAAAGCGUGAUCACAUACUUAUGCACUUUGAGCAGGCUGCGAAAUCUUAUUCCAUUGCUGAAUUUGAUUGUCAUUUUUGCAAGAUCAAGCGAAAGGAACAUGUUGCUCAAUAUCUUGAAGAGACAGGGUUACAUAAGUGGUCUAGAGCUCACAUGGAUGGACGCCGCUACAAUGUAAUGACAACAAAUAUUGCAGAGUCAAUCAACUCAGUCCUUAGGUUUGCAAGGAUGCUGCCAGUGGUUCAUUUGAUAGGGGAAAUUGUUAAUCUCCUUGUGAAAUGGUUCACCGAACGUUGUGAGUUGGUUUUGAAUUGCACAACAACAUUGUGCCCCAAUUUUGGAGAGAAGAAGUUGAGGAACAGGUUGGAGGAUGCUGCAAGGAUGAAUGUGGUUAAAGUAAAUAAUGCACAGUUUAAUGUUUUGGACGGUGAUAUGGACGGCCUCGUAGAUUUGGCGAACAGCAGUUGUAGUUGUAGAAAGUUUCAGCUUGAGCAGCUACCUUGCAAGCAUGUAGUUGCAGUUUGCCGCUUCUUGAAAGUAAAUGUAUACGCAAAGGCUUCUCGGUAUUACACUCAGAAAACCUGGAUGAUGCUUAUUCGGAUAGCAUCUACCCGGCACAACCUCACGGAAUGUGGGAUAUUCCUGAAGAUGUUCGAAGUCGAGUUGUGCUGCCUCCCAUGGCAAGGGUCAUGCCAGGCAGACGAAAGAAGAUCAGAAUUCCCUCGCAAGGAGAGGGCACCAUUAGAAGAAAGUGCUCAAGGUGCGGUUCCGCAGGCCACAAUAAAAGCACAUGUAAAAACAAUAUUCCAUUGCGCAAUGUAUCUUAGACAAUAUGAUUUGUGUUGCUUUGGUAGGUCAUGUAAACUCUACUUUUAUUUGUGGUGGGUUUCGUGUUAUGUUGAAUGGGAAUUCUUUUAAAUUUGCAUAAUUUGGGUUGCAUUGCUACAGCAUGCUGUAUUGCUGACAGAUUGCUAUUAUAUUGGACUUUUAUUGUACUGGUAUUGCUUCCAGAUUGCUAUUAUAAUUUGAGUGCGAAAUUAAAGGGACUGGAAUGUAAUUCCAAAUGGAUCCAAAUCAUUAAAGUUCUUAGAAUUCCUAUAUUACACAGUUACUGUGAUACUCCGACUAUACCUUCUUUUAUGAUUACAAAUUCGGCCAAUGCAUAGGCCAGAUGUGGGGCAAAUACAAGGUGAAAUGUCCUAUGUGUUUGACUACAUAUACUUGUUGAAGGAGCAUUACGAAUGCUAACCUCAAUAGAUUGCUCAUGUCUUGCCAAGAACACUCUUGAAUUUAUGCAAUGUGCCCAAGCCAGUCCCAAAGCUGGACUCACCCGUCUGCCUGAUGUGUCCAGGGACUCCAAGUUUCCCAACCUCACCUCAUUCACUUUAUCAUGUGGCCCAAUAAAAUCCACCACUUGGUUGGUGACAACCACCGCCAACCCAAACUUAUUUGCUAAACCCUUCAAUGUCCCAGAUAUGUUGAAAAAUAUUUCAAACCGCCAUUUCAAAUCUGCUGGUGUUGUCUGAUACUGUGAUCGGAACAAUGCAGCAAUGGAAUCAAUGACAAUGAGUUUCACAGGUAGGUGGGUGUGAUCAAUGGCAAUAAAUGCUUCUAUGUCUCCAAGGACAUGGAUGAGUUGUUGAGCAUCAUGAACACCAUGAACAUAUAUGUCUUCCAAUGGCUCCAACCUUAUUAAGUUGGGGUAUGAUGCAUGAUAAAGGUUGCCUAGUUGUUGCAAUCGACGAAAUGGGAAGCUGAAUUCUGUGAAUAUGUAGACGGUGGAGCCCUCUAGUCCGCCAUGUGAGGGUGGGAGCUGAGCUGGUACCGUAAGUUGGAGACAAAGUUGCGUCUUCCCAGAACCACUCUCCCCUACCAAUUCUGUUAUAGAGUUGCAGGGUAUCCCACCCCCCAAGCAGUCAUCUAGUAUUGGGCAUCCAAUGGAUAAUUGAGGGGUUGAAAGAGGAAGGAGCAUGAGGUUUUAGGGUGUCAUAUUUGUGUAAUUUAGGGGGGGAUGUGAUGGUGCUACAAGGCAUGCAUUAUAUAUAUAUAUAUAUGUAGAGUUCAUUUUGAAGGUCUGUAUUGUAGGCCAUAUGUCUUUUAAGGGAUGUAUAAUCCAUCCUUUUUUCAGGUUGUAAUUAAUUUUUUGUUUAUUUAUUAGUAUUUUUUUGGACCAAAUAAUUUAAAAAACAUUAUGAUGCAGUACGUACUGUAAUAGGAUCAUAUUGUAACUCUAUCAUCACUCUAUUGUACUCUUAUUGACAUAAUAUUGCCGUUAUAUGCAUGUUUAUUAUAUAGUUAUUACUGCUAUAUCGCCACUGAACUGGACACCGAUAAACUGUAUACGCACAAAUACAAAAAGAGGCUUCAUCAUUCCAUAAAAUCCUAUUUCCAAACUUACAUAAUACAACAACAGGCCACCCCAUCGUUACAUAAUACAAAAAUACGCCACCUCAUAGUUCCAUUUCCCUACUGUUGACAAAUUCGAAGUUGCAUACUCUUCAAGUGCGGUGACCGCGACGCAUGAAAUUCAUGACCCCGGCCACAGUGAUGUUGGCCUAGUUUCCUGCCGGAUCCACUAUUUUUGCAAACUUACGAAAUAGUUCGAAUCCGCUUUCCACUUCUUCUUGCUUCAACUUGGCCGUUGCUUCUGAUUCCUUGAAUACCAUAAUUGCAGUGGUAGGGGCAAUUUCAAUUUUUGCUUUCAUUGUCUUUAUAUGUAGGAGAUGCAUGCGCGCAUGAUAACGAGAGCGAAUUGUGCGGUUUUUUAUGACACCCCAUCUAGUUUGGCCCUCCACAAUUUUGAAACUAUGUCUGCAUGAAGAUUUUUCCAAAACAUGGUAUUGCCUCGACAUUGCUGCAUGCCAUGGACCAAGUCUGCAGGGAGUGAAUUGGGUGACUUGGCUUGUGUUUCAGUCUUCUCUCCUUCAGUAAUUGAAAGUGUUGGGUGUGGUGUGAGGUUAUGGUCCAUGGUCUUCGAUAUUUAUUGUAGCCUAGUGUACAACUUAAUUGGAAAAAAAGGGGACUAAAUGCGAUGGGAGUGAAAUCAGUGGGGAAGGUAGUGGCUGUAAGCAGGAGUUAAUGUGAUGGAAGUUUUCAUUUCAAACAACUGGGUUGAUUAAUAUAGGCAAGUUUUAAUGACCUGGAGUAACUCAGAGAGUUAUUGGUGGGAGGGAUUAGAGGGAGUAAUUGGCGGGAGGGAUUGGCGGGAGUCUUAGGCGGGAUAGUAUUGGGCGGGAGUUAUUACCCAGUUGACUGUAUGCCUUUUUGUAAUAUAUUUGUAUGUUGGACGUUCCAAACUUGGUAAUUUUCCCAUUAUGUAAUUCAAAUAAGGGAUUUGCCUAUUUGCCUAAUUGACCAACUCAUUCAAAUUGACCAAUAUGGUUAUUGUCUUAUUUCUCAUUUCAGCAAUCUCAAUUCGUUUCCAUUUUUCCAUUCUUCAUAUUUUCCUAUUUUCCAUGUGUCAUCCAAUUUUCCAAUUUUCCAAUUUUUCAUUAUUUUUGCCUAUUUUUUCCUAUUCCCUAUUUUCCUAUUGUGCAAUUUCCCAAGUUUCCUUUUGUUGUAUUUCUAGUUUUCCAAUUUUUCAAUGUUCCCAUUUUCCCAUUAUGUAAUUUAAAAAAAGUUGCCUGCUUUGCCUAAUUCAGAAAGUAAUUAAAAUGGUCCAAUAUGGUAAUUGUCUUAUUUUCCAUUUCCACAAUUUCAAUUCGUUUCCAAUUUUCUUAUUUUCCAUGUGUCCCUAUUUCCUAUUUCCAUUUUUCAAAUUUUAAGUUUUUGUCCAAUUAUCCAAUUAUCUUUUUUCCAAUUGGACUAUUUUCUAAGUUUCCUUUUUUUCCUAUUUCCAAUUUUCCAAUUUUUCAAUUUGCUAACUUUCCUUUUGUUCUAUUUCCAAUUUUGCUAUUUUCCAAGUUGCCUUAUUUCCUAUUUUUCAAUUAUCCAGUUAUCCAAUAUUCCAAUUUUCCAAUUAUCCAAUUUUCAAUUUUCCAAUUUGCGAAUUUGCCUAUUUUCCAAGUGUCCUUUUUUCCUAUUUCCUAUUUCAAAUUUUCCAAUUUUCAUGUUUUCAGAGUUUCCUUUUUUUUUCCUAUUUUCCAAGUUUCCUUUUGUCCAAUUUCAAAUUUUCCAAUUUUCCAAGUUGCUUUAUUUUCCAAUUACCCAAAUUUCCUAUUUUCCAAGUGUCCUUUUUUCCUUUUUCCAAUUUUCCAAUUUUCCAAGUGUCAUGUAAUCCUAUUGCCUAGUUUCCUCUUUCCAAUUUUUCCUUUUUUCCUAUUUCCAAUUUUCAAUUUUCCAAAUUUCCCAAAUUUCCAACUUUCCAUUUUUUCGUAUUUCCGAUUUGCCAAUUUUCCUUUUGUUCUAUUUCCAAUUUUCCAAGUUUCCUUAUUUCCCAUUCUCCAAGUUUUCACUUUUCCUAUUUUUCAAUUUCGCUAUUUUCCAAUUUUCUGUUCUGAAAUUCGCAAUAAAUGCUUAGUUACACAGUCCUAUUUUGGGUUGAAAUCCACAAUUUUCAAUUUCCCAUUAAGGUUUGCUUUUUUGUCGUUUGGAAGCCAAUUUUAUUGUUGUUAAUGUAAUGUUGUACUGUUGUAAAUUACAGCCAAUGAGUUAAUGAUGUAGUUUGCAAUCCCAUCAAUUGAAUGCACCAACUAAAUACCCAAUAUACUUCAUAUAAGUUCGUACAUAUAACUCAACCUUCCUAUACAGAACUGCAACAGAGGCACCUUCUUAACGGGAAAGGUAAUUAGUCUUACUAAAACGCAAAUAUUCUCCACUACAGCUAACCAAUUGUCGUUUACAACUGGAGACUGAAUCUACCUUUAUUUGUUUUGUUGCAGGCAACAGCUGUGAAUUGUCCCCGGCAAUACUUAAAGAUGUCGGAUGUACGCCCUCCAAAUGAGCAUGUCACAGUUACCCGGGGGACCAGCCGUGGCAUGUGCCAUUCCCAUCUCCACCUCGGACUCCCAAUCAUGAUCCCACUUCAUCUGGAAGUGAGGCUGAGAGCAAUGAUCCGCUUGACAAAAUCUCUGCCGUCAAGCACCACCUCCAAUAUAUGUCAAAGGCAACGGAUUGGUGGGAGAGUAAGUGCGAUAUUCAUGGCCAAGUUAUGGGAAACUUGGCCAACAAGUUGAACAAAGCAUACGCUGGAGAGGUGAAGCAAACUCUAAAAGCAAAAAGUCGGAGCAAAGAGUUAGAGUCCUUGAAGUUGAAAUUGGAAGAGAGAAAGAAAAAUGCUGUCGAAAAAUUCACACAAUCUGAAGAAUAUAACCAUGAAAUGGUUGAAUGUUUCAACAACGGCUUUGAAAUGUUCCGAGAUUAUGCUUCGGUCAUCUCACCAGACUACAAUUGGAGUGAAAUUGAUGUAGCUGGUGUUUGGCAGGUGCUGAAUAUGGGUGCUGAGGGAAUGGCUCAUCAUAGCCUCGUGCAUGCAGCAAGGAGAAAGGACAAAGACUUGGAUCUUUUGAUGGACCUGUAGUAACAGUGAGUGCUGCUUCAGUUCAACUCACCUGAGUACAUGGAUCUUUUGUUGCCUUCAUUUUCCCUUCGCAGGCUAGUAUUGUUAAGGUUCGGUGGCGAUUUCUUUUGCAUGUGUAAAAUGUUGUCUGUAAUGUGUAUGUAUUGUAUGUAGAUUGACUUAAUAUUGUAGUUCUAUUGUAUGUAUAUUGCCUUAAUAUUGCCUUUGUAUAGCAUAGAUAGUGUAUGCAUAUUGCCACCGUAUUGGAUGUAUAUUGUAAAACUAUUGGUAUCGUAUUGCCCUUAUAUUGCUCUAAUAUUGCCUCUAUAGUGCACCUAUAUUGACCUAAUAUUGCUCUUAUAUCGUAUGUCAAUGGCAUGUGCUCUAAUAAGUCUCCAGUUCGUUGAAAGUAAUCCUGAAUUCAAAUAUGAUGGACAAGACAAUUGUUAUCCAUCCUUAUAUUACCAUGAAUUGAUUUGGACCUUUCAAAUGAUAGUUGGAGUUGCACAUGGAUUCAUAUUCAAAAGGAAAGUAAUUCUCUCCCUCAAUGAAUUGUCGUUCAAAAGAAGGCAGCUAUCAAAUUUUGGGUACAAAAAGGCAACAUCCACGGUAAAUUAAUUGGGCACAAACCACAUAUUACAAAACCAGGAUGAUUUUUGGCAUGCUUCAAAAGAGAAGGGCCAAAUACAACAGAAAAGAAAAUCCAUUCAAGCUUGUACAAUAGAAUGCACAAUAACCCUUUUACAUGUCCUUCCAACACCAGUGUUUUGCCUACUUUAGAGUCGCAGGAGGAGAGCUUAUUGCCAUUGUGCAAUUCGAGGGGGCAGUCAAUUUGGAAUGGUGGCAUAAACAUGUUUACUCCACGGAUCACCUAUAUGGGACAGAGCUUCCUUCUUCCCUUGUCGUCUGUAGGUUUCAACUUCACACUUUUUAUAUACAUGUAUGAGAACUUGUGGCUAUUUAUUUAUGGCCUUCUAACACUUGUUCUGCCAUUCCAAAGUGGGUUGGAGACUUUUUGAGUUGAAUGACUGGAAAGACUUCAGAUGACAGAAACUAGAGAGUUUGAAGAAAAAGGGUUACCAAGAACAGCAGUCAUGCCCACGACAUAAACUAAACAUGCUAUAAGCUCCACAGUAAUAUUUACUUCAUCUCCAUAAUCAGAAUAUUGGGAAAAAAAUACCACGGAGAAAUACGUGAAAUGAAAAACAACUCGGCAGUUACUGUGAGAUUGUGUACAUAAAACUUGGAACAACCAAACCAAUUAAAGCUAAGCCAUCUCAUACGUAUACCUACAUCAAAUAACAGUGUAUGGUCAUCUUGUUUAGAAUAUUGCAAUCAACACUUGGUUGAGACCGACCUGCAAAAACAACUGGGUUAAGUACAGAUGAAGCCAUUUAUGAAGGGCAGUUCCAGAAUUAAGACCUACGUUAAUUUGUAACUGCCACCGAAUCAGUUCAUAGUGCCAAAUGCAUCUACCAAGCACACAGAUAUGACCAGCCAAAAGAAAAAAAAGCAAAGUAAAAAAGAUAAAAGAGGCAUGCCAUAAAUGGGAACCUCAGCAGAAAUCAUCAGAUAUGCAUACAAGCAGAUUGAGUAACAUCUCACUAAGUAGAGGUCAUGUUGGUAAUCGCAUGUUGUGUUUGCACACAGACAUUUGGUUUUUGCAAACACAACAUGCAAUUGCAUUCCAUGAUGUGUGUGUUGUGUUUGCACACAGACAUUUGGUUUUUGCAAACACAACAUGCAAUUGCAUGAUGUGUGUGUUGUGUUUGCACACAGACAUAUGGUUUUUGCAAACACAACAUGCAAUUGCAUAUUGUGUGUGUUGUGUUUGCACACAGACAUAUGGUUUUUGCAAACACAACAUGCAAUUGCAUAUUGUGUGUGUUGUGUUUGCACACAGACAUUUGGUUUUUACACACACGAUAUGUAACAUUUAGUUUUACCCUUUUAUUCUUAUUUUCUUCGUUCAAACAUGGUGGUGAGAAAAGCACCAAACCAUCCCAUCAUAUAAAGCAAAACUCAUACAAUAUUUUAGAUGCAAAAGUUAUAUAUUUUAUAUAAAUGCAUCAUCCGCAUGGCUUGAAAUUACAAAUUCACGUUCACAUAUUACUUUUCACAAGCGCACAGACUAACAAUAAUAAUAAUCAACCAAGUAGUUGCGACAUUCAUCCUAUUACGUCCAUAUUGAUAAUGUCAGAAGUUUCAUCGAUAAGCCUCAUCAAACUACAAGUUUUUUAAUUUGAAUUAUGAAUUCAGAACUAAAAGCUCAUGAUAUGCAGAAAAUGACAUACAUUGUCCACAAUCGACUUUUCGAUAUAUUUCUGCUCUAGCAAUUUAUCGUCCAAAUUCUGGACUCUCUGUGUCAGGUGCUUCUUUGUGUUCUAUCCAGCAUAAGAAUAUUUAAUAGUGUGAUUUCAAUUGUUUAUACAAAUUCUAUAAGUAAUAUUGAUGAGUGCUGUAAAUCUAUUUGAUAUUGGGAACAAACAUGGUCCCACUAACAGAAACUCAAACAAAACAGGAAUUUUUUUUUAUUUUUUUUGGCAUAGACAGCCGAAAAGAAACUUACAGCAAUAGCCUCUGUCACGCUCUCCAGACGUUUAUGCAAUUUUGAAACAGCAGCAUUCAUACUACGCUUUGUCACAUACAGAAGAUCUGAGAAUUUUAGACCCUAACCAUUUGUGAAGAGCAAAUAUUAGAUUUGCUUAAAGAAGACAACAACUCACAGAACCAAUGGAUGAAAUAAUAUGAACAUAAAUAUAUCAUUUGGAUACCUUCCACCACAUGUAACCAUAACCCAAUGCCCCCAAGGUAGCUGUUGGCAUUAUUAGUGAUGUCAAACCUAUUAAAAAAAUCAAAAAAAAAAAUAUAACCAAGUAUAAAAUGUUUCUAUUGCAUUAUGAAAUACAUACGUGUAAGGAAUUAAUCGUUUUACAACUUAACCAAAAAGUCAAGGCAGGAGCAUGCAUUCAUUGAGUGGUUAUAAGCAAGAGGAAAAAGCACAAAGCAUGCUAAGAAUUCAUUUGAACACAGAAGAGAAAGUAAGCUACCUUGGAAUUUGGCUGUCAUUCCCCUUCAGGACGGCUCUCUGUAGUGACGAGUCUAGUUGUCGGACCUCAGCUGCCAGUCGGCGCACCUAAAACAAAGUAACACAGGAAAAUUGAUAUCCAUUACAAAAAACAAAAAUUGAACACGAGAAAGCAUCCUUCGACACUAAAUUUAUAGCAGUUUUUCCAAUACCUGUGAUGCGAUCGCAUAAAAGUCACCUUCUGAUUGUUCUCCGGUUCCAUUGAACAAAGGCUGCAAACAAAACAGAAAUAGACACAAAUCCAUCAAUUUUUUGAGCAACAAGACACAAGCUCCGAAAUAAAUAAACUAUCUAACUGAUCAAAACCCUAGUUUACCAAAUGCAUUACAAAAUUAAAAACUCAUACAAAAAUAACACCAAAUACAAAUGUUCUGCGAGUUCCACUAGCAAAGCAGAGUACAAAUCAUGAAAAUGGUACCUGAAGUUCACCGAUCAAUUCAGAUAAUUGACCAUUCUUACGCAGGAUGGUGCUCGUAUACCCUGUAGAAAGAGAACAAUCACUCAGAUCAAAUGUAGCUAAAUACACAAGGAAACUAAUCCAGUAUGCAAGAUGAAAGAGGAGUGAUUGGUACCUACUCCAGCGAAGAUCAGCAAACACAGUAUGAGGUUCCAAAUUCAAAUAACAACAUAAUGCUAAGCAGAGAAGUAGAAUUGCUGCCGAAAUUAUUUAAAACGAACUAAGUCAAAACUAAAUGGAGAAAUGUUAACAAAGUUGUAUGCUUCAGUAAGUCCAGUAACAGAUUCCCAAAACCACAGAGACAAAAUGUGAACAAUGGCUACAAAAGCAUCCAUAAAGAGCAACUAUGUUUAUAUAUGGAGGUGUACAAAAUAGUUAACCUUCAAAAUCGAAACAGUGUGUGUGCCAUGUAAGGCAAUUAGCCACUGCUUCUAGACUAUACAAUAUUACACCUCACAAUAAUAACUAAACCAACUAGCUCUAGCAAAAAGGCAGGAUGACCAUAUAAAGUACCCCCAGCAAAGCAUCUACGUCUGCAUCUUCAUAUCAAGGAGUUCCUGACAUAAGUAAUGAGCAAAGUGAAUUCCCAAGUCAUAAGUCCAGAAUGAGGUGAAUUCACGGACAUUAAAACAUUUACCUCAUAAAUAUGCCUCCCCCCUUAAACCCUCAAUUGCAAGCCUCAGCCGGUAAUAUUUGAUCUUCAAAGGGUCAACUUUAUCUACCGAAAUCCCAGCACUGAGAUGCUCGAUGAAUUUGACGGUCAUGAUUCCGCAAGACGUACUGUGAGACCAAUAAGUUGGGAAAUUAGAACUGCAGUUAUGUAAGAUUUGGAUAAACUGCACUAAAUUCACAAAGCUUACCCAUCUCGUUGUUGUGGCACAUCUGCAAUGCUGCAAACUGAGAAUGGCGUAAACGUCAACAUCUUCAGCCCCUUUUGCUUAACCUUUUCAACCUCAGAAUCUUCAUAAAAGUGCAUAUCGUACAGCACUCGUGCCAGCGUAUCGCUAAUAGGGUGCAGAAGUGUAACCAGCUUCGAACAUUUGGUAAAAGCAACAUAUGAGUCAUACACAGUUGCAGUAUGUCAGACGAAAUCAAUUUCGAUUGCAACCCAGUAAGACCCUUUAAGAUUAUAUGGAAUAUAGACCUUCCGGACUUUUGUCCAAGCUUGGCCAUACCCGUGUUGCCACGUACCGCGUACAAAGUAAUGUAUAUUCUGCAGCUUGCUGGGUGGAAGGUCAACGGUGUUUGAAGCAACUGCCUUCUUCGAUCCACGUUUCUUGGCAGUCGGUUUGAACGGAUCUAGAAAUUGCUGCAUAAAUUGAAAUGAAGGCAUAUUAGAAAAUCACAACCGAAAGCAAAUGAAGCAGCGAAUGUAACAUGGUAACAUGUUUACCUGCAAGCAACAAUCUGCUGUUGUCCAGUCAGUUCCAAAUACCAACGGAUGAGAGAGUUGCCUUUUCCAGAUAAGAAAGGUUGCCAUGUCCAGGUGCUGAAAGUUGACACACAUAAUAUCAGCACAAUUUCAUACAACUGUACACUUAAAAAAGGUGAGAAAACAAUUUAAUUAUCGCAAUAAAGUAGAGCUUUGUGUAUUCUUACCCUUGAGCUAAUCCAUUCCGUUUCAUCGAUAAGUCUGUAGAAAAAAUCAGCGCCCACUGAAAAUAAUUCCAGCUGCACCUCCGCACUACAAAAGGCAAACUUGCAAUGGUUACUUUUAUAGUCAUCUCAUAAUUCUGACUUUGUUGAUGACAAAAAUACACAUGUAUAUUAAAGCAAACUCUACGUUUUCUCAUUAGUCUAUGACUACAUACUAGAAUAGGAUGAAGAUUGGAAUUCAAAGGUAAAGAAUCCUAACCUGAUAUCGUUUUUCCAGGCAGUACAAAACUCUAUUACUGCCUUCACAUCUUCAAUGGGCACGGAUUUUGAUGGAUCAAAACAUGGCGGGGUUGCAGUCGCAGCCAACACACUCAUCGUCCUCUUCUUCCUCAAAGGAUCAGUAAAUGGGCUCAACAAUGUCUGCGCCGGGCGCUUCUGUCUGCACCCUUUACCUUCCACUUCUUUUUUUUCCACACUCGAACUACCUUCUUCAUCACCAGCCAUACUAACUGUGGGUAGACUUGGAGGAUUCAUCGGACCUCCCGAUGGCAUACUCUUAGUCACUUUCCAAUCUUCUAACAGAGACAACACUUUUUGGCAGAUUUCGUCACACCCGGCCACAUCUUCCGGGGUAGGCAGCUUCUCGGAUUGUGCCUGCUCAGCUGCUUCAUGCACUUGUAAGUGAGGAACUGAAGCGGCCAUUUCUGCCUCUUCGACUACCAUGGCUGCGGAAGGUUCGGCUCCAUCACCGGGAACUUGUGUUUCCAUUACCGCCGGUUCUGUAGGCGGACUAACAUGGUCAUGUAAUGGCGACAAGUGAUUGUCGCCUCCUUCAUUCAUAUGAGGACUACUGAGGUCCUCAUGUCCUUUCCCACCUUCAUUCACCCCACCAUUUCGUUUUUUCAGCUGCUCUAUCUCCACAUUAAAAUAAUGCUCCAUUAAAGCCAGGGUGUUGCGGAAAUCCUCCACACACUUUUUAUUUUUUUCGAACUCUCUUUCAACUUUCAAUGACUCCUUCCGUACCAUGUCUUCCAACUGAUGCACUCUGUUGCGAAGCGCUCGAUUUGAUAUGGCAACUUUGGCCAAUUCAUCCUUUGUCCUUUGAAAGUCACGCUUCAAAGUGCGUAACUCUCUGGACGCGACUGUACCCUGCAUUCAGUUAUAAUGCAAGUGUUACAAUAUUUUCAAAAUAUAUUGCAACAAUACAGCAGUUAUUUUCCUAUUGUAUUAUGACGUAUAUCUUGGAAAAAAAUGUAAUGCUUGCCUUAGAAGACGACGGAAGGCUAGCAGUUUCGUCAAUGUCCUUAUCUUUUUCUUCUACAGAGGCAGAAGUGCUGGUUUUUUGUUCAGCGUCAUCGCCAAACAACUGAACAAGUUCUUCAGUGUCGUCAACACUGUCACCCCAAGUCCAAUACGGCUGCUGCUUGUCGAUUACAGAUGGCCGGAGAAGUUGCACAUCAACCUGCAAUUUACACAUACAAUAUACAUAUCAGUAAACUUAUUAUAUUAUAUUUUCAUAUGCCUAACAUUAUCAUUAAAAACUUAACUAACCUCACGGUUCUCGAAUACUUGGCUCAUUAGCUCAUAAAAACACGGCGAACUAUUGCUCCUCCAAUGUAGUAAACGAGGGAUGUAGGCAUUAUCUUCGUGCACCACCAAAUGUAGUGCAGCCAACGCUGGAAAAACCUCAUAAGCCCAAAUCUGGUUUGAGGAAUAAAACGUGAGUCACUGUAAACAAAUGAAAUUUAACUUCAACAUGAAUGGAAAUUUGCUCACCUGAAGUGCAUAGGCAAAACCUUUGAGGUGGUACUCUCUUGGUCUACCAGUUGCCGUUGUUUUUGCUUUCUUUUCAGAUUUUUUUGUUUUUGCAGCUUUUUUGGGCACUUUCACUCGCUGGUAAUCUGUACAAAGUGCCCUCAGAAGUGACACAAUUGUCUUGGCAUAACACACAGCACCCCAUGGAUACUUCCCAAACUCUUCAAGGUCUUCCACCAACUUCAAAUAUCGCAUGUCAAUCUGGACAUGUUUUUCACUGCCCAACAGCACAAACACAGCAAAGUAUACAAAUCUGAGCUUCAAUACAUCGUCCGCAUCAACGCAUUUGAGGAAGGCCUUUUCUAAUUCCAAAACAUUGACAGUUUUAUAGUUGCCAAAGUACUUCCUUUUCAAUGAGCAGUUCUCAUUAGUGGGAAUCGGAAUAAAGGGAAGGUUUCCAAACCUUAGCCCUGUCACGAUGCAAAAUUGCUGCGCCGUGAAUUGGAUCACCUUAUUGCCAACGAUGAAUUUGAUCCCGUUGAGUUGGGAAACUGUCUUUGGAUCAGCUUUCCUCAGCAGCAAGCCGUGGACAAUUGGCGAAGUCCACUUGAGGUCCUCAAUCAGUAGGAGAUGCCCAAAACAACUCUCUUCAAACCUUUGUAGCUGUUGUUCACUGAAUUUCUCCUUUAUCGUGCUGAUUGCAGUCUUCGUAUGGGAUAGGGACAAUGCUUUUCCUUGGAACUUUUCUUCCUCUGCAAUCAUCAACUUCAUUUGAGCAACCAUCUUUCCCUGCAUGCCAAUAUUAUAAAAAAAAAUUCAGUCCGUUGCAAUCUAGACAAUAACAAGCAAUAAACAAUCAGCACUUAUCUACAGCCUAUUAUAGGAUAUUAAGUGAAAACAAAAAAACAAAAAAUACAGGGCAUAAACAAAACCCCAGCUAUUUACAACUGACCUACUAAUUCAAUAGCUCAAAGCCACAUCCCAAGACACCCAGUACUCUACCACUCUUGCAUAAUAUAAUAUCUAAAGACACAUCUCAACACACCAGAUAAUCAUGACACAGCUUCAGCUAGAAUGGGAAUGUGCGGUAGCACAAGCCUAAUUGAGAACAAUUCAAGACUAACGAUAGAAAUCUAUCUGACUAGAAAGAGUUUUAAAAAAACAAGAAGACAUCGGGAAAGAAUUGAUUGACUUCAAGGUAUAAUGUAAUGGAACAUCCUAUGAAUUAGUGGCAACCAUAAUAAUGACUCCACUAUGGCCCUCCUUUCAAAUGUAAGAAAAUGAAUGAAAUUGGCACCAUCCCUUCAGUUUUUUCUUAACAAAAUAAGAGAUUUGUAUGUAUUCUCUGCUUUAUCGAUAUCAAAGAUAAAUUAAUAAAUAAACCAUCAAAACUGUAUAAAAUGUUUGUUAGACAUGUACAAUUACAAAAUUAUAAGUUCUCCUCAGAAACAAAGUUCUCUAAGUACGCAAACAAGAAAAGCAAAAGCUUAAAGAGUUAGCUUAUAGCAAAAUCAAUGUCCCCAUUUCUCUAAACCACACCUGCUGGUGGUAGGUUCCCAUCUUCACUCAUUUCCCGCUUUCUUUUAAACAGACAAUGAUCAAGCACAAAAGAGCAAACUUUUAAAUAACUCAUAUUACACCACAAAUAGUUCUAAAGAAAACUUAUUCAUAUCCAAUAUGCAACCCCUAAAGUUAGUAAACAGAGUUAUAAAAAAAUAUGUCAAAUUAACAAGCAUUAUUCUCAAACAAAAAGUAUGAUAUGGUUGGGAGUUUACAAGUUCAAAAUGAUAUACACAGGUUAAUUGUCUUAGACUUUAGAUAUCAUCUUCAACAAAGAAAAUAGAUACCGAUUAGACUUGUAAGAAGGUUAAAUGCAAUGGUCAUAAAGACCCAUAGUAAGCCACCAAAUACCAAUCAAUAACUGCUAUAAAAACCAUAAUAAAACCAUAAUAAACUAAAAAUACAACAGCACUAAAAUGCCAACACAACAUCACUACAUUAGCAAUAUAGUAGCAACAAAACCACAAUACGACAUCAAUAGCAACAGCAAAACAACAGCAGUGCAAGCAUCAGUCCACAAAGAACAAACCCAUUCACUGUUUCAAACAAGGAAUCAUCAUACUAAGAUCAUUUCAGAGAAACCCCAAAACCAAUUUCAGUGAAACCCCUAAACCAAUUUCAGAGAAACCCCUAAACCAAUUUCAGAGAAACCCCUAAACCUUCAACCAAUUUCGAACAAAUCCCUGAACCAAUUUCAUAGAAAUGCAUAAACCCUAAACCAACUUCAAAGAAACCCUAAACUGUAAGAAAAUGACGAUGAACAGUACCUGUUCAAGGUGAACGAUGGAGUUGAGCUUCGAUGAACAAAUUUCGCUCGGAGAGGAAGAGAGAAGAGAGAGUCAGAGCUGAGCGACGAGAGAUUAAGGGCUGAGCGACGAGAGAGUGAGAGCUGAUCGACGAGAGAUGAGAGAGUGAGAGCAAAGUGACGACAGAGUGAAGAGAAAUUGAGAGAAGGAGCCAAGAGAGAGAGCUGAGAGAGAACUUCAGCAAAACUGAUAGAGAACUUCAGCAAAAGUGAUAUGUGUACAAUAAGGGGACAAUAAAUAUAUAUUUAUAGGUUAUAGUUCCAAAUUUUUUUAAAAAGAGUGGUAUUUUCAGUUACAAUUAUAAAAAUGGUGGCAUUUUGAGCUAUUUCCUUAUUUUUUAUUCAACAUGGACGCAGAAACUGUUGCUAAACUGCAAACUUCUUAAAAUAUUUGUCUCACUUUCUCAACCCUAUAUUUGUCUAACUUUCUAGAUCCAUGUACUGAGAUUUAUUAGGGAAAUAUUGUAGAAACUGAUUAUUUUGAAAUAUUAAAUGUGAAAAACUGAACAAAAAUUUGAUGGGUUACAUAUUUCAACUCAUUUCAGCAGCUUAGAUUUUGAAGACCUCGGAAGAGGCCAUGCAGUGAGCCUAGCUAGUGCACUGUUGAUCACUUCAGUGUCUACCGAUCUGUAAUUUUUCCAGAUUGGUUAUAUUUUCCUUUACAUAUUCUUAUAUUAUUCCCAGCUGUAAGUGUUUUACACACUUGUCUAUUAGAAAAGGGGAGACUUAUAAAUAAAUCCAAAAUGGGUACAGUAUUUAUAAAGAAUGACAAAAUUAAAGUGUUUGGGCAAUAAUGCCCUUAUUCAUUUUGAGAUUGCCUAAGGAAUAUUUUUUCUGAUUUUCAGAAGAUGCCAAAGGACCGUUGUUUGAUGAUUGCCGUAAGGAGCUAAGAAAACUUGCUUUGAUAGUUUUGGACAGAUGCAUGCUACUGUUGCUGGGAUGAUCUCUUCACGUGAAAUGAGGAUGAUGAUGCUUCUACACUACACAAUCCAACGAAUUCACAUGUCUAUUUCAGAUACAAGUAUAAACUAACAAGGCUUUAAAAUAUGGGCUGAUGCACUGUUGUUGAUGUUGCUGACACUGUUACUGUGUUGUUGAUACUGUCACUGCGUUGCUGUUGGAAAAAGCACAAGGACUUCACAUGUUGCUUUCGUCUUUUGUGGAGGAGAGAGACCUAGGACUUGCAUGUCUUAGAUAUUUAAGAUAAGGGGCUUUCGUUCCAUUUUGAAAAUACUUUGGGUGUUUUUGAAAGGUGAUUGUUUCUUUUGGGUUUCUCACUAAAUUUCGCUUUAGAAGGGAAAAUAAUAAUAAUAAUGUCAAACAAAGUAGGGUAAAUAUUCAGAUAUGCUCAUAUUAUUAUUCUUCUCCAAUAUUGAGGUAUUUAUACAAGUACAAAGAUGUGUUAACCCUAAAUAAAAUAGGAAAUAUAUCUAAAUUAUAAUAGGCAGUAAAUCUCUAUUACAAUAGGACUAAAUAAUAAUUGGUAAGUAACCAAAAUUCUAAUGAAAUAAGGAAUCAAAAUCCUAACUAAGUAAGGACUCGCCAACACUCCCCCUCAAGUUAGGGCAAACAUAUUUCGCAUGCCUAACUUGACAAGCGAGUCAUAGAACACCAUACUUGAGAAGCACCAAUUGUAGAGAAGGUCUUUUCGUCAACCACGAGUGAAACAAGUGACAAACUAAAGCAAAGUUCGCAGCGGAAACACAAGAGCGAAUCCUAAAAAAUAGGGCACAUAGCAGAACACAAAAAUCCUGGAGCACGACAGUAGAUAAGGCAGAACACAGAAACCCUGUUAGCACGGCAAUAGGUAAGGCAGAAAAAGUCAAGAGCAAAGGCAAGGUCAACAGGCGUGACCACAACGAAAACACACCAGCAAAGACAUGAGCAACAAUAUUAGCACCAUAAUAGACAUGAGCAACAAUACUGGUACCAACAACAGCAAUACAAGGCACUGGCACCAGCAAGAGCAACAAGGCAUGGACAUAACAUGCAUAAUCAAUAGUAAUCAACAUUGUCCCCAACAAGAGUCAUAAUAGGCAUGAGCAAUAACAUUGUCCCCACUAAGAGACUUAACAGGUAUGAGUAACAGUACUGGCACCAGCAAAGGGCAUAGUAGUCAGCAGCAAUAACAAUGACAAAUACUUCUAUUAUUGCAGAGACAACUUCUCUUCACUCCCCAUCUCCCCUUGAAGAGAAGGGGUCAUCGGAACCAUAAGAAAAGUGGCACUUAAGAAACAGAAGUUGACUGACGCUCAAAUGUAGAAGAAUCAGCCAUGGCAAAUAGGUAGCUGAAUUGCAGCGGAAUAGAUGAGCAGCGGUGUCACUCCCCCUCAUAUCUGAUAAUGUAUGAGAGUCGAGAUUUGGAGAAAGCAAUAUCGAAAAAUAAAGUUGCAGAACCCAAAUAAAGUUGCAUCUAUCUCCCCAUCAAAUCCGACACUGGUAAAGGGUCGAGAUUUGAAAGAGGAGAAAUUGAAAUAAUAGUAAAGAGACUCAAACAUGCAGUCUCAUGGCAGAAACAAAUGCAAGAGGGGAAGAUGGUAGCAUACGGUUGUCCCAUGAAGAAAAAACUUCAGAAAAGGAGAAUAGUAAGGGAGGAAACCUAGCAAAUCAUGAACAGAGACAAAGACAAAGAUGCUCAAACUGAGAAGCGGAAAGGCAACUCAAGAGAGCAACCGAAGAAGACAGAGGCCCGCAGAACAGUCAAAGUUAAGGCUCGGCGAGUGGUGACGAUGCUCGCGGAGGAAAGCAACGGCUCGGUGAGCGGUGAUGAGGCUCACGGAGUAAAGAGACUUGUUAUGAAGUUUCAAAGAUAGAGAAGCUGAGACAUCAAGAAAGACCAUCUGGCAUACAAAGAUGAAAAAUAAAAAUUUUGGAACAGUAGCAAAGAAGCAUGUGAAGGCUGGUGCGGUGAAAACACAUAUGAAAGGAUGAACAAAAGAAGAUGACUAUACAAGAUGAAGACCCAUGAUGGGUUAGGAAUGAGGAGUGCCAACGACUCUCAAUUUGGCAGAGGUUAUCGCAGGUUAGGAACCUGGCUCUGAUACCAUGUCAAACAAAGUAGGGUAAAUAUUCAGUUAUGCUCAGAUAUGCUCAUAUUAUUAUUUUUCUCCAAUAUGGAGAUAAUUAUACAAGUACAAAGAUGUGUUAACCCUAAAUAAAAUAGAAAAUAUAUCUAAAUUACAAUUGGAAGUAAAUCUAUAUUACAAUAGGACUAAAUAAUAAUUGGUAAGUAACUAAAAUUCUAAUGAAAUAAGGAACCAAAAUCCUAACUAAGUUAGGACUCGCCAACAAAUAAUAGUACAACUCUUAUUAGCAACAGGUUACAAACUUCUUCUACAACACACCAACAUGAAUCUAGCCCUGAUCCACUCUUUUACAUACUUGAAAACAAAACAAAACACGAAAAACAAAAAACAAGAAACAAGAUAGGGAGAAAAUGGCUACGGAGAGACUUCCUGCUAAUCAGGGGCGGCCCUGGGGUGGUGCAAGUGGCGUCACCGCACAGGGCCCCCGAUUCUUAAGGGCCCCCAAAAAAUAAUUCUUUAUAUUAUAUAUAUAUAUAUUAAUAUUAUAUGAAUCGUAUAUAAAGUAUAGCGUCUGGAUGAUAAAGAGACUCAUUAUCAUUAUCUUAGUCAUAAGAUUCAAAAUGAAUUGAUACUUUUGUUAGCUUCUGAGCUCAAAAGUGCAAUCAUUAAAAAGAUUGAAGAAGCUAAAUAUUUUUCUGUGAUUCUUGAUUGUACUCCAGAUGCUAGAAACCAAGAACAAAUGAGUUUGAUAGUAAGAUGUGUGGAUGUCUCUACUAAUUCAAUAAAGGUUGAAGAAUUCUUUUUGGAAUUUUUGAUUGUGAAUGAUACAACAGGACAAGGACUUUUUGAAGAGUUGCAAACGGUGUUGCAAAAACUUAAGCUUGAUAUUGAUAAUGUGAGAGGACAAGGCUAUGACAAUGGAUCAAAUAUGAGUGGGAAAUAUCAAGGUGUCCAAAGAAAAUUUUUGGAUGUAAAUCCUAGAGCAUUGUACACACCUUGUGGUUGUCAUAGUCUUAAUUUAACACUUUGCGAUAUUGCAAACUCUUGUGGAAAAGCAAAAGAUUUUUUUGGAAUCAUACAACGUAUUUAUACAUUGUUUGCUAAUUCUACAAAGCGGUGGAAGAUAUUGAAAGAUAAUGUUAAACACUUAACUCUGAAAUCAUUGUCAGUUACACGUUGGGAAAGUCGUAUUGAAAGUGUGAGAGCAAUAAGAUUCCAAGCUGCAGAUUUAAGAGAAGCUUUACUUCAGUUAGCAGAAAGUGACGGUGACUCCAAAAUAACAAGUGAAGCUAAUUCUUUGGCAACAUAUGAACUUGGAAAUUUUGAGUUCUUAUUGGGCAUGGUUAUUUGGUAUGAUAUAUUAGGUGGUGUCAAUGUAGUGAGCAAAAACUUACAAUCUGAAGACAUGCUUAUUGAUGUUGCUAUUGAUAAAGUGAAAGGGUUGAUUACUUUUUUUUUGAAAAGUAUAGAGAAAAUGGGUUUACAGAAGCUAUGUGUACUGCUAAAAAAAUUGCUACUGACAUGGGAAUUGACCCGGUGUUUCCUGAGAAGCGAAAAAUUCGUAGAAAAAAACAUUUUGAUGAGAAUACUUGUGAGCUAUCCCAAUCAGUUCCUGAAUCAACUGAAGAAAAGUUUAGAAUUGAUUAUUUCUUGUAUUUAGUGGACCAAGCUAUUGGUUCUUUACGAAGAAGGUUUCGACAAUAUCAAGAGUAUGAGAAUUUUUGGGUUUUUGUUUACUUCAGAGAAGUUAAAUUCAUUGGAUGAUUGCGAUUUGAAGAAUAGUUGCAGUCAUCUGGAAAGCAUUUUGAAAAAUGACAAGUUUUCUGAUGUCGAUGGGGAGGAUUUAUUUGUUGAGUUGAAAGUUUUACAAGAGCUUUUACCAAAAGUAAAUACCACAGCUACUGCAAUAUUAAAUUUCUUGAAAAGAUUAAAUUGUUUUCCAAAUGCAUUCAUUGCAUAUAGAAUCCUAUUGACUAUUCCUGUUACUGUUGCAUCUGCGGAAAGAAGUUUUUCAAAAUUAAAAUUGUUAAAAUCAUACUUGAGAUCAACUAUGUCGCAAGAAAGAUUAAAUGGACUAGCUUUGAUUUCAAUUGAAAGUGAACUUCUUGAAAAACUUGAUUAUGAACAUUUGAUUGAUGAUUUCUCUUCUAAAAAUUCAAGAAGAUCAAUUUUCAGACAUUAGUAUUGUACUAGCUGUGUUUUUUUUUUUCUUCUAGGGUAAAAGCUCUCAUAAUAAUUUUAAUUCUUCAAAUAAGACAGCAAAUACAAUGUGAUGAAUUUUGGAUAAUCAGGUAUGUUUUUGUUGUUGCUUUUGUGUUUAAUGCAAUAUAAUCUAAUUUUUUUAAUGACAUUUGUGUGCAACUACUCUUUGAUUUGUGAUUGCCAAUUUUUUUUUCUUUCUAUUAAACACAGAUUGCUUAUUGGAGGCAGCAAGAGACCUUAUAGGGGCACAAGGAGCUUAUUUUUGUACAAAACAUUUAACUUUAUCAAAUGGAAACAUUUAAAUUUUUAUGAAUUUGAUUUCUGAUUGUCAUUGCAUAUUUAUUGAUGGUGAAUUUUAGUUAUAAAAAAAAAAUUGUUUAUGACAUUAAGUUAUGGCAAAUUUUUAUAGUAUUUUCGUAUUAGAUUAUGCGAGGUCCCAAUUUAAGUUUCGCACAGGGCCCUCAAAAUCUCAGGAACGGCCCUGCUGCUAAUACUUGAUCAAUAACAGAGAUAAUAGAGCACACUGUUUGUAUGACAAUGAGUAUCAGAAGAAUAAUAGCUGCAAAGAGAGAAAUAGCUGCCCAAGGUGUGUUGAAAUACUUUUGUCUCAAAUUUGCCUUCCGUCUGUUCGUGGUCUUCUUGCAGUACUCGUUUAGUUUGCCAGCAAGAUCACCAAAAUAGUAGUUUCCGUGGUUCGGAGCAACUUUACUGCAAAGCUUGUUAAUCAUAAUGGAAACCUUAUUGUUGUCACCUAGCGUGUUUACAACAAUUCCAUUGUCAACAAGCAACUCUACAUCCUUUGGGGUGUUUACAAAUUUAUCCAGGAUGAAAACAUAAUCGCUUAUGUAUUUAUCCACGCAAUGGCCUUGUUCAAAGGCAAUGAGAUUUCUAUGUGUAAGCUGUGUAAUCAUGUAUUUCAAUUUUUGGAAUUUCCAAGGUGUUUUUCUUGAACUGUAUAUCGAAUAAGUUCUUGCUUGAUCCCACGUUAAACUUAACUCCGGCCUGGUGUAGUUUUGUCAUGCUGGGUGUACUUUGGAGCCCUCCAUUUUUUUUUCUUUUGGCAGAUGUAAAGUUCUAAUAAAAUCAACAAAAUGUAAAGGUUUUUUAGGAUCAGGAGGCAUAAAAGACUUACGGAAGGCUGGUGAGUUCUCCAAGUUUUCUAAACGCAGUGCCUGUUGGAAGAACUUGUAAGAGAGUUCAAUUAUUGAAGGCUCCCCAGUCUGAGCACCUGUGAGAUUGUAAAGAUCCUCGAGAAUGAAAAAUGGCAGCUGAUUUACGAGCAUAAGCAUGUCAGGCAAUAUAUUUUGUAGCACCCAUGGUUUUUUAAAUAUCCAAGCAUCAUCAUCCUGCAAUUUUUCUUCCUGAAAUUUUUCUUCGGAUUUAUUCCUCAACAAUAGCUCAAUGACAAAGGCGGCAUCAACUAGAAUGAUAUUCACAAAAGUAGCAAUGUUAAACUUCUUAGGGCUAGUUUGGCGGCGUUGUGCUUUUAAAAAAAUAUGCUUCUGCUGUGCUGUGAAAAUAAUUAGCUGUGAAAAAAAGCUACUAGGCGUUUGGUAAACUGUUUUUGAAAAACUGCUGUGAGUAGUCAAAGUGUUUGGUAAAUUUUUAUCAGAAGUACUUUUAGUGUGUAUAAUGACCAAAAAGGACAUGAUGAUGAAAUUGUUUGUUAUUUUCUUCAUUCUUUUUCUACUUUAAAAAAAAAAAAAACCCAAUUUCACUACAUAAAUUUUUAUUCUUUUUUAAUUCACACCUUUUUAUCAAAAAAUUUAAUCUACAAUUAACAUACAUAUUUUACCAUAAAUUAUAAAUUACUAUUAUAACAAAAGUAAUUCUAAAUAUUGUUAUAUUAAUAUGGGCUUCGGACAUGACAAAAAUACAAAAAUUGUUCAAUUUUAAAAUGCCCCAAUAGAUCACUACAAUAUAAAAGAAGCUAAUUAGAUGCAUUCAUUAAACUUGUAGCGAUGCUAUUUCUUAAUGCAUUCAUUAGCUUCUUUUUUUGGUUUCCAAUGGUUCUCUAACAAUUUUAACUAAAAAAACAACCAUAAUGCUUUGUGAACAAUAAAUUCAAGUCCAAAUCUGCUAUUGCCCACACCAUACAUAUAUACAUAAUUGUUCCUUUCAUAAAACUUGAAGAUUCAAUAGUAAUUACACAGUUUACCAAUCUUGAUUCCAACUAUAUCCAUAAAAUUAAACUAUAAUUAGAAAUAGAGGAGCUACAUGUGAUUACUCAUAAAUGCUUCCCACUCUCAUCAUCAUCAUCAUCAUCAUCUUCCUCCUCUGUACUUUGCCUUUCACAAAUGGACAAGACCAGAUGGUAACGUACACGACAUGGUCCACAUAUAGAUAAAUUUUGGGUUCACUGGAGAACAUAAAAGAGUUUUUACACGAAUACAAAGUUAGUUAAGUAGUGAAUAAAGUAAAACUAUUCUGUACAAUUCUAGCUGAUGCAGUCCAAAAAGAAUAUAUGUCUAAUAACUUAAAUAACAAUAAAGAGAAACAAAAGCCUCAUGAAAAAUGCUAGAGUAAAAGUUACAUAACUGAAUCGAUGGACAGAGAACUCCACAGGCAGAGAAACAGCAACAAAAAUUGUCAAAACAGUAGCAAGACCAUGUUGGAGUCAAGGCCAAAGAUCAUAUUUCCUGUGUAUCUUCUUCCAUUCUGAAUUAUUCUCGUAUUCAAAUACUGUAACUCUAUUUCAAGUGCACCCCAAAAUACUUAUCUAAGGCCAGUACAUAGGACUUCAUAAAGGGUGCGAUAAAAAAUAUUGCCCCUUAAUUGAUAAACAGAACCAAGAUCCCAACAGCACACCAAAACUAUACCAACCACACCUACAUAAUAUGGACAGAAAAUCCUGUUGUUCCGAUCUCUAACCACACCAAUGACAUUCAUUAGGAAAAUACAAAAGAUGGGUACCCUGCAUUUCUAACAUUUAAGAUAAAAUUCACUGCCAGCUAAUCACAAAUUUGAAAAGAUGGCAAGAAAAUUGGCUAAGCUUUAACAAAAACCAGAGCAGUCCUUGCAUAGACCUGACUUUUUGCUCCAAGCUUUAGCAGAUCACUUACUGGUAGAGAGCAGAGAACAUGUAUGUGAAUAUCUGAAGUUGGAAGGGUAAGCCAUCACAAACACCAAGAGAUCUGAUUCUCAUCUCUUGUUACAACAACAAAUCACAAACACCAAUACAUCUGAUUCAGAAUCUCAUAAACAAUGGAGGAACAAACACAUAUUCACACACAUAUAAAUCCCUAAACAGAAAAAAUAAAAAAUAAAAAAAAAACCAUGAAAGUCAUAGGAGAAUCAAAUUGAUUUGGGCCAAAAUUGCCUAAAAAGAAAACACUCCUAAAUAAACUUCAAUUCACUUUUAAAAACAGUAAAACAUGAUUGAAUCAUUCUUUAAAACAAUUCCCUAAUAUACAUGCAUGAUAAUGACAUCAUUUACCCCUGAAUCAAAUGCCUUUCACUGGUCAAGCCACAAGUCUGUGUUUUGGGAAUUGCUGAGCUGCAUCAAUCCUGCCAAUGUAAAUUCUGCCCCUAGGCUCUCUCAAAGUGCGUUUACAACCUAUGCUAACAUAUACUAGAGUUUGUUUUAGUAUCUAGAAAAUGCCAACACUAAUUUCGUAACACGUAGAAAUUGUUACAUAUUGGAAGUUUUUAUCAUUUUUUCUUCCAGUCUCUCCACCACUCACUAAUACAGAUUACUCAUGUGAUGAGUUUACAAAACAUAUUUCUCUACUCCCACAAAGACCAUACUUUUUCUCAAAAGACUAUAUCACUUUAUCUCUAUCUUUGUGAAAUGUAAAAAGUUGAAACUUUAAUGUCAAACCUCGACAAAAGAUGAACAUCCAUCAUCAAUUACAUUGAAUUUGAAUUUGUUGAACUUAAGUAGUUUUACUUCUCUGUCAGCGUUUGAUGACUUGAUUUGUUAUUUACUUCUUCUUUUUUCCUUGGAAAUGUGUUCCAUCAACGUGAGGAAGAAAAAUAUGCACAAAUUAAUAUAUUUAAUAGAAGCAAAAAUUAAUAUUUACAAAAAUAUGCACAAAUCAAGUAAAAUUAAUAAAGCAUAAAUUGGAAAGGGAAAAUAUGUAGAGGAUGCAUUGUAGGAUUGCUCAUGCCAAUAAUUGUACCCUCUAAAUAUAUAGGGACAUAUUUUUUUUUGUUUUCAUGACAUGUGGUCCUAAAAUUAUUGUUCUUAGCGGGCUCUCCACCCCUCUCGACUGAAAACCUAUUGUGUAAAUCUUCAAUCCUGAAUGAUGCACCUAAAACUCAUGUUGCAAUACACAUCCACCCAUUCUCAGGCCAAUUAUUACUCCUAGUGGGCUCUCCACCCCCUCUCAAAUUUAAGUGGUCCAUUAUUAUUAACCGUAUAUUUUAUGGACCAGCCAGCUGUGAGGUUUUAUCUCAAAAACCUUUCUCCCACAUGCCACAAUUUAUGUCUGAUACAUCACAUCAUGCCAGUUGUCUCAAAUGAAUUUAAGUGAGUGAGGCAGUGUUACUUCUGGGUACCCCUCAUUAUUCGUCUAUAAAUUGGUGAAGCCAGUUGCUACUGUUACCAUAAGAGCCAGCUCCGACUUUCAAAAUAAAAAUUCCAACAACGGUCUUAGUGCCUUCAAUUGUAUGAGUCAUUGAACAUGCAAAUGAAUAAAAUAUGAAUGAUAAAAGUGUUUGAUAAAUCACCAAGUUAUAGAACACUUGAUGAUUUAUCUCAAAUAAAAAUUCAGCUUUCUAAAGUUUGUGAAUUGAAAAUAUAAUCGUUAAAGCUCUCUAAACAAAGAAGACGAAAGUCUUAUUUUAUAGAAUUUUUCUUUACAAGAAAGAAAACAUGUUGAAAACCAAAUCUCCAAUUUCCAAGGCUUGACAGAAAAUCAAAAAAAUAUCUUUCCUAUUCUAGAGAUUGGUCACAUGUAGUUCAACCAAUAGGAAAUGAGAUAUUUAAGAAAGCAAGAUUUUGAUCAAUACCAAUAUCAAAUGAAUUCUUAUACGCCUAGUCAACUAUUAAGGGUAUCUUGACUCCUUGAUAUUGUGAUAUGAUUGAAACAUGAUUUCCAUGUUAGAAAAUUAAGGGGAUGUUAAAACAUGAAAGUAAUAGGAGAAUCAAAUUGAUUUGGACUAAAAUUGCCUAAAAAGAAAACACUCUUAAAUAAACUUCAAUUCACUUUUAAAAACAGUAAAACAUGAUUGAAUCAUUUUUUAAAACAAUUCCCUAAUAUACAUGCAUGAUAAUGACAUCACUUACCCCUAAAUCAAAUUGUCACGCCCCGGACCUGGGGGUCAGUGGAAACCCCACGUUCGGUGCGUGAGAAAAUAAAAAGUAAAAUAAAAUAAAAAGAAUGCCGAAACAAGGGUUUAAAAUAAACUUCUCUUAUAAAAAUAACUCCAAAAUCUUACAACUUUACAAGAAAUAAAUAAAGCCCUAUCAUUCUUAUCUAAUUCAGCCUCAACUGGUUUAGUCCUUGUCUUGCCCACUAAUUCAUCUAAAAAAUGAAGAGUGUUGCUAAACGAACCCUAAAAUUAAUUGAGUACACCCUACUACCAAACGAUUUAUUGAAUUUGUCACAUCUCGGGAUCAACUCCGCCGUAGCACGAUAUUGUUCGCUUUGGGCCCUCCCUCUCUGGCUCGCAUGGUUUUGUUUCUGGGAACUCACGAGUAACUUCCCAGUGGGUCACCAAUCCUGGGAUUGCUCUAGCCCACAACUCGCUUAACUUCGGAGUUCCUACGACUCCGAAGCCUGUGAGCUCCCAAAAGGUCUCGUGCUAGAUGGAUGCGGGUGUGCACAUAUAAGGCACAUCACCCCCUCUCCGUUGGUUGAUGUGGGAUCUUAUAGAAUUACUAAUUUAUCCUAAUAUAAAAUGACCAAAGAAGAUAAAAUAAUAUUGGUAUCUAUUGCUUUGAAUCCAUGCCUUCAAACAAAUUGACUUAAUUUUUAACAAACAACACGGAGUCCAGGAGAAGUGUAUUGAUCCAAGUUGAUUUUUGUAUGCGUAAAACUUAAACAAUCAAUAACACAAAGCAGUUCAUGCUGAAAUAUUGGAAACCCACACCCAAAGAGUUCUCCGCUGCGAGGUUGAAGGCAGGAGAGAUGGGUGACAGAUUUUACUUCCACUGCGAAGUUGGAGGCUAGGAGAGUCUGUGACUGCCAUGGUUGAGGGAGAAGAUGCGUUCAAAAUGCCUAUUGAUAUUUUACAUUAUUGGCUUUUUUCAAAAGUGAAAGUUUUUUUAUGGGUAAAACCUAAAUUUACUUUUUCUAUACAAGUUAACAGUGUUUGUGUAUUGUGAAAAGGUGGAGAGACGUGUCAAAAUUUUAGACAAAGGACAGGAGGAGAUAGGGAAUUUGGGGACAGCAGAUCUCAACUCCCUUGAGACCCUAUUCUCUACGCCACCCCUCCCCCUCAACAACCCUAGUCACCAUUUCUCCUUCAACUCCAACGGCAACUCAUUAAAACCCAAUUCUCAAAUGCAACAAUCUAAUCCCAAUCCCAAUUCAGAUGUUUCUAAAAAACCCAUUGUCGUGGUGGAGAACUGCAAUUCCAGGUGGUGGUGGUGGUACCACAUGGGAGAGAGAAAAAAGAAGAAGAAGAAGCAGGAGAGAGAGAGUUUUUUAUUUUAUUAUUAUUUUACUGUAAUUUUUUAAUUUAAAUAAUUAAAAAAAUUAAAAGUUAAAGAGGAUGUACCAUGGGUAUUUUUGGUAGUUAAAUAAGGUGUACUUAGGGUCAGUUUGGCAUUGCUGUGCUGUGAAAAUAAUAGCUGUCAGAUUUGCUGUGAGAGAAAUCAGCUGUGAGAGAAAUCAGUUUGGCGUUUGAUAAAAUUUUUGUUAAAAGUGUGUUGAUAUUGAUUUUAUGCUUAAUCCGAAAAUGAUUGCUGCAUAAUCAUUAAACCCAGCGCCUCUUCGAAACUGAUUCCUAUAUAAUCAGAAAAUGAAAGCACCUCAUUAGCUGCUUUCCUUUAUAGCUUUCUCUCACAGCAAUUUUUAACAAUAAGUGAUUUUCUCACAGUUUACCAAACGGGUUGGGCUUCUCAAAAUUUUUUAAAAAUCACUUAUUACCCCAAAUAAGCAAUACCAAACGGGCACUUAGUUAAUUUUACAUUUUAAUUUAAACAUUAGGGUGUACUCAGUUAAUUUUAGGGUUCGUUCAGCAGCACUCAAAAUUAAACAAGGUGAGGGAUGAGCAAGUAGGGACAUGAGACAUUGCCACAGUAGAUUGAUAUAACUAAAUAUUAUUAUAAACAUAGAAAUAUAUAAGUAUUAUUAUAAUAGGAUUCAUAAUAAUUAAUAUAAAAGUAUAACAACAAUAUUUACAUUUAUGUACCAAGAUAAUUACACAUAUAAAUAUAACCAAUAUAUAUUUUUAUAUAUUUUAAAAUAUAAGUCUUUACGUAAAUGCCUUUCACGGGUCAAGCCACAAGUCUGUGUUUUGGGGAUUGCUGAGCUGCAUCAAUCCUGCCAAUGUCAAUUCUGCCCCUGAGCUCUCUCAAAGCACGUUUAAAACCUAUGCUAACAUAUACUAGAGUUUAUGCUGUAUCUAGAAAAUGCCAACACUAAUUUCGUAACACGUAGAAAUUGUUAGAGAUUGGAAGUUUUUAUCAUUUUUUCUUCCAGUCUCUCCACUACUUAUUAAUACAGAUUACUCAUGUGAUGAGUUUACAAAACCUAUUUCUCUACUCUCGCAAAGACUAAACUUCUUCUCAAAAGACUAGAUCACUUUACCUCUAUCUCUGUGAAAUGUAAAAAGUUGAAACUUUAAUGUCAAACCUCGACAAAGUGUUCUACUUUACAAACUUCUUGUGUCUACCAAUUUGUACUAAAAUUAAUUUCUCUACAGUGCUCAGAUUCAUCAUAUGUGUGUCCUUAAUUUUAGUGGAAAUUGGAAGUUUCCAUAAUUUUUGCUUUAAGUCACUCUUCUGAAGGAAGUUGAGGUUCCACUUCAUAAUCCAAAAUGUCAGGUUGACUUAUGGCAAACAAUGUAAAUAUGUAGGAGUACUAUGACCUUUUAUAGCAUUUUUAGUUUGAAUUUGGGUUUUAUACAUAGAUUUCAAAAUUAAUAGGUUGAUGCCUAGGAAAUAGAAAUUGUAAGGGCCUAUAUUAGAGUAGCCCUCUUAAAAAUAAUAUUAAUUAAUGAAUAUUUGUUCUUCUUGUUGUUUUGAAGUAGUGGUGGGAGGCAGACCAACAAAAAAAAAAUAUAGUGAAGGCUUAUAAGAGCAUUUACAAUCAUGCUCCCUAUUUUUUAGUUAAAAUUUAGCUAAAAAUAGAAAAAAAGUUAUUAUAGGAGCUCUUUAUAAAGCUCCUUUAUAAAAUUUGAACUCCAAUCAUACUCCCUAGUUUAGGGAGUCAAAAAUACUAUAGUUAUUUUUUAAUUCAAUUUGAUUUUGGUUAAUCUCUAUAAAUAUGAAAAAAUAGUUAGCAUUAAUUAAAAGUUUAAACUAUGCAUAAAACAAAGAAACAUUAAAUUAUAGGGAGCCACUAUGAGUCAUUACUCUCUCCUCAGAUUUAGGAGCUCCUAAAGGUCUCCCUAUUUUAUGAGGUGGAUAAGGAGCAUGGUUGGAGUUGUAUUUCUUCAAUUUCCUCCCUAAAAUUUGUCUAAGGAUGUGGUUUAGGGAGCCCAUUGUGAAUGCUCUAACUCUGGUAAAACACGAGUGACAUGGACAACAUAUGUUACGUCGUACUGAAGAUUUUUGGGUUUCUUUAAUUGGUUAAGUAGCAUCCACACAGCUUCCUAAAUCAUCUCCUUAGACAAAUUUUAGGGAGGAAUUGGAAAAGUACAACUCCAACUAUGCUCCCUAUCCACCAACUAAAAUAGGGAGACUUCUAGGAGCUCCUAAAUCUGAUGAGAGAGAAAGGACUCUUAAUGACUCCCUAUAAUUUAAUGUUGCUUUAUAUUAUUUUGUAUACAGACGGGUCAAUUAUAUUAAAUUAAAAAAUAAUUAAAGUAUUUAUGACUCUCUAAACUAGUGAGCAUAAUUGUAGAUCAUCUUAUAUACCUUAAUUUGAAGAUUCUUUAUUUGGGUUUCUUUCAAGACUUAUCACCUUAGCCACGCCACCUACACGUCUGCAAGCUUUCCUAACAAGGAAGGGGAGGCUGCGCAAUACUUAUCACCUUAGCCACACUACACCAAAUUGACGUCUGCAAGCUUUCGUAAUCUAACAAGGAAGGGGAGGCUGCGCAAUACUUAUCACCUUAGCCACACCAACACCACAAGACCAAUAUGUGUAGUCCAGGAGGCUUUCCCAUUUUAAUAUAUAUUAUCAAAUAAAAUAAAAAUCAAUCUAUUAUCAUAUAUAUUAUAAAAUAAAGAUUAUUGCUCCAUCCUCCAUGCACUUGCAUGCCUCUUACAAAGUGUGAAGUAGAUUUUGUGUGCUCCAAGUCAUUGACGAGAGCUGUAACAUGGUUAGCUGGAUUUAUAAGAUCUUUUCUUUUCUGGGAAUUUUCUGAAUCAAGAAAAAUUAAGUAAAAUUAAUAAAGCAUAAAUUAGAAAGGAAAAAUAUCUAGAGGAUGCAUUGUAGGAUUGCACAUGCCAAUAAUUGUAUCCUCUAAAUAUAUAGGGACAUAUUUUUUUGUUUUCAUGACAUGUGGCCCUAAAAUUAUUGUUCCUAGCGGGCUCUCCACCCCCUCUCGAUUGAAAACUAAUUGUGUAAAUCUUCAAUCUUGAAUGAUGCACCUAAAACUCAAGUGUCCCAGGCCAAUUAUUGCUCUCAUACCACUUGUUGUAAUAAACAUCCAUCCAUUCUAAAGGAAAGAUAACCAUCGAUAUUAUCUCAAAUUUAACCACUUAAGUUCAUUAUGAUUAACUAUGUAUCUUAUGGACCAAUCCAAUCAUGAGGUUUUAUACCCAAUUAGAUCGACUAAUACAAAGUUCACACGUGGAUUGAAAAGCGCUAUCAGUAGGGGAGUGUUCGGCACCCUUUACUGCCGAACGCAACACAAGACCCCUUGCAUGCCUUCACUAAGUUGAGCCUAUCUAUUUUUUAGCAUUAACAAUAUAUAUAGAUUGAAAAAAUAAAAUAAAAAUCAAUCUAUUAUCAUAUAAAAUAAAUAUUAUUGCUCCAUCCUCCAUACACUUGCAUGCCCUCUUACAAAGUGUGAAGUAGAUUUUUUGUGCUCCAACUCAUUGACUAGGGCUGAAACAUGGUUAGUUGGAUUUAUAAGAUCUUUUCUUUUCUGGGAAUUUUCUGAAGCACGGAAAAUCAAAUAAAAUUAAUAAAGCAGAAACUGUACCCUUUAAUUAUAUAUGGACGUAUGUUUUUUUGUUUUCAAGUCUUAGAUGACAUGGGGACCUAAAAUUAUUGCUCCUAGUGGACUCUCGACCCCUCUCAAAUUUAAGUGGUCCAUUAUUAUUAACCACAUAUUUUAUGGACCAUGCAGCUGUGAGGUUUUAUCUCAAAAACCUUCGGUACAUUUCUCCCACAUGCCACAAUUGUAUAUUCACAAUUACGGCUGUUACGUCACAUCAUGCCACUUGCCUCACAUGCAACAAGUCUGUGUUUUGGGGAUUGCCGAGCUGCAUCAAUUCUGCCAAUGUCAAUUCUGCCCCUGGACUCUCUCAAAGCACAUUUAAAACCUAUGCGAACAUAUAUUAGAGUUUAUGAUGUAUGUAUCUAGAAAAUGCCAACACUAAUUUCGUAACAUGUAAAAAUUAUUAGAGAUUGGAAGUUUUUAUCAUUUUUUCUUCCAGUCUCUCCACCACUUAUUAAUACAGAUUACUCAUGUGAUGAGUUUACAAAACCUAUUUCUCUACUCUCGCAAAGACUAAACUUCUUCUCAAAAGACUAGAUCACUUUACCUCUAUCUCUGUGAAAUGUAAAAAGUUGAAACUUUAAUGUCAAACCUCGACAAAGUGUUCUACUUUACAAACUUCUUGUGUCUACCAAUUUGUACUAAAAUUAAUUUAUCUACGGUGCUCAGCUUCAUCGUAUGUGUGUCCUUAAUUUUAGUGGAAAUUGGAAGUUUCCAUAAUUUUUGCUUUAAGUCACUCUUCUGAAGGAAGUUGAGGUUCCACUCCAUAAUCCCAAAUGUCAGGUUGACUUAUGGCAAACAAUGUAAAUAUGUAGGAGUACUAUGACCUUUUAUAGCAUUUUUAGUUUGAAUUUGGGUUUUAUACAUAGAUUUCAAAAUUAAUAGGUUGAUGCCUAGGAAAUAGAAAUUGUAAGGGCCUAUAUUAGAGUAGCCCUCUUAAAAAUAAUAUUAAUUAAUGAAUAUUUGUUCUUCUUGUUGUUUUGAAGUAGUGGUGGGAGGCAGACCAACAAAAAAAAUAUAGUGAAGGCUUAUAAGAGCAUUUACAAUCAUGCUCCCUAUUUUUUAGUUAAAAUUUAGCUAAAAAUAGAAAAAAGUUAUUAUAGGAGCUCUUUAUAAAAUUUGAAUUCCAAUCGUACUCCCUAAUUUAGGGAGUCAUAAAUAUUAUAGUUAUUUUUUAAUUCAAUUUGAUUUUGGUUAAUCUCUAUAAAUAAAUAAAAAUAUGAAAAAAUAGUUAGCAUUAAUUAAAAGUUUAAACUAUGCAUAAAACAAAGAAACAUUAAAUUAUAGGGAGCCACUAUGCCAAUAAUUGUAUCCUCUAAAUAUAUAGGGACAUAUUUUUUUUGUUUUCAUGACAUGUGGCCCUAAAAUUAUUGUUCCUAGCGGGCUCUCCAACCCCUCUCGAUUGAAAACCAAUUGUGUAAAUCUUCAAUCUUGAAUGAUGCACCUAAAACUCAAGUGUCCCAGGCCAAUUAUUGCUCUCAUACCACGUGUUGUAAUAAACAUCCAUCCAUUCUAAAGGAAAGAUAACCAUCGAUAUUAUCUCAAAUUUAACCACUUAAGUUCAUUAUGAUUAACUAUGUAUCUUAUGAACCAAUCCAAUCGUGAGGUUUUAUACCCAAUUAGAUCGACCAAUACAAAGUUCACACGUGGAUUGAAAAGCACUAUCAAUAGGGGAGUGUUCGGCACCCUUUACUGCCGAGCGCAACACAAGAUCCCUUGCAUGCCCUCACUAAGUUGAGCCCAACUAUUUUUUAGCAUUAACAAUAUAUAUAGAUUGAAAAAAUAAAAUAAAAAUCAAUCUAUUAUCAUAUAUUUUAUAAAAUACAUAUUAUUGCUCCAUCCUCCAUACACUUGCAUGCCCUCUUACAAAGUGUGAAGUAGAUUUUUUGUGCUCCAACUCAUUGACUAGGGCUGAAACAUGGUUAGUUAGAUUUAUAAGAUCUUUUGUUUUUUGGGAAUUUUCUGAAGCAAGGAAAAUCAAAUAAAAUUAAUAAAGCAGAAACUGUACCCUUUAAUUAUAUAUGGACAUAUGUUUUUUUGUUUUUUUGCUCUCGACCCCUCUCAAAUUUAAGUGGUCCAUUAUUGUUAACCACAUAUUUUAUGGACCAUCCAGCUUCGGUACAUUUCAAAAAGCUUCGGUACAUUUCUCCCACAUGACACAAUUGUAUAUUCACAAUUACUUCUGGGUACCCCUCAUCAGUCGUCUAUAAAAUGGUGAAGCCAGUUGCUACUGUUACCAUAAGAGCCAGCUCCGACUUUCUUUAAUUUCUUGCUACAUCUGUUGCUAAGUUAAUUUCAGUCCUAAUGGGGUUUCAUCUCCCACUCAUCUUUGCUAUUCUCAGUGUAAGCUCUGCAAUUUGAUUAACUUUUCCAUUCUCUCUCAUUGUACUCUAUAUAUAUAAAUGAAAGUUUUGUGUUCCUAUAAUUCUCUCCGAUUUUAUUUAGUACGUACUUAAGUGUCGUCCACUAAUUAAUUACACUUUGUGAGAUUUGAUUUUAAUUAGAGUUCGAAUUAAUGUUGCAGCUAGCAGCGGUUGCACUGGCAAACAAUGCUGCUCAACCAGCACCUCAACUUUACUGGAACUCCGUCCUGCCAAACACACAGAUGCCAAGAUCUAUCAGUGAACUUCUGCAUCCUGGUUUGUGUUCAGCUCUUUAUAAUCUUAGAUAUCUCUUCUACCUGCCAUUUUACUAAAAUAUGUUCGACCACAUAUUUAUCAGCUAACUACUGUGAUUACAAGAAUGACACUUAUUUUCCAAUAUAAUUUGCAGACUCCACAAAUGAAGAAAAGAGCAAACCUGAAAUUUUCCCAUUGCAGGGCAAUAGAGUUUACACUCAAAGCCAUUAUAAAAAACGUCCUCCUCCUCCAUCUGACGAGGGCAAACCUGAAACUUUCCCAUUGGGCAAUAGCCAUUACACUCAAACCCGUUAUAAAAAACGUCCUCCUCCUCCAUCUGACGAGGGCAAACCUGAAAAUUUCCCAUUGGGCAAUAGCCAUUACACUCAAACCCGUUAUAAAAAACGUCCUCCUCCUCCAUCCGACGAGGGCAAACCUGAAAAUUUCCCAUUGGCCAAUAGCUUUUACACUCAAACCCGUUAUAAAAAACGUCCUCCUCCUCCAUCUGACGAGGGCAAACCUGAAAAUUUCCCAUUGGCCAAUAGCUUUUACACUCAAAGCCAUUAUAAAAAACGUCCUCCUCCUCCAUCUGACGAGGGCAAACCUGAAAAUUUCCCAUUGGCACGUUCUCCUCCAUCUGACAGUCAACUAAAGCAUUACAAAGACUUAGCUAUUUUCUUCUUCGAGAAGGACAUGCGCCCGGGCACAACUAUGAAGUUCCAAUUCCCUAGAAAUUCAAACACGGCUACUUUCCUGCCACGCGAAAGUGCUCAAUCGAUCCCCUUCUCCUCUAAGAAACUACCAGAAAUUUUCAACCAUUUUUCAGUGAAGCCAACAUCUGAGGAAGCCAAAACAAUUAAGCAAACAAUCGAAGAGUGUGAAGCUCCAGGCCUUAAGGGAGAGGAAAAAUAUUGCGCCACAUCUUUAGAAUCAAUGGUUGAUUUUAGCACUUCGAAGCUUGGAACAAGAAACGUUGAAGCAAUCUCAACGGAGGUAUUGGAAGAAGGAGCCACCAAGUACAUGCACAACUAUACAACAAUGCCGGGACUGAAGAAGUUGGAAGGUGACAAAGUCGUUGUGUGUCAUAAGGAGAACUAUCCCUAUGCUGUGUUUCUCUGCCAUGCAAUAAAACAAACAGAAGCUUAUGUUCUCUCCCUGAAAGCCGAUGAUGGGAUGAAGGUGAAAGCAGUAACCAUCUGCCAUCUAGACACAUCAGAAUGGGACCCAGAGCAUUUGUCCUUCCAAAUCCUCAACGUUAAGCCCGGAACCACUCCCAUCUGCCAUUUCCUUACCACUGAUGCUAUUGCCUGGGUUCCAAAACACAAAUCUGCAUGAUCAUCACUUAGCACUGUACGUGUAAUAAGCUUGGUCGGGUUGCACCCUAGGCCUGCAUAAUUAUCUCCCUACUUAUUUCUGCCUCUUCAUCAUGCGGUGUAAGAUAUAUGAUGAGAUGAAGUUUUCUCUUGUAACUAUGUAGACUACUUCAACUUGUACUCAUAAUAAAGCACGCUGUUGGGGGGUUCUACUUAAUUUCGUUCUCUCCAAUGUUUGAGUGUUGAAUUGUUACGUUGGAAUAGGCUGCUAAUGCAUGUAGUUAGAGAAGCCUUCAUUUAUAUCAAAGUCCUCAAACUAUCAAGAAUUAAUGUAUCCAGAAACAUAUACCAAGACGCAAAACAACAUAUUUUCCAUUCUCUGUCUGUAACACCAAAGCAAACUUCCUUUAUCACAUCAUUUAAAGGAUCAAAUUCCAGUACUAAUCUAAUCCAUCAUGUAAAGCAUACAAGUGCCUACCUAAAUUUGUCCAUUGGAUAUAUAUGUCACUUUUUAUUUUUUGAUAGAGAUAUAAAUGUUGAAAAAAUUAGAGUACACAACUCUUAUAGACACUACUACGAUUUACUAUUUGCGCGACGGAAGUUUGCGCGACGAACAUUGUUUCGUCGCGCAAAAAGCACUAUUGCGACGAAAAAAAAAUACCGUAGCGCAAACAACAUAACACAAGCGCGACAAACAGUUUCGUCGCGCAAACAAUCUAUGCGCGACCAAUAUUAAUUUCGUCGCGCAAAGGUAGGGGAAAAAAACCCGGUUUUUUUUUUUUGGCGCCAUAAUCUUGCGCGACAACAACAAUCGUCGCGCAUGACAAUAUUGCGCGACAAUUCAAAGAAUUCGUCAGGUAAAGAUGGACAGAAAAUUGUCUCAUUUUUUUGGCGGUAAAAAACUUUGCGCGACGAAAUUUUUCGUCUCAAAAGACAACUUAGCGCGACGGAAAUAUGUACCGUCGCGUAAAAAAACGAGGGAUACUUAUUUUUGGCGCCAAAAUGCAGGGUGGAUAAAAAAAAUUUUGCGCGACGGAAUUACCUUCGUCGCGUAAAGUGUAAUGCCGGUGCUUUCUUGCGCGACGAAAUAAAUAAUUUGCGCGACGUAAUUUAAACCUUGCGCGACGAAAAGUAUUAUUUGCGCGACGAAAUUUUGUGCGACGAAUAAUAUGUUUCGUCGCACAAAAAAGCAGAUGUCGACAGGUAAUUGCGCGACGGAAAUGUUGUUUUGUGCGAUGGAAAAGUGGGUUUUCGCGACGGCAUUUUGCGCGACGGAUAUUGGUGUUCGUCGCGCAAAGUCCUUCUUCUUCAUAUUAGUAUCUGCCAUUGCAGAGGCAGAAUGCAGAAAUUGCAUUCUGCCUCUCUCUCACUCUCCCUGCCGCUGCUCUGCUGUGAAUUCAAUACGUUCAUUGGGUAUGUAUUUUUUGUCGUUAGUUUAAAUGUAUUAAUGUAAAUUCGUAGUAACGCUAUUAAUUUUGUUAUCGUUAGGGAUAUUUGUGAUUAGUGAUUGGUGGAGAACGAUUGAGAAGGUAUGUUAUUGUAAAAGUUUGUUUGUUAUGUUUGUAAUUUUUUUGUGAAGUUAUAUGUAUAUAAUGUUGUGAAAUUGUGCGUGACAUAGCACAAUGUGUUGUGAUGUACGAAGUUAAUUGAAAUUAACUUCGUACUUUUAUUUUUAUGUUUAGUAACACGUAGUUUCCCGUUCGAGAUUAGUUGGAUUUCGUGCAUGGAUGAGUAAUGCAUGACUGCGGUCCAAUUAAUUCUUGAAUUGUCCCAUUAUUUGGACAGUUUGGUAAUGCAUAGUGUUGUCACAUAAUCUUCGGCUACAGGAUUAGGUUUCGAUUGUGGAGAUUUCGGUGUCAUCUCGGUACGUUCUUCGAGUGGUACGUAGGUAUUUAUACCUAUGCCCACUUCAAGAACUGUGUCGAGAUGCUGCCGAAAUUAAUCCACGUCGAAAUCUAAUCUCAUGUAGCCGUAGGUUACGUGACAGGACUAUGCAUUCCCGAAUGGGAUAGGGCCCUUACCGGAGGCAUAAGGUGACAUUAUAACUUCGUAUGAAGUUGUUGUGAUUGUUGUGUCGUGAUUGUGGUUUCAUGAAUUAUGAGCAGAAGGUGGAUACAUAACCCGAAUAGAUGCGCAGACGAAUACUUGGAUGGAAUCGAGGAUUUUAUUGAGUUUGCACAUAGACACAACCCGGGUGCAAGUAGAAUCCGUUGUCCUUGUAGGAGGUGUAACAACACGUUGUGGGAGACAAUUGAAAAUGUUGGAUUUCAUUUAGUAAGGAAUGGAAUGAUUGAAACAUAUAGCAUUUGGAACCUUCACGGCGAACAUGUAGGCCAUGCUUCGUCUUCAAAUGCCCCAAGAGUGGACAAUGUUGAACCUAUUGUGGAUCCUAAUGAUCAAGUCAUGGGUAUUAUACAGGAUGCUUUUCCAUUCGCAUCGACCAACAUCAAUCAGGAAGGGGAAGAUAACGUGCCUACACCAAUAGACAGUGCGGAGUUUGAACAGUAUGAAAAACUGUUAAAAAAUGCCAACCAAGAGUUAUACCCGGGGUACGAGAGCUUUUCCGUUCUCACUUCUAUUGUGGAGCUAAUGCACGGAAAAAUAAAGUAUCGUAUGUCGAACUUGUGUUUCGAUUACUUUUUGGGGGUUUUCAAGAGAAUGCUUCCGACGGAUAAUUAUUUGCCGAAAGACCAGAAACAUGCACAGAAGGUGUUGCAUGGUCUUGGAUUGGGUUAUGAAAAAAUCCACGCUUGCAAAAACAAUUGCAUGUUAUUCUACAAAGAGCAUGAAACGUUGGAUACAUGCCCUAUAUGCAAUGAGUCGAGGUUCAAAAUGACAUCCCAGAAUAGAACGACUAAGAUACCACAAAAAGUCAUGCGUUAUCUGCCCCUUAAACCUGGGUUGCAGCGAUUGUAUAUGUCGACGCAUACUGCCACAGACAUGAGAUGGCAUAAGGAAAAACGGGUAGACGAUGAUGUGAUGCGGCAUCCUGCAGAUGGGGAGGCAUGGAAAGAGUUCGAUCGAACGUUCCCCGAGUUUGCUGCUGAUCCCCGAAAUGUAAGAUUGGGACUUGCCACUGACGGAUUCAAUCCGUAUGGGGUUCUAAACCAACACCACAGCACUUGGCCGAUUUUCGCAUUCCCAUAUAAUUUGCCGCCUUGGAAAUGCAUGAAAAAAGAAUACAUGAUGAUGACUGUUUUGAUAACUGAGGAUCCUGGCAGGUCAAUUGAUGUGUACUUAAGGCCUCUGGUUGAUGAGCUGAAAGAUUUAUGGACAAACGGUGUUCGCACGUACGAUAAAUCAACUGGGAGGAUGUUCACUUUGCGAGCAGCAAUUAUGUGGACUGUGAAUGAUUUUCCAGCAUAUGCAAUGGUUUCUGGGUGGAGCACAAAAGGUUAUAUGGCAUGUCAUGUAUGCAAGGAAGAUGUAACUUCUGGUUGGCACGCGGGAAAAGUUUGUUACCUUGGUCAUCGGAGAUGGUUGCCAUGGGACCACGAGUGGCGAGAAAAAGAUAAAGAGUUCAACGGGAACACAGAGCGUCGCCUCAGACCUGGAGAAUGGUCCGGUGAUGAGAUCUUGGAACAGCUGAACCGUUUGGAUUUUGGUCCGUUCGGAAAAACAAUUAGUCGGACCAGACCUUCUACACAUUUGAACUGGACGCACAAGCCUAUGUUUUUUGAGCUCCCAUAUUGGUCGAAACUGAAAUUGAGGCACAAUCUAGAUGUGAUGCAUGUUGAGAAAAAUGUAUUCGACACAUUGGUGGGCACGAUUCUAGAUAUCGAGGGGAAGACGAAGGACACGAUCAAAGCUCGUCUUGAUUUGGAAAGAAUGGGCAUACGAAGGGGUUUAUGGAUGAAUAGGGACAGUGAUAAAGCUAGAAGGGAUCUUGCAUUCUUUUCUAUGAAACCGAAUGACAAAAAGGAGUUUCUAAAGUUUGUAUCGUCUGUCAAAUUUCCCGAUGGGUAUGCUUCUAAUAUCGCACGUUGCGUGAAUGUCGAUGGGGGUAAAUUUACUGGACUUAAGAGCCAUGACUGCCAUGUUCCUGUGGGUAUUCGACACCUACUGCCGGAAGAUGUGGUGAAGCCAAUCAUGUUGUUAUCCAGAUUUUUUUCCCAACUGACGGCAAAAACAUUGCGAAGGACAGACAUGUUUCAGUUGCGCCAUGACAUUGUCCAAGUCCUAUGCAAGUUUGAGAUGAUAUUUCCUCCGGCUUUCUUUACAAGUAUGAUGCACGUAAUGGUUCACUUGCCAGAAGAGGCAUUGCUUGCUGGUCCUGUCAACUAUCGCUGGAUGUAUCCAAUAGAAAGGUAUAUAAUCUUUAUCAUUUGUGUAUGCAUCAUUAUCGACACUUUGCUAAUUUGUAUCAUAUCGUUUUAUUUUGGCAGGCUUCUCGGAGAGCUGAAAAAAAGUGUACGCAACAGGGCAAAGCCCGAAGGAUUAAUUAUAGAGGCUUGGGUUCAAUAUGAGUCGCUUACUUUCUGUGGAAUGUAUUUAAAAGAUGUGGAGACGGUUUUCAAUCGUCCUCAACGCAAUAAUGACGGAGGUAUGAGAAAUGAAAAACUUUUUGUUUUUGCCCAAAGCGCAUGACCAUUUGGAGAUCCUGGACGAGGAGAGUCGUUUUCUAGAAAUGACAUGGAGGUAGCGCAUUGGUUCGUACUGAACAAUUGUGAUGAGAUAAUGGCCUACUUAGAUGAGCAUGAACAGAUGAUGAAGCGAGAACAUCCAUCACAUUUGGUUGCCCGGAAACAUCGUGAAUUAUUUCCACAAUGGUUUUUGGAUUCUGUAAGUUAUAACUGUUUUGUAAUUGACAAAUAUAAAUUGUAGUAUUUAAUUUUGUCAGACUAACAUGUAAAUGAUUUUGUAUACUAUUAGGUGAAUAAAUUGAAAUCAUCGAAUUCCCCCACUUACAGUGAUGAGUUAUAUAACUUGGCGUUCGGCCCAAUUCGUGCUGAGUUGUUCUCGGGUUGUAAUGUUAACGGCGUCAAAUUUUUGGGGGCCGCACGAGAUGACAAGUUGUGUAUGCAAAACAGCGGUGUCCAUGUCCCAGGUGGAGGCGAAAGUACGGACAUUGAUUUCUAUGGCAAACUGACAACUGUCGUGCAAUUGCUUUAGAAAGAUCGAUACCAAGUCAUCAUGUUUAAGUGUCGAUGGUUCGAUACCAACCCAAAUAGGGCGGGAAGUGUUAAAAUCGACCAUGGAGUACUGUUUGUGAACAUGGCGUCCCAAAUUGUGUAUCUAGAUGACCCUAAAGCCGGGAGCGGGUGAAAAGUUGUGCAGAAGAUGGAUCAUAGGAACGUGUAUGAUAUACCAGAACUAGACCCAAGUGACAACGACGUCGACAAUGUGGCUGACCAACGUUUAGAAUCUUCAAUGGAAAAUGAUGCGGAAACACUUCGAGAUACAAAUGUUAUACAAGAACCGUUUCAAAUAGAAGGAGUGUCUUCAGUAGAAAUACCGAUUCAGUCAAUUACAAUUGACCUCGGUGAUCUUCCCCGAUACGAUGUUGCAGUGGGUCCUAGCAACGCCGAUGAUGCAGUUAUAGAGGAGGAGGAGGAAGAAGAUUGGGAGACCGAGAGUGAUGAUAGCGAUGAUAACGAAAGUUAUUAUAGUUCAGAUGAUGAAUAAUGAAUUUAUUUGUAAAGUUAUUAUGUUAGUGUAUUCAUUUUGUGUAAUACAAAUCUUUGAAUAUAUGUAGUUGUCCAUAUGUAGUUGUGUAUUCAUUCUCCAUAUUUCAUCACAAACUUCAUUGGAAUGUCAAUACUUUAGUCAAUACUUAUUACGACCCCAUGCUUGUCGAUUGGUUUUUAUUUAUUUAUUUAUUAAUGUCUUUAACUCUUCAAUUAUUAUUUUUUUCUUUUGAGAUAUAGUUAUUUCUUCAUGUUUAAACAAAAAAUAUAAGUUAUUUCUCCAAUAUUAUCUGUGUGCCACUUAUUUUUCUUCACUUUGGUUCAUGAUUAGUGGCAUCAAUCUAGUCAAACCGAUAAAAUCGGUCGAUUCAAAUCUUAAUUAUCAAUUUAGUUUGGUUUUGAUGAAGAAAUACAAAGCCUUUCCAAAAAAUACAGAGCAUAAAAAAUGAUGAAUACAAAACCUUUCCAAAAAAUACAAAGCAUACACAAUUUGAAUUAAAUGAGGAUUUAUGGCGCCAAAUCCUUGCGCAACGAUAAGGAGCCCUUCGUCGCGCAAAUAUAUAUUAGGUAACGUUAUAGUAUAAUAUAUACCCACAUAUAUAUUUAAAAUUGGCGAUCGAAGUAGUUCAUUGUAUUCAUAUGAAGUGUAGGACUGUAGCUGCAAAAAAUCAUCAACAUCGGAGUUAAAAUAACCGUUCAAUCAUCACUUUUUAUUUAGAACCGUCGAAAAGUUUUACCCCGUUACUUAAUCUCUGAAUGUUUUUUUUGUCUGAUUUUUGCUGUCUAUGAUCUCGAAGUAUAACAAAACAAGUUUGACGGCUGGAUGACUGAAGCUAGUUUCGUAGACUGCGUGUGCUAUCAAAAUCAUAUAUUCACCAAAAACUCAAAAAUUUGUUCAUACAUUUGUGAAAAUGUAACUUAAUGUUUAUGUGGUAUCCCCUAGUGUAAAAAUAUGAAAUUGAAGAUCAAAUUCAGUCAUUGUAUUCAUAUAGGGUCAACAAAUGUUGCUGUAAAAAAUGAUCAAAAUCGGAGUUAAAAUAACCGUUAAAUCAUGACUUUUCAUUUAUAACCGUCAAAAUAUUUUGUCCUGUUCCCUGAUAUCUGAAUGUUUGGUCGUUUUGAUUUUUGGCGUAUACGAUCUCCAAGUAUAAACAAAUAAGUUUGCCGGUUGGAUCAUUGAAACUAUUUUAGGGUUUAGGGUUUAGGGCUUAGGGCUUAGGGUUUAGGGUUUACAUUUUAGGGUUUAGGUUUUGCGCGACGAAUAAACAUUCCUUUCGUCGCACAAAGUGAAAGUGACAAAGAUUGCGCGACGGAUAAGUCUUCCAUUCGUCGCGUAAUCUGGGACACACAUUUCACCCCUCCAUACCCUUUGAACACUUAGUGAAAAUUUCAACCGAAUGAAAUUCUUGAACCCGCGCGACGAACAAAGCAAAUACGUCGCGUAAAGUGGACGUGAACAAGAUUGCGCGACGGAUAAAUCUGGUAUUCGUCGCGCAAUCUGGGCCACACUUUCACCCUUCCAUCCCCUUUGAACACUUAGUGAAAAUUUCAACCGAAUGAAAUUUUUGAACUCGCGCGACGAACAAAACAAAUACGUUGCGCAAAGUGGACGUGAACAAGAUUGUGCGACGGAUAAAUCUAAUUUUCGUCGCGCAAUCUGGGCCACGCUUUCACCCUUCCAUCCCCUUUGAACACUUAGUGAAAAUUUCAAGCGAAGCAAAAUCUUCAACUCGCGCGACGAAUAAAAGUAUUCGUCGCGCAAAAGGCACAGGCCUCUGAUUUUUGUUAGCAAACAUUGCGCGACGUUUACUGUCUUCGUCGCGCAAAAGGCACAGACCCUUCAGUUUCAGCCUCCCGCUAAACCCAAAAUUUUCCCAAAAUUUUGGCGGAACGACAGCGUUUUGCGCGACGAACAUAUGACUUUCCGUCGCACAAGGUUAACCUUGCUCGACGUUUACUAUCUUCGUCGCGCAAAAGCACAAACCCUUCAGUUUCAGCCUCCCGCUAAACCCUAAGUCCCAAAAUUUGGGCGGAACGACAUCGUUUUGCGCGACGAAUAUAUGAUUUUCCGUCGCGCAAGGAGAACCUUGCGCAACGUUUACUAUCUUCGUCGCGCAAAAUCACAGUUUCAGCCUCCCGCUAAACCCUAAAUCCCAAAAUUUUGGUGGAACAACAGCGUUUUGCGCGACGAACCAUGUAUUUUUCGUCGCGCAAAAGGCACAGACCCUAAUCCCCAUUCAAAAUUUGGCGUUCUGGGAGACCUUGCGCGACGGAUAUUUCAUCGCGCAAGAUUCAUUAAUACCAUUUUGCACGACGCAUUCUGUUCUUCGUCGCGCAAAGUCGAAUAAAUUUGCAGAAACGGCCCGAUGCCUCCUUCUUCCCCAUUUUCUGGUUUCUCUCCGUUUCUUCCUCUCUCUCCGCCGUCACCUUAGCCCUCUCUCUCUGCCAUCACCUCAGCCACCUCCGCUCGUUCCGUAGCCUCCCUGCCGUCACCGUCGAGCCUGCCGUCGCAAUUUCGUCAGUUUUUCCCGAUUCUUCGCCGGCCGAUUUCUCUCUCCUCCGGCCACCAUUUUCGACGCCUAAGGUAUGAUUUCUCGACUAUUUUUUGUGCUCUAGCUGAUGGUUGGUUAGGAUUUCUUGAAUUUUCGCUAUAGGAAAUAGGAAUUAAAACCCUAGGUUUUGGCCGCUUUGGGAAUUUCAAAUCCGGCCACUUCCGGCCAUUUUUCGGGGUAGGUCCGAGAACAAAAGUGGCUCCAAUUAAUGUUUUCAACCUAGGGUAGGAACCUUGGCCCUUAGUUUUUAGAAUUUUCCGACGAAUGUUAUCGCUUUGGACACCCACGCGCUGCCGGCGCGUGUGGUGGCGCGUGGGAUGUUGUGGCAGUGGGGCAUUGGGUCCCAGAGCAAUCCCCUGUUUGUCACGAGCGCGUAGGUUUGCUCGGAUUUGAAUUUGGUUAUCGUUUGAGUCUUGAUCGGAUUUCGGCUAUUGUGCGAUUUCCAGGUUUGAUAUGUUCGGACCGUUGGAUCGAACUCAAACUCACGUAGUUGUACCUUUGUGUUUCUACGAUCGUUUAGGAUUCGACCGAUCGUUGAUCGGUGUCCCGGAUACUUCGAAAUUCCAAACCCUAGGUGAAGCUAUGCUUUUAAUUAAUUAGUUUAAAUUCUUAAUGAAAUUAUAUGUGCAGAUGUCAGAUUUGAUUAGACGUGGUAGGUCGAUGAUGACUGCACCGAGUUCGGAUCCCCCUGCUCAGUCGGCAUAUGCUGCCACUGCUCCAGCUUUGAUGGAGCACGUGCUGGUUGGUCCCGGGGCGUCCCAGGCGCCUGCGUCAUCUGCGUCAUCCGUCGCGCAGCCAGCUAGUGCUAGGCGGCGGCACCGGCCCGCCGACACGACAUCGACCGACGGUACUGGUGCCUCGGGAUCACAGCCAGAUAUAACUACCAUUUUGUAUUGUUAAUUUUAUAUUGAAAUUUGACAAUGUUGUUUAUUUAACAUUAAUAUCUUUUUUCUUUGCAGCGAAGAAGAACACCUGAGGGCCGUGUCGUCAGCUGAAGACGGCGAAGGUCACCCGGGUGACCAACAGUCGUAUCAGCAUCGGAUACGACGAGCGCCAUCGGGCUGCACCGACGGCGGAGUUGCAUAGCUCCUUGGCCCACGACAUUGGCCACGUCGUGCGGACCCAUUGCCUGAUGCAAUGGAAGUCUUGGAGGGUCAUGCCUGACGAGAUCAAGGUGGAGGUUCGCGGCCAGUUGUCGGUAUGUACCUUACAUUUUCAUUAAUUUUCUUUAAAAUUGUGUAUAUUUCUAUUACUUAACGUAUCUAAUUAAUUGAUUGCAGACGAACUAUAACUUGGAGGAUCUCGACGAAGAGUCGUUGGCGUACGUCAACAGACUCUUCGCUGAGAGGUACAAGCAGUGGAAGAGCGACUUGCACCAUCAUUUUCAGGCCUUUGAUGAUCCGCAAGUCGCUCUUCAGGAGGGUUGCCCGAAGGAGCUUGAGGGGCGGGAGGAUAGUUGGGAGUGGCUCUGCGCUCAUUUUCAAGCGUCCGAAUAUGUGGUAUUUUUUUAAUAAUAUUUGUUUAAUUAUUACUUAUUUCUUAUUAAUGUUUAUUUCAUUUUUUUUAUUUCAUUAUUAUUUAAUUUGUUAUGUUUUAACUAAUACGUUUCAUUUUUUGUAUAACAGAAUAAGGCCCAAGUGAAUAAGGGUAAUAGGAAGAAGAAGACCCUUCUCCACCAUUCCGGCUCCAGGCCCUUUUCGUAUAGGAUGGAUGCCCGGCGACGGGUAAUAAUCACAUAAUUUAUAUUUCAUUUUUAAUGUCAUUUUUAUUAAUUUAUUUUUUUCAUACUAAUAUUUUUCUUCUCUUGUUCAAUUUAGGAGGGGUCCAAGUUCCCAGAGAUCGACGUCUUUGGUGACGUUUAUGUUCGACCCGGGAAUGAGUUGGCCGAGUCCCUUCAUGUAAGUAUUAUUUAAUUUUAAUUCUUAUGUUACGCAUUCAAUUUAUAUGCAUGUUUAAAUUUAUAUUUUAUGUUAUGUUCAACAGACGACGAUGGUGGAGAGGAGCCAGUUGGUUCUUCAGGAGUCCGCCUCCCAGCUUCCUCCCGAGACUCCGAUCGAGUCUGUGGCUCCUCCACAGGAUGCUGGAUUUCAGAUCUUGACGGAGACGUUGGAUCAGACUCUCGGGAGGAGGCCGGGGACAUAUUGUCGAGGGAUGGGGAAUGCCCGGCGGAGGGAACCUAGACCUCGUUCAUCGGCCCAGUCAAACAGUCAGGUGACUGCUUUGACAGCACAGGUGGCCGAGCUUCAGGGUCAGAUGUCGGUGAUUCUACAGUCCCUCGCACAGAGCGGCUUUCCAAUCCCGCAGUUUCGUGCGUCAACCUCCCAGCCCGUCCACCCCGAGUAUGCCCACCAGACCACUGCCCCGGUGGACGCCCAGACCUCCGAGCCGCAUACUGGCGACGACCCGAUUGAUUUUGCUUCAUUAUUUGAUUAGUGUAUUUAUUUUCAUCAUAAACAUUUAUUUUAUUUGUAAUACAUUUAUUUUAUUUUAUAACAAAAUUUUGUUCUAAUUUAUUUUUAUUGCAAUUUCAUUGUUUAAUCAAUAAAAAAACCAAUUUUAUUUAAAAAAAAUAAAAAUAAAUAAAAAACAAAAACAAAAAAAACAAAAAAAAAUUGUAAUAUUAUUUUUGCGCGACGGAAGACAUUUCGUCGCGCAAAACCACAUGUAACAAAAAAAAUUAAAAAAAUCAAUUUUUUAUUACUUUAAUUCUUGCGCGACGAAUACAUACGUCUCGCAAACAUUUUUUGCGCGACGAAAUGUUUCGUCGCGCAACAGCUUUUGCGCGACGACUGAAAUUUUCGUCGCCAAAUAGAUGAGCGACGAAAACUUUCUCAUCGCGCGAAUAGUUCUGCGACGAAUAUAUACGUCUCCCGGACUAGUUUUGCGCGACGAAUUAUUUUCGUCGCGCUAUUCGUUUCGUCGCGCAAAUAUACGUGCGCCGAAUACUUUAUCGUCGCGCAAAUAUUUAUGCGACGAACAGUUGUUUCGUCUCCACACCGUUGGUGCAACGAUGGUUUACCCGUCGCACAAUUAUGCGCGACGAAGUGUUGUACCUCGUCGCGCAAAGGCUUUCUUCACGAUCUUCGCGCGACGGAAGGUGCGCGACGAAUUUUUUGUCGCGCUGAAAUUAGGGCGACUAAAUAAGACUUUGCGCGACGUUUUGUUAUUCGUCGCGCAAAGAGUAAAAUGUAGUAGUGAGACUUGUUGGAGACAAAACAGGUAAACAAAUUACUUGUAUUAGACUCACAAAAUAUUACAACAAGACAACUCUCAAAGAAAAGACAAACUCUCACACUUCUCACAAGGACUACUUAACUUUAUAGCUUAUUGCAUAUAGCAUAUGCAAACACAAUUAGAACAUACCUACGUACACUAUGGGAACACUCGUGUAUAUUUCAACACAAGAAAACAUGUGCACCGUGCACGGUUCACAUGAAGUAAGAAAUGAAGAGGAAAUAAAGAAGAAGAAUACAAAAGAAAAUGGAGAUGAGAAAAAAAAAAAAACCGAAUAAUGAAAAAUGAAUUGACAAUUAUAUAUGGUUGACAUUAGAUCUAAUAUUAUAUGUAACAACUAUUGAUCUAAAAUAAACAUUAAAUCAAACAAUAAUUAAAAGAUUUGACAAUAUAAAAAUUUAUUGAGGACAAAAAAAGGCAAAAACUUAUGAAAAAUGGAAACAAUAAAUAUGAACUGAGUCAUCAACUCACCAUGGUAAGUUUGCUGACGUAUAAAAAUAGUCAAUGGACAUCGAAAAGUAAUUGGCUUACAUCAAAAAUUAAAAUCACGUGGGUUAUUCCUAAGAAACCUUAAUAUUUGCCUUCCAUUUGUUCCAGCAAAAUAAAAGUCAUUGCUACUUAUUGUAACCCCUUUUCCAAGCUUAUUAAUCAAAGUAGACACCUCACUGCUGUCACCUAGCCAAUUUUCAACAAUGUCAUACUUAACAAGCAACUCCACAUCCUUUGAGGUGUUCACAAAACGAUCCAUGAGACUAACAUAAUCACUUAUGUACGUCUCCUCGUAGUGGCAUUGUUCAAAUGCGAUGAGAUUUCUAAUUAAUACCUCUGUAUGAUCGCUUAUUUUCAAUCUUGGAAUUUCAAGAGUCCGGCCAGCAAAUCUAAUAAGGUAUUCAUUGAUCCCUCAUUCAACUUGAACCCUGCCCUGUGUAGCUCUGUGAUGCUGGGUGUGUUUAUAGUUAUGAGUUUCCCGUCAUUAGUUUUUAGGGUUAUUCGUUAUAUGAGUCCCUGAACUUAGACCCGAUUUGCAUUUUAGUCCCUCAAUUUCCAAAAUCGUUCCAGUGGUCCUUCAACUUUAGUUUCGUUAGGACAAAUGGUCCUGCCGUCAAAUGAUUAUAAAGUGGAAAAAACAAGAACAAAAAAGGAAGUGAGUUAAAUUUGCACCUGCUAUGUUCAAACGACAAAGUUCGUUUCCGUUUGGUCGAUUACAAGAGAAGCUCAAUGCAGCUUACUUGGUUCCUCUUGGUAGAUGGAAAUAUAAUUUUUCUCCUAAUAACAAAGGUUUAGUGCAAUCAAUGAUGGGCUGUAUAGAACAACUUUUUUGUUUUAUAUGUUUAUGUGAGACAAGUUUUGCCAGAUUGAAUUAAUGUCUUCUAGCUAUGUACCUUAUCUUUUUGCCGGGCCAUGAGUUGAAUGUAGAGGCAGAGCAUGGCCUUGGGUUUGUAAAAGACAAAAGACUGAACCAGACGUAAUUAUUUAGAUUUUGGAUCCAGUUCCACAUCCCAAAGAGAAAACCACAAGUUUGCAAGCAAGUUUGUCCAUAUUAACACUACGUAGAGUAUAGGCAGUGUGCUACUCAUCUCACUUUCUCAACCUACCCUAUAUUUGUCUAAAAGAGUUUCUAAUUUCGUGUACUGAUUCACUACUACAUUUUACACUUUGUGCGACGAAGAGAAUUUCGUCACGCAAAAUACAUUGGUCGCGCAAAGUUUAAAAAAAAUUUUAAAAAAAUAAAAAAUUCCCGCGUCCAAUUUUUGGUACUUGUCCAAAUUUUUUGAGUUUUGCGCGACGAAUACUAACAUCGCGCAAAUAUUUGCGCGACGAAAUAUUUUUUGUUUUAAAUUUUUUUAAUUUAAAAUAAACUAAUUUAAUAGUUUGCGCUACGAAAUAUUUUGUCGCGCAAGGUUUUUGACUUUUUGUUUUAUUAUUUCUUUAAUAUGAAUUUAUUUAUAUGAAUUUUUUGAAAUUUUUACUUUUUAAAUUUAAUUUAAUUGUAUGAUUUCUUUUUAAAAUUACUUUAAUUUAAAUUGAUAUUAAUUUUUACUUUUUAAAUUUAAUUUAAUUGUAUGAUUUUUUUUAAUUACUUUAAUUUAAAUUGACAUAUUCAAAAUAAAAUUACAUAUGAAAAAUAGUGAUUAAAUUAUCCAAUAAAUAUAUAUAUAUAUAUAAUAUUCAAAAUGUACACAUAAAUUAACAAAGCACAAUAAUAAAAUCCUAAUACAAGCGUAUUGUGGUGGUAGUGUCGGAGGAUAUGUUUUGAUAGCUUCCUAAUCCUCAACUUUAGCCGUCAAAGUCUCGAUGAUUCCCUACAAAAAAAAUAAAUAUGGUCAAAUAACCACAAACAAAAAAAAAAAAAAAAAAAAAGGCAUAAUCUCCCCUAAAAUUGUUAUACCACAAAUCCAACCCAAACUCCAAUCCCUCCCCUUUACUCAACCCCAAAACCCACACAAACUCAAAAUUAACUCCAAAAACACAUAUUAAUGAAAAAAAUUUAAAAUUUGGAGAGAAUAUACCUUUUGGCAAGAUUGAGAGUGAAUGAGAGGGAGAAGUGAGUGUGAGAGAAUUAGAGAAGAUAGUGAUAGAGAGAUGAGAGAGAUGAGAGAGUGAGUGAGAGAGAGUGAGAGAUAGUGAAGAGAGAGAUGAGAGAUUAAGUGAGAGGAGUGAGUGAGAGAAAUGGUGGGAUUUGGGGAGAGGGAAAGAGAAAGGAGAGGUAAGAGUAGAGAAAGGCAUUGAGAAAAUGGUGGAUGAGUUAUUUCGGUUUUAAAAACCGUAUCACUUUGCGUGACGAAAAAUAUUGUUGGUCGCGCAAAGGUUUGCGCGACGAAAAAUAUUGGAAUAUUGAUCGCGCAAACUUUUGAGCGACGAAACAUAUUGGUCGCGCAAAGUCUAAAAAAAUUAUUUAAAAAAAAUAAAAAUCCCCGCGUCCCAUUUUUGGUACCCGCCAAAAUUUUUAAAUUUUUGCGCGACGAAUAUAGGAAUAUUGAUCGCGCAAAGUCUAAAAAAAUUAUUUAAAAAAAUAAAAAUCCCCGCGUCCCAUUUUUGGUACCCGCCAAAAUUUUUAAAUUUUUGCGCGACGAAUAUAGGAAUAUUGGUCGCGCAAAGUCUAAAAAAAUUAUUUAAAAAAAUAAAAAUCCCCGCGUCCCAUUUUUGGUACCCGCCAAAAUUUUUCAAUUUUUGCGCGACGAAAAAUACAUAUUGGUCGCGCAAAGUCUAAAAAAAUUAUUUAAAAAAAUAAAAAUCCCCGCGUCCCAUUUUUGGUACCCGCCAAAAUUUUUAAAUUUUUGCGCGACGAAAAAUACAUACUGGUCGCGCAAAGUCUAAAAAAAUUCCCGCGUCCGAUUUUUGGUACCCGCCCAAAUUUUUGCGAGACGAAAAAUAUAUAUUGGUCGCGCAAAGUUUUGAGCGACAAAAAAUAUUGGUCGCGCAAAGUCUAAAAUUUUUUUAUUUUUUUUUUAAAAUCCAGCGUCCCAUUUUUGGUACCCGUCCAAAUUUUUAGAGUUUUGCGCGACAAACUGUUGGUUGCGCAAACUUUUGAGAGACGAAAAAUUGGUUCGUAACACAAUAUUUAUAAAAAUAAUUGUUAUGAAUAAUAAAAAUAAAAUUAUUUUAUUUUACAAUUUAAAAUAUAAAUAAGGUUAAAGCUGCUUAAGAAAUAUAUAUACUAUUCAAUUUCUUAAGUGUUAUACGUACAAAAUAAAUAAAUUUAAAGGUACUUAAUAAAUAAAUAUAUAUACACACACCAUUCAACGAUCCAACCGUCAGACUUAUUUGUAUAUACUUCAAGAUCGUAUACCCCAAAAAUCACAAAAAACAAACAUUUAGAGAUCUAGUAACGAGACAAAACUUUUCGAUGGUUAUAAAUGAAAAAUUACGAUUUAACGGUUAUUUUAACUCCGAUUUUGAUGAUUUUUUUUUACAGCUACACUCCUUGACCAUAUAUGAAUACAAUGACUGAAUUUGAUCUUCAAUUUAAAAUAUUUACACUAGUGGAUACCACAAAAUCUUAUGUUAUAUCUAACGAACGUAUAAAUAACCUCUUAAUUGUUAGUGAAUAUAUUGUUUUGAUGGCAUAUGCAUUCACCAAAACUAGUUUCAACGAUCCAACCAUCAAACUUGUUUGUUUAUACUUCGAGAUCAUAUACGCCAAAAAUCAGAAAAAAUAAACAUUCAGAGAUCAAGUAAUGGGACAAAAAUUUUCGACGGUUAUAAUGAAAAAUCACGAUUUAACGGUUAUUUUAACUCCGAUUUUGAUGAUUUUUUACAGCUACACUCCUUGACCCUAUAUGAAUACAAUGACUGAAUUUGAUCUUCAAUUUAAAAUAUUUACACUAGUGUAUACCACAAAAUCUUAUGUUAUAUUUAACGAACGUAUAAAUAAACUCUUAAUUGUUAGUGAAUAUAUUGUUUUGAUGGCAUAUGCAUUCACCAAAACUAGUUUCAACGAUCCAACCGUCAAACUUGUUUGUUUAUACUUCGAGAUCAUAUACGCCAAAAAUCGGAAAAAAUAAACAUUCAGAGAUCAAGUAAUGGGACAAAACUUUUCGACGGUUAUAAUGAAAAAUCACGAUUUAACGGUUAUUUUAACUCCGAUUUUGAUGAUUUUUUACAGCUACACUCCUUGAACCUAUAUGAAUACAAUGACUGAAUUUGAUCUUCAAUUUAAAAUAUUUACACUAGUGGAUACCACAAAAUCUUAUGUUAUAUUUAACGAACGUAUAAAUAAACUCUUAAUUGUUAGUGAAUAUAUUGUUUUGAUGGCAUAUGCAUUUACCAAAACUAGUUUCAACGAUCCAACCGUCAACCUUGUUUGUUUAUACUUCGAGAUCAUAUACGCCAAAAAUCGGAAAAAAUAAACAUUCAGAGAUCAAGUAAUGAGACAAAACUUUUCGACGGUUAUAAUGAAAAAUCACGAUUUAACGGUUAUUUUAACUCCGAUUUUGAUGAUUUUUUACAGCUACACUCCUUGACCCUAUAUGAAUACAAUGAACUAAUUCGAUCGUCAAUUUAAAAUAUAUAUUUUCUAACAAAAACCCAAUCUGAACAACAAUAAUAUAUUUUUCUAACAAAAAUCCGAUCCGAUCUAAAAUAAUAAAUUUAAAGCUACUUAAUAAAUAUAUAUACUGUUUAAUUUCUUAAGUGUUAUGCAUACAAAAUAAAAAACAAAAAUAAAUUAGUAUAGGCGACAAAAUGUUUGGAUUACGUCAUGCAAAGAUUUUAAAAUAUAUAUAUAUAUUAUUUUUAUAAGGACUUUGCGCGACGAAGUUCAUUGUUUCGUCGCGCAAAGUCACUUUGAGCGACGAUGUAUUGUUGUCGCGCAAAAGUUUGUCGCGCAAAGUUACUUUGCGCGACGAAUUUUUUUUCAUCGCUCAAAAUUUGGUCGCGCAAGACUUUGAGUGACGAUGUAUUGUCGUCGCGCAAAAGUUUGUCGCGCGAAGUGACUUUGCGCUACGAAUUGUUUUUCGUCACGCAAAAUUUGGUCGCGCAAGACUUUGAGCGACGAAGUUUUGAGUUUCGUCGCGCAAAGUGACUUUGAGCGACGAAUAGUUUUUCGUCGCGCAAAAUUUGGUCGCGCAAGGGGUUUUUUUUUACUAGUAUGAGUUUUAUAUACAAUUUAUAACAAUAUUUUCAGGCAAAAAAAUGUCUUGGCAAGAAAAUGUACAAUUUGUUACGUACUUAACUGGAACGAUUACCUUCAAAUUCCUAUGGCCAAUUACCUUCUUUUUUCUUCCUUUUUUUUUUUUUUUUUUUUUUGGUUGUUGUUGUUCUUUUGAUCAAGUUGCAUAUUCCAAAGAACGAAAACCAGUACAGGCUCUUUUCCAAUGCAAGCUCUUUUCCCAUGUUUCCCUCUGUUUUUCUCCUAUUUUUCUUAUAUGGAAGUGAUUAAAAUACACCUCUAAGCUUGUUUUGCGUUUGGUAACCGACUGUAAAAGCUCAAUGCAGAUAGUUUGAGGUAGAAUUUUCUCCAAUUUUACUAGCACAGUGAUAAGCUAUACUAUAUGUAACAACAAAUUGCUUUAAUAAUGAUAAUGAAAAAAGUGUGAUCCAUCGAAUAUUUGCGGGGUUUUGUUCCAAGUCAACACAUCAAAUUCUUUUACACCAUGAAAUUAAAAAAAAUUUAUUCAACCAUCUCGACCUUAUGCUCGAUCAUUUUGCACAAGCAACCGUCCACGUACCCCAAUAAUUUAAAAGGGCUGAUGAUCUUUAAUUUGGCGAAAGCUUCUAUCUACUUCUACCGCGCUAUAUAUGAGCUAUGCAAUUGUGACGGUGUUACAUGACGUCACAAUGUCGUAGGGAUAAAAAAAUAAUAGUCAUGGUUUCUUAUUAAUGUUAAUACAGGCAUAGCAAAAAGCUUGUAUUUCUAGUGGUUAAGAACAAUUACCCAUGCACUUGAGAUAUUAUGUGCUUAAAUCCCCUCUUCCCCAAUAUUUCUUGUAUAAAAAUAAAAAUAAAAAUAAAAAUAAUAAAGAUAUUGAUAUUGUAUUCUAUAAAGUGUUGGACAUGUUUUAUACCCCUUUACUGCAAAUUACAGUUUGACACAUGUACAAAAAUAAUAGGUAAGUGUUGGACAUCAAGAGUACUUACAUAUAGGUUUAAUAGGUAAGUUUUGAAUAUUUCUGUCUUUAGCUUUAAUUAUUGAAAAUCAACCUAUUAUCAUAUUAAAGACUUAUCCAUGUUCAACGUACAUUCUCUUAUUUUUCUCUCAUUGAAGUAAAUACAAAACUAAGCACAUAGUGGAAAAGUAGGUCACGAUUAGGGGUGGGUUUGGUCUGGGUUGGUUCAGUUUUGGGCUCAACCCGAACACCGAACCGUAGACCUCGAUUUGGCUAUUUUGGAAACCAAAACUAAACCAUAAUUAAUGAAAACCGACCACUUCAAUUACCUUCUGGUCUUCCAACCAGAAGAAAACUCAAAACUUUAACCAUACCAAGUGCAACAGAAUUACACCAGGCUGGAGUCAAGUUUAUGAUGGUUAAAGAUAAAAACUUAUUUGACAUACAAUUUGAGAAUGGAAUCCUCAAAAUUCCACACCUGCGAAUACAGGGUUAAACAGAAAUUUUCUUCCGCAAUUUUAUUGCCUAUGAGCAGUGUGAGCUCCAUGAUCAUUACAUCAACAACUAUGUCUUCGUCAUGGACCGCCUGGUCGACAGUGCCAGGGAUGUGGAAUUGCUUGUGAAGAGUGGAAUUCUUGAAUCCAUGCUACCGGACAGCGAGGCAGCAGGGGAAUUUAUUAAUUCUCUUGACUUGGGGCCUAUUUUAGGCAAGCUUGAAACAAGACUAUUUCAGUUCACCAUGGGCUGGCCUGUCUAUUAUUGUAGCCGCUAUACUAGUUGUGCUCACAUUUAUUCAAACAGUGUGCUCCGUAAUGGCGCUGUAGGUUCUUCAUUUCCUCAAUUUCAUGUUUAGUGGUUGCAGAUUUGUUGCUCAUGUACGUGUUUAUCUAAAGUUAAAUAAGAGUGAUUGACUGAUAGUCUGUUAGUUUGUUUUUCUGGGGUUUUUCCCCUGUUCGUCAAAAAAGAAAAAGAGAAAGAGUGAUUGCUUGUGCCUGUUUGGGCCUAAUUUGACACACCCAAUCCAAAAUCAAAAAGUCCAUGUCAAUUUUGGACAGCCACCAGCAUUCCCUUUGUAAUUAGGCCAAAAACUGCACACCCAACCUAGCACUGGAGCCUAGAACAAACAAGGUAAACUCAGGACCCAAGCAGUUUGAUUUUUUCAUUUAAAUUGGAAUCAAGGGCCCCAAGUCAAAAAAGCCCAAGCCCAAGGCAGAUUUUUUACCAAAAAGACCCAAGGAAGCCCAGUGCAUGCGAAUUGCUUAGCCCACAAUCCCAAAACUCAAAACUAAGUUUGGCAUGAUUAAAUAAAGAUAGAGAGAAGCCCAAAAUUGAAGAAACCCAAAACAGUUUUAUCAAAAUUGUCAGCUCUCUACCCAAGACCUAAAAAGGGUCAAAAAUACCACUAUUGGCAAAAUUGACGCACUCAGCCUUGGAUCACAAAGAAAUCCACGUGACUAUUUGACUUUGAGAAGUCAACAAUUUCAACUAGUCACAAGAGAAGUUGAUUGGAAUUAAUGUAGGCAGGUCAUUACAGAAAAGACUUCUUUGAAACUCUGUAGCCAAAAGAUCAAAAUCCCUUUCUAUAUAAUUCUGCAUCAGAGUAGGUGGUCUUUCCAAGAGAUAAGCAGACUACGUUUUCAAGAGAUAAGUAGAGAAUGAGGGAGUUGUUCAACAAGAAAAGCAAACUAACCAUCAUGAUAGGUUGUGUUCUUUCUCUCUACAAAAAACAAUAGGGAACAAAGAAGAGUUGGUUUUUCUUUCAGAAAAAGGAAGGAAAAGACCUACAUGAAAACUAAUUAUUGAUGGUUCUUCUCUGCCAGAACAGAUAACUUCUCAUUUUCUUUGACAUUUAAAAAUGAAAGGUCUCGCUUUUACAAAAUCUGCCGCCCAUUAUUUAAAGAUUAGAAAACCCACUCCAGCAUUUCCUAUAAAUAUGAGAGGAGGUGAUGUCACAUCACGGGAUUGGCUCUGCCGUAGCACGAUAUUGUCCACUUUGCGCCCCCCUCUCUACCCUCACGGUUUUAUUUUUGGGAACUCACGAGCAACUUCCCAGUGGGUCACUCAUCUUGGGAUUGCUCUAGCCCCCAGCUCGCUUAACUUCGGAGUUCCCAUGACUCCGAAGCCAAUGAGCUCCCAAAAGGCCUCGUGUUAGAUGGAGGCGGGCAUGUACAUAUAAGGCACAUCACCUCCUCUCCGUUGGUCGAUGUGGGAUGUUACAGGUGAACAUAUCAAAGGACAGCCAAAAAAUCAAUCAAAGACAAAAACUCAAAAUGAUCACUUGAUCUCAAAAGCCUUCAAAACACUGAAGCAAGCAAAGCUCAUUGAGCCACAACGAACAAGUCAGCUAGAAUUCAGAAUCUUUAGAGUCAGUUCAGUUUCAGAGAAAUAAUCAAAGAAAGCGAGAUCUCUCUCGUUACAAAUUUGGUUCAGCUUAAAGCCAAAACAAGCAGAGUUCAGGUUCUUACAAAUAUGAAAACCUCAAUAAAUUUAUGGAGAGCCCUGAUCAAGCAAAACAGGUACUACAGUGCAGUUCUAGCUUAGUAAUAAUCAAAUCCACCCACUUCUGCCCCUUCCAGAUUGAGAAGGUCCCAAUUCUGCCCAUUCAAAAAGCCUUCCAAGACUUGAAAUAGAUUAAAGCUCUGCCAAACUCAAAUGUUGGAAUCAAUUCGCAGCUGAAACAUGACAGUUGAAGGUGUUGAUAGUCCAGUCCAGCACAGACAUACCCAGUCUAGCCCAGAUCAGAAGCAUUCACCGAGGCAGAAAUUGAAGUCCAAAGCUCUUUUUGUCUUUUUAGAGUUGGUCUUCCUUUUCUGAGCUUUGUAAAAGGCAAUUCUGCCUAAAACAGUUCACUUUCUUAUCAUUUAUUCUGGCCAGAACUACCAGUUUUGUACUGUGAAAAAUUAUGAAGUCCUCACCAGUCUAAGGCAAGAAAAGAACUUACUUGGGAGAUAUUCCUCACCAAAUUCACAACCGUUUGUUUAGAAAUCAGUAACUUGGUGUAACGACCCGGUCCUAAAUAAAUUGGUAAUUAUUAAUUUAUUCAGAUAAAAGACCAUUUUGCCCAUAGAAUAUUUUAAUAGGUUUACAUGUUGACCCGGGAGGCUUCGGUGAAAUUGUUACAUCUCGGUCCGAAAAAGUGUUAAAAUAAUUAAAGUAGAGUGCUGCUAAAAGAACCCUAAAAUUAACUGAGUACACCCUAUGAUCUAAGUACACCCUAAUAUUUUAAUUAAAAUAUAAAAUUAACUAAGUACACCCUAUAAAACUAUCAAAAAUAACACUGAUACACCCUAAUACUUGUAGCAUUAUUUUAUAGUUGAUUAUUUUAAUAGUGUUUAUAAAUCUUUGACUUUUCAUAUGGAUUUAUGCUUCUACUAAAAUUGUUGCCACUUUUUUUCCAAUUCCAAGUUCUUGCAAUCACCACAUCUUUCGUUAAAAACACAAUAGGACAAGCAAUCUCUUGAUUAGGGUUGAAUAUGGUUAGUAGGGUGUACUUAUUAAUAUUAUAUUUGUUUCACAAUUCCAUAUAUCCUUUUUGGUCAUUUUAUAUUAGGGUAAACCAGUAAUUCAAUAUAUACUUUUAUAGUAGGGUGUACUCAGUUAAUUUUAGGGUUCGUUUAGCAGCACUCUUAAAGUAAGAGAGAAUAAAAUGAAAUAAACAUUAAAAUAAAAUGAUUUGAAUUAAUUAAGGUUUUUGAGAAAUUAAAAUAUUAUUUAAUAUUAUAAGGGGAAAAAGAUCAUUUUAAGUUUGGGAAGGAAUUUGGAAAUUCCAAUUGUACCGUUGUGUAGAGCAUGUCGAAACGAGUCCGUAGACACGUAGUGGACUCGAAUCGUAGUUAUAACGGAGAAAUGGCGAUCAAAAGAAGUUCAGUGGCAUAGCCAUAAAUAUUUCGAAGUUCAGUUUUUUUAAAACCCAAAUUUCUUCUCUCUGGGGAGUGGGAGAGCCAACUUCAAAUGGUGAUUUCUCCCAACUCCGACCACCACACUUCCCUCUUCCUUCAGUUUUGGCAUCAUGAUGGGUUCCAUCCCGGAAUGACACAUUUUCGACGCUAAGGACGUCACAAAUGGUAUUUGAGAUGCUUUGUAAAUUUGUAACCAUGGAAAACACAAUGAACUUUAUGUUCGGAGUUGCAAGAGAACAUUAAGGGGAAUAUGGAGAGUGGGAAAAUAGUAAUAAGUGGAGAUCUGUAUGCUUACUUACUACUGAACUUCCGUCGUGGUGGUUAGUAUGAAAAAGUGUUAGAGAUUAUAGAUUUUAUGGAGGAACAUGGUUGUACACUGAUAAGUAGUCGGUAGGAGUUGAUUUAAGUUCCAAGAGAAAUUCAUUAUGAACUGGGAUGAAUUACUGCAAGAUUCUUGCUGUUUUGAAGUUAUUGAUUUUAGGGGCAUCACCUCUGAAUGAUCAUAAUAACCAUGCGUGGGCUCUGCAUGAGGUUUCUUUGACAUUGUUUGAUUUUGUGUAUUGAUAAUUACACUUAGGGGUGUCACGUUUCUAGAAACGUGUCUAUCCAAAUUGUUGUAUCUCAAUAUCCUAUGGAAGGAAAGCUGAGAAGCUGAAAAUACUGGAUUUAUGGUGGUGAGAUAAAAAUUGUCAGGAACUUUCAAAAGUCAAAUUAUUUCACAAAGGGAAAUACUGGAGAGAAGUAUUAGAGAAUUUUCUUUGGAUAAGUUAUAUAGGAGUGGAGGAGUUGCGAGUUUAACCAAGGAGGGUUGUGACAAUUUAAAUUGAGAAGUAGUGGUGUUGGGUGAAGUAUUAUUUCAUUCGCGUGGGCUUGAAUGCCGCGAUUGACAGGAAUGGAACAUUAGGGUUCUUCUUCCUUGCUCUCUCACGCGAGCUCGCCAUAGAGAGUAUUUCUUGGCGUGGUACUGGCUUCGUCCGACCUCCGAUUACUGUGAUUUUUGAAAGGACCCGGCCCAAAUUUCUCAAAAUCCGAGGCGAAUCCUGUGAAAUUCCCGACAUCACUCCGAUGCCAGGCCCACUUACUAAAGACCGAGACUUUCUGCCGAACUUUCGGCAGAGUCUCCCCUAUAAAUUGGACAUUUUCCAAAACUACCACCUGCAUAAAACACAAUUUAUAUCCCCAACUGGCAGCAUGCACAAGAUAAUUUCAUGCAAAUCACAUAAUCGGCCUGCGGCCUUCAAAUAAUUCAAAACGAAACCACCAAGCACACUAUCAAAUUAAUUCCUACCUUAAACAAGGCAAACAAUAAAUUUAAAUAUGAAUUAUGACUACUAAAUUUCAACAUACGAGGUUUUAACCUCCUAACACAAUCACAUCUAUGUCCGCGGCUGCACCUAAUAACCUUAGGCUGCCUACGUACCUUCACUGAGGGAUCAAGCCACACGUAGUUCUUCCGUAAAACCCAAUUCCACACAUAGGCAAUACCUUUAUUCAUUUCUCUGUAUUUCACAUAAUCUCCCCAUACGCCAGUACUACCAUUGCCACGUAUGGGACUUGUCAACAAGCCGGAUAACCUACACCACGUGCGAUCUCAACAUAAUAUCACAUAAUCUCCUCAUACGCCGGUACAACCAGCGCCACGUAUGGGGCCUGUCAACACGCCGGAUAACCUACGCCACGUGCGACCUCAUCAUACUAUCACAUGAUCUCCCCAUACGCAGGUACAACCAACACCACGUAUGGGGCCUGUCUCAACGCCGGAUAACCUACGCCACGUGAGACCUGAACAUAAUAUCACAUAUCUCCUCAUACGCCGGUACAACCAAUGCCACGUAUGGGGCCUGUCAACACGCCGGAUAACCUACGCCACAUGCGACCUCAAUAUACUAUCACAAUAUCUCCCCAUACGCCGGUGCAACCAACGCCACAUAUAGGGUCUGUCUCAAAUUGGAUAACCUACGCCACGCUAGACCUCAACAUCAUAUCACAAUAUCUCCUCAUACGCCGGUACAACCAACGUCACGUAUGGGGUCUGUCCGCAUGCCGGAUAACCUACGCCAUGUGGGACCUAACUUUCACAGAGUGGUACUUGUAGUGUAACCAAAAUCUGGGGAGGUGCCUAAGGUAGUGCAUAUAGCACUUCAAACUGACAUUCUCUCACUUAUCUAAACUAAUACUAGAGGUCUUCCCAUUUUAAUGGUACCAGUCUAUAGUAGAUUGUAACGUAAUUUAAUCAUAAAAAUAAUAUUAUUUCUAGACCAACGAUUAUUCACAUAAACAUGAAUUUCAUAAUUUCACUAUUUAAAAUAAUAUCUAAAAGUUUCCUAUAAUACAAAUAAACACUCUAAAGAUCCCAACUUAGUCAACACAGCUCAACAAUGCUCAAGACCUGUCAUUAGGGUCAUUAUGAUCCUUCUAGGAAGGUAAAACUACCUCGAAAGACUCAAGGUCAACCAAGGGUCAAACCACCCACAAUUGGUCAAACGGGCCCACGGGGCCCACGACCUCCAAAUUCCAAUCCGAAGGUUCCUAUGGGAUCUACAAGGUAUAGGACACUCGUCUUGCAAGUUAAGCCUAGAUCGGAUGGUCAGAUCGCUCACGAUCGCACAAUCUGAUGGUUAAUAUAAAACAUAAACUUUAAAUUAUUUAAUCGGAACAUCCGGGGCUCCCGAUUCACGAUCUGUUCCUACACGAUCCUAGAAAUACAUAGAUUAACAUAUAUUAAAUUUGAGACCAUCCAACGGUCCUAACCUAUCGAACCCGGAUAACGCGCAAUAGGCGAUAUUCGUUCGAUAGUCAAACGACGUCCGAAUUGAGAUUUACGAAAUCCUACGCACUCGUGACAACCUAAGGAUCUCAUUGAGACAUAUUGCUAUCCCAAAACCGACCGAAAUCCAAUUCGAAAAUCGAGUUACUUACGUUAAGAAUCGACCGAAUCCUACCCAACAGGCAGCUAGAGCAUGAAAAGUAUGUGAGAAACCAUACCUCACUCGUCGAAAUCAGUGGCCAAAGGAGGGAGAUCGACGAUAGAGAAGUUCGGACGAACUGACCGCUUCUUCUCCAUUUUUCAGCGAAACCACGGUAGCUGGUGGCGGGACCUAGCUGGGGUUGGAAGAGGAUGACGCCCCGGUCAUUUUGGUAUCGGCCUCGUGGUCAUCGGUGGCCGGAUGAGAAAACAGCCGGCGAAAAUGUGACCGGCUGCCGUUGCGCACGCGAGAGAGACCACGAGAGAGAGAGAGAGAGAGAGAGAGAGAGAAAUCUGAUUGUGCCACUGAGAUUCUUUUGACCAUAUCUCUCUCGUUACAACUCCGAUUCAAGCCCACCACGUGUCUACGGACUCAUCUCGGUACGACCUAUCCAAAAAUACCAAUCACUACCCCAAAUACUUUUUGGAUCAGAAAGUGACCAAAUUACCCCUACCUCAAUGGUAACUUUGUAAUUUCACUUAAAUAAUUUAAAUAAGGGAUUAAAUUUGGAGUCGGGGUGUUACAAUUUUUGUUGCUAAAUGUUGUCAUCAUUUCUCCUCUACAUCACUCAGUGAUCAUUCACUCCCAUUUCUCUAGUUUACACGGUGAAUUUUAUUUCUAAAAUUUCUUAAAAUUCCGGCCACUGUGAGUUUGACCAGCGACUUGGGUUACUUUUGCCCAUCUUUUUGGAAAUGGAACCGAUUUGAGGAAGAUUAGGAGGAAAGAUACAUAGGCCGCUGAGGCAGAAGUAAAGCCGGAGCUUUACCAUAGACAGAAGUUGUUUUAGAAGUCCUGGAAGAUUGUGAACAGGAAUUGGAAGUUUGCAUGGGGUGAUAGGAUUUUUAGUACUUGUGCAAACAGUGUUAAAAAUCACAUAAAAUACUUGCAAGAAUACAAGGCUAUUGUAGUCUAGAUGCUCAUGCAAGGUCGUUUUCCUCAAGGACUAAUUAGCAAUUUAUGUAAAAAUAAAUUCCAAUUACUACUUAAAAUAAAAAGUCAAGAAAGAUGAUUAUAAAUUUGGUUGAUUCUAAAAAACAAAUAUUAAACAAAAACAAAUACGAUUGAAAGAAAGAGUUUUGAAUAUCAAUUUAUAAAAACACUAGGGUUUCACCAUCACCUAGCAAUCCUAUGAACUUUUACCAAUUACUUAUGAUUUGCACAUGCCACUUUGAAGGUUAGGUUUUCCUAAUGUAUAUUCUACUUAGAACCUCCAACACAGAAUGUAUAUCCAACAUGCAACCCGUCCGGACGUUCGGAUCAAAUCUGAACAUGAAAGACUCAUUAAGUUUUGUGAAAACCCUUUGAAAAACCAUGCAACCCUUAAGACGUGGUGUUCAUCUUAAGUGAAAUUACAAUUAUUAAUCAGAAGAAGCUAGCAUCAAUUUCAGGGAACCUUCCGACCAAAAUUGCAUCCAAUUACUUUUCUAAAGAUCCUAAUGGUGAUCAGGCAUUAAGACAAUUAGAUAGUUUAAAACAGUGAUUAACAAUUCAAAAUACGCAUGCACUCAUCAUAAGCAAUUAAAUAAAAAUCACAUAUUCAUGCUAAGGUUCAAGGCUUCACCCUAGCAAAAGAAAUUUAGUUACGCAUACUCAUAAUUGAAAUCCAAGAAAAUAUCAUUAAGAAGAAAAGAACGAAAACACCUGAAAGUUGUGAAAACCCAAAACCCUAGCAAUUGCUCUCCACAAUGCAAAGUUCAAAAGUGAAAAGGGAGUCCUCCAUUCCUUGUGAGAAAGAGCUUAAAUACCCCUUAAAACCUAGCUGCCAAUGUACAGCUUUUCUAUCCCCACAAGGAAACUAAUUAAAAUAAAAUAAUACUAGGAAAUAAAGUCCAAAUUGGAAUAGGAGAAUCUGCUCAAAAUCUGCCCAGCCACGUUUUGGCCCCAAAUCUCCUCCAAAUCUGGCCCAAGAUAGCUUGUUUUAAAGAUAAAAAAUGUUCUGAACACUUCUUUAGAAGGCCACGAACCCAUCCGAGGUCAUCUUGGGCUCCAAAAACGCAAUAAAAGCCCAACACGUCACUAUUCCAGCACCGCGCACUGCUCCUUUAUUUUGUUGCCAGAAAAUAACCGCUUGGAAGAAAAAUCUGAAAUUUUGAUACGAUCAAGCUAAGUGACUCAAGAACGUCCUCCAACUGGAAUUACUCCAAAAUUCCUCAAUUUGAUUAUGUUUUGCUCCAGAGAGAUUCGAAAGUCCUAUAUUGGAAAUAUAAUUCAAAGUAUCAAAAGUCUUCCAAAAUAAUAACCAAAAUAUACUAAGAAUGAGGUUAAAUAUAUAAUAUAAAAUAUGUCCAUCAAAAUACCCCCAAACUUAGCUUUUGCUUGUCCUCAAGUGAAACAAGACUCAAACAAAAAUAAAAACUUAACAGAUUAGACAUCUGGCUAACACUUAACUAGGACAAAAUUUCCACCUUCAAGUUGCAAUCCAUAGAAAAUUUUAAAAACUAGAACAUCCUUUCAAUAGAUCUAAGUAAUCCCACCACAAAGUCUAAGCUAUUUAGACUCAAUUAGAAAAGAAUUCACAAACUUCUUUCGGUGCAAAGUGAACCAUUAUGGUUAUGGAGACUUGACUAAAACCCUUAACUCUCAUCCCUUUUAUUCAUACUUCACACACUCCACACUUUUUGUUUUUUUUGUUUUUUGUUUUUUGUUUUUUUGUUUUUUUUUCUUUUUGUUUUUAUAGUAACAGUAGUGGUUGUGCAAUGUUGGUUCCCUUAAGCUUUCAAUCCAACCGUGUAGCCAGCUUUAGGUCAAUGUCUCCCAAACCACUCGGGUUUUAGGGCACUAGGUGUAGAACACCCCUAAGGACUUAUUAACUCAAGCUGAAAAGGCUACGAAACCAACUAACCACCCUGCCUCAUGCCAAAACUCUACCUUUUGUCUCGAGAAUCACUGCUGAUUAGGCAGGAUUGACCCGGUUACUAGCAAAGCUUCGGGUGAGGUAAUUAUUACUUUAUAACACAAACUAACUUUAUUUAUAUUGAACAUAAAUUAAAACACAUUUGGACAAAAAGUAAGUAUUCCAAUCUCACUCCCCAAAAACCAUGUUGGUGUGAUGUGCAAAUUUCAAAGUAUAAUUCAUGAAUUAAUGUCUAAGCAACAAUAAAUAGAAAAUACUCUACCGUGGGAUUGAUUUUCACCAUGUCCAUUUGUUCUAACGUUUAAAAUAAUCUAUGGAUAUUGACUGAAAAACGAAAAUUUGUAAACAAGACUCAAAAAAUGAAAAAUAAAAAAAAUUACGUUCCCACCCCCUAACUUAAAUCACACAUUGUCCUCAAGGUGGGGUAAAUAAUCAAAAGAAACAAGAGCAGAAACAAAACGACUAAAACUUAGAAAAUGGAAAUCAAAAAUAAAGAAAAUACUCUAAGAAAAGAAAUUAGGAAGGCAAAGGAUGAGAUCCAGAUGGAUCUGGUAAUCCUAUCCGUAGAGAUGGAAAGAUUCUAUACACGCCAUUGAGACUGGAUUUGGAGAUGAGGAUUUGACCCUACCUUGUUCGACGAAUUCCCUCAAGGGGAAUUAUAGCAAUAAAAUACAUAUGCUUCUACAAACAUUUAAUUGCACUGCUACGACGUGGAAAGAGUGCUUUGGGGUCUCAUCUCAUGUGAACCCGUUCGAGUAGAAAUCUUUCAUUAGAAUCAGAAAUGGGUCAUGGUAAAGAGAGGUAGAUGAUGAUUACAGUUCGGUAAAAAUGAUCAUUUCUGACAUUCCUCUCAAAGAACCGUGUUGGCAAUGUCGUUUAUCGAUUCUAAAGAAAGAAGAAAAAUAUCAACAAGUCAAAGAACGUGGAUUUCUUUUAAGGGGAGAGCUAGAACAAAAUCAAAUCACGAAUGGAAGAGUUUAGCUUUCAGAGGAAGAUUGAGCAUUACAGCAGCUAUUAAAGGAUAUUUUUAGUUGAAGAAUGAGAUUUUUCUUCCUCUGAUUGUUUAGCUAGAGCUUUUGGCUUGACUGCCAACGUGGUUGUGGAGGAAGAAACUUGGGAACCCGAGUAGUAGAUGCGAGCCCACUACCCAUACCCCUUUUGAGUGACAGGUAUGAAAUUUCAAGGAUGAAAUUUUUAUAAGAGGGGUAGAUUGUAACGACCCGGUCCUAAAUAAAUUGGUAAUUAUUAAUUUAUUCAUAUAAAAGACCAUUUUGCCCCCAUAAUAUUUUAAUAGGUUUACAUGUUGACUUGUUGACCGGGGAGGCUUUGGUGAAAUUGUUACAUCCCGGUCUGAAAAAGUGUUAAAAUAAUUAAAGUAAGAGAGAAUAAAUUGAAAUAAACAUUAAAAUAAAAUGAUUUGAAUUAAUUAAGGUGUUUGAGAAAUUAAAAUAUUAUUUAAAAUUAUAAGGGGCAAAAAGAUCAUUUUAAGUUUGGGAAGGAAUUUGAAAAUUUUGAUUGUACCGUUGUGUGGAGCACGUCGAAACGAGUCCGUAGACACAUAGUGGACUCGAAUCGGAGUUGUAACGAAAAAAUGGCGAUCAAAAGAAUUUCAGUGGCAUAACCGUAAAUAUUUUGAAGUUCAGUUUUUUUAAAACCCACAUUUAUUCUCUCUGGGGAGUGGGACGUGCCAACUUCAAAUGGUGAUUUCUCCCAACUCCGGCCACCAAUUCAAGUAAGACCGGCCCCGUUAGAACCACCACACUUCCCUCUUCCAGUCCCAGCCCAUCUCAGUCUCGAUCCGCCGUCGUAGUCGCCGAAAAUCGCCACGAAACAAGGUGGUUUGGAUAGUUUUUGUCGAAAUUUCGUGGAGCUCGUUCUCCCUCCUCCGGCCACCGUUUCAGGCGAGUGAGGUAUCAUUUCUCACCUAUUUUCUAUGAUAUAGCUGAUGGUUGGAUAUGAUUUGAUAAAUUUUGAGCGUUGAUAGUUCGAUUUUCGAAUCAAAGUUUGGCCGAAUUUCGGGAUGAAAUUCCGGCCACUUUCGAUCACUUUUUGGGGUAGGCCCAAGAACAAAAGUGUCUUCAAUUGAUGUCCUGAUCCCAGGGUAAGAGCAUUGGUCGAAAAUUUUGAGAUUUUCCUGCUGGUGGUAUCGCUUUGGGCACCCAUGCGCUGAUGGCGCGUGUGGCAGCGUGUGGGCACUGUAGCAGAGGGCCAUUGUGUCCCAAUGCGACCCCCUUGUUGUCACGAGUGCGUAAGGGUGCUCGGAUUCCAAUUUGGUUGAGGUUUGAACCCCGAAUGGAUUUCGUAUAUUGUACAUUAUCCGGGUUUGAUAGGUUUGAACCGUUGGAUAGUCUUGAAUUUAAUAUAUGUUAGUCUAGACAUCCCUAGGAUCAUAUAGGAUUUCGCGGAUCAUGGAUCGGAGCCCCGGAUGUUCUGAUUUAAUAAAUUAAAGUUUGUGUUUUACAAUAACCGUCCGAUCGUGCGAUCGCGAGCAAUCCGACAGUCCGAUCCGAACCAAACUUGCAGGACGGGUAUCCUAAAUCUUGUAGAACCCAUAGGAGCUUUCGGAUAAGAAUUUGGAGGUCGUGGGCCCGGUUGACCAAGAUUAGGUAGUUUGACCCCUCGGUUGACCAUGAGUCUUCCGAGGUAGUUUCACCCUUCGAGGAGUACUAGAAUGACCUUAUUACAUAGUCUCGACCUUUAAUUGAGCUAUGUUGACUAUGUUGAGAUUUUUAGAGUGUUUAUUAUUAUCGUAUGAAAACUCUUGGAUAUUACUUUUAAUAAUUGAAAUUAUGGAUUUGAUGAGCGUGGGUAAAUUGAUUUGAUGAGUGGUGAAAAGAAGUCGUGGGCUUGGCUAUGACUAUUAGGAAGUGAGGGGACAUUUAUGUUGAAUAUGCAUUAAUUUCAACAAUUGAAAGAACAUGCAUGGAAUGGGUAUAUAUAUAUAUAUAGAUAAAUUGGAUUAAAGAUUGAGAAAUUAAUAAGUUGAGAUAUUAGUAAUAUUUAAUUGAGAAAUGGAUUUUGAGGUGGAAAUUGGAAGGUUGAAUUUGGGGAAUUUUGGAAUUGAGAAUUAUGGGUUAAUACUGAAAGAUGUAGGAUUAUACUAUGUAAGUACCAUCCCCUAGUUACUAGGCUUCCCAUACGUGGAGUUGGAAUUUCUGGCGUGUGGGAAGGAUAUAUGAUUAUUAGAUCUCACAUGCCGUUGGAUUUUCCAGCGUGAGACAGACCCCAUACGUGGGGUUGGAUUUUUCGGCGUAUGGGGAGAUUAUGUGAUGGUUAGGUCACACGUAGGGUGGGAUUUUCCAACGUGUUGACAGACCCCAUAAGUGGCGUUGGAUUUUCCGGUGUAUAGGGAGAUUAUGUGAUGGUUAGGUCACACGUGGCAUAGGAUUUUCCAGCGUGUUGACAGACCCCGUACGUGGCGUUGGAUUUUCAGCGUAUGAGGAGAUUAUGUGAUGGUUAGGUCCCAUGUGGCGUAGGAUUUUCCGGCGUGUUGACAGACUCCAUACGUGACGUUGGAUUUUCCGACGUAUGGGGAGAUUAUCUGAUGGUUAGGUCACACGUGGAGUAGGAUUUUUCAGCGUGUUGACAGACCCCAUACGUGACGUUGGAUUUUCCGGCGUAUGGAGAGAUUAUGUGAUGGUUAGGUCACACGUGGCGUAGAAUUUUCUGGCGUGUUGACAGACCCCAUAUGUGGCGUUGGAUUUUCCGGCAUAUGGGGAGAUAAUGAGAUGGUUAGGUCACACGUGGCAUAGGAUUUUCUGGCUUGUUGACAGACCCCAUAUGUGGCGUUGGAUUUUCGCGCGUAUGGGAAGGAUAUGUGAUUAUUAGGUCUCACAGGUGGCGUUGGAAUUUCCGGCGUAUGAGACACUAACAGUGAGAAGAGAAUGAGAUUAUUUUUCUAUAUCAGAGAAAGGUUAGAGUAUAAAAAGAAAUAUGUUUGGUGUGUGGUAAUUUAAAUUAAAACAGGGAAAGAUAACUUACCUGUACUACUGAAACAGUUGUGUAACAUUUGGAGCAUGAUUAUGGAGUGAAAGAACUACGUGUGGCUUGAUCUCUCAGUAAGGGUACGUAGGCAACCUAGGUGCAGUCGUAGACUAAACGUUAUUUAUGUUGUUUUAUUGAGAUUGGUUCUGACCCUGUCGUUGGUCCUGAAAUUCGGUUGAAAACUAGAUGCGAGUAAAUAAUUGUUCAUACUCCCGUUUCGUUGAGGGAGGAUUGUGUAAAUGUGUUCUGGUCAAGACAGGUAUAAGAACUCGUUUAGGAUUGAUGUACGAUUUGGGCUAAGGCCUUAAACUACUUGUUGUUGUAUUAGGAGAUUAAAACCUCGCAUGUGGGAUAAUUGGGAAAGUUAGAUGAUGUAAAGUGCACUUAGGCAUUCAUAUAUAUGUUUAAAUUUAUUAUUUGUCUUGCUUAACGUAAUUGUUUGACUUAUGGGCUUUAUUGGUGAUUUGCUUCAGAUUAUUUAAAGGCCGAAGGCCGUUUAUGUGAAUUGCAUUUUGAUACAUUGUGCAUGCUACUAGUUGUGGAUAUUAAAUGUGUUUUAUGCAGGUUGAAAUUUUUGGGAUUGUUCAAAUUACAGGGGAGACUGCCAAAAUUUUGAUAGAAAGUCUCGGUCAUUAGUAAGUGGGCCCGGCAUCGAGGUGAUGUCGGAAUUUACACAAGAUUCCUCUCGGGUUUUCAGGAAUUCGGGGCGGAUCCUGUUACUUGGGGUGCAAAUUAUCCAUUUGUUCACCCGUUUUCGUGUUUUACUUCUGAGGUGGAAGGGCGAAGUUUCCCACUGGCUUGGAGACCACUUGUUGGUCGACAAGUCAGCUUUCUUUGGUGUGUGUGAGCGUGCCACUGCUAGCAAUGUAAAUUCUAGCAGACUUAUUUUUUAGAGUGGAUAACUUGCGCCUCAAGUUACUGACUUCUAAAACAAAUGAUUGUGAAUUUGGGUGAGGAAUAUCUCCCAAGUAAGUUCUUUUCUUGCCUCAAACUGGUGAGGACUUUCACAAUUUAUCUCAGUAUCAAAUGGUUGUUCUGGCCAGAAUAGAUAAUAAUAAAGUAGACUGUUUCAGGCAGAACUGCCUUUUACAAAAUUAAGAAGGGAGAAAUCAACUCUAGAAAGGAAAAAAGAUGGCUGGAAUCCCAUUUCUGCCUGGGUAGAAACUUCUGAUCCGGGCUGGACUGGGUAUGUCUAUGCUGGACGGUGCUGUCAACAACUUUAGCUUGCUCGGCUUUAGUUGUAAAUCGAUACCAAAGUUCAAUUUUGGCAGAGCUUCAAUCUACUUCAAGCCUUGGGAGACUUUUGAGUGGGCAGAACUGCAGCUUCUUCAGUUUGAAGGGACAGAAGUGGCUAUUCUCGAGGAUUUAGCAAGCUGGAACUAUGCUAUAAAAUUUGUUGAGGUUUUCAUAUUUGUGAAAACUCAAACUAUGUUUGUCUUGGCUUUUGCUGAACCAAAUUUGUAACGAGAGGGAUCUUGUUUUCAGAAGACUUAUUUUCUAAGUCUGAACUUUGGAAUUCUGAUCUAAAGCUGUUUUCUUGUUUGUUUUUUUUUGAUUGACUGAUGAAUUGAGUGUCCUUUGUUUCUUUGCCUUCUUUCGCUUUUAUAAGAGAUCCUCCUAAGGAGGUCAUUUUUAAUCCUAAACAAUGGGCGGCAAAAAGAUCUCUUAUAAUGUAAAGUAAGAAGGGUUUCUUAUCAAUCAAGGCAGAUAGGUUCUGAGCAGUCACCUCCUAAAAACAGUCCAUUCCCUGGUUUCCUGGGUGGCAGCUUUCUAAUUCAACCAACGCCACCGUCUGUGUGGGCUUUUUAUGGCAGUUUUGGCUCUUUUCUUUUGUAUUUUCUGAGUGGUUCCCUGUUUCCCGUUCUAAUUUAGAAAGCGUGAUUCGUGAAUUCCUUGGGAGAUGGUGUAUUGAUUUGGAGCAAAAUCUUGAACACAGAUGGGUUUUUGAUCUUCAAUUGGCAGUGUUUCAGAGACGUCCCUCUCACAUUUUUAAACUUUAGUUGGAAUUGCUGACUUUUCCAAAGUUGAGGCAAUCACGUGGGUGUGUCUUUGAUCCCUUGGUUUUGAAUCUAUCGAAAAUUACGGGCUGAUCUUUGAAGCCCAUUUCGAAAGUUUCCACAUCUGGGCUUUCUUUGGGCUGAGGCUUUAUUUCCAACAUUCUUGGUGUGAAGCCCAAACUGUCUGGGUCUUAUUUUCGUUUUUCUCAAGUCUCUGGGCUGGGCAGGCAAUUUUAUCAUGGGCCUGUCUUCUGGUCUUGGGCGUGCCGAAUUUGGGCCCAAACAAUGCCCCCUAAGUCUGAAUCGUUUUGGAAUGGUUUCAGACUUAAUGUUUUGCCAUUUAAUUCACGUGCCAGUUUCUUCCGUGUUUUCGCCCACGUCUGCCACGUUUGCCUGCUACGAACUAGAGUUCGUGGGAAAACGGCUAGUUAUUAUCUAGUUACUAGCUAAUAAUCAUCAGGUGCCGUCCCAUCUUCUUCUUCCCACGUUUUCGAGCCCCUCUUUAAAAGAAAUUCAAAUUCAUAGCUUCUGAAAAAAGAAACCCUAAACCUUCCAGCUCUUGUUCCUGCGAGUUCUUUCUUCGAGAUUUCCAAAGCCUUCUUUAGACCUUCCUUUCUUCUGCUUCUUCCCUUGAAUCAGAAAUGUCUUCCCCAAGGUCCCGCGCUCAGUCUUCUUCCGCUUCAGUUCCUCCCGAUUAUAUCACUGGGAGCGGGAUUGAUGCUCACGCGAUAGAAAUCAGGAGCAAGCUUCAUCCCUUUGCCCAGAAGAAUCUGGACGAGAAUGUCCUCCAUUUGUUUGAGAACACCCUGGUGUUAGGGCCUCACUGGUUUGGUCCUGUUCCAGCUGAGAUGGCAGAAUUGCUAAAAAAGGAUGCCGAGGCUCCUUUGUGUUUUGAGAGCUCUUCUGCCCUGGCUUCUUAUUCUUGGGUUAGCAAGAAUUUGAGCCGGUCCUUCCCGUCCAGCGAGGUGAGGAAUAGUCUGGUCAAAUGGGCAGACUGGAUUGAUAGACUUCUCCCGAGAUAUGGGGGUCACUGGAGGAGAGCUGGGAUUUAUGACGCCAUUUUUCUGUCCAAACAAUCGAUUAACAGAGAUGAGAAUCUGCUUGCUGCUGCUUUAUGCUUCUGGAAUUCUGCCAGCAAUACAUUUGACUUCCGCGUGGGUCCUAUGGCGCCAACCUUGCUGGAUAUGGCUCAGAUUUUUGGGUUCAGGCCCCAUGGUAGGCCUGUUGAUGCCAUUGGAGAUUAUCACAGGCGAAGGAAUCAAGAGAAAGUGGCCACCCCUUUUACUAUCCCUCCAGCCGUGAUCAACCAGAACUGCUCUUUCUCCAACUAUCUGAAGAAGUUCAGUGCUGAUAAGGACAAGGAUCAGCAACAUAUGUUGUUCCUUCUGUAUUGGCUGAAUUGGUUCGUUCUCCCCAAUCGGUCUUCUGCAGUUCUGCUAGAGUACAGACACUUGGCAGAAGCACUCCACAAUCACACUGAUGUGGGGCUCGGGCCUACAGUUCUGGCUCACCUUUUCAAGAAUCUGCAUACUUCCACCCUGGAGAACCCAUUGAACCUGUCAGCCCCUGGCGCAUUCUGGAUGAUCCAGAUCUGGCUGCAGGUUUAUUUUCCAGAACUAAGGUUCCCAGACAUAGUUCUGCCUGAAGAUCAAGUCCUGGCUCUUCCUCUGAUGUCGGCAGAAGUGCCCAAGCAUUCUAUUGAGGAGUAUUUGAUGCUCUUCAGGCAUUGUACAAAGAGGUCGGCAGCUCAGUGGCAAGUGGUGAUCAGGAGGACCUAUCCUUGGUUCCAGACCGGAUUUCGGUUGUUUGAGAAGGAGCCAGAAGAUGAAGCUGCCAGAACAGAUUUCAGGAGGAAAUUUCUGAGCAUUACUCUGCCCAGAGAUCUACCCCAUGGUGGGGGCAAACCUCCAAACUAUCAUCUGGGGGCAGAAGUCUACCAUCCCAACUUCUGCGCGAGGCAGCUUGGUUGUCCCCAACUCAUUCCGCUGAAAUCAUAUCGGAGUUGUAACCGGGCCUCUUCUUGGAGGGAUGCAGAUGAUCUGGAGGUGCACAAGGAUGCCCGGUGUGCAGUGAACAAAAUCAACAACAGCACGGAUGCCCUCUAUCCCUCGUGGGAGCUGAAUUCCUGCAGUUCUGCCGACUUUGACGCAUGGUGGAAAGCCAGAUUCCAAAGUCUGCCUGCUUCUGUCACUGCCCUCAAGGUGCUGUUUGAUGGUUGGGAAAACUGGGUCGUUUUUGCGAAUGGGGAUGCCAAGACGCAUAUGAUCCAGACCAUCAAGGAUAUUAACGCGCAAAUUAUAGAAGGUAGAUUUCUGAUUCUGUAUGGGGUUCGUUCUGUCCUGAUGAUUGAUUUCUAAUGUCUAUUCUGCCUGUAUCAGAUCCUUCUUUGACCAGCGUAGGUGGGCAGUCUGUUCAUGCUGGGGAAGUGAUUGGUAAGUCUUUUCUUUUAAUUCUAUUCUGUCUUUUCCUGCUGGAUUGGUCUCUAAUGUCUAAUGCCUUGGUGCAGUCUCUUCCGUUAUUGCUGCCGGGGACUUGGAGCUCCCUUCUGCGGAUGAAGGAGAUGAGGUCCAGACAGAACAAACACCUACCGAGGCCGCUCUUUCUGGCAGAAGAAAAAGGAAAGGACCUGCCCCUCCUUCGGAUAAUCCCACGCGGCCUGGUAUUUCAGGUAAGCUCGUGAUGUUCCAACCAUUCUCUUUAAAUUUAUUAUGUCUUGCCUUCUUUUCCCUAAUACUGCUUUUUGUUCUGUGCAGCUGGAAGUCCUUCCCCUCCUCCUACCAAGUUGAAAAAACUUAAAAAGAGGAGUGAGGAGGAGUAUGUCGCCGCGGAAGAGACGGCAGCAAUUCCCACCACUACCUCCGGGACGGAUGAAGAGCUGCGAGAGGCUUUUGAGGAGGUGGAGCAGGAAAAAGAAUUGGAAGAGCUGGAAGAAACGCCUCAGGAAAAAACGGCAGUGGCGGAAGGAGAGGUAAGUUUUAUUUCUGUGAUUCGCAUCAGUUCCCUUCUCGCCCUGUUUCUUCCGUUCUGACCCUUAUUUUGUAGGAGAAGAUCCCUGCUGAGGUGAUUGCAGAGAGCAUUGCCUUGGCGCAGAAGCAACAAGGGGGUCCAAGGGCUGAGCGGACUAGCUCAGAACUAGCCCUAUUUGAGGAUGCUGAGGCAGAGCAUUCUACUGCCGUUCCAGCGGCUGAGGAUCAGGCGGAACGGUCUGCAUCAGAGCCUGUGGAUCAGGCAGAGCUGUCUGUUGUGGUUCCGGAGGCUGAAGUGGAAACAACCGCCGCUGCCCCUGUGGUUGUGGUAACUUUCUUUCUUUAUCUGUCCACACUCUCCUGCAUUUCUGCCUUGUUCUUUAUUUUUAACUGUUGUAGCCUUUUCAGGUAGAAGUGCCUAAAGCUGUUGGCGUCCUGGCAGCGGUUACCAGUCCCCAGAAGCCUCCCAUUGUUGCUGUAAGUUUUCAUAACUUUUGGGCCUUUAUUUUCCACUUUCUGCCUGGUCUUACCUUAUGCUUUCUUCUUGCAGAUGCCAAUUCAUUCCCUUCCAGGAUCAUCUGCCACGGCUUCUUUUGCUGAUCCAGAACUCGAAGAGUUUGAAGCCAUGGAUCUGGAUGCCCAAUUGGACAGAUUGGAGAAACUCAGCUCUCCUCCAGGCAAGGCAAAAUCUAGGGCAGUGGAGGAGGCCAUGGAGAGGUUGAAAAUCUGGCAGUCUAAUGAGCUGGAGUUUGAUCAAGACAAUGAAGCCUUAAAUCAGCUGAUGAAGGACCUGGACCUGCUUCACAGACAGAACAUGGCUCCAAAACCUAUCCUUGAGAUGGGCCUAAGCUUGGCCAGAGAUGUGCUCAAUCUGCAUGAUCGCUAUGAGGAUCUCAGGCCUACUUUCAAGACUUCUGAAUUCUGCAAGGCCACUCAUGAAGCCAACCUGGCUGAUUUUGCAAAGCAGAAAGCAGAACUGGAUCAGAUGGUGGCCGGAUAUAAGGAAGCCAGGGCCACUGCGGACAAGCUGGAGAAGCCGAUGGAAGAGCUCCAAAAACAACUGGCAGAAUGCAGGGAGGUGCAGAGCAGGCUUGGGGCUGGACUGAGUUCUAAAACUAAGGCCACUUUCCUUGUGCAAAGUAUGGUUGCAGCUUCCAGGACAGCCUUGGAGAUUGCAGAGGCUUCAAUUCACCAGGGGGUGCUGCUCCAGAAAGAGCUUUCUGUCAAGAAAGCGAACCUGCAGGAGACUCUUAGAAAACUAGGAUUUUAGCUUCUUCUUUCCUUUUAUUGUUCGAAUAAUUUGCCGCAAAGGUGGCUAUUUUUAUAUAAGCUUUCAAAGCAUUUUACUGCUUUUCAUUUAUUCUUGAUGCAAUAACUGGAUACGGCUUUGAAAGUAAAAAACAGAACAACUUUAAAGCAAAAAUAAAUCUAAACAAAAUUCUUUUCAAGAAACAAAAAGGUCAAACUUGUUCCUCUUCUAUCCCGGGAUCUGUUUAUACAGCCUGCGAAUCCCACGUGGUUGGAUAGAACUUCUUUAACCAUUUACCAUUGAUUGGGGCAAAAUGAACAACUCCAUCUCGGUCCUGCAACCUGUAUGCCCCCAUUCCGAGGAUUUGGUUAAUUAUAAAAGGGCCUUCCCAUGUAGGUGACCAUUUCCCAUAUCCAGCUAUGUGUGCUCCAAGGGGCAGAAUUGCCUUCCAGACUAUCUCUCCCUCUUCAAAACUCUUGUUUUUGACUCUUUUGUUGUAGGCCCUUGAUACAGCCUGUUUUCCUGCUAAGAGUUUGUUGAGGGUGUCAAUUCUGCUUGCAUCCAAUUCUUCCAAUUCCAGCAACAUGGCUUGAGAGUAAUCCUCCCCAGUGAGACCAUGCUGGUGAGCAAUUCUAAGAGACUGGACCGCUAUCUCCAUGGGAAGAAUUGCAUCGUGGCCGUAGGUUAGAGCAUAGGGGGUCAUGCCAGUUGCUUCUCUCUUUGAAGUUCUGUAUGCCCACAAAGUUUCUGAUAACUUCUCAUGCCAUUACUUUGGAUUCUUCUCUAGCAUCUUUUUGAUGAUAUUGAUAAUCACCUUGUUACUUGAUUCCACCUGUCCAUUAGCUUGAGCAUAGUAAGGAGUAGAUUGAAGCAGUUUGAACUUGAACGUUUCUGCCAUAUCUAGCAUGUCCCUAGAUAUGAAAGAAGAACCCCUAUCGGUUGUGAUUGAUUCUGGAAUGCCAAACCUUUGUAUGAUCUGUUCUUCUAUAAAGGUGAUGAUCUCUUGAGAUGUUGUGGUUUUUACUGGCUUGGCCUCUACCCACUUGGUGAAGUAAUCUGUGGCAACGAUAAUGAAACAGUGCUGCUGGUUGCUGGCUGGAUAGAUUUUGCCAAUGAGAUCCAUUGCCCAUCCCCUGAAAGGCCAUGGUUUUACUACUGGAUUCAUGGGAACCGAAGGAGCCUGCUGGAUUGGGCCGUGCCUUUGACAGGCUUCACAUCCUUUGGAGUAGUUGAUGCAAUCCUUCAUCAUGGUUGGCCAGAAGUAGCCAUACCUUCUGAUUAACCAGCACAUCUUUCUUCCCCCUUGGUGAGCUCCACAGAUCCCCUCAUGGGUUUCUCCCAUGGCUUUCAUAUAUUCUGUCUUCCCGAGGCACCUUAAUAGUACCUCAUCCUUACUUUUUCGGACCAAAUCUUCAUUCCACAUGAGGUAGUUUGUAGCCAUGAUUCUGACUCUUUUCUUAGAGGGCAGAGUGGGAUAUCGUAAGUAAGUCAUGAUAGGCUCCCUCCAAUCAUCUUCAGUGAUCAAGGCAGAAUUGACUUCUAUCUCCAUUCCUCUCGUCAAAACAGAUGGUAGACUUUUCCUUCCUAUCUUGAUGAUCCUUUGGACGCAGUCUUCGGGCAUUUGUAUGCCUGAUGCCACCUGAGCCAGUUCAUUGGCUGCAAAGUUUUCCUCCCUUGGGAUGUUCUCCCAAGUAGCUUCUCUAAAUUCUGUUAGCAGAUUUCUAGCUGCUACUAGAUAUACAGCCAGAGAAGGAUUCAGACACUUAUAUUCUCCAGCAAUCUGUUUUAGGACAAGCAUGGAAUCUCCCAAGAUCUCCACGGACUGGACUCAUAAUUCUACCAACAUCUCGAGCCCUAUAAUCAAAGCCUCAUACUCGGCCAUGUUGUUGGUGCAUUGGAAAUCUAGCUGGAAGGAAUAGCAAUGUCUGACCCCUAAUGGUUCUUCCAGAACAAUCCCUGCUCCUGAAGCCUUGUCUGUCUUUGAUCCAUCAAAAUAUAACUUCCAAGGUGUGAGAUGAAUCGAGUAGAUUGGAUUGUUAAGGCAAACAUGAGCUCUAGUUAGCAGAUCUGCAUUUGCUAUGUCCAAAGAAUCCAUGUUUUCAAUUUCCUCUCCCGAGUGAUCUACCAAGAAGUCUGCCACAGCUUGCCCUUUGACAGCUUUCUGGGGGACAUACCUGAAGGUGAAUUCUGUCAAAGCCAAAGUCCAUUUCCCAAUUCUGCCCCUCAGCAUUGGUCUUGUUAGCAUGUAUUUGAUUAAGUCUGUUUUGGCAAUGAUGUAGAUAGUAUGUGGCAGCAUGUAGUGCCUGAGCUUUACAGCAGUGAAAUAUAAGGCCAGGCAAAGCCUUUCUAUUGCGGAAUACCUUCUUUCCACUUCUGUCAAUGUUCUGCUUAGAUAGUAGGCUGCCUGUUCUUUUCCUUCUUUGUUAUCUUGAACUAUUAGACUUCCAAUGGAUACUUCUGAUGCAGAUACAUAAAGCUUGAGGGGUCUGCCCCUUUUUGGUGGGGACAGAACUGGUGGAUUUGAGAGGUAAUGCUUUAUUUCCUGGAAAGCCUGUUGGUGCUGUUCUUCCCAUUUGAAUGUCUGUUCCUGCUUCAGUCUUAACAGGGAAGAAAAAGGUUGGAUUUUUCCUGCAGAAUUGGAUAUGAAUCUCCUUAGAAAAUUGAUUUUUCCUAAGAGACUUUGAAGUUCCUUCUUGUUCUGAGGUGGUAGAGCUUCUAUGAUGGAUGUUGCUUUAUUUCUGUCAACCUCUAUACCUCUCUGGUGGACCAAGAAUCCUAAGAAAUUCCCUGCUUGGACUCCAAAAACACAUUUUUUGGGGUUCAUUUUCAGUUUGUGCUGCCUCAUUCUUAGGAAUGCCCUUCUCAGGCUUGCUACGUGAUUUCCUUCCUCAGGGGAUUUAAUCACCACGUCAUCUAUGUAUACUUCCAAGGAAUGUCCUAUCAUAUCAUGAAAAAUAGAAUUCAUUGCCUUUGGUAGGUGGCUCCCGCAUUUCUCAAACCGAAAGGCAUUACAGUAUACUCGAAAGCACCUAUAUGUCCUGGACACAUAAAGGCUGUCUUGUGGAUGUCCUGUUCUGCCAUCAUGAUCUGGUUAUAACCUGCAUUGCCGUCCAUGAAAGAUAGCAUCUGGUUAUGAGUGGCUCCAUCCACUAGCAUGUCUGCCAUUGGCAUAGGAUAUUCGUCUUUAGGAGAUGCCUCAUUCAGAUUUCUGUACAAUAUUUGCUAACCAAUCGGAAUAGACGGCUGGCCUGAUGAAUCCUGCCUUGAGCAGCCUUUCUAUCUCUUCUUUGACCUUUAGUUCUGUGUCCAUAGACAUUCUUCUUCUGGCCUGUUUGACUGGAAGGUAGCCAUCUUUAAUUGGCAGCUUGUGCUCCACUCACUGCCUGUCCAAUCCUGGCAUUUCGUGGUAAUGCCAGGCAAAACAAUCUCUGAACUCCUGUAAAAGUGCCAUGAGUUCAGUCUUGAGUGGUUCCUUCAAAAGUGUGCUGAUGAAAGUAGGCCUUGGAUCUUCUUCUGUUCCUAAGUUUAUCUCCUGUAGAGGAUCCUCUACUUCUGGCAGGGAGUCAUCCAGUGCUGCUGGUGCAAAAUCUAAUACUUCCUCCUGUAAAAUUUCCUCCUCUUGCUCUUUUGUGCUUUCAUGGGUGAAUUCUGCCAUAUUGAUGGCUGGAUUCUGUAUGAAAAGCCUCCUUUCUCCCCAGUAUAUCAACAAUCUUUUUGUGAUGGAUCGGAUUGUUGCAGCUCGAUCCUUGUCUAGUUGAUUCGGACUAAACAUCAGAGUUCUGGAAGUUCAGCACAAAAAGGUCUAUUCCAGUCCUCUAGAGAACUGGCUAAACCUUCUUCAAUGAGUCUUUGGGCCGUGACACCAUGUGGACGGCCGUUCUGAUUGACUCCAAGGAAAGUGAAAGGACCGAGGUCAUCAUGAUAAUACCUUGUUUCAAAGCACAUGGCAGAGGGCAGGAAUGGCCGUGGAUCAGCCUCUAUAAUCUCCAUGCAGCCUUCUUCAUUCCAUAGUGCUAACUGCGGGUGGAGGGUGGAAGGAAUACAAAGGCUCUGGUGAAUCCAAUCCCUGCCAAGUAGUGCAUUGUAGGUGGUGGAAGUAGUGUCUAUAACAAAGAAUGCUAUUUUCAACUCUUUGCUUCCGAUUAUGACAUCCACAUCUAAGAUGCCAUGUAUUUUGGUGAUGCAACCAGAAGUUGGUGACGGUCAAUCGUGUUGGAAUCAGAUCUUUCUCUGUCCUGCCCAGCUUGGUCAGCAUUCUGUGGGGUAAUAGAUUAAUGGCUGCACCUCCAUUUACCAUGAUCUUGGAAAUAGGAAUACCCCCAAGAUUUGCCGUUAUAAACAAAGGUCUGAGGUGAAACAAGGUUGCUCUGUAGCUGGUUUAUUGGCUGUUCUGCCUGUCUUGGGGUUUUCUGCUUGUGGUUCUGGUGGCUCCUCUGCUUCUGCCAAUCUACAUUCAAAGCUUUCCUGAGAGAAAACAUCCCCUUCCAGAGUGCUUUCUUGUCCUUCGGCUGCCCUGAAUUUACUUGGUAGGAUGAAUACCAUGUUAAUUCCCAGAUCACCCUGUAGGAGGUCUUCUAAUUCUGCGCCAAAAGCUUCUGUUUCUGGGUCCAAUUCUACACCAAAUUCCAUUAAUUCUUCCCCGUAUUCUUCCGUCCAGUCAUCCUGUUCUGCUACUUCGAGGGGCUCUUUCUGAUCAUCUGCGGAAGGUUCAUAGUCCAAUUGCUCUUCUUCAUAUUCCUCAGUGUAGUCGUCUUCUCCUUGUAACGGGGUAGACCCAGAUUUCUCUGGUGUCUGCGUGGUGUCAGGACGGCUGCUGGACGACGAGGCCACAUGGAUAGGAGACCUGGCUGGGGGUUCUGUUUUCAGCAAUUCCCUUGACUGGCAAGCUUUCUGUUCUGUCUGGGGAAGUGUUUCAGGAUUUUUUCCUUUCCUAGCAGAACUGGGUUGUGAACGUACCUGCGUAUUAUCUUGGCUCUUAAGAUAUGUGCAGUAUUGCCUCUGGAUUCUCCUUUUCUGGGUUCUGGUUAGCUCCAGAGUCGGUCUACCGCUUCUUCCUACGGAAUACCAUCUCCCUUCUAUGAUCGUUGCCAAGGAUCUUUCGUUUCUGGGCAUCUUGACUGGUAUUUCCUUUCUGGGUUGCUCCAUCCUCCUCUCGCUGUAUUGUGUAGGCCUAAGACAGCUCUUCUGCCUUGUUUUGUCUCGGGAUGAGGUUCCAAUUCUGUCAAAGACACUAGGUGUGGGCUGAUUUUGUCUGUCUAGAACCACCUCUAGCUCUGUUUCACAUUUGCACCUACUGCAGAGCACUACCCCAGCCGAGAUGGUCGCUCUUGGUAUUUGACUGGUCUCCCUUAUGAUUCUUCUGCCUCUGCUGCAACCAGCAUCUGUGAUUGGCUCGGUUUUCCUCUGUUCUGGCCAAUUUAAGUUGACCAUAUUGACUUGUGGUUGAGGAAAAGGAUCCGUUGUGACGGAUGGUGGUUUUUCUGCCAGUUUCAACCUUCCUGCCGUUAUCCCUUCUUGUAUUACGUCCCUGAAAACAACACAACUAUUGGUAGAAUGGUUCCAAGAGUUGUGCCACCUGCAGUACUGUCUGCCCUUGAGUUCUUCCGGCUUCGGUAUUCUGUGAGGCGUCUCUAUUGCCUUCUACAGUAGCAUUUCGUGGAACAAGGCAUCAACCUUGGUUAAGUCAAAAGAGUAAACCUUGUUUUACGUUGGUUUGUUUGGAACGAAUCCUCCUGUGAAUGGUGGUGGCUUUUGGUCUUUAGGUGGCUUUGUGAGGGCUUUGCAACUAAUGGGAUGUUUUAGUUUUGCCAUUUCUGCCACUGAAACCUCUUUCUCUUCUGAUUCUUCUGCAUCUUCUUGUGAUUCCACCUCGAUCAGGUGGACUGAAGAAGAAGGGGUUUUAUAGUAUGUACCUUUGGAGGAGUUCCUCCUUUGCUGUUCCUCCCUGAGUAACUCCUCAUAUUUGGAUGCCUUAUCAGCCAGUUCUGCCAGAUCUCCGAACAAUAUCCCGUCGAACCUUUUCCUGAGAGAGAUUUUAAGGGCAACUUGGGCCAUCUGGAUGAAGUGUCUUUCUUCCAUCGGGAUUCGGCACUUCAUUUUGAGCUUUCUGAACCUGGUUAUGAAAUCUUGGGCCGGUUCAUCUUCACUUUGCUUGAGGGCAGCUAGAUCACUGAUGGUGACUUCUGGCUGAAUCCUGUAAUAGUAGUCAUGGAAGACAUUUUCCAUCUGUUCCCAGGUUUGAACAGAGUUAGCUGGCAGGCUGGUGUACCAGGUAAAAGCUUGCCCAAAAAGAGAGUUGCCGAAAAGCCUUAAUUUCAGCAGAGGGUUGCUUUCUAUAGCUAUGCAUUGGACGGAGAACCUGCCUAUAUGUUCAACUGAGGAAGAAUGGGGGUCUUCCCCAUUGAACAAAGUGAAGUUUGGCACUUUGAAACCUGGAGACAACAGUAUUUGAUCGAUAUAGGCUGGGUAUGGCUUUCUGUAAGUAGGCCUUUCCCCUAUUCUAGCCUCGGGUUCCAUGAUUUCUCUGAUCAUUCUUUGCAACGCUCCUAUGUCAUUCAAAGCAUUGACUGGGGGAAGAUUUUGUCCCUGUUCUGGCUGAACGUAAUCAAACCUGGGCUCUGCUCUGUGUGGUCUGGGUGGAACUUCCUCCCUGUGUUCUUCCUGCUCUUCGACUUCUGGAUGAUUCCUCCAGUUUGCCCCCGGUCUAUUCCUGUCAUGAUUAGCAAAAAGGUUGUUCCCUCCUCGGCCUCUCCUCCUUCUUGCAAGUGGAGGGAAUGGAUUAGGGUCCAUCCUUCUGGGUCUAUAUGGCAAUACUGCCGGUGGUUCAGGCAGAAGCGCCAAAGGUUGAUCAUGUGGGAGCACAUGAAGUGGAAUGGGCUGAGGUUCUGGCUGGUUCUGAGCCAGUGCCAGGUUAUCUGGUUGAGCUGGGGCUUCAUGUUUUUGAUUAGGAAGGGCUCCUUCCCUCGGACCAGCCUGAAUUUCUCCGUGGUCUGGCACUCCAGCCAUCUGUGCAACUAGGAAAUUUUCCUGGUAUGGCCAUAUUAGUCCUGGCGGAGGGCCAUAAGGGAGAUCCAACUGCUGGAUUACAGGAUCUGGGUUUGGGUUUCUGGCCAUGGCGGAUUCUCGGUCCUUCCGGAACUGUCUGUUUACCUGCCAUUACAUCAUGGCUGUCAUGUUAUUGAGAGUGUCCUGGCUCCUUCGUACUGUGAUCUCUUGUCGGAGUACUGACUCCUGUAUUUGAUUCAUCCUUUUGGAGCCAGUCCUGGAACGUCUACUUCCUGUACUGCCGUGGGCAGAUUGCCUAGCAUCGCUUUUUUCUGAUUCGAGGCCUUCCCUGAGAACCAUCUUGUUUUUCUCCAUAUCUGGUGUGGGUUCUGACUAGAUCUUCCGGUAUUUGUGAAUCUGUGAAUGAUUCUGUCAGAGUAUAUAUACUGAGAAGUCCCACUGGGUGUGCCAAAUUAUUCACCCGUUUUCGUGUUUUACUCCUGAGGUGGAAGGGCGAAGUUCCCCACUAGCUUGGAGACCACUUGUUGGUCGACAAGUCAGCUUUCUUUGGUGUGUGUGAGCGUGCCACUGCUAGCAAUGUAAAUUCUAGCAGACUUAUUUUUUAGAGUGGAUAACUUGCGCCUCAAGUUACUGACUUCUAAAACAAAUGAUUGUGAAUUUGGGUGAGGAAUAUCUCCCAAGUAAGUUCUUUUCUUGCCUCAGACUGGUGAGGACUUUCACAAUUUAUCUCAGUAUCAAAUGGUUGUUCUGGCCAGAAUAGAUAAUAAUAAAGUAGACUGUUUCAGGCAGAACUGCCUUUUACAAAAUUAAGAAGGGAGAAAUCAACUCUAGAAAGGCAAAAAGAUGGCUGGAAUCCCAUUUCUGCCUGGGUAGAAACUUCUGAUCCGGGCUGGACUGGGUAUGUCUAUGCUGGACGGUGCUGUCAACAACUUUAGCUUGCUCGGCUUUAGUUGUAAAUCGAUACCAAAGUUCAAUUUUGGCAGAGCUUCAAUCUACUUCAAGCCUUGGGAGACUUUUGAGUGGGCAGAACUGCAGCUUCUUCAGUUUGAAGGGACAGAAGUGGCUAUUCUCGAGGAUUUAGCAAGCUGGAACUAUGCUAUAAAAUUUGUUGAGGUUUUCAUAUUUGUGAAAACUCAAACUAUGUUUGUCUUGGCUUUUGCUGAACCAAAUUUGUAACGAGAGGGAUCUUGUUUUCAGAAGACUUAUUUUCUAAGUCUGAACUUUGGAAUUCUGAUCUAAAGCUGUUUUCUUGUUUGUUUUUUUUUUAUUGACUGAUGAAUUGAGUGUCCUUUGUUUCUUUGCCUUCUUUCGCUUUUAUAAGAGAUCCUCCUAAGGAGGUCAUUUUUAAUCCUAAACAAUGGGCGGCAAAAAGAUCUCUUAUAAUGUAAAGUAAGAAGGGUUUCUUAUCAAUCAAGGCAGAUAGGUUCUGAGCAGUCACCUCCUAAAAACAGUCCCUUCCCUGGUUUCCUGGGUGGCAGCUUUCUAAUUCAACCAACGCCACCGUCUGUGUGGGCUUUUUAUGGCGGUUUUGGCUCUUUUCUUUUGUAUUUUCUGAGUGGUUCCCUGUUUCCCGUUCUAAUUUAGAAAGCGUGAUCCGUGAAUUCCUUGGGAGAUGGUGUAUUGAUUUGGAGCAAAAUCUUGAACACAGAUGGGUUUUUGAUCUUCAAUUGGCAGUGUUUCAGAGACGUCCCUCUCACAUUUUUAAACUUUAGUUGGAAUUGCUGACUUUUCCAAAGUUGAGGCAAUCACGUGGGUGUGUCUUUGAUCCCUUGGUUUUGAAUCUUUCAAAAAUUACGGGCUGAUCUUUGAAGCCCAUUUCGAAAGUUUCCACAUCUGGGCUUUCUUUGGGCUGAGGCUUUAUUUCCAACAUUCUUGGUGUGAACUGGACUAAACAGUUAGUCGGACCAGACCGUCUACACAUAUGAACUGGACUCACAAGCCUAUGUUUUUUGAGCUCCCAUAUUGGUCGAAACUCAAAUUGAGGCACAAUCUAGAUGUGAUGCAUGUUGAGAAAAAUGUAUUUAACACAUUGGUGGGCACGAUUCUAGAUAUCGAGGGCAAGACAAAGGACACAAUCAAAGCCCGUCUUGAUUUGGAAAGAAUGGGCAUACAAAGGGGUUUAUGGAUGAACAGGGACAGUGAUAAAGCUAGAAGGGAUCUUGCAUUCUUUUCUAUGAAACCGAAUGAUAAAAAAGAGUUUCUAAAGUUUGUAUCGUCUGUAAAGUUUCCUGAUGGGUAUGCUUCUAAUAUCGCACAUUGCGUGAAUGUUGACGAGGGUAAAUUUACUGGACUGAAGAGCCAUGACUGCCAUGUGUUUAUGCAACGCCUACUUCCUGUGGGUAUUCGACAUCUAUUGCCGGAAGAUGUUGUGAAGCCAAUCAUGUUGUUGUCCAGAUUUUUUUCCCAACUGACGGCAAAAACAUUGCGAAAGACAGACAUAUUUCAGUUGCGCCAUGACAUUGUCCAAGUCCUAUGCAAGUUUGAGAUGAUAUUUCCUCCAGCUUUCUUCACAAGUAUGAUGCACGUGAUGGUUCACUUGCCAGAAGAGGCAUUGCUUGCUAGUCCUGUCAACUAUCGCUGGAUGUAUCCAAUAGAAAGGUAUAUAAUCUUUAUCGUUUGUGUAUGCAUCAUUAUCACAGACUUGCUAAUUUGUAUCAUAUCGUUUUAUUUUGACAGGCUUCUCGGAGAGCUGAAAAAAAGUGUACGCAACAGGGCGAAGCCCGAAGGAUCAAUUAUAGAGGCUUGGGUUCAAUAUGAGUCGCUUACUUUCUGUGGAAUGUAUUUAAAAGAUGUGGAGACGGCUUUCAAUCGUCCUCAACGCAAUAACGACGAAGGUAUGAGAAAGGAAAAACUUUCUGUUUUUGCCCAAAGUGCACGACCCUUUGGAGAUCCUGGACGAGGAGAGUCGUUUUCUAGAAAUGACAUGGAGGUAGCGCAUUGGUUCGUACUGAACAAUUGUGAUGAGAUAAUGGCAUACUUAGAUAAGCAUGAAGAGAUGAUGAAGCGAGAACAUCCAUCACAUUUAGUUGCCCAGAAACACCGUGAAUUGUUUCCACAAUGGUUUUUGGAUUCUGUAAGUUAUAAGUGUUUUGUAUUUGACAAAUAUAAAUUGUAGUAUUUAAUUUUGUCAGACUAACAUGUGAAUGGUUUUGUAUUAUAUUAGGUGAAUAAGUUGAAAUCAUCGAAUUCCCCCACUUACAGUGAUGAGUUAUAUAACUUGGCGUUCGGCCCAAUUCGCGCUGAAUUGUUUCGGGUUGUUAUAUUAAUGGCGUCAAAUUUUUGGGAGCCGCACGAGAUGACAAGUUGUGUAUGCAAAACAGCGGUGUCCAUGUCCCAGGUGGAGGCGAAAGUACGAACAUUGAUUUCUAUGGCAAACUCACAACUGUCAUUCAAUUGCUUUACAAAGAUCGAUACUAAGUGAUCAUGUUUAAGUGUCGAUGGUUUGAUAGCAACCCAAAUAGGCCGGGAAGUGUUAAAAUCAACCAUGGCUUACUAUCUGUGAACAUUAACAGAACUUGGUAUGAUGACGACCCUUACAUUUUGGCAAACAUGGCAACACAAAUUGUGUAUCUAGAUGACCCUAAAGCCGGGAGCAGUUGGAAAGUUGUUCAGAAGAUGGAUCAUAGGAACUUGUAUGCUAUACCAGAACUAGACCCAACUGACAAUGACGUCAACAAUGUGGCUGACCAACGUUUAGAAUCUUCAAUGGAAAAUGAUGCGGAAACACUUCGAGAUACACAUGUUAUACAAGAACCGUUUCAAAUACAAGGAGUGUCUUCAAUCGAAAUACCGAUUCAGUCAAUUACAAUUGACCUCGGGGAUCUUCCAAGAUUCGAUGUUGCAGUGAGCCCGAGCAACGAAGAUGAUGUAGUUAUAGAGGAGGAGGAGGAGGAUUGGGAGACUGAAAGUGAUGAUAGCGAAGAUAACGAAAGUUAUUAUAGUUCAGAUGAUGAAUAAUUAAAUUUUUUAUAUUUUUAUUAUGCUAGUGUACAGACUUUGUGUAAAACAAAAGUUUGAAUAUAUGUAGUUGUGAUAUCCAAACCUUAUAUAUGUGGACAACUGAAACAUUAUUAAAAUAAAUUUAGUUAUAAAACAUCGGUAAAUCAAUAUAUCCAAACCCUUUUAAUAUUCAUUUAAAAUUUUUUUUUUUGACAAAAACGUUUACAAAAUGAAAAUGAUAAAAUAUUUGUUAUAAAACAUUGAUAAAUAAAUAUAUCCAAACCAUUUUCAUACAAAGUUUGAAAAUUAUUGACAACAAACAUUUUUCAAAAAUGAAAAUCCUUGCGCGACGAAGUACACCUCGUCACGCAAAGUUUGCGCGACCCAGUAAACAGUCGUUGUGUAAAGUUAAAACAUUGCGAGACAAAUUAUCAUCCGUCACGCGAUAGAAUUUUGCGCGACGAAUAUUUACUCUCGUCGCGCAAAUGUAUAUUCUUUUAUAAUAUAUUUUAUAUACACAUAUAUAUUCGAAAUUGACGAUCGAGUUAGUUCAUUGUAUUCAUAUAGGGUCAUGGAGUGUAGCUGUAAAAAAUCAUCAAAAUCGGAGUUAAAAUAACUGUUAAAUCAUGACUUUUCAUUUAUAACCGUUCAAAAAUUUUGUCCCGAUACUUGAUCUCUGAAUGUUUUUUUUUUCCGAUUUUUGGGGCCUAAGAUCUCGAAGUAUAAACAAACACGUUUGACGGCUGGAUUAUUGAAACUACUUUCGUAGAAUGCGUAUGCCAUCAAAACUAUAUAUUCACCAACAAUGAAUAGUUUACUUAUACUUUCAUUAAAUAUAACAUAAGAUUAUGUGGUAUCACCCUAGUGUAAACAUCUUAAAUUGAAGAUCAAAUUCAGUAAUUGUAUUCAUAUAGGGUCAAGAAAAGUAGCUAUAAAAAAUCAUCAAAAUCGGAGUUAAAAUAACCGUUAAAUCAUGACUUUUCAUUUAGAUUCGUCGAAAAGUUUUGUACUGUUACUUGAUCUCUUAACGUUUUUUUUGUCAGAUUUUCGGCGUAUACGAUCUCGAAAUAUAAAAAAACAAGUUUGCCGGUUAGAUCAUUAAAACUAGUUUCGGGUUUAGGAUUUCUGCAGUUUAGGGUUUAGGGUUUGCGCGACGAAGCCAUUUCGUUGGUCGCACAAAGCCUGCAAAGAACAGUCUUGCGCUACGAAACUAGGAUUCUUUGUCACGCAAUCUCAACCAGCCCUUUCACCCUCUUCCUCCUUGGACACUUAGCCAAAAAAAGUUGCGAGUUUACAGAAAGCGGCUUUGCGCGACGCUGCCGGUAUUCGUCGCGCAAUAUGUAUGCCAAUAAAACCUAAAUCCCAAAUUUUGGCGAAUUACAACUUUGCGCGACGAAUAUGGGAAGCUUCGCGCAAAGUUUUCAAUCUUUCCCGCUAAACCCUAAGUCCCAAAAUUUUGGCGGAUUGACAACAUUGCGCCACGAAAGAAGGUACUGUGCGUCGCACAAAGUUUUCAAUCUCUCCCGCUAAACCCUAAGUCCCAAAAUUUUGGCGGAUUGACAAUAUUGCGCGACGAAAGAAGGUACUGUGCAUCGCGCAAAGUUUUCAAUCUCUCCCACUAAACCCUAAGUCCCAAAAUUUUGGCGGAUUGACAACAUUGCUCGACGAAAUAUGGUACUGUGCGUCGCGCAAAGUUUUCAAUCUCUACCCAAUAUUUUGCCGGAUUGACAACAUUGUGCGACGAAAGACGAUACUGUGUGUCGCGCAAAAACUACCCUGAUACCAAAUUUUGGGAUUAACAAUAUUGCACGACAGAAGUUAUACUUAUGUCGUCGCGCAAGUGUCAAUUAAAAUAUUUUGCGUGACGCUUUUGUUUGUUCGUUGCGCAAAAUCGAAUAAAAUUGCAGAAACGACGCGAUAGCCUCCUUCUUCCCCAGAUUUGUUUUUCUACCCUAACUCUCUCUCUCUCUCUCCGCCUUCAGCUCAGCCCCCUACCCCAGUGGAUUUUGGACGACGGCGCCACAACAGUGGUACCCCGGAGGUUUCCCGCCGUCACCGUCGAGCCAGCCGCCCUAAUUCCUCGAUUUUCACCGAAUCUGCGCCGCCGUCGUUCUCUCUCCUUCGGCGACCAAAUCCGACACCUGAGGUAUGGUUUCUGUCCUAUUUUUGAUGCUUUAACUGAUGGUUGGGUAGGAUUUGUGUAAUUGUUGCAAUAGGGCAGUGGAUUUGAAACCCUAAAUUUCGACCGAUUUUUGAAUUCCAAUUCCGGCCACUUCUGGCCAUUUUUCAGGGUAGGUCCGAGAACAAAAGUGGCUCCAAUUGAUGUUUUGAACCUAGGGUAGGAACCUUGGCCCUUAGUUUUAAGAAAUUUUCGACGAUUGGUAUCGCUUUGGACACCCACGCUCUGCCAGCGCUUGUGGUGGCGCGUGGGGUACUGUAGCAGUCUUGCAUUGGGUCCCAGUGCAAUCCCAUAUUUGUCACGAGCGCGUAGGUGUUUUCGGAUUGGAAUUUGGUUACCGUUUGAGUCUCGAACGGAUUUUGCCUAUUGUGCGAUUUCCGGGUUUGUUAUGUUCGGACCGUUGGAUCGAACUCAAACUCACGUAUGGUGUACCUUGUAUUUCUUGGAUCGUCUAGGAUUCGACGGAUCGUGGAUCGGAGUCCCGAAUACUCCGAACUCGCAAACCCUAGGUCAAGAAUCUUAAUAAAAUUGUAUGUGCUUUCAAAUAUUCGUAUGUUUUAUUAAUUUGUAUGUGUAUUAAUGAAAUUGUGUAGAUGUCAGACCUGAUUAGACGUCGUAGGGCGGUGACGACUACGCAGAGUUCUGAGCCCCCGGCUCAACUGACAUCUGCUGCCACUGCGCCAGCACUGAUGGACCACUUGGCAGUUGGUCCCGCGGGGUCCCAGGCUCCUGCUUCAUCAGCUUCAUUAGUGGCACAACCUGUUAGCGCCAGGAAGCGUCAUCGGCCUGCCAGCACCACCGACACCACAUCCACUGAUGCGUCGGGGUCACAGCCAGGUAUAGAUUUCCUUAAACUCCAGUUAUUUAUAUUUUUGUUUUUGUUUUUAUUUUUGUUUUUGUUUUUGUUUUUGUUUUUAUUUGUGUGUGUAUUUUAUAGUUAAAUUUGUUAUUUAUUUAACAUUAAUGUCAUCUUUCUUUGCAGCCAAGAAGAACACCCGAGGGCCGUGUCGGUAGUUGAAGACGGCGAAGGUCACUCGGGUGACCAACAGUCGUAUCAACAUCGGAUACGACAAGCGACAUCGGGCUGCACCGACGGCGGAGUUGCAUAGCUCCUUGGCCCACGACAUUGGUGAUGUCAUUCCGAGCCAUUGCCCGAUGAAAUGGAAGUCUUGGAAGGUGAUGCCUGACGAGACCAAGAUGGAGGUUCGCGGCCAGUUGUCAGUAUGUAGGCCUUUUAAUUCUUUUUCUUUCAAAUUUUAUAUUUCUAUUAUUUAAAUGUAUUUAAUUAAUUUAUUGCAGACGAACUACAACUUGGAGGACCUGGACGACGAGUCGUUGGCGUACAUCAACAGACUCUUCUCUGAGAGGUACAAAUAGUGGAAGAGCGACUUGCACCACUAUUUUGAGGCGUUUGAUGAUCCAGAAGUCUCUCUUCAGGAGGGUUGCCCGAAGGAGCUUGAGGGGCGGGAGGAUAGUUGGGCGUGGCUCUGCUCUCAUUUUCAGGCGCCCGCUUUUGUGGUAAUUUGUAAUAUGAAUUUCAAAUUUAUUAUAUUUUUCUUACUAAUGUUUUUUUAAUGUUUUAUAUUUAAUUUCAAUUUCAACUAAUACGUUUUAUUUUUUGUAUAACAGAAUAAAGCCAAAGUCAAUAAGGGCAAUAGGAAGAAGAAGACUCUUCUCCAUCAUUCGGGUUCCAGGCCCUUCUCCUAUAGGAUGGAUGCAUGGCGGCAGGUAAUCAUAAAAAAAAUUUUAUUUAAUUUUUAAUAUUUAAUUAUUCUUAAUUUAUUUUUUUGUACUAAUAUUUUUCUUCUCUUGUUCAAUUUAGGGGGGUCCAAAUUCCCAGAGAUCGACGUCUUUGGCGACGUUUAUGUUCGACCUGGGAAUGAGUUGGGCGAGUCCCUUCAUGUAAGUAUUAUUUAAUUUUAAUUAUUAUGUUACGCAUUCAAGUUUAAAGGUUAUUAUAUGAAUGUUUUAAUUUAUAUUUUAUGUUAUGCUAAACAGAUGACGAUGGUGGAGAGGAGCCAGUUGGUUCUUCAAGAGUCCGCCUCCCAACUUCCUUCCGAUACUCCGAUCGAGUCUGUGGAUCCUCCACAGGAUGCUGGGUUUCAGAUCUUGACGGAGACAUUGGAUCAGACUCUAGGGAGGAGACCGGGGAUAUAUUGUCGAGGGAUGGAGAAUGCCAGGCGGAGGGAAGCCAGACCCCGUUCAUUAGCGCAGUCAAGCAGUCAGGUCACUGCUUUGACAGCACAGGUGGCCACUCUUCAGAGUCAGAUGUCGGACAUUCUGCAGUCCCUCGCACAGUUCGGCAUUCCAGUCCCGCAUUUUGAUGCGCCGACCUCUGAGCCCGUCCAUCCUGAGCAUCCCCACCAGACGACGGCCCUUGUAGACCCCCAGACCUCUGAACCGCAUGUGCCAGACGACAAUGUAGAUUUUGGAACAUUAUGAUUAGUUUUUUUAUUUUCAUAAUUAUUUUUUAAAUAUUUCUCUUGCAGCAUACAUUUAUUUUAUAUAAUAAAUAUGUUCUUUACAAUUCUUUUUUUUAUUGGAAUUUCAUUUUAUUACCCAAAAAAAAAAAACCAAAUUUAUUUUUUUAUAAAAUAAAAUAAAAAGUAAUAUUAAAAUUAAAUAAUAAUUAUAUAUAUUAAUUUUGCGCGACGAAAUCUUUCUCGUCGCGCAAAUUUAUAUAUUACGAAAUAAAAAUGUUUCAUUUUUUUAAAUACAUAUAAUUUAUUCUUGCGCGACGAAUAUUUUCGUCUCUCAAAAAGGAUUUGCGCGACAACAGUUUUUCGUCGCGCAAAAUGUGUUGACACGAAUUGCACGACGAAGAUAUCUUUGUGCCGCAAAUAUCUACGACACGUAUUGCGCGAUGAAAAUGUUCGUCGCGCAAAAAACGUAUGCGCGACAACAAUGUUUCGUCGCGCAAUACGUGUAGACAUGAAUUGCGCGACGAAGAACUCUUGGUGCCGCAAAUGUGUACGAGACGUAUUGUGCGACGAAUAUUAUUCGCCGCGCAUCGUUGUGGCGACGAACCCGCUUUCGUCGCGCAUAAGUUUGUGCGACGAACUAUUGCAUCGUCUCUGAACCUUUUGUGCAACGAAGGGUAACCGUCGCACAAAUUUGCGCGACGAGUGAUACAAUCAGUCGCGCAAAGUCUUUCUUCACCAUCUUUGCACCACAGAUUACGCGCGACGAAUUUUCUGUCGUGCUUGAGUUUGUGCGACCAAAUUUAACUCUGCGCGACGAAAUUGGCUUCGUCGCGCAAAUCGUAAAAUGUAGUAGUGGAAGUUAUCAACAUCUAUAGGAACCCCAAUGAAAAGGCUGUUAACUAAUAAUGAAGUAAACCCCUCAAUGUUUCCGCGUAUCAGAUAUCUCUCAGAAUAUGCGAUUCCAUACUCAAUAAGCAACUCCACAUCCCCUGAGGUUUUCACCAAACCACCCAUUAAGGAAACAUACUGACUCAUGUGUAAUUAUCAUUACUCAUCGGGUAAUGCAAUUGUUCAAAGGCAAGGACAUUUCUCAUUAUUUCUGUAGUGAACCCCAAUGGAAAUGGUGGGAUCUUCAGAACCCCAUUGGUGCUACUGAAUUGUAUGUCAAAUAUGUUUUCACCUUGUCGCGCCUCAAACUUGACUCCAGCGUGCUGUAAUUCUGUCAAGCUGGGUAUGGAUGAUGGGAGUUCCCCUCCAGCUUUUGAUUCCAACGGUUGAUAGAGUUUAAAUAUUUUCCUGUAAAGAUCAACAAUAUGUGCCACUGAUCUAAAAGUCUCCAAAUUGUCUUCCAUUUUGUCAACAGGCAAUAGAUGUUCGAAGAAACUGAAAGAAAGACUAAUUAUUGAAAGCCCCUCAGUAAUGCAGUUAUUGUCAGCAUCAGCAGGGAGUGUAAUUUUCUGUGGGUCGAAAAGAUCCUCGAGAAUGAAGAAUGGCAACUGAUUUUCAAGCAACCACAUAUCUGUCCAUACAUCUUGCAACAUACCUGGUUUGUCAAAUAUGCGGUCAUUUUCAUCCCAAAAUUUGAAGUAGUCCUUCAAUAAGAGCUCAAUAACGAAGGCGGCAUCCACUAGAAUGAUUGUUACAAAUUCAUCACUGCUAAACUUGAUGGGUUCUCCAUAACAACGUCUCAAUCUUGCUUCGUGGUCCUUUAUUUUCUUAAUAUAAUCCUCCAAACUCACAUUGGUCCGACCUAUAAAAUCUUGCAGGUAUCUCUGUUUGUGCUCUUCCUAUACGACAUUCAAGCCUUCCUUUCCAUGGUGAAGUGGGCCUAUAGAGACCACCUGAGGUGUGCAGAGCUUUUCAUUCACACUUCGUAGUCGUUGAGGAACUCUGUAGAUACAGCACUUGGAGGAUGGGGGAGACAAGCUAUUGAACCCUUUUCUCAUCGAAUUUGCUAAUGAAAUGUAUGGGUUUUCUAUGUCAUUUUGAGCAGAUUGAUGGCUUCCUGCCAUUUUCCAGCUCCUGACUAUAUGUGGUGUUCCGAUUGUAACAGAUUACAAUAAUGAUGAGUAUGGAUAACUGAAUUACUGAUAAAACAAUCAAGAAACAUUUCGUUAUUUUCCAUUCCCAAUAACGAAAUCAAAAUGUUCAAGGAAAUAUAAUCAGGAUAUUGCAAUUAUAUAGCCAUUCAUAAGCUGCCUGGCAUGGAAUAAGAGGUGGAAACCAAAUCUACUUAUUGGCCAAAGUUCGAAUUCACUAUAUAUAGAUAUAUAUUUUGCCAAAAUCUAAAACUGACCAACCUUAGAUACAAAAACACGGUACAGCCCGGUUAAAGUAAUUCCAAGUGCGAAGAAAGAAAGGAAUUGAGCGUUUGUACCUCUACAGCUAGCCAAAUUUUCUAUUGAUUCUUUAAAUUUUAGAGAGCAAUUACUCUUAAUUUGGUAGGUGUAGGACUGUGCAACUUCAAGCUUUAAUGAAAGAAGCCAAGUUUAUUCUAAGGGGACAAGUCAGAGACAACGAAAUUUUGCUCAGCUUCAUUUUCAAAUUUGCUGCUUAAGAAGGAAAUUUAAUAUGUUUGUUUCACAAAUUGUAUUGUCAUCAAUGAAACUCGUGCACACCCAACGAAAUUUGCAUGGCUUAUUUUCAAAGGAGUACUGCUAUUUCCAUCCUCUGUCCUAUUUUUCCACUCACCUUAUCUUCAAAAUUUUAAAGACAAAAAUAAACCCCUUUGUAAAAUGCUUAAAAAGAAAUUUAAUAUGUUUGUUUCAAAAAUUGAUAUUGUCAUCAAUGGUUAAAGAAUUGCUGGUGACAACAUAUACUUCUUUUCUACUGUAUUAAUUUCUUUCUUUAUUUUUUCUUCAGUAUAGUUCUGCCUUUCUUUUACAUGUUUAUGCGCAUAUUUGACACGUUCAAGUAUACUUAUAUAACAAAUGCAAUGAGUUUGUAGUCACAAAAAUCAAGGAUUGAAAACAAAAAGUAAUAUUAUGUGCAAGAGAAACUUACCUGCAGAAACUGAAGAACUCCUCUAGUUUCUUCUCUGUCGCUAUGUACUCCCGCGUUCAAGUUAUUAUUCUUACAAUGUACAUACACUAUUAUAUAAUGGCGAGAAGGCUCUGAUUAACCUCCUUUUUGCUUCAUUGGAUGGGGCAAGAAUGGAAUUGUCACCGUGGGUGUGGAGGUGAUCUACCAUUUGAGCAAGAAAUUCCCACAUAUUCUUUAACUAUUUUUCAAGCAUGCAUAUUCCUCCCUAUCAAUCUUUGGUCUCUUCUUUUACUAUUUUUCAAGCAUGCAUACUUUGAUUUUAAAUCAUCUUUUCCGCACUAAUUUGCUUCAAUCAAGAAACAGUUAAUAUAUUUUGUAUCAUCAUUAGAGAACACUUGAAACUGCAUAAGUUAAUUUUGAAGAUGAUGGCAGAACCAAAAUGUGUAUAGCUUAUAACUAUAAUUUCUUGAUUACAACAAGAGGUUUCAAGUUUUCAACAACACAAAUAUGAAUCUCCCAAGCAAAGAUAAACAAUAAAGCAAGCAUACGGAUUGUCAAAUUGCCUUCAAUCACUCUAAAAUACUUCAUACCGUCCGACACUGGCUUCAAUUACUCUACAAUACUUCAAUUCAUAUAUUGUCCUAUUUUCACAUGUACAUCCUGCUUUUACUUAAGGGUUAAUUGUUGAUUUACCCCUUGAACUUGUACUCUACUUUCAAUUUGCACCCUCAACUUUUUUUUUUGAAAAUUAGGUGCAUGAACUAAUUUUUAUUGCCAAUUCCCCCUACCAACAUGUCAUCUAAUAGUCUGUCAAAUCAUUAAAAAAUAUAAUAUUUUUGGAAAAAAUUAAAGAAAAAAAAAUUCCUAAGGACCCACAGACCCAGAACCCACCCUCCGUUGCCCCCGCUUGCUGUUUUCUUCUCCUCCCAGUCCCCCAUGACCACCACCCUCCACUGCCACACCAAUCCCCUACCCAACAGACCCCUCACCCCUUCUUUUUUUUCACCCCCGAACCCAGCAUGAGUUAUUGGUUAAUACCAUUUUCUUAAUUGCCAAAUAAAAAAAAAAAACAGAGUUAACCCUCUGUUAAGCUAGCUGACUAGUGGGGCGAAAUGGAGGAAAAUCAAUAUGGAGACAGCGGAUCCGGUCCCGUGUAAGUGUAUCUGAUGGAAUAAAAGAAUGAUAUUAUUGGUGGUGGGUACGGUUAUGUGGAAGUAAUAAUGGGUAAGAGAAGAAACUUGUUCUCUUGUGAUAAUCAAAAGACAGAAAGUAGUGGGAAAAGACAGAAAGUAGUGGGACACUAUUUUAGAUAUGAUAAUGUUCCUUCCUUGAUUGAUGCAAAUGAAGAGAAAAGGGUGGCUUUAUAUAAUAGCCACUACCGACCUAACACAUUAAAAACACAACUAACACCAAACAUAGUUAAUUCAACUAACUUCUACCACACCAUUAAUUUAACACACAACUACUAACAAACUGCCAACUAUUUCAAAGUUACCAGCCGACUAUUAAUGAAGUCUAGAUUACUUUAACAUCCUCCCUUAAGCUAGACUUCAUUUACGCCAAUUAAUUUUCUCAUCUUGAUGAGCGGCUCUUUCUUCAACGGUUUGGUGAACAAAUCUGCCAGCUGAUCUUGGGACUUGCAAUACAGAACCUCAACUUCUUUAUCUUUGAUUAGCUCUCUGAUGAAAUGGAACUUGAUCUUGAUGUAACACCCCGACCCCAAAUUUUCCCAAAUUUUACCCUUAUUUAAUUAUUUAAUUAUUUAAGGGUAUUUUAGUCAUAUUUUUAACCGGAGAGAGUUUGGGACCGUGACUAGUAUUUUUGGAUAGGUCGAGCUGAGACGAGUUCAUAGACACGUAGUGGGCUCGAAUCGGAGUUGUAACGAGAGAGAUAUGGUCAAAAGAAGCCCAGUGGCACAAUCGUAAAUAUUUCGAAAUGGGAUUUUUUAUAAAAACUCAAAUUUUUCUCUCUCUCUCUCUCUCUCUCUCUCUCUCUCUCUCUCUCUCUCGCGACUCCUCUCUCUCUCUCCCGUCGGCCUCUCCUCUCUCUCUCUUCGUAACUCCGGCCACCGGCCGCGGCUGCGGACGGGGCCGGUGUCAAAAGAACCGGCUCGACCUCGGCAUCACGACCCAGCCCAUCCCCGCCAUCGGCCGCCGCUCCAGCCGCCGGAAAAUGGCGAUUUUCGCCCAGAUGUCGCCGGAACUUCAACGCCGUCGAUCUCCCUCCUCCGGCCACCAAUUCCGUCGACCCAGGUAUGGAUUUUGAACCUCUCGAGCUGCUCUAGCUGAUGGUUGGGUAGGAUUAGAUCGAUUCUUAGCGUAGAUCACUCGAUUUUCGAAUUGAAAAUCGGCCGAAACUUCGGCCGCCGUGAUCGGCCAUUUCCGGCCACUUUUUGGGGUAGGUCCAAGAACAAAAGUGGCUCCAAAUAGGGUGUUAUACCUAGGGUAGGAGUUUGGAGCCGUGGUUUUGAGAUUUUCCGGCGGAGCGUUAUCGCUUUGGGCACCCACGCGCUGCUGGCGCGUGCGGCGGAGCGUGGGCACUGUAUAAAAAGUAGCGAUGUAUUCCGAUGAGAUCCUUAGGUUGUCACGAGUGCGUAGGAUUUUGCGGAUCUCAAUUCGGACGUCGUUUGACUAUCGAACGAAUAAUCGCAUAGUGUGCGUUAUCCGGGUUCGAUAGGUUGGGACCGUUGGAUGGUCCCAAAUUUAAUAUAUGUUAAUCUAGGUAUUUCUAGGAUCGUGUAGGAAUUCACGGAUCGUGAAUCGGAACUCCGGAUGUUCCGAAUAAUAAUUUUAAGUUUAUAUUUUAUAUUAACCAUCAGAUCGUGCGAUCGUGAGCAAUCCGACCGUCCGAUCUGAACCAAACUUGCAGGACAAGUGUCCUACACCUGGUAGAACCCAUAGGGACUUCCGGAUCGGAAAUUGGAGGUCGUGGGUUCUGCAGGUCCGUUUGACCAGGGUUAGAGUAGUUUGACUCUUGGUUGACCGUGAGUCUCCCGGAGUAAUCUCACCCUUCCAGGGGGAAUUAUCGGGAGCUAGACUAUUGUGGAGGGUUACACAAUAUUAGAAUUAUUUAUAUAAAUUAUGUGGUUGUACAAGGGUACAACAGAGUCUAGAAUGUCAGUUUGGAGUGCUAUACGCACUACUCUAGGUACCUCCUCGGACUUUGGAAUUUCUACAAGUACCACCAAGUGAAAGUUAGGUCCCACGUGGCGUAGGUUAUCCGGCGUGUCGACAGACCCCAUACGUGGCGUUGGUUGUACCGGCGUAUGGGGAGAUUUGUGAUAUGAUAUUGAGGUCCCGCGUGGCGUAGGUUAUCCGGCGUUGGGACAGGCCCCAUACGUGGCGUUGGUUGUACCGGCGUAUGGGGAGAUAUUAUGAUAGUAUGGCAUGGUCGCACGUGGCGUAGGUUAUCCGGCGUGUCGACAGACCCCAUACGUGGCGUUGGUUGUACCGGCGUAUGGGGAGAUUUGUGAUAUGAUAUUGAGGUCCUGCGUGGCGUAGGUUAUCCUGCGUUGGGAUAGGCCCCAUACGUGGCGUUAGUUGUACCGGCGUAUGGGGAGAUAUUAUGAUAGUAUGGCAUGGUCGCACGUGGCGUAGGUUAUCCGGCGUGUUGACAGGCCCCAUACGUGGCGUUGGUUGUACCAGCGUAUGGGGAGAAUAUGUGAAAUACAGAGAAAUGAAAUAAGGUAUUGCCCAAGUGUGGAAUUGGGUUUUAGGGAAGAACUACUUAUGGCUUGAUCCCUCAAGGAGGGUACGUAGGCAGCCUAAGGUUAUUAGGUGCAGCCGCAGACUAAAUAUUAGUCAUAAAUUGUAAUUGAACUGUUUGGUAGUCGUUUGAGGAAGUAUUGAAAGGCCGAAGGCCAUUUGUGUGAAUUGCAUGAAAUUAUAUUGUGCAUGCUGCCAGUUGGGAAUAUUAAAUGCGUUUUUAUGCAGGUAUAAAUUUUGGGAAUGUCCAAUUUACAGGGGAGACUCUGCCAAAAUUUCGGCAGGAAGUCUCGGUUUUUAGUAAGUGGGCCUGGCAUCGGGGUGAUGUCAGGAAUUCCAAAGGGUUCGUCUCGGGUUUUGAGAAAAUUCGGGGCGGGUCCUUUCACUUGAUAUGCUUACUCUUGCUGUGAAACAUUGGAUUUUUGGAAAGACAAAUAGCUGAUUUGUUGUUGCAGAACAGCUUUGUAGGUCCUUCUUGAACUUGACCCAUCUCUUCUAAAAUACUUUUCAGCCACCUAGCUUGACAACCUGCUGAUGCAAGAGCAACAUACUCAGAUUCUGUAGUUGAAAGUGCCACUAUAGAUUGCUUUUUGGAGGACCAUGAAAUCGCACUUGAGCCAAUGCUAAAGACAUAACCAGAUGUGCUUUUGCAAGUAUCAACAUCUCCACCCAAGUCACUGUCACUGUAGCCAGUCAAAUUUAGAUUCUGAAUAGGAUAAUAAUGCAAACCAUAAUUGAUAGUUCCAACCACAUAUCUUAGGAUUCUCUUUCCAAGCUCCCAAUGAACAUCUUUUGGUGACUCCACUAAACGGCUGAGGAAGCUUACUGCAUAUGUAAGAUCUGGCCUUGUUGUAGUUAAAUACAAGAGGCCACCCACUAGACUUCGAAACAAAGUUUGAUUUACCAUUGUGCUUCCAUCAUUCUUACCUAUCUUAACACCAACCUCCAUUGGAGUAGCAAUUGACUUUGCAUUUUCCAACCUGAACCUUUUCAACAAUUCCUUUGCGUAUUUCUUUUGAGAAAUAUAGAUACCAUUCUCAUUUUGUUUGACUUCAAUUCCAAGAAAGAAAUGAAGCAAACCAAGGUCUGUCAUUUCAAAUCUUUGUGACAUAAUCAUCUUGAAAUUAUCACACAUUUGAGCAUUACUUCCAGUAAAUAUUAAGUCAUCCACAUAUAAGCAGACAAUCAAAAUCUCACCUUGAGAGUUCUUCUUGGUGUAAAGAGUAUGCUCAUAUGGGCAUUUGUGAAACCCAUACUCUUGGAAGAAUGCAUCAAUCCGACUGUACCAAGCUCUUGGAGCUUGUUUCAAACCAUAUAAAGCCUUCUUCAAUCUACACACUUUUGUUUCUUCAUUUCCCUGCACAUAACCUGGAGGUUGAGCAACAUACACUUCUUCUUCCAAAAAACCUUGCAAGAAUGCUGGUUUAACUUCCAUUUGAAAGACUUUCCAACAAUUUUGGGCAGCAAGAGCUAACACCAUUCGGAUGGUGUCAAAGCGUGCAACUGGAGCAAAAACUUCAUUGUAAUCAAUUCCAUAAUUUUGCUUGUAGCCUUUAGCUACCAAGCGAGCUUUGUAUUUCUCAACUUCUCCUUGAGCAUUCAGCUUGGUCUUAUACACCCAUUUUACUCCUAUAGGCUUCUUUCCUUGAGGAAGAUCAACCAGCUCCCAUGUGUCAUUUUUCUUAAUGGAAUCAAUUUCUUGAUCCAUAGCCUUCACCCAAUUUUCAUCCUUUGAAGCCUCUUCAAACAUAAUUGGGUCUGCAUCUACAAAUAGAGCAAAAUUUGUGCCACCAUUAGUGAUCAAAACAUAAUCACUAGAUGGGUACCUUGUGGAUGGUUGAUGAGCUCUUGUUGAUCUCCUUUGUCCUCUGCAAAUUUCUUCUUCCUCACUGCUAUCACUAGAAGAAGUUGAUGAUGACCCUUGUGAUGAAGAUUCCUAUGAUGAUAGAGUUGUUGGUGGAGUUAAAUCUGGAUUUUCAAGGCCAAUGUCCAACAGUAUUGGACUUUGAUUUUCAGCUUCACUCCAAUUCCAUGCUUCUUCUUCAUUGAACUUGACAUCACGACUAACAAUAAUCUUGUUAGUCAAUGGAUUAAACAACUUAUAUGCCUUGGCCUUUUCACUAUACCCAACAAGAAUGCACUUUUCUGAUUUGUCAUCCAAUUUUCUCCUUGUUUUAUCAGGAAUAUGAGAAUAAGCAAUGCUGCCAAAUAUCCUUAAGUGACUAAUACAUGGCUUGAGGCCACUCUAAGCUUCUUGAGGAGUCUUGCCUUCCACACUAUUGGACGAUGCACGGUUCAAGAGAUAUACAGCACAUGCCACUGCUUCUGCCCAAAAACGAUUAGGCAUUGCUUUUGCCUUCAACAUGCUUCUUGCCAAUUCCAUAACGGUCCUAUUUUUUCUCUCGGCCACACCAUUUUGCUGUGGGGUGUACCGAGCUGUGAACUGAUGCUUAAUCCCAUUUUCUUUUAGAAAAUUUUCGAACACAUUGGAUGAGAAUUCUCCACCUUGAUCAGACCGCAAGGUUUUCAAUGCAAAUCCACUUUGCUUCUCAGCCAAAGCUUUGAAAACUUUAAAGUAAUCAAACACCUCUGAUUUAUAUUUGAGAAAAUAGACCCAUGUCUUUCUGCUAUAAUCAUCAAUGAAUGUAAGAAAGUAGCGGUUACCUCCUGUUGAUGUUGUGUUCAUGGGCCCGCAUACAUCUGAGUGCACCAGCUCAAGAGGAUGGGAUGCUCUCCAAGAAUUUCCUGUAAGAAACGAAUUUCUCUGAUGUUUUCCCAGCACACAUGCUUCACAAACUUGUGUUUGAUGCUGUAUCGUUGGUAGGCCUCGUACCAUAUGUUGUUUCCCCAUCAAUGAUAGUGUAUUGAAACUCAAAUGCCCAUAGCGUAGAAGCCACAACCAUGAGGAAUCCUUGAUAAGUGCACUUAAGCAAGCAAAAGAUUCAUACUUUAUGUUCAGAGAAAACAUAUUGUCUCCUGACAUCUGCACCUUUGUAAUUAGAGAGUUGUACUUGUCUCUAAUUACACACUGGUCUUCCCUGAACUGAAUAUUAUGGCCUUUAUGAAGAAGUUGCCCCACACUAAGGAGAUUGUAAUUUAAAUCUGGAACAUAUAACACAUCAGAGAUUCUUUUUUGUUCUCCAGACUUGGAUAGAAAAAGAAUAUCUCCACAUCCUUUGGCCACUAGCUUUCCACCAUCACCAAUCCUUACUUCUGAGUUGUUGGUAUGCUUGAAAUUGACAAAGGCACUUUUGUUGCCUGUCAUGUGAUUACUACAUCCGCUAUCAAGAUACCAUUUUUCUGCACACACGUUUCCUUCCCUGGCAGCUGCAUAUGCAAGUAGAACCACAUUAUCAUUUUCCCUUUCAGAAGCUUUUUCAUGCACAAAGCUUGAUUCGGCUCCUCCAUUUGUUUUGUUUUUGCAUGUUGACUUGAUGUGCCCAUAUUGCUUGCAAUUGUAGCACUGAAUAUUAGAAAGAGAGGAACCUUGUUCUCUUCCUCUUCCUCUUGAAUAACCACCAUAAUCUCCUCUUCCUCUUGGAUAACCAUAAUCUCCUCUUCUUCUUGAAUAACCAUAAUCUCGUGCAGAGCCUUCAUCAUUAGUUUUUUUUAGGUCAUUUGCAUAGCCACGUCCUUGAUUAUUUCUUCCUCGUCCACGAGUAAAGCCGCCUCUUCCUCUUCUAGAACUUCCUCUGAAUGAGACUUGAGAUUGAAAAGCUUGCUCAACAGGGCCAGAGUCAAACUGCUUCAGUCGUAACUCAUGGGAUUGAAGAGAACCCAUUAAACUGUCAAGAGACAAAGUAGACAGAUCUUUGGAUUCUUCAAUUGCCACCACAAUAUAUUCAAACUUUCGGGGACAUACUUCGAAGAAUUUUUUCAGCAACUCUCUGAUCUUCAAUUUUUUCUCCAUUAAUUCUCAGUUGGUUGACUAGAGAAAUGACACGAUUGAAAUAGUCUUCAACAGAUUCUGACUCCUUCAUACGUAACAUAUCAAACUCACCUCUUAGAGUUUGCAGUCUUGCCAUCUUCACUUUAUCUUCUCCUUUAUAUGAUGCAAAGAGAGUGUCCCACGCCUGUUUUGAUGUAAUGCAUGAUGAGAUUCUUUCAAAGAUAGCUUCAUCCACUGCUUGAAAGAUAAAGAAUAAAGCUUUUUUGUCCUUCUUACGUGUCUCCUUCAGCUCUGUGAGUUGUUGUUGAGUGAGGACUGCUUGAUCAUUUGGCUCCACAAAGCCAUUUUCAACCACCUCCCACAAAUCUUGAGCAGCAUACAACACCUUCAUUUGGAUGCUCCAUUGACUAUAAUUCUUCCCUGUAAACUUUGGAAGCUGGGGCUGUAACAAGUUGUUGUUUGAAGCCAUAUGAUUCUGAGUUUCCAGCUCUGAUACCACUUUGAUGGAAUAAAAGAAUGAUAUUAUUGGUGGUGGGUACGGUUAUGUGGAAGUAAUAAUGGGUAAGAGAAGAAACUUGUUCUCUUGUGAUAAUCAAAAGACAGAAAGUAGUGGGACACUAUUUUAGAUAUGAUAAUGUUCCUUCCUUGAUUGAUGCAAAUGAAGAGAAAAGGGUGGCUUUAUAUAAUAGCCACUACCGACCUAACACAUUAAAAACACAACUAACACCAAACAUAGUUAAUUCAACUAACUUCUACCACACCAUUAAUUUAACACACAACUACUAACAAACUGCCAACUAUUUCAAAGUUACCAGCUGACUAUUAAUGAAGUCUAGAUUACUUUAACAGUAUCGAAUCUAGCUUUAAUAUGUAUUGGGUCCUCUGGACAAGAAUUCUAUCCUUUUCGUCCUAACUAAUAUGUAGGGGAAAAACAAUACAUCAAUUAUCCUUUUCGUCCUAACUAAUAUGUAGGGGAAAAACAAUACAUCAAUUAUGAAUUUUUUUUAUCUGGGUUCGAAAUUAAAUAUGAAUGGAGUUUUGGAGGCUUAAAAGUUAUAAGCUCAAGAAAGGAAGGAAACUAUAUGUACAUUUGGGUCGGAGGCAAAGGUCCAGUCAUCUACCGUCCAGGAUAUACAGUAUCAAAAAAGGCUUAAGAAUUGUAAUAAGGUGACAUACGCCCACAUACGGCCAACGCUAGCAUAUUUCGUAAGUGUAUUAUAUGUCUUCUAAGUAUAUCAUAGUUAUGUGUCAAUUUUAGAUCCAAUUGCACACCCAAAAUACAGAAACAAAAUCAUUGAGAAUACACUUUUUUUCACUUAUAUUUUGAAUAUGCAUUGCCUGUAUUUCAUGUGUAUGAUAUAGGGGCUUCACUUAUAGUUUUUGCACAAAACCUCCCUUGAUGAAGGAUGUCUUAGAUUAAUGACAUCAAUGAUUUGUUACAUUUGGAGUACCCAACAUAACAGCUCUCUGAUUAACAAUAAAGUUAUAAAAUUUCAACAGUUUCAUACCUAACAAGCAUAGAGAAACAAAUAAAACAACCACAUUGCUUCGAUCACUGUACAUGCACACAGCUCACUUUCACUAACUACAGAGGCUAUAUUUUCUACAUAUACACUAACUUUUUCUUUCUCCAGCUCUCUUACACCACCAGGCUGGUGACAAACCCAGCUCGCGUCAUGUGGAGGACCAAAAGGAAAUGACAAGGAGAAAACGGCUAAGGAGAGACUUACUCUCAACACUUAGAAGGCAGAGCAGAGAUAACAGAGCACACUGCUUGUAUAAAAGUGAGUAUGAGGAGAAAAAUAGCGGUAGCAAUUGAAAUAGUUGCCCAAGGUGUGUUGCAAUAGUUUUGUCUCAAGUUUGCCUGCCAUUUGUGCCAAGACGUUCUGCAGUACUUGUUGAGGUCUGCACAAAGAAUAGCAAAAUAGAAGUCAUUAGAGUCCACAAUGACCCCAUCUGCAAGGUUGUUGAUCAGAGUAGACCCUCCACUACUGUCACCGAGCAUAUUUUCGACGAUUCCUUGCUUAACAACCAACUCCACAUCCGUUGCGGUGUUCACAAAGCGAUCCACGAUGACAACAUAAUUGUUUAUGUAAUUCUCCAUGCAAUGGCAUUGUUCAAAGGCAAGGAGGUUUCUGAUUGUAAGCUCUGUCUCAUCACUUAUUGCUAAUUUUGGAAUUUCUAGAAUCCCAUUAGCGAAUUGUAUGUCGAAUAAGUUUUUGGGUGAUCCCACCUUAAACUUGACUCCUGCUCUGUGUAACUCUGUGAUGCUGGAUGUGUUUAAGAGUUUCAAGUCGCCCCUUAGCAGGUGGUUUCAAUGGUAGAGGUAGAUACAAAUUUCUACAAAAAUCUACAAAGUGUUCUACUUUAGAAGUACAUAAUUUCUCCAUAUUGCCAUCCGUUCCCUCUAUGUGCAUUAGAGUUUUGAAGAAAUUGUGGCAAAGGUUAAGCAUCGAAAGCCUCUCAAUAUUGUUAUUGUUAGAAGAGACUUUGAUUUUUUCGGGGUCAAAAAGUUCCUCAAGAAUGAAGAAUGGCAGCUGAUUUUCAAACAACCGCAUGUCAGGCCAUACGUCUGGCAACAGCCAUGGUUUGUUAAAUAUGCGGUCAAUUUCAUCCUGCAAUUCAUCGAAACGAUACCUCAACAAGACCUCAAUGAUGAAGGCGGCAUCCACUAGAAUGAUUCUCACAAAUUCAUCACUGCUAACCUGAAUGGUUUCUGCAUAACAACUGCGCAGUUUUGCUUCUUGGUCUUUUACUUUCUGUACAUAAUCGGCUAGGCUUACCCUGGUCCGACGUAUAUAAUCUUGUAAGUACCUCUUUUUGUGAUCUUCCAUGGCUUUUAGGCCUUCCUCGCCAUGAUGAAGUGGGCCUAUAGAGACUACCUGAGGUGUGUAGGCCUUUUCACUCACACGCCGUAGUCGUUCAGGAACUCUAUAAAUGCAACACAAGGAGGAGAGGGAAGACAAGCCAUCCAACUCCUCACUCAUUGAAGUUACUAAUGGAAUGCAAGGGUUUUCAAUAUCAUGUGGAGCUUGAUCGCUUCCUUCCAUUUUCCGCUGAUGUGUUUGUUGUUGUCAAUCAUAAUGGAUGAUAAUGAAAUGAUAGUCACUGACACAACAAUAAACAAAUUUUUCAAGAUGGCUGAGAAAAUUAAUACAAACAUUGCAAUUAUAAGACCAAACACACAAAGACUUUUGAUCCUUGUAACUCUUACAUACCACACUAGUGCCUUAAGAAUUCGAUUUGAAUGCACCAAAUUCAUUCAAAACUCUUCUGGUCAACUCUGUUUCUUGUAAUUAUUCUUGGAAGAUUCUAAUACAUUUUUGAUUGAAAAAUUCCUACUAAUCAUGUGAAUCAGUACCAAAGUUUAUUUCAAAUUAACAUACAAACCCCACUUUUUUUUUCCUACAUAUAUACUUCUUUAUUUCCCCUCAACUUAUUGGAGCUUCUAAUAAAGCAAAUUCUUUCUGUGAUGAUAUCAGAUAGUAGAUUAUGCUUCCAGUCAAAACAUAGACAAACCAAAAUCCCAUUAGAAGAGAAGAAAAUAAUAUACGACAUUCACAUAACCUUCUGCUCAAUUCCAAUUUCCAACUACAAUGAAACAUAAGACACUUAAAAGCUUCAAGAAAUUGGAUGUGCAAGCAAACAUAGCGAAAUUAUGAAAGACAGAGAAAGGUGUUGGGCAUUGAAAACAUACCUGAUACGUAUUGAAACACAAUUUUUUUUUGCCUUUGGUAGAUGGAGUAGCUAGAAAAGCUCAAUGCACUUGCUCUUCUGCUACAUUUCAAUAUAAGAACAUUGUUUGGAAGUCCGGUCAAUUCCUCAAAGCUUCCUUGCCUUUGUUUUGACAUGCCGAUGCCCGUCUUGGGGAAGUUUGAAUAAUCCAUUGCAGGCCCCAUGAUAGGAUUUUUAGUACUUGUGCAAACAGUGUUAAAAAUCACAUAAAAUACUUGCAAGAAUACAAGGCUAUUGUAGUAUAGAUGCUCAUGCAAGGUCGUUUUCCUCAAGGACUAAUUAGCAAUUUAUGUAAAAACAAAUUCCAAUUACUACUUAAAAUAAAAAGUCAAGAAAGAUGAUUAUAAAUUUGGUGGAUUCUAAAAAACAAAUAUUAAACAAAAACAAAUACGAUUGAAAGAAAGAGUUUUGAAUAUCAAUUUAUAAAAACACUAGGGUUUCACCAUCACCUAGCAAUCCUAUGAACUUUUACCAAUUACUUAUGAUUUGCACAUGCCACUUUGAAGGUUAGGUUUUCCUAAUGUAUAUUCUACUUGGAACCUCCAACACAGAACGUAUAUCCAACAUGCAACCCGUCCGGACGUUCGGAUCAAAUCUGAACAUGAAAGACUCAUUAAGUUUUGUGAAAACCCUUUGAAAAACCAUGCAACCCUUAAGACGUGGUGUUCAUCUUAAGUGAAAUUACAAUUAUUAAUCACAAGAAGCUAGCAUAAAUUUCAGGGAACCUUCCGACCAAAAUUGCAUCCAAUUACUUUUCUAAAGAUCCUAAUGGUGAUCAGGCAUUAAGACAAUUAGAUAGUUUAAAAUAGUGAUUAACAAUUCAAAAUACGCAUGCACUCAUCAUAAGCAAUUAAAUAAAAAUCACAUAUUCAUGCUAAGGUUCAAGGCUUCACCCUAGCAAAAGAAAUUUAGUUACGCAUACUCAUAAUUGAAAUCCAAGAAAAUAUCAUUAAGAAGAAAAGAACGAAAACACCUGAAAGUUGUGAAAACCCAAAACCCUAGCAAUUGCUCUCUACAAUGCAAAGUUCAAAAAUAAUUAAGAAGUCCUAAAUUCCUUGUGAGAAAGAGCUUAAAUAUCCCUUAAAACCUAGCUGCCAAUGUACAGCUUUUCUAUCCCUACAAGGAAACUAAUUAAAGUAAAAUAAUACUAGGAAAUAAAGUCCAAAUUGGAAUAGGAGAAUUUGCCCAAAAUCAGCCCAGCCACGUUUUGGCCCCAAAUCUCCUCCAAAUCUGGCCCAAGAUAGCUUUUUUUAAAGACACUACUACAAAAAGUGAAAAAGACGACCAGAAAACAACGACGGUCUAAGUGAAAACCGUCGUGGUUUUUAAAAAGACGACGGUUCUAAAAACACCGUCGUGUAAUACCACCUUAGACAACUAAAAAAUGGAGAUUCAAAUGGCUGUUCAAAAACAACGACGUACCUAAUUAAACAACCGACGUCUAUUUGAAACAGAUUUCCGCAGUGUAAAAUCAAAGCAAACAAAGAACGGCAGAAGUUAUGAAUAGACCGACGUAGAAAGUAAAGACGACGAUUUCAAUAAAAGCCGCCGUUUUUACUCAUAAAAUAACACGACGAGGUUUUCGUAUAAGACGCCGUAUAAUUACAAACAAAUCCACGGCUUUAAAAUACAAAAUAAUCUUAACAGAUGACACAGAUUUGCAAUCAGAGAGACAAUUUUUUGGAAGUUGAUCAACGUCGUUGAAAAUUUGCAAUCAGAGAGACAAUUUUCAACGACGGUUAUAUUAUACCUAACGACGUUUAAAAACAAAUCAACGUCGCUCAACAAAUAUAUUACGUCGUCUUAGUCUUACUUAAGACGACGAAAAACGACGACAGUAGUAAAAAAACAGUCGUUGUUUUUAUAUUCUUAUUUUAUUUAAAUCUGUCGUGUUAGUUAAAAACGACGGCAUAACAAAAAACCGUCGUUUUGUUUCAAACUGAAUUAAUUUAAAAUUUCUUCAGGAAAGCAAAAUCUAUUUAUAAUUUCCUCGGGUUAGUAAUAUUGUGUCGUGUUAGUUUACAAAUUCUAGAACAUUAAUUUCCCUCAUUUUAAAUUUUCUCGGGAAAGAAAAAUCUAUUUAUCACGCUUUGUAAUUGAAAACUAAAACUGAAAGAAUUCUGGAAAAAAAACUCUAUUUAUAAUUUAAAAAUAAAAUGCACGUCGGUUGUAGUACACUUAACGACGUUUAACAAAAUAAUCUACGUCGGUAAUUAUAAAUCUACCGCCAUCUUACCCUAAUAUAGACGACGAGAAAAGACGACGGUAGAACAGAAAACCGCCGUUGUUUCAGUUUCUUUAACAGUUUGGUCCUUUAUCUUUCUGCAGGACUUGUAUAGUUCAAAGCAUUGACAAUGUCUUCAUCAUAUCUCCCAGCAACUACUGAUUCGAUUGCUCAUGCUUUAGAGGCCAUCUGAAGCCAUUUCUAUUCUUUAUCGCAUUCUUGAAACCCAUCUUCUUCUUCUGAAGCUCUACGGAUAAAGGAANNNNNNNNNNNNNNNNNNNNNNNNNNNNNNNNNNNNNNNNNNNNNNNNNNNNNNNNNNNNNNNNNNNNNNNNNNNNNNNNNNNNNNNNNNNNNNNNNNNNNNNNNNNNNNNNNNNNNNNNNNNNNNNNNNNNNNNNNNNNNNNNNNNNNNNNNNNNNNNUUUUUUUUGGGGUUGGUUUUUUAUAGUAACCAGUUAUAACAGUAGUGGUUGUGCAAUGUUUGGUUCCCUUAAGCUUCGAUCCAACCGUGUAGCCAGCUUUAGGUCAAUGUCUCCCAAACCACUCGGGUUUUAGGGCACUAGGUGUAGAACACCCCUAAGGACUUAUUAACUCAAGCUGAAAAGGCUACGAAACCAACUAACCACCCUGCCUCAUGCCAAAACUCUACCUUUUGUCUCGAAAAUCACUGCUGAUUAGGCAGGACUGGCCCGGUUACUAGCAAAGCUUCGGGUGAGGCAAUUAUUACUUUAUAACACAUACUAACUUUAUUUAAAUUGAACAGAAAUUAAAACACACUUGGACAAAAAGUAAGUAUUCCAAUCUCACUCCCCAAAAACCAUAUUGGUGUGAUGUGCAAAUUUCAAAGUAUAAUUCAUGAAUUAGUGUCUAAGCAACAAUAAAUAGAAAAGACUCUACUGUGGGAUUGAUUUUCACUAUGUCCAUUUAUUCUAACGUUUAAAAUAAUCUAUGGAUAUUGACUGAAAAACGAAAAUUUUAAACAAGACUUAAAAAAAACUAAAAAUCUAAAAUUUACUUUCCCACCCCCUAACUUAAAUCACACAUUGUCCUCAAGGUGUGGUAAAUAAUCAAAAGAAACAAGAGCAGAAACAAAACGACUAAAUCCUAGAAAAUGAAAAUCAAAAAUAAAGAAAAUACUCUAAGAAAAGAAACUAGGAAGGAAAAAUAGAAGAAUAAUAAAAUAAAAUAAAAUAAGAAAGAAAAGGAGAAAAACAACAAUAGAAAAGAAAUAGGAAAGAAAAUACCCAAAAAUGAGACACCUUGGGGAUUCAAAGGCAGGACCAGGCGGAGUGUUGCGAAAAAGCGCUGACCAACUCAACCACGUCCACACUGGCAUCAAAUAGGAGCGACAGCUACAAUAUAACCUGCUGUAGCUGCUGCAUCUGUCAUUUGAAAAAUAUUGGAUUCCCUUCUCCUACCCCGAGCUCAGAGCCGAAAGGCUCUCUUCUGUCCAUUCCCAUUUUGCAGAAGAAAAAAGAAUAUUGCUGGAUAAACCAAAGCCUCCGCUGUGUCCAGAGAAUCAGAAAAGGUCUCUGAUUUCUCUCUUCUCAAGGCCAUCCAUCUCCGCCUUCACUCUUCUUCAUUCUCUCCAACACUCACGAUCCUUUCCUCUCUUUCAACCCAAUUACACCAGCGUUUUCAUCUGCGUGAGGAGGCCACAUUUGCAGCAAACACAACCAGUGAGGUUGAAUUAUCUGAUGCACCUGAAUUUUUGGAUGGUUUUGGAGUCCCUAGAUUCCUCAAAUUCAGAUCUGUCUCCAUCCAUGUCACCAGAUGCUAACUUGUUCCAAGAUGAAAACAAGCUGAAGCCGAACAAGAGUCUAUUCUCCACCAGUAAGGACCCCAGAUCUGUGCAUCCCGUAGGUAAACUUUCGAACCCCAGAACUGGUUUUUUUUUUUUUUUUUUUCCGUUUUUUUUUUGUUUUGAAAAUAAAAGAAGUAAAGAGUUUAGAAAAAUUGGGUUGCCUCCCAAUAAGCGCGCUAUUUUAAGUCUGUAGCUAGACUUUGCAGAAGCCUGGUGGUCAAAUCACUGGUUCCUUCAGAGUCAAAGACUCGGCUGCAAUGUCAAAGGGUGUCUCCACGUAGGGUUUUAGCCUAUGACCAUUCACCUUGAACGUGUUGCCUUUAUCUUCAUUAGUGAUUUGAACUGCUCCAUGAGGAAAAACUUGAGUCACUAGGUAGGGUCCAGUCCAGCGAGAUUUUAAUUUCCCUGGAAACAACUUGAGCCUUGAACUAAAUAACAGAACCUUUUGCCCUGGCUGAAAUUCCUUCCGUAAAAUUUGACUGUCAUGAAAUGCCUUAGUUCUUUCCUUGUAGAUGCGAGAACUAUCAUAAGCACCUUGACGAAUUUCCUCUAGCUCAUUUAACUGCAAUUUCCGCUUUUCCCCAGCUGAGUCAUAUGCAAAAUUUAACUCUUUAAUGGCCCAGUAAGCUUUAUGCUCCAGCUCCAUAGGUAGAUGACAGGCUUUCCCAUAAACAAGUCGGAAUGGUGACAUCCCAAUAGGAGUUUUAUAAGCUGUCCUGUAUGCCCACAAAGCAUCAUUUAGUUUGAAACUCCAAUCCUUGCGUGUAGAGCUCACUGUUUUCUCCAAAAUACGCUUUAUUUCUCUGUUUGAAACUUCAACUUGACCAGAUGUCUGUGGGUGGUAUGGUGUAGCCACGCGAUGAUUAAUCCCGUAUUUUGCCAGUAGGUUAGCAAAUGGUUUAUUAAUAAAAUGCUUCCCCCCAUCACUAAGAAUAACACGCGGUAUUCCAAAACGUGGAAAUAUAACCCCCUGGAGGAACUUCAGGACCACUGAUCCUUGAUUAGUUGGUGCUGCAAUGGCCUCGACCCAUUUUGAAACAUAUUCCACAGCCACUAAAAUAUAUUGGUGCCCAUUAGAAGAUGGGAAUGGCCCCAUGAAAUCAAUACCCCAAACAUCAAAUAGUUCAACAAUUAGGAUACUUUGUUGGGGCAUUUCAUUCCUUCUGGAUUGAUUGCCGACCCUUUGACACCGAUCACAUGCCUUGCACCAAUUCUGUGAAUCUCUAAAAAGUGUUGGCCAAAAUAACCCACUCUGUAGGAUUUUCUCUGCUGUCCUUUUCUGCGCAAAAUGUCCUCCUCAAGCAUAGUGAUGAGCAAACUUUAAAACACUUUCUUGUUCAGCCUCCGGAAUACACCUGCGAAUAAUCUGGUCUGCACAAUACUUGUAUAAGUACGGUUCAUCCCAGAAAUAGUGCUUUACAUCAGAUAAAAACUUCUUUUUCUGCUGGUAGGAAAAAUCUGGAUGCACCACACCCUUAGCCAAAUAAUUGACAAUAUCUGCAAACCAAGGUGUGUCAAUUUUGACAGCAAAUAGCUGUUCAUCUGGGAAACUUUCACUCAAUGGUAGAGAAUCUGCCUCUGUAGCUGCUGGAAUAAUUAAUCUAGAUAAAUGAUCAGCCACAACAUUCUCACUGCCCUUCUUGUCUUUAAUCUCUAAGUCAAAUUCUUGAAGUAAGAGAACCCAACGAAUCAAUCUAGGCUUUGCAUCCUUCUUAGACAACAAGUAUUUUAGUGCAGCAUGAUCUGUAUAGACAAUUAUUUUAGCCCCAACCAAAUAAGACCGAAAUUUCUCUAGUGCGAACACAACUGCCAACAAUUCCUUCUCUGUAGUUGCAUAGUUAAGCUGUGCAUCAUUUAGAGUACGACUUGCAUAAUAGAUGACAUGGGGAAGCUUAUCUUUUCGCUGCCCUAAAACUGCCCCGACAGCAUAAUCUGACGCAUCACACAUUAGUUCAAAUGGUAAAUCCCAAUUUGGUGCAGCAAUGAUGGGUGCCGAAGUUAGGAGUGCUUUCAACUUGUUGAAUGCUUCUAAACAGGCCUUAUCAAAAUUAAAUGGUGCAUCCUUAGCCAAUAAAGUGCACAAAGGUCGACUAAUCUUGGAGAAAUCCUUGAUGAACCGACGAUAAAAACCUGCGUGUCCUAAGAAGGACCUCACACCUUUUACUGAUGUAGGAGGUGGCAGCUUUGCAAUAACUUCAAUCUUUGCCUUGUCAACCUCGAUGCCUUUGCUAGAAAUUGAAUGACCCAAGACAAUUCCCUGUUCAACCAUGAAAUGCCACUUUUCCCAGUUUAGCACUAAAUUUGUCGCUUGACAUCUCUGAAGAACUAAUGAUAAAUUCUGUAAGCAUUGAUCAUAUGAAUCCCCAAAAACAGAAAAAUCAUCCAUAAAAACUUCCACAAUAUUUUCGACCAAGCCAGAAAAAAUACUCAUCAUACAACGUUGAAACGUAGCAGGUGCAUCGCAUAAUCCGAAUGGCAUCCUCCGAUAAGCGUAAGUACCAAAUGGACAAGUGAAAGUAGUCUUCUCUUGAUCCUCUGGUGCUAUUGGAAUCUGAUUAUACCCAGAAUACCCAUCAAGAAAACAGUAAAAAGCCCGCCCAACCAACCUUUCUAACAUCUGGUCAAUAAAAGGCAAUGGAAAAUGGUCUUUUCUCGUCCCUGUGUUAAGCUUCCGAUAAUCUACACACAUUCUCCAACCCGUAGUCAAUCGUGUAGGAACUAACUCAUUAUUAUCAUUUUUCACCACUGUAAUACCGGUCCGUUUAGGCACAACUUGAGUCGGGCUAACCCAUUUACUGUCAGAAAUAGGAUAAAUCAUACCUGCAUCAAGUAAUUUCAUAACCUCUGUUCUAACCACCUCUUUCAUAAUUGGGUUAAGGCGGCGUUGAGCAUCAACUGUUAGCUUUACGUCGUCUUCCAUUAAUAUUCUGUGCAUACAUAGUGCUGGGCUGAUUCCCUUGAUAUCCGCAAUUGUCCAUCCCAAUGCAUCUUGAUAUUUUCUCAAUACACGAAGCAAUUUAUCCUCCUCUGUCGGUGUUAAAUCUGCUGCAAUUAUAACUGGCAACGUCUCUGCAGCUCCUAAAUAUGCAUAUUUAAGAUGUUGUGGUAAAGGCUUCAGCUCCAAUUUUGGCGGCUGCUGUCUGGAUGGUUUAAGGGGCUGUUUGGGCUCCCCUAAACUCUCAUACACAUUCCUAAAUUUUGGCAACACUGUGGGCAGACUGUUCAAUGCGUGUAUGUACUCAUGAACACCUUCAUCUUCAAAAUCUGUCUCAAAUGCCCCCUGUAAAACAUGCAACAACUGAUCUGUUUUUGAAUUAGCAUAAAAUCUGUCCUGCACCAUACUGUCUACCAUGUCAAUACGCAUACAAUCUAGCUGUUCAGCAGGACGUUUUGUUGCCGCAAACAAAUUAAACACCACAGAUUGGUCCUGAACCCGUAAAGUCAAUGUUCCAGCUUCCACAUCAAUUAAGGUCCUAGCUGUUGCCAUAAACGGCCUCCCCAAAAUAAUAGGUGUUUGAAGGUCUUCAUCCAUGUCUAAAACCACAAAAUCUGCCGGUAGAUAAAGAUUAUCAACCUUAAUAAUUAGAUCUUCAAUAACACCUCUUGGAUAAGUGAUUGAACGGUCAGCUAGUUGAAGUAUAAUUGAUAUAGGCUUUAAAUCUCCUUGCCCCAAUCGCUGAAAAACAGAAAAAGGCAUCAAAUUAAUACUUGCACCCAAAUCAAUUAAAGCACUCUUAAAAUUAGAAUUUCCAAUAGUGCAAGAAAUAUUAAAACUCCCUGGAUCUUUUUUCUUAGGUGGUAGUUUGUGUAGCAAAACUGCAUUGCACUGUUCUGUCAAAAUAACUUUUUCCAAAUCUGAAAGCUUCUUUUUGCUGCUGCAAACUUCCUUCAAAAAUUUGGCAUAUGAUGGAAUUUUCUUGAUUGCAUCCAGUAAGGGAAUGUUGAUUUGAACCUUGGAUAAUGUCUGCAUAAAGUCCUUGAGUUGCUGAUCUUUUACUUUUGGCUUCAAACGUUCUGGAUAUGGAAUUGGGGCCUCAUAAACACGCUCAGGUACUUGUUUUGGAACAGUUUCUAGAUCUGCCAUAUUAUGUUUUUCUACAGGUUUGGCAGGUUCUGCUGCUGCAAAAUUUUCUGUAUGAUCCUCCACUGCAUGCUGCUCCUUUUCAAUGUUAUUUUCACGAUUGUCAUAGCUUUUUCCACAUCGUAAAGUCCGAACAACUUUGCAAUCUUCACGUCCAUUUGGAUUAGGAAUUGUUUGACUAGGAAAUUUGCCCUUUUAUCUGUCUGAAAUCUGUGUAGCUAGUUGUCCAAAUUGUUGCUCCAAACUUUUAAUAGAUGCUUCAACAUUUUGAAAUCUUUGAUUGUUGCCCUCGAUGAAUGAUUGAGUUGUUGCUGCCAGUUUAGCAAGUUGAUCUUCCAUAGAUGGUUUGGAGGGAACAAAAGGUUUUUGUGCAUGCUGGAAUGGUUUGGCAUUAGUCUGAUUGUCACCCCAUUUGAAAUUAGGGUGAUCCCUCCAUCCAGGAUUGUAAUGAGUUGCAUAUGCAUCAUUCCUAGGCCUUUGAUAGCUGUUCAUCAUAUUGACAUGUUGUUCAACAAGCUCUGGGUAAGAGUCUCUAUGUGGGCAGCCCAUUAUGUCAUGUGUAGCCAUACUGCAUAUAGUGCAAACUGUUGAUGUAGGUGGCUGCUGUGUAGAACUUGCUAUAUGUUGUAGAAGCAUAUCAAACUUUGCAUCAAUUUUCUUAUCCAUUUUUUCCAUUUGUGCAGACAUGUUGGGAGAACCUACUGAUAACUCAAAAAUGCCCCUUUUCUGUGAAUGUUCUGCUGCCCAUUGCUGAGAUUCUGUAGCCAUCAUAUCAAACAGUUCAAAUGCCUCUCUUGCAGAUUUAUUUGAUAAUGAUCCUCCAGCUGAUGCAUUCACAUGGCUCUUAGAUGUAGGAUUAAGCCCAUCAAAGAAAAUAUUCAUUUGUGUAUCUGAAUCAAUUUUAACAUGUGGACACUUUAUGUACAUCUUUGUAUAUCUCUCCCACGCUUCAUGAAACUCUUCAUUAGGCUUCUGUGUGAAUGUCAAAAUCUCCCUCUUGUAAUUCAAUGUCUUGGAUGCUGGAUAAUAUUUGUUCAGGAAUUUUGUGUGUAACUGCUGCCAAGUAGUAAUGCUAUUAGCUGGUAGAGUGAAUAACCAAGUUUCUGCCUUGUCCUUCAAAGUGAAAGGGAAAAGACGUAACUUAAUAGCCUCAGCAGAAAAACCCCUAAUCAAAAUAUUCUUGCAACCCACAAUAAAUUUUGCAAUAUGUAUGUUUGCAUCUUCAUUAGGCAAUCCCCGAAAAGUAGGUAGAAUUUCAAGCAUAUGGUGCCUGAUCUCGAACGAAUCACCCUCUUCUUGUUCAGGAUACACAAUGCAAUUGGGAACAUCAGUGGCACGGGCUUCCAAUGACUCCCUGAGUGGUCUACCUGCCGCAGGUAAUUCUAACGCCAUGUUACUCUCGUUUGCAAACAGAUCCUGCAGAAAAGUGCCCUGCAGUGAACAGUCCCAAGCCCAAGUAACUUCUCUCCGCUGUCUAUGCAGUGUGCGCUCUGGUUCUGGAUCAAAUUGUACAAUCUGUGUAGUUCCUGAUCUGGUCUGGACCAUGCAGUCUGCAAAAUCUGCAACAGAAACAAAAUUGUUCAAUUUCAAUUUUUUUUUUUGGACGAAAAUUAAAAAUAAAAUAAAAUGAAAUAAAUCAGAAAAAGGUUAAACAAAAAUUGUCUAAAAUAGUCCCCAGCAACGGCGCCAAUUUCUUGAUAGGAUUUUUAGUACUUGUGCAAACAGUGUUAAAAAUCACAUAAAAUACUUGCAAGAAUACAAGGCUAUUGUAGUAUAGAUGCUCAUGCAAGGUCGUUUUCCUCAAGGACUAAUUAGCAAUUUAUGUAAAAACAAAUUUCAAUUACUACUUAAAAUAAAAAGUCAAGAAAGAUGAUUAUAAAUUUGGUGGAUUCUAAAAAACAAAUAUUAAACAAAAACAAAUACGAUUGAAAGAAAGAGUUUUGAAUAUCAAUUUAUAAAACCACUAGGGUUUCACCAUCACCUAGCAAUCCUAUGAACUUUUACCAAUUACUUAUGAUUUGCACAUGCCACUUUGAAGGUUAGGUUUUCCUAUUGUAUAUUCUACUUGGAACCUCCAACACAGAACGUAUAUCCAACAUGCAACCCGUCCGGACGUUCGGAUCAAAUCUGAACAUGAAAGACUCAUUAAGUUUUGUGAAAACCCUUUGAAAAACCAUGCAACCCUUAAGACGUGGUGUUCAUCUUAAGUGAAAUUACAAUUAUUAAUCACAAGAAGCUAGCAUAAAUUUCAGGGAACCUUCCGACCAAAAUUGCAUCCAAUUACUUUUCUAAAGAUCCUAAUGGUGAUCAGGCAUUAAGACAAUUAGAUAGUUUAAAAUAGUGAUUAACAAUUCAAAAUACGCAUGCACUCAUCAUAAGCAAUUAAAUAAAAAUCACAUAUUCAUGCUAAGGUUCAAGGCUUCACCCUAGCAAAAGAAAUUUAGUUACGCAUACUCAUAAUUGAAAUCCAAGAAAAUAUCAUUAAGAAGAAAAGAACGAAAACACCUGAAAGUUGUGAAAACCCAAAACCCUAGCAAUUGCUCUCUACAAUGCAAAGUUCAAAAAUAAUUAAGAAGUCCUAAAUUCCUUGUGAGAAAGAGCUUAAAUAUCCCUUAAAACCUAGCUGCCAAUGUACAGCUUUUCUAUCCCUACAAGGAAACUAAUUAAAGUAAAAUAAUACUAGGAAAUAAAGUCCAAAUUGGAAUAGGAGAAUUUGCCCAAAAUCAGCCCAGCCACGUUUUGGCCCCAAAUCUCCUCCAAAUCUGGCCCAAGAUAGCUUUUUUUAAAGACACUACUACAAAAAGUGAAAAAGACGACCAGAAAACAACGACGGUCUAAGUGAAAACCGUCGUGGUUUUUAAAAAGACGACGGUUCUAAAAACACCGUCGUGUAAUACCACCUUAGACAACUAAAAAAUGGAGAUUCAAAUGGCUGUUCAAAAACAACGACGUACCUAAUUAAACAACCGACGUCUAUUUGAAACAGAUUUCCGCAGUGUAAAAUCAAAGCAAACAAAGAACGGCAGAAGUUAUGAAUAGACCGACGUAGAAAGUAAAGACGACGAUUUCAAUAAAAGCCGCCGUUUUUACUCAUAAAAUAACACGACGAGGUUUUCGUAUAAGACGCCGUAUAAUUACAAACAAAUCCACGGCUUUAAAAUACAAAAAUAAUCUUAACAGAUGACACAGAUUUGCAAUCAGAAGAGACAAUUUUUGAAGUUGAUCAACGUCGUUGAAAAUUGCAAUCAGAAGAGACAUUUUCAACGACGGNNNNNNNNNNNNNNNNNNNNNNNNNNNNNNNNNNNNNNNNNNNNNNNNNNNNNNNNNNNNNNNNNNNNNNNNNNNNNNNNNNNNNNNNNNNNNNNNNNNNGGAAGUUGAUCAACGUCGUUGAAAAUUUGCAAUCAGAGAGACAAUUUUCAACGACGGUUAUAUUAUACCUAACGACGUUUAAAAACAAAUCAACGUCGCUCAACAAAUAUAUUACGUCGUCUUAGUCUUACUUAAGACGACGAAAAACGACGACAGUAGUAAAAAAACAGUCGUUGUUUUUAUAUUCUUAUUUUAUUUAAAUCUGUCGUGUUAGUUAAAAACGACGGCAUAACAAAAAACCGUCGUUUUGUUUCAAACUGAAUUAAUUUAAAAUUUCUUCAGGAAAGCAAAAUCUAUUUAUAAUUUCCUCGGGUUAGUAAUAUUGUGUCGUGUUAGUUUACAAAUUCUAGAACAUUAAUUUCCCUCAUUUUAAAUUUUCUCGGGAAAGAAAAAUCUAUUUAUCACGCUUUGUAAUUGAAAACUAAAACUGAAAGAAUUCUGGAAAAAAAACUCUAUUUAUAAUUUAAAAAUAAAAUGCACGUCGGUUGUAGUACACUUAACGACGUUUAACAAAAUAAUCUACGUCGGUAAUUAUAAAUCUACCGCCAUCUUACCCUAAUAUAGACGACGAGAAAAGACGACGGUAGAACAGAAAACCGCCGUUGUUUCAGUUUCUUUAACAGUUUGGUCCUUUAUCUUUCUGCAGGACUUGUAUAGUUCAAAGCAUUGACAAUGUCUUCAUCAUAUCUCCCAGCAACUACUGAUUCGAUUGCUCAUGCUUUAGAGGCCAUCUGAAGCCAUUUCUAUUCUUUAUCGCAUUCUUGAAACCCAUCUUCUUCUUCUGAAGCUCUACGGAUAAAGGAAGAGGCUAUCACAAAUCUGACGGAUCUUCUUAGUCAAAAAAAUCAAGCAGAGGAUCAGGCACAUCUGAUCUUCAGAUUUCCCUGAGAAGCGAACUUUCCUUCGACAGCGAGUGGAGGCCAGGCUUGCAUCUCUUUUGAUGGAAAGCAAGGAGUAUUCAGAAGCACUAAGUGUCCUAUCAGGCUUGAUCAAGGAAGUGAGAAGGCUAGUUGACAAGCUUCUUCUUGUCAACUAGCCUAAAUGUAAGCUCAAUUUCUCUUUGAGAAAGACCUCCAAAUUAUUGUCUUUGAGAUGUGAGAGACAGUGUCUCUGAGAGAGGAAGAACUUGGAACCCUAAAUGUAAACCGCGAAAAUGAAUGAAAGCGACAAAUUUAUAGAAUAAAUUUUUAAAACCAACGGCGGUACUUACCAAGAAACCGCCGUUUCAAUUGUAAAAUCAACGUCGGUAUUACUGACGUAUAUUACAGAACUCCACGUCGGUACAUUAAUAAUCACGACGUCUUAAAUAAUCUACCAUGACGCGAGUUAUUACUUAUGUACUUUAAUUUUUGAGUUUACUACGACGGUACCUACAACACUACUGUCGUAUUUAUUUACCACGUCCGAAGUUAAAUUUACCGACGUAUUUUGUACUUUAUACGUCGUAGUUAUAUGUAACCGCCGUAUUAUUUUUUUGAAAUGGUUUUAUAUGUAAGCAACUUUUCGUCUACUUGACUUACACAUUAGUUGUUUUUAUAUUCUUAUUUUAUUUAAAUCUGUCAUCCAAAAAAGAAACUUUACAUAUUGCAGAAUAUUAAUUUCCUUCGUUUUAAAUUUCCUCCGGAAAAAAAACUCUAUUUAUAACGCACUGUAAUUGAAAAAUAAACUGAAAGGUCACGGGAAAAAAAAUUCUAUUCAUAAUUUAAAAAUUAAAAUCCACGUCGGUUAUAUUAAACCUAACGACGUUAAAUGAAAUGAUUCCACGUCGAACGAAAAAUAUUUCGUCGUGUUAGUUAAAAACGACGUAGUUAAAUGUAACCGCCGUAUUAUUUUUUUGAAAUGGUUUUAUAUGUAAGCAACUUUUGGACUUACACAUGCACUGUUUCCAAACCCGAUUAAAAAUUUCAAUCUCCAGAGAAACCUUUUCGUCUUUUUUCCUUGUCAGAGCAUUAUCAGAGUUUCUCAUCGUCUUCCUCUCGUCUUCUUCGUCGUCCUUGAACUUAAACAUCGAUCAUCUUCCUCUUGCUUUCAUUGCACGCAAAAGGUAAGCUUUCAUUUUCACUAUUUUGGUUACUGUUUUGCAUGCUCAUACGUUUUUUGUUUGAAAAAUCUUUUUACCUUUUUUCUGGCCAAAAUCAUUUUACUUCUUUCCAAGUUUGAUAAAAUAUACAGACAAAAAGGGAAAGUUUCCAACUUUGAAGACAACUACCUCAACUAAAUGAGACGACGGUAGACCACGACGGUUCGUCAGUUGUUCUAGCGUCGUCUGAAAAUUGACAAAGUUGUUUUUAAAAUAAUAGUCUUUUUUUAUAUGCUUGUUUAAUUGCAGGUUUGAUUUCUCUGAACAAUGGUUUUUGUUUUUCCCUUAUUUGAUAAAAUAUAAAGAAAAAGAAACUAGGGUUGGUAUCUAAUAUAGACGACAAAAUAUCUUAUUGUUUUACGUCGUGUGAAUGUUAAUACCACGACGGUGUAUUACUAUUAACGUCGUAUGAACAUAAAUACCACGACGUUAUAUAAAUAAUAGUUUACCACGACGGUGUAUUACUAUUGACGUCGUGUGAACAUAUAUACCACGACGUUAUAUAAAUAAUGGUUUUAAACAUUUAUUACGUCUGAGAUUAUUUCAUUGCGUCGUCUAAAAUCAUAUCAUACGUCGUAUUUUUUUAAUACCGUCGUUUGUGUUCUUAAUGUUUUCCUGAAAUAUUUUCACUUGCAGUUUUGUCUGUUAAAAUGGUUUCUCAACAACAAACUAAGGAUUCUGGCUCCAAGAAGCUUGGAAUGGUAGCUCCUCAAGACAAGUCUUCGAAGGAGAUGAAGUCUUCGAAGAAGAUGAAGUUUGCUUCAUCAUCUGCUGAGACAGAACCAACCAGCCAGACAACAAUCUCUGAUGAUUCAAAGACUGGUCGAGGCAUGAGCACAAUGCCUCGUGUUGUGAAGAGAAAGCUUCAGAAACUGAGGCCAAUUGUUGAGUACAAUAAAAGGGGGAAAGGUGUUGGCCAAGCACAUAUUGAGAUGCAGUCGUAUAUUGGUGUGUUGGCACGCUCCAGGAUCCCACUUGUGGACAAGAAAUGGUCCCAAAUCCCCAAGGAUAUAAAGGAGCAGAUUUGGGAAGCAGUUGACAUGGCUUUUGUCGUAGGCCAAGGGGGCAAGACCUCUGUUUUAGCUUCUGCUUCCAAGAAAUGGAAGGAUUUCAAGUCUACACUAACGAGGCAUUAUAUCCUUCCAUACACCAAUGACAGGGAGAAAUUAAGCCAACCCCCUGAAACAUAUAAAUUCAUAGAGAAAGCACAAUGGGAUGCCUUUGUAGCUUCAAGGCUAUCCAAAGAUUUUGAGUCUGUGCAUUCUCAACAUGCACAGAUUAGGGAGAAACUCGAGUACAAUCAUCGAUUGUCUCGAAAAGGAUAUGCUGGAUUGGAGGAUCAAUUGGAGGAAACCAUGCCUGGGGUAGAAAUUGAUCGAUCUACCUUAUGGAAGAGAGCUAGACAGGACAAACAUGGUAACAUCCCUGAUCCAAAGGUGGCAGAGAAAGCAAAAUUAAUUGUAAGCCUACUAUCACUCUGUUUUAAAUUUUUAUUAAACUGUGAAUUAUUCUUAUUACGUCGUAUGUUAUAUUUUUCGUCGUGUGAAUGAUAUUACCACGUCGAAAAGUUUUUAAAAACGUCGUUAAAGGUCUAAAUAGGAAUCACUACUAAUUUUCUGUAAUUAUAGCAUAAGACGUCGGUGGUUCAUUUUCGCGUCGUUUGAAUGAUAUUACCACGUCGAAACUUUUUUAAAAACGUCAUUAACGGUCUAAAUAGGAAUCACUACUCUGUUUUCUUUAAUUAUAGCAUAAGACGUCGGUUGUUUAUUCAUUUCGUCGUUUUAAAUAAAUAACCACGUCGGUAUAACUACCGUCGUGAUAAGUUAUAAUAACGUCGGUUUAUACGUUAUUGCGUCGUGUGAAAUUAUAUAAUACGUCGUUUGUACAUAAAUAACCGUCGUGUGUUUUUUUGUUUAUCUUUGUUUUAGGAUGAAUUGCAGAAACAAGUCUCGGAAGGCAAAGUCAGAGUAGAUGGCAGCAAUGAUGUGCUGACCAUGGCUUUGGGCCCCGAGCAUCCAGGCAGAGUGAGGGGAGUUGGUGCUGGUGUUUCCCCAAGGCAAUAUUUCAAUUUGCCCAAACCACAGAGGGUGAGCUUUGACGACCAUUUGAAGGACAGUUUAAGAGUUCUCCUUCAAGAAGAGACUAAAAAGAUGGAGGCUAAGGCAAGGGAAGAGGCCUUAAGAAUGGAGGCUAGGACAAAACAAUUGGUAGAGGCUGAGAGGGAGCAUUUCCUGAGUCAGCUUUCCCAAUUAAUUCCCAAUUUUGAUCCAAGCAUGCUUAAACCAAGAAUUAGCCAAAGCCCCAAAAAUCCAAUGUCUGACAAAGCUAGCUGCUCUGGAGGUGAUGUGAGAUCCCUACAUUUGGAGGAUGAUACUGCCAAAAUGGGGAAACAUCAGCCAGAUGAAGAGAAGGAAGAAGAAAAAAGAGAUGAAGAGAAGGAAGAAGAAAAGGAGAAAGAAGAUGAAGAAAAGCAUGACGACAAGGUAUGUUCACAUAACUUUGCCUUUUUUAUUUGUUUUUCAAAAUUUCAGACGUCGAUAUUUUUAUUUAAUCCGUCGUUUGUUUAAAACUUAGACGGCGGACUUUUUUUAAGACGUAAUAAAAUAUUUAAACGACGGUUUUUGCACCGUCGUUUAAAUGGUUUCAGACGACGCUUUAUUCAUAAAAUCGUCGUCUUUAUUGAAUUACCACGACAGUUUUUUCACCGUCGUUUAAAUACUUUUAAGACGACGUUUUAUUCCUUAAACCGUCGUCUUUGUUGAAUUACCACGUCAUUUUUUUUAUUUCUUUAAACAGGUUAUUGAAGUUGGUGCUUAUUCAAAUAUGGAGGCGCCAUCUUCUUUAAAAACCCUUUGUCGUUUUGUGGAAACGACACUCCUGCCUGAGGAUAAGACACUCCAAUUUACAAUUGAUAAGGAGGUGUUUGGUGGUGAGCGCGAUACCUUCCUCCUGCCUGAAGAUAUUACACAAUUUGCAGGCAUGGAAGAAAUUGGAGCUACUGUAUUGGCUGUAUAUAUGAGGUUUGUACUUCUAAAAUAAUACCUCGUUGGUUUAUAUAUUGCGUCGUCUUAACUAACUAACCACGUCGUCUUAACUAACUACCGUCGUGAUAAAUAUAUUAUAACGUCCUCAUCUAUUUCAGUACGUCGUGUGAAAUAUUAUAAUACGUCGUUUUUUUAUACAUAACCGUCGUGUUUGUUUGUGCUGACUUGUUUAUAUUAUUUUAUGUAUUUAGGUACUUACACGAUGUUUUGAAACAAGCCAAUAUGUGCAGCAUGGUUGGCUUUAUCGACCCUGCUACAGUUAGUGCCAACUCUGGCACAAUAACUGAAAGAUCACGACUGGUAGCAGCUCGACUUCAGAAGACAGACGGUGAACAGAUUUUCAUGAUGCCUUACAAUCCAGGGUUAGUCUCCUUAGGAUUUUGUUUUUAUGAUUUUCAAUAAAUGACAGCUUAUAAACUAACCACGUCGGUGUUUUAUUUUAUUUAGUCGUUUGAAACUACUAACCACGUCGGUAUUUAUUUAUCGUCGUGAUAAAUAUAUAAUGUCGUCGUUAUCUACUUUAUUUCGUCGUGUGAAAUACUAUAAUACGUCGUUUUUGUAAAUAACCGUCGUUUUUAUAUUCAUUUUGUGCAGCCGUCAUUGGAUCUUGCUGAUUGUAAGAGCAAAGAAGGAGACCGUCUAUUUUCUGGAUCCUCUGCCAGGUCAUCGUGUGGUCGACGAAGAGGCGAAAAACAUCGUGAACAGUGCUUUAAAAAUAUAUAAUACCCACAUAGCCCGAGCACGACGUAAAAAUGUAAUUUGGAAAACUCUCUCAGGCACACCAAAGCAACCCAGCAAUGUCGAAUGCGGGUACUAUGUGAUGCGCUUCAUGAGGGACAUCAUCAUGGAUCCUUCCUUGGGGUUUGAGAAUAAGGUAAGAAGAAAUUACCUUCAUACAUUUCACGUCGUUUUUUGUAUUAUCAACGACGGUCAUGUAAAAUUAACGUCGUUGAAUGGAUAUACUACGUCGGUUAUGAAAAAUAUCGUCGUCUGUGAUUGAAUUUCUUUUUAUUUAUAAACCCUAAUAGUCAUUGUUUAUGCAGUAUGCCAAGGGAAACCAGGAAGCUUCAUACCCCCAAGAAGCCAUUGAUGAAGUCCGGAAUGAAUGGGCAGAGUUUGUUUUCCAAAUUAUUAAACAGGGCAAUUAUUGAACACUUGAUAUUUAUGUAUAAUGUACAAAUUUUCUCUAUAAUAUGUAAUGUAAAAAUUUGUUGAGGUUUUCUUAAAUUAAAAAAAAAACAAACAUACAAAUUGCUUAACCGACGUGUAAUACUUUUCCAACGACCUAAUAAAGUCAAAAACCGUCGUAUUUUGUUGUUUCGUGUUUUAAACAAAUACGACGUAAAAAUAUAGUUAGACGACGUUCUUUGAACAAUUGAGUCGUUUAUGGUUUACAACAUCUUCAAUUUCUUAAGGGUUCAGGGUAUCAUCGACGACGUUUAUGUAACGACAGCGGUUAAGUCGUGGAAUAUAUAUUUUACGUCGUAUAGUUAAAUAGCCGCCAUGGUUUCUCAUUUUAACGACGUCAUUUUAACGACUUAGUAGUCUAUUACAAUUUACAACGUCUACAAUUUAUUAACACCGACGUGGUUUGUUGUUGUGGUAAGAAUAUUUUAUUAUUUUUAUAUCAAAAUAUUCAAAAUAAAUUUAAAAUAAAUCAGAAAAUUGAAAAGUCAUCUCCUAUGAAGUCAUUGAUAUAUUUUCUUCCACAUAAACCUUGAAAAAAUUCAUUUUGAAUAACAAAAAUUUAAAAUGACCAUCCAAAACAAAAUUGUUUUGAUGAGUCAUAAAAUCACUUCUAGUUUUAUGGUUUAGGGUUUAGAGUCUAGGGUUUAGAGAUUAGGGUUGUUAUUUGUUGGGGUUUAUUUUUAAAGUAUAAUUUUUGGGUAGUCUAGGGUAUAUGUUAGGCUUUAAAACCAUAAAACCUUUUAUAAACUUAAUUUUUUAAAUUGUAUAAUUUAGUUUUAUGGGUUUAGGGUAUUAAUUUUUAACGACGGUGGUUGCGUCGUGGAAUACAUAUUUUACGUCGUACAGAAAAACAUACGACAUGGUUUACGCUUUAAACGACGUCAUUUUAAUAUGUAAGUCGGUUUAUAUAAUUUACAACGUCUUUAAUUUCUUAACACCGACGUGGUUUUUCAGUCGUCGUUAUAUAAAAAAUUCAAAAUAAAUUUAAAAUUAAUCCGAAAAAUGAAGCUUCAAAAUGAACGGCCUUACGUUCUUAAUCCGAAAAAUGAAGUUUCCGUCGUGGAAUAUUAAAUUUACGUCGGUACUUGUAGAACUUUCGCCUUGGUUUUUCUUUCGACGUUUUAAAACGCGCGAGCUCUAAAAAUUUUCGCGUGACCUAAAUUUUUUUAGAUUUGGCUCUUAUUCUUAUACUUCGAACCCUGAAACCUAAAAUUUUCAGAUUUCGCUCUCUCACUUCUGCUCUAAUUAAAAGUUGCACUCUCCAGGCUUCGUCGAAUCUGUGAGCUCGUCCAACCUGUAAGUACAAACCCUAUCUUCCCCUUGUAAAUUCAUUGAAUGAUAUUAGGUUGUUUUGUUAAAGGGUUUUAUGUGUAUGCUUUGCGAUCUGUUAAUAAUGUGCUUAUAGGUAUGGGUUCAUAGAUUUUCUGUUUAAUGGGUUCAUGGAUUACAUUAUCUGUUAUGUUGAAUUGGGAAUGGAUUUAAUUUUGUCGUAUCUUUUAAUCACCCUAUGUUAUGUUGAAUUGGGAAUGGAUUUAUUGUUUUCAUGCUUGGUUUCAUGUAUAUGUUGGUUUCUUGCUUGGUUUCAUAUAUAUGUUGUGUUCUUAAUGGGUUUUGUGUUCUUGAAAAUAAACUGAGACACGACAAAUUUUAAGGCAUACGACGACGAUUACACGACGGUUUUUUUAAACUACCGUCGUUGUAUUACUUAUACAAGACGGUUUUUUCAUAAACCGUCGUUUGUAUUACUUAUAAUAGACGACGUCUGUUGAAAAUCCGUCGUCUAUAUAUGCCAAAUACGUCUGUUUUUGUUUAAAACCCGUCAUCUCUGUUGUGUAUUACUUGCGAUUAGAUCAUUGUAUAAUCUGCUAUAGUGAUGGUCAUUGCCUGUAUUUUCACUUUAUUAUAGAUAAUAGGUUAUAGUGUCGGAGAUGGAUAAGUCAUGGAUGCACUCGGAUAGAAGAUCGAAGGCAUAUGAAUUUGGGGUGGAAGCAUUUUUGAACUUUGCUUGAGAAGUACUUUCCCCCUUCAUUCUUUGAUAUCAUGGUUCAUCUAGUAGUACAUCUUGUCAGAGAAGUUCGUCUAUGUGGGCCAGUAUAUUUUAGGUGGAUGUAUCCGUUUGAAAGAUAUAUGAAAGUGCUGAAGGGGUAUGUUCAGAAUCGUACUCGUCCCGAAGGUUGCAUUGCUGAGCGGUAUAUAGCUUAAGAAGCGGUAGAGUUUUGUACUCAGCAUUUAUCUGAUGUUAGUACAGUUGGAGUGCCUUCAAGCCAAAAGAUGGGACUUUCAAAGCCAUUAUCAGGUUGCACAGUGAGCGUAGUUGAUCAGGACCUGUUGAAUCAAGCACAUCUAUAUGUCUUGGAGAAUACGGAGGAAGUCCUACCUUAUAUCGAGUACGUAUGAGCUUUAUUCUUUAAGUUUCCAUUUUAAAUUAUUUCUUAUGUUUAUCUUCUAUAUUUGGGACCGUAAUGCUUGAAUUUUUCGUGUCAUGUAGGCAACAUAUGAUCCACAUCAAGAUUGCUUAUCCAAAAUUUAGAAAGAGAACAAAGUGGCUGCAGGAUAAGCACAAUAGCACUUUCAUUCAAUGGCUACGCUUCAAGGUAUAUGUUGUUGAAUAACAUAUUUCUCUUUUAAUUUUCUUCUUAUUUAUAUGUUAGAUUGAAUUAAGAUAUGAUUAAUUUGCAGGUUCAAAGUGAACUUGAGGAAGACAAUCAUGGCGUAUCAGAAAAUUUAAGGUGGCUAGCAGCUGGUCCAAACAUGUCAGUGCCAUUAUAUAGGAGCUAUCUUAUUAAAGGUAUUAAAUUCAAUAUCAAGGCACAAGAUGAUGUGCGGACAACUCAAAAUAGUGGAGUUUAUUUACUUGCACAUACCAUGCAAGUUGCUAGUGCCAAGGAUAAAAACCCAAUUCUCUCAAACAUGGGUUUCUAUGGUGUCAUUCAAGAAAUUUGGGACCUUGACUACCAAAAGUUUACAAUCCCAGUCUUUAGGUGUGAUUGGAUAGAUAGUUCUGGUCUUGUAGUCGACGAACUUGGAUUUACCCUUGUAGAUUUGAGUAAAAUUGGACAUAGGAAUGACCAAUUUGUUUUGGCUUCUCAAGUCAAACAAAUAUUUUUUGUUGACGACCCGAUGCAUCGUGGUUGGUCGGUAGUGUUAUCAAUGCCUAAUAGAGAAUAUAAUGAUGUUAUUGGUGAUGAAGUCUUAGGUGAUGUGAUAAUUGAGUGUGAGCCAUUUACUAGAGGGAUGCCAAAUGUUGACACAUUUGAUGAACUGGUGGGUGAGUUAGGCGGUCAAAAUAUUCGAGAUGGGUGUGAAGAUAUAUGGAUUGAAUGAUGCUUAUGUAAUUGGCAGUGUAUGACAUUAAUUUUGUAAUAUAUUGUAAUGUGAUUUCUUCACUUUCUACGUUCAAAUAAAACACGACGUUAUUGUGAACCAGUUAUUCAGCAUAUUUACCGACGUCUUAAAGCAACGUAACAAUGAAGAACCACGACGCUAUUGUGAAGCAAUUAUUCAGGAUAUCACGUCGGGGAAGGAUUAAGAACCGCCAUGUAAUUCAAAAUAACACGACUCCAAUCCCAUAAUACCGACGUCUAAAAAACGAGAUAUAUAAUCUGAACGUUAAAAAAUACGACGUCAUCAUACAUUUUCCACAUCGCAAGUUCUUUUAUAAACGAAGAGGAACGAAAUGAAUUCCGACGGAAAUUCAUUAUAACCGCCGUCUAAUAACAAUUAAACGACGUUAUUUGUAAUACGGCUCUCAUCAUAAUCAACGCCGUCUAUAUGUUCUGUAAUACGGCUCUCAUUUAUUUGGAACCGACGUUGUUUAGAAGUUCAACGUCGUCUAUAUUAUUAAGUGCGUCGUGAGUAAUGAUGAUAGAUAUAAAUACAACGUCGACUAUAUAAAUGCCACUGACGUUGUUUCGCAUUUCAACGUCAACUGUAUAAAUACAUACGUCGUAAAUAAUGACACUGACAACUAUUUCCACGUCAUCUUUUUUAGAAAAAUCGAAGUGGAAAAUUUAUUUCACGACGGUUGUUUGUAAAUAAGAGACGUAGUAUAUUUCAAUAACGUCGUCUUCUCAUGUAUUUAAAGACGUCAUAUUUUUUCUUGUCGUGUAAAUUAUAUUUAACGGCGUAGUAUUUUAGUUGUCGUCGUUGUAUGUAUAUCUUGCGGCCUUGUUCUUUUAACAUGUGUCAUAUUUUUCCUUUUUAACGACGGUGAUUUGUUUGAGUUGGUCGUCUAUUCUCAUCCUCGACUAUUUUCUAGAACUUUAGCAGACUAAACACGUCUGUUUUUAUUGUUUUCCGACGUUGUUUUAUUUAACAACGUCUAAUAUUUAUCGUCGUUGUUUGUUUCUGAAAAUAUGACGUAUAAAUUUUGUAAUACGACUCUCAUAUAUUUGUAACCGACGUUGUUUCGUUUUUCAACGUCUACUCUAUAAAUACAUACGUCGUAAAUAAUGACACUGACAACUAUUUUCACGUCAUCUUUUAUCGAAAAAUCGAAGUGGAAAAUUAAUUUUACGACGGCUGUUUUUAUAUAUGCGACGUAGUAGGUAUCAAUAACGUCGUCUUCUAAUGUAUUUAAAGACGUCAAAUUUUUUAUUGUCGUGAAAAUGAUAUUUAACGGCGUCGUAUUUUUAUUUUCGUCGUUGUAUGUCUAUCUUGCGGCCUUGUUCUCUUAAUAUGUGUCAUAUUUUUCCUUUUUAACGACGGUUUUUUUAGAGAGUUGGUCGUCUAUUCUCAUCCUCGACUGCUUUUUUAGAUCUUUUUGCAGUACAAAGACGUCGUUUUGUAUUUGUUGAUGACGUUGUAUAUUUUAACAACGACGGUGAUUUUGCGUCGUGGUUUAUGAGGGAAAAGAUGACGGUGGAUUCCACGACCAUUGAAAAACCGAAUACACGACGGUGAUUUACCGUCGUCUUUUUGCUUUUUUGUAGUAGUGAGAUAAAAAUGUUCUGAACACUUCUCUAGAAGGCCACGAACCCAUCCGAGGUCAUCUUGGGCUCCAAAAACACAAUAAAAGCCCAACACGUCACUAUUCCAGCACCGCGCACUGCUCAUUUAUUUUAUUGCCAGAAAAUAACCGCUUGGAAGAAAAAUCUGAAAUUUUGAUACGAUCAAGCUAAGUGACUCAAGAACGUCCUCCAACUGGAAUUACUCCAAAAUUCCUCAAUUUGAUUAUGUUUUGCUCCAGAGAGAGUCGAAAGUCCUAUAUUGGAAAUAUAAUUCAAAGUAUCAAAAUUCUUCCAAAAUAUUAACCAAAAUAUACUAAGAAUGAGGUUAAAUAUAUAAUAUAAAAUAUGUCCAUCACCCCACAACAACUAAAGAACCAACAUUUUGUAGAAGGUUUUGUCUAUACCUUUGACUGUAAGUAAAUCUCUUGUAUCUGCUCCUGUGGUUCGGUGAAGUUUCUUUGUGUCCUUUCUGCGGAGUCUCCCAUGCUUGUUCCAUGAAAAUGUUCUAGGAGAAAAUACGGUUGUUUCUUACUAGAUUCAAAUGAUUAAGAAAAAUAAAAACGCAAGAAAAAAGGUAUUUUCUUGAUGGACUUGGUGAUGAAAAAUAUCACUCUCUUUAUAUGUCGUCUUCCUUGGACUUUGAGACCUUGGGUUUCGAUUCUUCUUGAGGAUUGCAUAGGGUUUCUAGGCCCAAGAAUACUUUGAGUUAGUUUUUGCGUUUUGGGCUUUGAGACUUUGAGACUAUAAUGAGUGGAAAGUUAUAAGGGGUAAGUUAUAAGGGGGUCACUUUAUAGCCAUCAGAUUAAUCCAAGGGCUGGGGAGAAUUGAGAUAAAGUUUCACAAUUGGGUAGGUGAGGAACCCAAACCCGAAUUGAAUAUCCAGCACGUCCAAAAAGAAGAAGAAGAGGGAAACACGUCCGAAAAAGAAGAAGAAGAGGCAAGUUCGAAGUUUGAACAGAAAGAACUCAUCUCUCUAAAACACAGAGGUCUGAGAUACCCAAUGAAGGCAACGGCUAACGACAGUUGAAGGCAACAAUUCGCCACUCCGUUCUCCAGACCCCGAAAAAGUAUUUAUUUGGAGUAGAAGGGGCAAAGGUGUGGAUUCCAAAUCAGUGAAGGGGCGAAGCAGUGGAAGGGGAAGGGGAGAAGCUGUAUUCGUUGGAAGUGUAGGUUCCAUUUGUGGAGCAAAGAAAUAGAAAGACCCCACACAGACACCUUGCAAUAACCAGCAUUUGGUGAGUAAUUUAUGGAAUUUGAGUUUAGGGUUAGAGUAAUGGUUUUCCCCAAUUUGUACCAUAAAUUUUGUUGGAUUUGGCAUCUCUUCGUUGUGCUUCAGUUGCAUGUUAAUUUUUGCUUAGGUAUAUGUUAAAAAAGGAAUGAAAAUUAAGUCAAUAACAAGUGAAUAACAUGUCAAUAAUGAUAUGAAUAAGAUAAUGGUGUUGAAUUGGAGGAGGCCCUCAAAACCUUCCACAUUUGAAGCAGUGCAUAGUGCAGAUUAAGAAGAGGCGCUAGAAUAUAUAUAUAUAUUUUAUGAAGUAAAUAUGAUUUCCUUUGUUACUAAAUUUGCCUGAGAAACAUUUGAACAGAUAAUAAUAAACUCAUGAAUAGAACUGCAAAGCAUUUGAUGAGCAAUGUAAGGAAUUUAAGUUUAGGGUUAGAGUAAUGGCAUCUCUUAUUUGUGCUUCAAUUGCAUGUUAAUUUUUGCUUGGGUAUAUGUUAAAAAAUGAAUGAAAAUAAAGUCAAUCACAUGUCAAUAACAUCUCAAUAACAUGUCAAUAACAUGUCAGUAAUGAUAUGAAUAAGAUAAUUGUGUUAAAUUGGAGGAGGCGCUCAAAACCUUCACAUUUGAAGCAGUGCAGAGUGAAGAGUACCUCUCUGGCACUAGAAUUUAUAUAUUUUGUGAAAUAAAUAUUAUUUCAUUUGUUACUAAAUUUGCCUAUGAGAAAUGAGAACAGAUAAUAAUAAACUCAUGAAUAAAAGUGCAAAGCAUUUGAAAUGAAGGUUGAUCUAUGACGAUUGUGGGUGACUGAAGAAAAAGGUAGAAAGAAAGAAGGAUGUGGCAAUUGCUUAGCAAGCAGAUAGCAGAGUACAUGCUUUGCUUUGCUUCCUUCCACUAUAUUUCUUAUUUAUUUAUUUUGGGUUGUGUAUGAGAUGACAAUAAUUGUCAUGUGUGUGAAGUGCAGAACUUGCCUACAUUGCACUCACACGAGUAUGGAUGCAUAAAUAAAACACGUGAAAUUGUUUGUAAUUCACAUAAUCAUUGCAUUAACAGGUAUUUGCACAAAAAUUGUCAUAUUGCUUUGAUGAUGUUAAAGGCUGUGAUGAGUAAUCCCUAUGCUCAUGUACUUUGUAAAAGUUGUAAUGUGCCUGGUUGACUAGUUGUGAUUGUGCAAAUACGUGGUAGUAUAUAUGUUCACGUUAUUUCACAUUGUAUUUGAGGAAAUGGGAUCCAACGUGGAGCUGGUAUGGCCAGAGGCAGAGGUAUAUUCGUCACGGGUGAACAACUGCUCACAUGCAAAUUCAUCUCUAGCUGCAAUUCGAGCGAAGUUGAGUGCGGAACAAUUAGAACAAUUCAAGACAUCAUGCUUUGGCCAUCUUCUGAAUAUAGAUAAGAUUCAGUUUAGCGGGCAGAUUGUGCAUGGGGUUGUGUUGCGUAGAGUAGCGGGGCAGGGUGUGAAAGACUUGGAUGGACUGAGUUUCUUAUUAGGGUGUGACGUUGCUCAGUUCACUCGUCAGGAUUUCUGUUUGAUCACAGGGCUUCGUUUUGGGGAAGUGCCUGAAGUUUCCAGUGGAGAGAGUGAUGAAAUCAGACUUCAGAAAAGAUAUUUUAUAGACGAAGGAAUUACAUGCAAUGCUUUAGAAGAAGCAUUUGUGAGGUGCACAGAGGAAGAUGACAUCUACAAGCAAGCUCUUGUUUACUUUGCUGAGUUAGUGGUUUUGGGAAGGGACAAACAUUUGAACAUCAAUCUAAAUUACCUGACCCUUGUAGAGGACUUGGAUGCGUUCAACAGGUAUCCGUGGGGUUCGGUGUCCUUUGACAAAACCCAAGACAGUCUAUUUUCUGCACCAACAAAGUAUGUGAAAAGCUUGGAAAAUGAAGAGGGAAGAGGGAAGGGGAAAAGUAAGGUAACGGGAACAAGCCGGAGAAAUGAGAAGGGCAAGAAGGAUAAGCAUGGUGAAGCGCAAAUGAGUGGCUGGAGUUUUAAAGGUUUCACGUAUGCUUUCCAGGUACAUGGUAAUAAUGUUCAUGUCAGUUAUGUUUUGUUUUUCUUUAAAACAUAAAUAAUGACUUUUGUCCUGUGAAUUGUGUAGAUUUGGGUAUAUGAAUUAAUUCCUAGAAUGGCGGACCUGAAUUACUGCAAGGUUGUUGAUCCGACCGUUGUCCCGCGUAUUUUGCGAUGGAGAACUACUACGUCUGUUCCAGAGAUGAGAAAGUUGAACAAUUAUUUUUUCCAGAGCAAAGAGGUUUGGUUUGCAGCCCUUGGAACUAUUGAUAAGAUUGAAUGAAAUUAUGAAGUAGAAUGAUUUGAUAUGACUCUUGUCUGUAUUCUGAAACAGUCAGUUCAGUUGCGGGCGCUAUGUCCGAGUGAAGAGGAAAUGAGACAGCCAUAUUGGAGUUGGCCACAGGAUCGCCCUGCUGUUGUCUCAGCAGAGUCAAUUCCUUCUUCAUGUGGUGAUCUUGAUGAGUUGAACAAGGUGGUAAGUUGGUUGAGGUCCGAGUUGUUUCAAGUAAAGCGGGAAAAAGACGUCCUUCACUUAAAGGUCAUACGGAUGGAAAAACUGUUGGACCAAUGUUUAGGUCCUCAGUUUGAGCAGGAAGUAAGGAGGGACCUAGCUUUACUGAAACAGAGGACGAAUCGUUGUGUCAUCUCACAUCUAUUUAAGGGAUAUGGGGAAAUGGAUGACAUUCAAUGGGAUGAAGGGCCAAGUAACAGAAAUGAGGGAGAGGAAAAGGAAGAUGAAGGGAUUGAAGGGGGUGAAGGGCCAAAUAAUAGAAAUGAGGGAGCACAUAAGGAAAAGGAGGGGAUUGACGGAGAGGAAAAGGAAGAGGAGGGGAUUGAAGGGGGUGAAGUGCAAGGAAAACCAAGUGAGGUAGAGGAAGGGCAAAGGAAAAGAAGUGAAGGAGAGCAAGUGCAAGUAAAAAGUAGCAAAGGAGAGGAAGCCCAGAGACAGAGCAGUGAGGGAGAGGAAGUGAAAAGAAAAAGCAGUAAGGGAGAGAAACUGCAAAGGAAAAAAAGGGAGGGCAAGGAAGUGAAAACACAAACAAGUGAGGAAAAGGAAGUGCAAAGAAACCAAUGUGAGAAAGAAGAUAAUGAAGUUAUGUUGCUUGGGGGUGACAUUGGCGAGAGCACGGAGGGGACACUGCUUGAGUUUACUGUCGGGGACAUUGAUUUGGAUGAACCUACAGCUGUGCUAUCUCAGUUGAACGUGUGGUUGAAUGAUAAAGGUAAAGCUCUGGCACAAGGGGUCCAAUUACGGAAAAGGAAGAGGAUCAUUCCUUUGUGGAAGAUCAUUGAAGGCAGUGAAUUGGUUCCAAAAAUUGGGGCACAGACAACCGGACUGAAGAUGUUAGACCCAAUGAAGGCGAUUUCGCAUGAUGAUCUGGUGAAAUUGCUGAAACUUUGUUGGGAAUGGCGCCAGGACCCAAAGUAAGUCCCUUGCAAUUAUAAGAUACAAGCAUGACUGUAUAUAAUUUUUUAUAUACAGUGUUCUAAAACUGUUUUAUAUUCAUAGUUUGGUGAUGCAAUUUGGCAACGUGGAAGCUGAGAUUGAAUUCUUCGCUUCCCUCGUGAAAGCUGAUGGUUGGCUGAAAGGAGAUGUAAGUGUAAUUGAUUAUGCAUUUGUUUUAAUGUACAUACAUUAUGAGAUUGACAAGAAAAACAUGUUGCAGCACAUUGAUUUGGGGUUGUAUCUCAUCCGGAAGCGACAACAACAGUUGGAGACAGAUUCGGUAGAAGUAGCGGACUGGACAACGACCGAUGUUUUUUUUAUGGUAUGUCAUCGGCCUUGACCAAGUGCCGUUAAUAAUUACACAUUUUCCAUACACACACUAGUGGAGGUGUUUAACCAUUGAUUGUUUUGUAUUUCACAGAAUCACAUUCGUACUUGCUUUGCGGAUAAUAAAAGAAAAAAACAGCAGCUUGGGUGGAAAAUCAGGAAAAGUUUACUAACCGUUGUAAAUGGGAAGGUUCCUCCGUGUGGGUUGGAUUGGCAGACCGUCUAUAAGGUGUAUACCCCAUUUAUGUUGACGAAGUACAAGCAUUGGGUGGCUGUAAUGAUUGAUCUGGUAUUGUGUGAAAUCAAAGUGUACGAUUCAAAGGUUUCACUAAUUCCAGAUGACAUCGUAAAGGAAGAACUCGGCCCGCUAUCAAUUACGCUUCCAAAUCUUCUCAACACCAUCGACUUUUAUGAAAAAGGUGUUUAUGCAAACAAUUGCAGCCAAGAUUAGUGGUGUCCGUGGCCAAUAGAGCGUGUGGAUGUUCCACAACAGUCUAAUGAGUAAGCACAACUUGCAAUUUAAUUUUAUUACUUUCAAUUGUCAAUUACGUUAGAAUGUCAUUAGUUGAAUUGAUCGAGUUCUUGUUUUGCUUCAGAGGCGAUUGUGGCAUGUUUGUGUUAAAGUACAUUGAGCUUUUCAGCGCUGAGCUUCCGUUAGCUACUUGCACCUCGCACAACAUGCCUUUUUUUCGGUUGAAAUUGGCUGCGGAGAUAACAAGGGGAGAUGCUUACUUCCCAUGAUAUUGGUUGAAGAUGACAAAUGGUACAUGAGAAGGUUUUGGGAAUGUCCAUUCUCAAACUAAUGUAAAUACACAAUAGAGAAGUACGGGUCCUUAUCGAAUUCUACCGCUAACUCCUUCAUGACAUUUACAUGUUUGUUAACCAAACUGCAUUGAAUUGGAAUUUUAAGACUGCAUAUGUGAAUUGGGAUUUGAAGAUGGCUUUUUAAGUGUAUUACAUCAUUGCAAAGUGAUAUGUCAUUGUUGAUGCAAGCCACCAUUAAUCGCAAUGUGUUGCAUCAUAAUAGGUGUCUAAACAUGCGAAAGGUUUUCCGCAGCUCAGUAGCAUAAAAGUAGAAACAAAGACAAUAUACACAAAAUGAACAACAAUUCACAAAUGCACCGACAAGCAAUACACACACAACAGACAAACAAUAUACACAAACUUGGCCUGCCAUAUACAGAGAAUAGACAUGCAAUAUACACACAGUAGACAUGCAAUAUACACACAAUAGACAUGCAAUAUACACACAAUACUCCCUUAACACACACAAUAGACAUGCCCUUGCCCACAAUAAUGAUGCAAUAUACUUCAGUCCCCAAGUACACCAACCAUAGGGAAGUCGUAUUGAAUAGGAUAUUAAACUUAACAGUUGUUCUUCCUACUAAAAGAAAGAAUAAGGUUCGUUUCCCCCCUUCAUUCUUACUUGAGUGAUACUUGUGGCCCCAAUAAACAUCCAAUUUUGGGGCAAUGAUAUUCCAUAUACAUGCAGCAAACUAUCAAUAAACCUUCAAUAAACCUUCAAUAAACAUUCAAUAUCGUUUCUAUAACAUGCGAAAUACAUGCAGUUACCAAAUAUUACAAAAUGGGUUUAGGGUCUCAUUGGUGGUGCGUGCAACAUGUCUUGUGCGGGAGAACUUUCACAAUCUUUUAAACCGUGCAGUUAAAUGAUCAUUAAAAGAACAAAUAAAAUGACAAUUGAUACAACUAAUAAAACUAAUACCAAGUCCUUAAUGGACUUCAGCAUGUUCAGCACUCUAGCAUCAUACGUGUCAUCUUGAUGUUCUGCUUCAGCGGAGGUUACAUCAACCCAUUCGAAUCCAUUGCAACUGGUGGCUCCCUAAUUGCAGGCAUCAUAUAUGGAAUAUAAUUCUGUCAGAGUUAGACAUAGGUUUUUUUUCACCCACAUACAUAUUCUUUAAAUUAAAACUUACAUAGGAGGUUAGACACUUCCAGAAUGGCUUCCCUCGAUUUUUGUCAGAUUUUGAAACCCGAAGCACCAUUGUAGCUCCACAAUACUGACACCUCUUUGUUUGAGCGGGAGAUGAAGAUGAAGACAUGUUUAAUCUUCUCAGUUGUACCUCUUCUCACUCAGAUCUUCUCACUGAAACCUCUUCGGACUCAUACCUUCUCACUCAUAGUUGUCAUUCAUACCACUUCACUCAUAACCCUAAACUUGUCACUCAGCUCUCUCUCAUCUCUGCCCAAAUCGAGUUAUAUUUCUUUUUUUUGGGAUCAUUUGGUGGGUUGGUCACGAUGUCGACACCUGUACCGUCAGCAUUGUGACAUCUUUUAGCCCGAAAAGCAAUAUAAACUACUUCACUACCAAAUAUAUUUUCUGAAUAAUGACGGGACACUGCUUCAAUUUUAUUAAUUUAUUUAUAUUUCAUUAAGGCAACUAGUUGGAUAAGAAUCCGUCAUUAUUGGUUCCAUUUUAAUAACAUUACUAGGGGUAAUUGGGUGUGGGAAAAUGAAAAAGUAUAUGAUGGGACCUUCUGUCACUAGUCAGUAAUCCAUCACAUUUGUAUCAAUGAAUUUGAUAGUGGGAUAAACCCAAAAAUGGCUAUGCAAAUAGCCAUUUAAUUAACUUUUUGACUGUCUGACUCUGUAUGCACCGUUAUGACGUUUUCCCUUCUUUUGUCUUAAGUUUUAAUUCACUGGGGUUCAGUUUCUUUCAAAAGGGUCAACUUGGAAAAACCCCAACUGGAAACACCUUUUCAAAACACUAUAAACAGAGGCUAAAACAAAACGUGUACCCCAAAUAUUAUCAUUUAUCCCCUCUGCCACUCCUCAAAUCGUUCCAUUCCAAAAACUUUUCAAUGAAUUCGAAACACUUCACUACAGUCGGAGGAAAGAGAAGGAAGCAUGUCCAUUUCGAUAUGCCCGAAGCCUUCAUCCCGGAGUCCGCUUGGUUUCAAGUCAUGUUAUACGUGGCAACCGAAUCAUCGGAAGAUCUCUUCCGUAUGGCAUCUGUGUGACGAUUGUUCCGAACUUUGGCAAACAGUUCACAAGUGUGGAACACCAUUUCAAUGGCAAAGUACCCAGACCAUCCUAUAUGGUACCGUGCCAGACCUGCGGUCCAGCAUUUCUUGCAACAAUGCAGGGCUUGCGAUAACCCUGAGUCCAUAUUUAGAGAAGCAUUCGAAGGUUUUUUCAGGCACGGUAAGGUGGAAGCGUUGUAUGGGAUGCGCAUUGCAGCCACGGCAGGCCAUAUGGAAGCGGCAUAUGUAGUUGGACUACUUGGUAUGUCCGGAAUUGGUCAGUCAAAAGAGGAUGCAUUACAAUUCUUGUGUUCUUUGAAUCAACGUAACAACAUUGAUAUGAAAGGAACCAGGGAUGCUUUGACAGGAAGAUUUCACGGAGCAUUUGUUGCAAGACAUAUCGUAGAUAUGUUUGACUAUGGGAAGAUUAAGUUCAAUCGGUGCAGCGCUUGUAACAACAAUGAAUGGUAUUUUGUUAUUCCAGGCUGGCCUAGUGAAGACAAGAUAAAUCCUGCGUUGUGGACUUGUUGCAAUCGAUGCAAAUGGCACCGUGAGAGUAUUUUUUGGUGCAAACUGAUGCGUGAGUAUGUUGUGCGAGGGAAUCACGUAUUUUUGCAUUAGUUUUAGUACGAAUUUACGGUUUUGAUGCAUUGUGGACUUGCUUCUCUUCACUUCUAGGUUGGCUGGCUACGUUAUACCUAUCUCAGUUUAAAUGUUGUUCAAAUGUUGGUAUUUUGUCAUAAACCGUUUUAUAUAUAAAUGUAUAAUAUUUAUUAUAUAGCGGAAUUAUUACUUACAUCAUAGACGGCUAGGAAUGACAUUUUACUGACACAGAUAUUUUGCUCACCGACCCCAAUCUUCAUAUUUGAUAAACGAAAAGUUAUGCAUGGAGUAAAUAGGUGUCUUUUCACCAGUGCUUGGGAAUGACAUUUUCCCACUUAGCAUAUCCGAAAGGAUUUGGUUACACGUUUCUUAACCUAGGGGGUUGAACAGUGAAUGACGUAGACUAUUUUUUGUGUGUGGAAGGAGUACAAUGGAUGACUUGUAUAUUUCCAUAUUAUGUUUCAAAACAUCCCUUCAACCUAAAAAAUAAAAAAAUUAACAAAUUGAAGAACAGAGAAACCGAUGAGCACUACAAAUGGCCUAUUCGCACGGAAAAUAAAAUUGUUUUCAACAAGUUGGACUAAAUAUAAUUAACAAAUGGACAGCCUAAAAAGUAAUAUCAUAAUAAUUAUAAUAAUUGUGGAUAAAUAAUAAUAAAAUACUAAUGUAACAUAACCAUUAAACAGGGAAUGCAGUAGGAAGAUGAAAUCGCAAUAAGUUCGUAGAAAUUUUGGGAUCGUUUUUCUAAUUUUUGUGUAUUUAGUUAUGAAUUUUCCAAGAAAAAAGGUAAUAAAAUAAUAAUUUAGGGUAAAAUGGGAGGAUGUGGCCAUGUUCGGUAACGUACACUUGUGCAAGUAGUCAAAAGUGACGGGCUGAGAUCGCGCCAGGUGUCAUAUUCUUGUUAAUUUUGGAUUCUUUUGUUAAAAAAUCUUUGAAACUAGGUAAUAAAUAGUAGGAAAAUCGUAAAAAUGGCCCAAAAAUUACUCCGGCCUCCUUUUGACGUCCUAAAACUAGGAGAACCUAUAAAUCAUUCGUCUCGCAAUGAAAUAAUCCAAAUUGUGUUACAUAACUCACUUUCCUCUUAACCCUAAGUAUUGAUGUUUGUUAACUUCAACUUGAAUAACCUACUUCAACAAGCAUCUCCCGUUAAUAUUGGGAAUUAAUUUUACAAAUGCGUAACAAUGAAUCGGAGAAUUCAGCAACGGAGAUGGAGUGUCAAUGAGUUCGUAGCAAUUUUCGGAUAAUUUUUUUAUUUUGUGUGUAAUUAGUUCUGAUUUUUGUAAGGAAAAGUAAUAAAAUAAUAAUUUAGGGUAAAAUGGGAGGGUGUGGCCAUGUUGACUGACGUACACUUGUGCAAGUAGUCAUCAGUGACGGGCUGAGAUCGCGCCAGGUGUCCUUUUGCUAUUAUUUUGGCUUUUUUAGUGCAACAAUCUGUGGACAUAGGUAAUAAAUUCUACGAAAAUCCAAAAAAUGCCCGGAAAAUGAGAAAAUGAAAAUUAUUUGUACAUAACUCACUUUCCUCUUAACCCAAAUUCACGUUAACACGUAUAUUUCGGAUAAUAUUCGAAAUAUAAUUUCUAAUAAUACAAUAUUUAGUUUCACUAUAUACAAUAAUAUGUUUUUUUUAUAAUAAUGUACAUAAAUAAUAAUUGCACAUGCUUUGAAGCCAUCAUUGCAACUACGCCUAGAGCUUUGAAGACGUCAGUUCGUAUUCAAUAAGUUGUCCACAUGCAACUGCACCUAGAGUUUUCAACACGUCAGAGGUAUUCAAUAAGUUGUCCACAUGCAACUGCACCUAGAGUUAUUAACACGUCACAGGUAUUCAAUAAGUUGUCCAUAUGACGCCGCAUUGGGAAUCAGUAAUAUAUUUUCAAUCAUGUCAAAUCACAUAAAUAAUGCCAUACUUUUUCUCAAUAACCUCACACAAGUGAAGCAAUUUUAAAACCCUUAGUGAAUAUUUAUCCUAGUCUAUAUGAGUGAUUAUAUAAUCAGUUGCAUAAUAUUUUUUUCACAGUAUAUGUUAACUUUGAGAGGGAUUCCACAAACAUAAAAUAUAAAGAAAGCAAGAAAUAGUAGGAAAUGAACCAGUACAAAAAACAAUAUAUAAAGUGUACAUAAUAAUUCCAUAACCUUGUCACAAACGCACUCACAAAAGCUUUUCCAUAAACCUUGUCCUAACAUAUAAUAAAUAAAGGCAACAUUGCAUAUGAUGCAACCAUGUCCAAAUCUGAUAAGUGAUCAAAAACAAAUGGACAUGGCAGCAACAUAUGAUUGAAGUAGAUGGGCUCUUUGCAUCUUCUGUUUUCGUAAUUAAAGACAUCAAAAUAUUAAGGUUUAAAUCUUCCAUAGUAGUUAGCAUCAAAAUAGCUUUGAAGCAGAGUGUAACGAAAAUUCCAAUUCCACUUAUUUGCCUCUGCUCAAACACGAGAACCAAAAUGGUUACUUCCCUUGCUGAGUAUAUUUGGUGACGUCGGAAACGGUAAUAGAUGACCAAUCAAACCCGGGUACGACGAGUUUUGCAUAGGAUCGGAAGUAGUCGAAUCCAGCUUGCAUCACACGCUUCUUUGACUCCACUACAUUAGAUGAGUUCUUGUAUUUUUGAACAGCUACACUCUGAAGUCGUUUGUGUCUACGCUUCAUGCGCUGCAACUUCGCCCUAUCCAGAUUGGCCUGCCUUUUGUCAUCUUCAAUUUGGCCUUCCACAAAUUCCAAACGUGCCCUUGCCCUUUGGAUUUCAUCACCAAGUUGAAGAUGCCUCUCCUUCCAAAAAGCAACAACUCUUUCAGACUCAAAACUUCCAACAAAAUGGUCAUUCUGUCUAGCAAUGUGACAUUGCUUGUCUGGUGACUCACUUGCGUGUCGAAGCCGGUCUUUGUUUGGAGGGGUGUUUAUUAUACUCACAUCAAACUUGGUUGUGCUUAUGCUCAUUCUUUGGGGGGAAUGAGUUUGUUUGCUUGAGAGAGUAUCGGUAGAUGGAGACAGAUUCGGUGGAGGAGUGAGUUUUGUGUGGAAGGAGAUUUUAUAUGAAAGGGGUGAUAGUAAUACCAAGAAAAGGGUUCCCGCCAAAAAAUAUUUGGUUGACAAAGUAGAAAUUAUUUUUUUAGUCUGAUACAAUCUAAGUUUAAUCCUAACUAGUUUGGUUGAGUUAACUAAGUAGAUGUCACUUCCAUUGACUUUCUUUCAACAACUAUCAGUGGUGUAAGGAGAGUGUGAGGUUGACAUGCUUGAAAAGCAAAAGCUGACACCUAUUUUUAAAAAAUUCCCGCCAAAAAGUACAUAUGUUGACUACACACAAGCUUUGGUAUGUUGGUCUAUAAACCUAUGUUCCCUUUCUCAAACGAAAUUGCAUAUGCAAUCCUCAUCCUCCCAAAACAAAGAGGAUUAUUCAAGCAUGUCAACCUCUUCAGGCGCCAACAACACAAUCGAACAUGACAAAUUGGAGUCACAGGUUCUAUUUCCACAUUGUACUCGCCGACCCCUUCCUUUUUCAACAUCAUUUGGGAGUGAGGGGGACUCCGAUGAUCCAUUAGAGGCAAUACAUGCAGUCAGUGGCAAGCUGGAUUAUAAUUCCAGACUGAUCAAUUCAUGGCACGAGAAAUGUGUUGAAGACGAGGCAAUUUUGGCUGAUCUUAACAUUAGGGUGAGCAAAGCGUUAUCCCAAAAGAACAAGUACUUGAAGCUGAGUCAUAGCAGGAAGCUGAAAGCUGAGGAGUUGGAUACAGUAAUGAAUGAUGAAAUGAAAGGUUGUUUGAUGAACCAUAUGCGAUGCGAACAGCACCAUACUGAACUGGAGUUGGCAUUCAACGAAGGAUUCGACAAAUUCCGAGCAUUUGCGGCAACUACUCAUACAAGUUAUGAUUGGAACUAUGUGUCCCCUGAUGCUGUGAGAGAGAUACUAGACGAUGGGGGUGACAUGAAUGAGCAUAAGCACGUCAAAGCUGCUCGGAAGAAGCCGACCGAUACGACUAAGUGAUUGCGGCUACCGCUGUUCAGUUAGUUGAGGGUGACCGUGGUAUUGCACAUAUACUCCCUUAAUGUCAUUAUCUAACUUAAAAUAACACAAAUAUCAGUUUCAUUUGCUUGAUAUAUAAUUAUUGGGACUAUGUAUUGCAAGUCAUCAUGUGUUAUAAUGUCUAACAUUAUAUUUUGCAAAUAUGGAAAUAUUAUUCAAGAAGCAGUCAAUAUCACAGAAAGCCGGGAAUCAGUAAAUGCUCCUUAUCAUGUCCAUUUACAUUAAAGAGCUGGAGUACUAAUGUGUUCAAAAAAAACUGACACGUGAGUCAUAAGUAACAUAACAUGUGCUAUACAUUGUUUACUGAAUGGUUUAUGGUUUAUUUGUAUAUAAUAAAAUUUCAAAUAUUGCUGAAGAUUUAUUUCGUGUAUAUCACUAGGGAUAUGAGUGGCCAUAAGCAUGUGAGACCUGCUAAGAAGAAGCUGACGAGUACGACCCAGUGAUUGGCUACCGUUGUUCAGUUGGUUGGGGAGAUCGUGGUAUUGCUAUGAGGAAGCACACAAUAUGUUUUGCAAUCAAAUGUUCUUUUGUGUGUGGAAUUAUGAGUAUUUAUGUAAGUUAGUGUACCCUUUAAUAUUUUUCACCUAAGUAUCGAAAUGCAGUUUUUGAAUGUUAUGUUUUUUUUUACCCGCUGCUUUCUAUUUGCUCUGUUCCAACAAAGUGCUUCAAGUAUCCUUCACUUACAAAAGUGUACAAAAUCGUGCCCCUAAUAACCAGUCGGAAAAAGUGGCUACUGCUGGAAAUGAUUACUGGUAAUGGAAACAACAGCUGGCUGCUGUAAUUGCUGCAUUACCGUGAGGAUUUGAAAAAUGAAUCUCUGUUAAAACAAAUUUCACCCUAAACUGCCCAUUUUACAUGGUAAAAGUCAUUGCUUCUUCAAAUCUUUUGCAGCUACACGAUGCGUGGUCAGAAUCUUUGACAUAUACGACUUCUGCCACUCUUGUUUCCCAAUUUUUUCUUUCGCUCACGUUGAACACAACUUUACAAGCAUCCUCUGUUUUGAGCUCUAGGAAACAUGCUGUACUUUGUAUUAGUUCUUGCUCAAACUUUUGAAACAUUGUCCUUGUGUACAAGGUAGCCAUUUGUUUGUUCAUUGGCAUCGGUAGAAGACAUUGAGCCACUUCAAAUGCAUCUGCGUGAUCAGCAACUAACUCUUUUUCACGUUGAUGAGAAAGUGCCCUCUCAAAUCGUAUUAUGAAAUCCAUCAACGAAUUUCUCCUUGAUAUGUAUUGCUUGAAAAAACCAUGAGAACCUUCCGCUCUUUGGCUGCUUGACAUUCCAGCGGCAAAAAAUUGUCGUGCGUAGGCUGGAACCCAAGAUUCCCUUAAAUCAAACAUUGAACUUAGCCAUGGAUGGUCAGUCAAACCAGCCUUUGUAACCACAAUAUUCCAUUUUGCAUCAAACUCAUCCUUAUUGUCAGUAUCCCAUAUGGCUUUCUGAAAUUCAGGCCAAUACUCCUUAUAAGCGUCACGUGGUAACUUAACAGAGAACUUUGAUGUGAUGUGCUAUAUGCAAAGUCGAUGAAAUGUACUCGGGAAGGCUAUUGAAAUCGCUAUGGCCAUUGCCGCAUCUUGAUCUGUAAUGAUCGUUUUAGGUUCCCCACCUGGCAUGGCUUUCUUAAACUCCUCAAACAUCCAAACAAACGACUCAGUCGUUUCCUUGCUCAAAAAUGUGCAUGCUAACACAAUUGUCUGACCAUGGUUAUUAACUCCCAACAUUGGUGCAAAUGUCAAGUCGUAUCGAUUCGUGUUGAAUGUGGUAUCAAAUACAACAACAUCUCCAUAAAACCCAUACGCCCGUCUAGAAGUUGCAUCUGCCCAAAAACAUCGACUAAACCUAUCAUGCCCAUCUCCCUCAAUCUUGAAAUAAAAAGCCUCAUUUUUUUUCUGUUCAGCCAUAAAAUACUCGGUCACUAGUUCAACAUCGUGGUUCCUCAGCUUCCCAAUCACACUACAUUCAAGAUUGUAGAUAUCUUUUUUGAUAAAACCGAUUUUAUCCAUUCCUCCGGAUUGCACCUCGAAAAUACUUACCUUCUGAUGAAUGGGAAUAUUAACUGAACCCAACUGUUUUGUGAGUACUUUUGUAGAAUCUGAAAUAUGACGGUGUGAUCUCAAUAAAUGCAUUCUUUCUAAGGGUGUCAUCUUAUGAUUGUGUCCCUCUGCAAAAAGAGAAAUGUUAUACUUGUUGCUCCCAUUUGUCUUCACAACCACAAUCUUUGCUUUGCAAUUGCAUCUACUUAUUCCCCGUUGUCUUUUUCUCUCCCGAGUUUCAUCCUUCCUGUAUGCACCUUGUUUGCAACAUACAAAUUCUUUCCUCAAAAUCUCUUUCUUAUUUUUCCCCCAAAAGCUAGAAUGAAGUCGAAUACCAAAGCCAGCCAAGAAUGCAUAUCUAUUAUAGAAAUUGUAAACGAGGUCAAGCGAGUCAAACUUCAUCCCAACUGCUGGUGUUUCCUCAUUUCUUACUUCAGGAAUAUAAACCCUCCCAUUAGCUGUUGCACAUUCAUCACUCUCUGAGCCCCCAGACAUUUUAUCUACGUAUAUUAUUGAUCCACUUCUAUAUUACUGCAUAGCAAUUAUUCAUUCAUUAAUCAGUCAUUACUGCAUCACAACAUAUCAAUGCAUUCCACUUACACAAAACAUUGCCCAAAUUGACACAAAAUACGCAUAGCCUAACUUCCGAUUACACAAAACACAAGCAAAAUUUCAUAAAAGUUACGUCAUCUCUUGUGAAAUAAUCUGGUCAAAAUAACAUUAGAACCAACAUGUUCAACUAAGAACACAAAUGUAAUUCAAACCACCAAUUACAGAACUUCACCCAAUAUCCUCUCCAACUGCUUACUCCUAAUGUCAUUAAGCCUAAGUUUAGGUUCUUUUACCUACAUUUCAUAAUUUUUCACCCCGACCAACAACAAUGAACUAAGUAUAUUGAAUAUUCACAAGGAAAUGACACAUUAUUGAUGCCACAAAUGACGAAUUUCCCACCCUCACAAAAAAUAAACCUAACCCAAUAAAAUCAAUCCAGCAAGUGAACUUACCUCUCAAAAUCAAUCGAGAGCUCUGAAGUCAGUCAGCUUGAAAGAAUGUGGUGGACAUUAGAGAAGACUCUUUGGUAUUUGAGACUCCAUCUCUAUCAAAAUCGAGGAACAACUGCUGCUGCGGCUUCUAGCUACAAAAACAGAUAUGCUACUUUGCUUUCAUCUAGAAUCUUGUCAGCUGAAUGAAAAAGAGAAGGGGUUUUCACUUGAGCCAUAGAAUCAAAACAGGGCAACAGCUAGGUAAGAGCCAUUCUUCGUAAUACCCAGGAUACCAUAGAUCGCAGGCCUCCCAACGAGCUAAUGACAGUGGAGUGACUAUAAGGUUUGGGAGAUUUGGAUCCUUCUAAUUGUGGGUUUGCUUUACAUUCAAAAAGAAAGGAUUGUGUUCUUCAGUUUUUCACAGAGAGGGAAAGAGGGGAACAACUGAAGUUGGGUUUCUAACGGGUUAGAUUUCAACCCGAUUCUACAUGCACCCUCUUUUAAAAACUCACCGUUGGAUGAAAUCCAACGGCUCUUACAUACCCCUCAAAAACACCCCUUAUAACUUCCCACUCACUAUAGAAGCUCCCCCAACUAAAUCCCAAAAGGGAAACAGAUUUGAACAACAUACAAAUUUGAAGGACACACAAAUAUGAAUCUCAGCACCGGUGAGAAAUUAAUUUUAGUUGAGGUUGGUAGGUAGGCAUUGGAAGUUUUUAUUGUUUUUGCUCCAAGUCCCUCCUCCACUCACUAAUACAGAUUACUCGCAAAUGAACUAAAGUCUGCAGGGAUAUAUGGACUCCCCUGUCCAUACGAAUGUUGGAAGAAAUGUGUGUUAAAUUUUAGAGAGACGGGUCUGUGACCCACCACUAGCAACGUUGAUAUUGUCUCCAACUUAACUACAUGUUUAGUAGAUGUGGGGUUUUAUACAAAAAGUAUUGAUGUUAUUGGGAAUGGAACCACUUAUUAUAAGUUAAAAUUUAUUUAGUCAAGUUUCCUAUGUGGGACUUUCUAUUCUUCAACAAGCCCCUUCAUGUGGGACCACCACAUAGUGGGCCACACGUAGAGCCAAGUCCACAUCGGAGUCAAUCAUUCAAGCCCAAUACCUAAACACCACGUAUUGUGUGAGGGGUAGGGGUAAACAUUCAAGCCCAACAUAUGAACACUGUAACAUCCCAACUCCAAAUUUAAUCCCUUAUUUAAAUUAUUUAAGUGAAAUUACAAAUUUACCCUUGGGGUAGGGAUAUUUUGGUCAUUUUCUUACCCGAAAAGAGUUUGGGGCAGUGACUAGUAUUUUUUGGUAGAUCGUACUGAGAUGAGUCUGUAGACAUGUAGUGGGCUCGAUUCGGAGUUGAAACGAAGAAGUUACGAGCAAAACAUCACCAAUGGCAAAACCGUAAAUAUUUCAAAAUGAAUUUUUAAUAAAAAAAACCUGAAAAACCCUCUCUCUCUCUCUCUCUCUCUCUCUCUCUCUCUCUCUCUCCUGCGCACAGCCCCUUUCCCCCCUUCGUUUUUUCUUUCCGUGGCUUCCAAGAGCCACCAUCGCCACCACGAAUCACCACCGGCCAUGAGGCCGGACUCGUUCGAACUGCCGCCGCAUCCUCUUCCUGUUCCGGUCGCUCCCAGUCGCUGCCAUCCGCUGUGCUGGCCGGAAAUCGAAGAAAACCAGCCGAUUUUUGUCAAACUUUCGGCCGCUCGUUCUCCCACUUCCGGCCACCAUUUUGGCCAUCCAGGUAUAGAUUUUGAACCUCUCGAGCUGUUCUUGCUGCCUGUUGUGUUAGAUUUGGGAGAUUUCCGCGUUUUGAAGGUCGAUUAAACGAUGGAAGUUUGGCUGGUUUUUGGCCUCCGAUUCCGGCCACUUUCGGUCACUUUUUGGGGUAGGUCCAAGAACAAAAGUGGUUCCAAAUAGGGUGUUAUACCUAGGGUAGGAGUCUUGAGCCGUGGUUUUGAGAUUUCUCGGUGAUGCGUAAUCGCUUUGGACACCCAUACGCUACCGGCGCGUGUGGUGGCGCGUGGGCACUGUAGAAAUGGGGUAUUGUGUCCCGAUGCGAUCCCCUUGUUGUCACGAGUGUGUAGUGUGCUCGGAUUCCAAUUUGGUUGACAUUCGAACCCCGAACGAAUUUCUCCUAUUGCACGUUAUCCGCGUUUGAUAGGUUUGAACCGUUGGAUAGUCUUGAAUUUAAUAUAUUUAAUCUAAGCAUUUCUAGGAUCGUGUAGGAAUUCACGGAUCAUGAAUCGGAACCCCGGAUGUUCCGAUUUAAUAAUUUAAAGUUUAUGUUUAUAUUAACUGUCAGAUCGUGCAAUCGUGAGCGAUCCGACCUUCCGAUCCGGACCAAACGUGCAGGACGUAUAUCCUAAACCUUGUGGAACCUAUAGGAACUUUCGAAUCAGAAUUUAGAGGUCGUGGGCCUAGUGGCCCCGUUUGACCAAGUGUGGAUAGUUUGACCCUUGGUUGACCUUGAGUCUUCCAAGGUAGUUUUCCUUCCUAGAAGGAUUAUAAUGACCCUAAUGACAGGUCUUGAGCGUUGUUGAGCCAUGUUGACUAGGUUAAGAUUUUUAGAGUGUUUAUUAUUGUCGUAGGAAACUCUUGGACAUUAUUUUAAUAAUUGGAAUUAUAAAAGUGAGUUUUGGGUUCGGCUAUGACUUUAGUGAAUGGACUUUAUUUUUAAAUGAAUAGCAUGGCUUUGUGAUGGAAUUUUUAGGCAUGUGAAUUUAAUGGUUUAUUGAAAUUCAUUUUUAUAAUUAAUAGUUAAUUUAGCAGUUUUGGUAAAGUAUUAGUGAUGUGUGGGGUACUUGGGAUUUUGUUGAGGUUUAUACAAUAUUAGAGAUUAACUUAUAUAUUUAAAUAUAGGUAUGAAUGUAUGAAAAGAGUUUAGAAUGUCAGUUUGAAGUACUAUACGCACUACCCUAGGUACCUCAUCGGAUUUUGAUUACACUAUAAGUACCACCCUGUGAUUGUCAGGUCACCCAUGGCGUAGGAUUUUCCGGCGGAAUGACAGACCCCAUACGUGACGUUGGAAUUUCCGGCGUAUGGGGAGAUGAUAUUAUGAUUGUUAAGUCACACGUGGCAUAGGUUAUCCGGAGUGCUGACAGACCCCAUAUGUGGCGUUGGAAUUUCCGGCAUAUGAGGAGAUUAUGUGAUUGUUAAGUCCCACGUGGCGUAGGUUAUCCGGCGGGAUGAUAGACCCCAUACGUGGGGUUGGAAUUUUCGGUGUAUGGGGAGAUGAUAUAAUGGUUAGGUCACAUGUGGCGUAGGAUUUUCCGGCUUGAUGACAGACCCCAUACGUGGCAUUGGAAUUUCUGGCAUAUGGGAGAUUAUGUGGUUAUUAGAGAGAUGAAUUAAGAUUAUUAUACUGAGUUGGGAACGAAUGAUGUUUGAAAAAGAUUUUGUUUGGGAUUUCUGCAAUUGAUUGCAUGUUGAUGGACUUGGAAAUUUUGUAUGAAAGAACUACGUGUGGCUUGAUCCCUUAGUAAGGGUACAUAUGCAGCUUAGGGUAGUGCCUAGGUGCAGCCGUGUGCUAAACUUUACUCAUGUUGUGUGAUGGAGAUUCGUUCGGACCUUGUUGUUAGUCCUGAAUUUUAGGUGAAAAUGAGAUGCAGUCUUGUUAGGAGGUUUAAAUUUUCUACGUUUAAUAUUUGGGAAUUUAGAUGAUGGAAAUCGCAUUUGGCGUUCAUAAAUGUGUUUGAGUUUAUAUUUGCAUUGUUUAGAGUUAGUUGGUGGUUUCGUUUCGAAUUAUUUGAAGGCCGAAGGCUGAUUAUGUGAUUUAUAUGAAAUUAUCUUGUGCAUACUGCCAGUUGUGAAUAUCAAAUGUGUUUUAUGCACGUUGAAAUUUUUAGGAUUGUUCAACUUACAGGGGAGACUGCCGAAAUUUCGGCAUAAAAUCUCGUGCCCUUAUUCCUUAUUGGGAAAAAUGAUUUAGUUUUAGAAGUGGGUUCGACAUCGGGGUGAUGUCGGGAAUUUUCACAGGAUUCAUCUCGGGUUUCGGGAAAUUCGGGUCGGGUCCUGUCAAACACCACGUAUUAGGUAAGGGUAAAGGCUCAAUUCAGGCCCAGUCAAUCAACCCAUUAUGAUAUCAUGUUAAAUUUCAGAUAGACGGGCCUGUGGCCCACCACUAGUAACAUUGAUAUUGUCCCCAACUUAACUACAUGUUUAGUAGGUGUGGAGUUCUAUACAAAAGAUCUCGAUGUUUUUAGGAGUGAAACCACUUAUUAUAAGUUGUAAUUUAUUUAGUCAAGUUUCCAGUCAACCUGACUUUGAUACCAUGUUAAGAUUUUAAAGGGACGAACUCUUGGCCCACCAUUAGCAAUAUCGACAUUGUCCCCAACUUAACCACCUGUUUAACAAGUGUGGGGUUUUAUCCUAAAGAACUCGAUCUUAUUAAGAGUGGAGCCAUUUAUUAUAUGAAACUUUCUAUUUUGUUAACUCUGUGUAUUCUUCAUCAAUGUGAACACCCCUAAACCAAUCAUACCUGAUACGGAUUGAAACACAAGUUUGUUUUUUGCCUUUGGUAGAUGAGUAGCUAGAAAAGCUCAAUGCACUUGCUCUUCUUCUGCUACAUUUCAAUAUAAGAACAAGGUUUGGAAGCCAGGUCAACUCCUCAUAGUUUCCUUGCCUUUGCUUUGACAUGUCUAUGCACUUCUUGGGGAAGUUUGAAUAAUCAAUUGCAGGCCCCACGACAACUAAGGAACCAACAUUUUGUAGAAGGUUUUGUCUACACCUUUUGACUAUAAGUAAAAUCUUUUGUAUCUGCUCUUAUGUUUCGGUGAAGUUUCUAUGUGUCCUUUGUUGAACGAAAAAAUGAGGUUGUUUCUUACUAGAUUCAAAUACUUAAAAGAAAAAAAGAAAUUAUUGUUUCUUAAUUGAUUUUAUGGUGAACAAUAUCAAACUCUCCUCUUAUACGUCUUCUUCGUUGGACUUGGGGUUGUUUUCCUUAUAUGUCCCUUAUAUAUAUAGGGCCUUUGGUUGAGCCCACAAAUACCUUCAGUUAGUUUUUGGGUUUAGGGGCCUACAGAACCUGCACUAAACAAUAAAAGAAAAUACCUAAUUAGUUUAGUACGAAUUCUAUAAUGAAGGCUUUAUUAGGUAAGAUUUUAUUUCUUAAUCGUUAGAUCAAAUUUGACAGGACCCGUUCCUGAAUUUCUCGGAAAUCAGAGCGAACCCCGUCCUUGUUUCGACAUCACCCCGAUGCAGGGUCCACUUACUAAAAACCGAGACUUUCUACCAAAAUUUUGAUAGAAUCUCCCUUGUAAAUUGAGCAAACCCAACAAAAAUUUCAGCCUGCAACAUACAUAAAAAUAAUCCCAACCAGCAGCAUGCUUACAACAUACAACAAAACGUACUAAAUGGCCUCCGGCCUCACAAGUAAAAUUUAACAUGGGUAAUCUACUGAUGUAAACGAUUCGGCCUUCGAACACUGCUUGCAACCUUCCUGAAGCGACUACUGGCUAAGGGGCGCAAAACAGAAAACAUGUGAGUGGACAAAAACAAGAUUCAAUUAAAACAACAUAGUAACCCCACCGUGUAAAAAUAAUGCUCAAGACAUGUAGGUUUACAAUUCAUAAUUAAAUAUUCAAAAACAAAUUUCAUUUAAAAUUCUUUAAAACCACAAAUCACUCCAUCCAUAAAACCUCAUGCCCACAAUUUUACUGCUCCUACCAACCCACUGUAUAGACUCUAAUUUCUUCACAAUCACAACUAUAUAUAAAUAUAUAAAUUGUAUCAUACAACAUACUCCUCACACUACUUAGGUACAGGGGAAACAAUCCAACCGGAGGAUCGUUUAACUAGCCCGCAGGAUUUUCAGGUGCUAUCCUGAGUCUAGGAAUGAGUGGUCCAACCAGGGGACGAAACUCUAUAGCUCACACACCGGAACAUCCAACGCCACGUGUAGCUCCAAUACUAAGUCCUACAGGCACAGACUGGAUCACCACACACCGGAACAUCCAAUGCCAUAUGUGAUAAUCCCAAGCAAUAUACAGAGUCUUCCCAUACGUCGGAACAUCCAACGCCGCGUAUGGAAAGUGUUCACACGCCGGAACAUCCAACGCCACGUGUGGGAAGCCUAUUAACUGGGGAAAGUACUUACAUAGUGUAAUCAUACAAUUUCUCUCAACAACUCCUCAUACUCAAGUUCUUCCACAAACUCACCUCAACAAUCCCAAGUACCCCACCUAUAGACAAUAUAUAUAUAACUUCCCCAAAAUCUAUACAAAACAUACUCUCGAUAUCCAAAUAUGCCAAACUCACAAUAUAUUGCCAAAGUGCAAUACAAACAUCAAAAUCAACACAUGAAUAUAAUAUAUAUUCAAUAUACCAUUUAAAACAUUAUGCGUAAAUCUUUCAUCAAUAAAACCAUGCGUAUGAUUGAAAACAAAGUCCACUCACAAGUAUUCCUACGCUGCUUGACCACGAGAGAGUCCUGCCUGCUGAGUACGUGCAGUAGGAGCACCUAUUUUGAGAUACAAACCUUUAAUUAAUAUAAAAUUACUUCAAAACGGAAAACACAAAUUAAAUACUUAAAUCCCCAAGUUCCCAGUACAUGUACGUUGAACGAGGUAUCCUAAGGUCUAGUUACAAGUUUGGGAAUCGCUCACGAUUGGACGGUUAUCGCUAACCCACAAAUUUUGAAUUAUUGAAUCGGAACAUUCGGGGCUCCGAUUCACGAUCCGUGAAGUCCUACGUGAUCCUAGGAAUACCUAAAACAACAUAUUUUAAUUGGAAAACGCACAAUAUGCGAAAAUCCGUUCGAUAGUCAAACGAUGUCCGAAUUGAGAUUCGCAAAAUGCUACGCACUCGUGACAACCUGAGGAUCUCAUCAGGACAAAGUGCAACUUCACCACCCUCACCCACGCGCCGGCAGCGCGUGGGUGUGUAGAGUAAAUUCCGGCGAUGGAAAAACUCCACACCUACUUGAGGUCAGGAUCUCAUCACUCAACUACAGGGAGGUUCAAUUAGGACGGCAACUGGCCGGAAUUUCACUUUGAAAUCCAGCCAAAACUUAGGUUUUCUAAUCGGUUCCUAGACAACAAAUCGAUCUAAACCUAUGCAACAGUCAGCUAGACUAAGGAAAAAGAGGAAGAAACCUCACAUUUUUCACUGGAAUCGGAAGGGAGAGGCGACGGGGCGACGUCGGGAAGACUCGGGUUUGAACCAGUCGAUGCCGUUGACGAUUCUCGCAUUUUUCGGGGGGACUUUGGGUGGUUCGGGUUAGUGGCUUCACGACGAGUCGAACGGGACCGGUCUCGGGGGCUGGGGUGGUCGGGUGUGGUGGCGGUGUGGUGGUUUUCGUCUCGGUGAACAGUAACAGGGGAGGGUUUCGCACGCGCAGAGAGGGACUCGGGAGAGAGAGAGAGAGAGAGAGAGAGAGAGAGAGAGAGAGGAGAGAAAAGAAAAAUUAGAUUUUUACUCUCCUCUUUUCAAAAUAUUUACAAGUUUGCCACUAAUGAUGUUUUGAUCGCCAUUUUCUUGUUACAACUCCGAUUCAAGCCUACCGCAUGUCUAGGAAUUCAUCUCAGUACCACCUACCCAAAAUUACCAGUCAUGGUCCCAAACUCUUCCCGUAACAGAAAAUGACUAAAAUACCCCUACCCCAAGGGUAAAUUCAUAAUUUCACUUAAAUAAAUUAAAAAUAGGAAUCAAAUUUGGAGUCGGGGUGUUACAAAAUUGGUUAGUACGAUCCAACGGUUAAUAGAUAAAACUUUACAUAAAAGUCAUAUAUAAGGCCCUCACUAUAGAAUGACUCGUUAGUUUAGUCUCUUGUUACAUAUCAACUGUUAGAGAUAUUUUUUUAAUAAGGAUCUACCAUACCACAUAGUUGGAUAAGACAUUAUACACAACUUUUGUAAGAGCAUCUCCAGCGAGCCAGGCCAGCCCAAGCAGCAAGGGGCCUUAAGCCCGGUAAGCAGCUCCAGCGCUCAAGAUUCAGCCCAGGCAAGGUGUGGAACCCACAAGGAGAUCUGGCCCGUCACCUUGCCUUUGGGUUUCAGUCAGGCUGAUGUCAACGAAAGAAUUUCAAAAAAAUUUUGCCGUUGCAAUGCACGCGCCAACGAUAAAUUUUCUUUGGAUUUCUUGCGUUGAUCCACAGCUACCAAAAACCAACGGCUACAAGCCACGUGGCUUCUCCAAGAGCCUCUGAUCCAAAAAUCUUGUCAAAUCUAACGGCUGUCCAUUUUUUGGCUAAAAAAAUAUCAAAAAAUUAUGGAAACAUUUUCUAUAAAUACCUACAAAUAUUAUUCACUUCCCACACCAAACCUUCAUACAAAUUCAUAUCCUUUCAAUAUUUUUCACUUUCCACACAAGAUUUUCUACUACUAAAUUUCAUUUGUGUAAAAAUACAAGUGGCCUCUUCUAUCAAAGCCGGAGGCGCGUGGACAACCGUGGAAGAUAUUUUGUUGUGUGAGUGUUGGGUCAAAGUUGGUCAUUGCCCGAUCACCGGCAAUGAGAUGAAGUCCUCUCGUAGGAGUUUCUGACAUCGCAGCGAAAGUAAGAUGUGAUAUGAGAAUGUAAGGAAUUUGAUGAGAGGAAUGGGAUUUGAGGAGUUUGAUGUAGGAAUUGAUGUUGAAUUGGAUUUGGGAGGUAUGUAUAUAUGAUUUGAGAGUAUGUGUUUAGGGAUUUUGAUAGGAGGAUUUGAGGAAUUUAGAUUUGAGGGAUUUGGAUUUGGGGAAUUUAAAUAUGAGGAAUUGAUUUAGGGUUUGGGUUUGAAUAUGAGAAAUUUGAUAUGAGAGUUUAGAGACAACUGAUGAUUGAUUGCUCUAAUACCAUGCUAAAAUAUAAAUAUGGUUUGAAUACUUUAGGUUGAGUUUUAUUCUUUUCCAUAAGGAGGUAUAUAUAGCAGUUUACAUGAGUGUUUUACAAGGAAAUAGAUACAGUAAUCAAUUAGGAUAAUAUCUCCUAAUUAUACAAUAAUUUGUCAACUAUAUAGAAUAGGAAAGUAAAUUCCUUAAUUAAUCAAGAAAAUAAAUCUCAUUGAUUAAUUAAGAGACUAACGUCAACAUUUAUAAGCCAUGGAAGAGCAGAAAAAGAGGUACUUAGGAGAUUUUAUACGUCGGACUAAGGUAAGCUUAAAGGACUAUAUCAAAAAAAUAAGGGACCAAGAAGCAAGACUGAGAAGUUGUUAUGCAAACCCAUUAAGUUUAGCAGUGAUGAAUUUGUAAAAAUCAUUCUAGUGGAUGCUGCCUUCACUAUUGAGUUCUUAUUGAGGUUCUAUCUGAAAGGAUGUAGACAUGAAGGAGACCGCUUAUUAAACAAAUCAGCUCCCAUUCUUUAUUCUUGAGGAUCUUUAUCACACAUACAUAAUAACCGACUCUUUUAGGAAUUAUUACAGUACUCAUGAUCAUGAGAGGCUUUCAAUAAUUAAUAUUUCUAAGAAUUUCGUCACAGCUGGAAUAUUGAAUUUGGAGGGGAAGGGAGACAAAUGGAACAGAAUAUCAUCUUCUUCUAGUGUUGGAAAUUUUAUAUUAUUUAAUAAUAUUUAAUUUCUAUUGUGAAUGAAAAAUAAGUUUCUUUAAGAAACGUGUGUCUUAGGCCAGUUUUUCUAACUGGUCGGCUUCCUUAGAUUUGUGCCUAUUGCUUUUCAAAGUAUAAUGAUGCAAUGGUUGUAUCUCGUUCAGGCAAAUGGAAGGUAUAUAGCAAUUUAUAGAACAAUACAGUAAUCCAGAAGAAAUAUUAUGAAAUGAAAAGAAUAAAAAGUAAAAAAAGAGAAGGAAAGGAAUUCCCACCUGCAAUGUAUAUGUAUGAAAGGAAGGACCAAGUUUGUUUUAAAAUGGUAAGAACAAGUUGAUUUAUAAUUGGGUUCAGAUCAACUCAUGGAUUUCUUGCCUUUUCUAUUCUCCUUCCUUGGACAUGAACUGUUUAAUCUUGGCUCUUCCCCAUCAUGUUGGGCCUAUCUUCUUCUUGAGGAUUGUAUAGGCCCAGGAAAUGCUUCAAGAUAGUUUUUGUGUUUUGGGCAUUGGGACCUAACUUCACAAAAAGAAAACAGAUUUGGCCAAAAAACAAAUUUGAAGGACAUUGAAAUUGUACCUGUAGGAUAGGUUAAAACACUGUAAGGGAGGUAAAUAGUACGUUUACAUAGUUUAAGUGUAAUAAAGGAAUAAAAACAUGCCCAGAGGAUUGAUAAGUGAUAUCAAUUCUUGAAUAUAGAGAACGUAAAAUAAAGGAACACGUAUAAAAUUAUUUUAUGUGGUAAAACCCCAUCUCUAGGGAAAAUCCACGGGACUUCUUAGUCCAAAACAAAUCUAUUAUAGAACGAUGAUUACAAGAAGUACUCACACACUUAUCCUAGACACAUUCUAGAUAAUGUUUACUGACCUCUUCGUAACUCAACUUCUGUCACAGGAUGAUCUUUCGACACUUCUUAUGUUGAACGCAAUACUAGUCACGAUUUCUUUCAAGCUCAUUGGAGAAAAACCGCCACAACAGUCUCGGUGCCCUCAAUCUUAUGAGUCACUGAACAUGCAAAUGAAUACAAUAUGAAUGAUAAAAGUGUUUGAUAAAUCACCAAGUUAUGGAACACUUGAUGAUUUAUUUCAAGUAAAAAUUCAGCUUUCCAAAGUUUAUGAAUUGAAAAUAUGAUCGUUAAAGCUCUCUAAACAAAAAAAACGAAGGUCUUAUUUUAUAGACUUUUUCUUUACAAGAAAGAAAACACGUUGAAAACCAAAUCUCCAAUUUCAAGGCUUGACAGAAAAUCACAAAAGUAUCUUUCCUAUUCUAGAGAUUGGUCACAUGAAGUCCAACCAAUAGGAAAUGAGAUAUUUAAGAAAGGAAGAUUUUGAUCAAUAUCAAUAUCAAAUGAAUUCUUAUAUGCCUAGUCAACUAUUAAGGGUAUCUUAACUACUUGAUAUUAUGAUAUGAUUGAAACAUGAUUUCCACGUUAGAAAAUUAAGGGGAUUUUAAAACAUGAAAGUAAUAGGAGAAUCAAAUUGAUUUGGACCAAAAUUGCCUAAAAAGAAAACACUCCUAAAUAAACUUCAAUUCACUUUUAAAAACAGUAAAACUUGAUUGAAUCGUUCUUUAAAACAAUUCCCUAAUAUACAUGCAUGAUAGUGACAUCACUUACCUCUGAAUCAGAUGCCUUUUACGAGUCAAGCCACAAGUUUGUGUUUUGGGGAUUGCUGAGCUGCAUCAAUCCUGCCAAUGUCAAUUCUGCCCCUAGGCUCUCUCAAAGCACGUUUACAAUCUAUGCUAAUAUAUACUAGAGUUUAUGCUAGUAUCUAGAAAAUGCCAACACUAAUUUCGUAACACGUAGAAAUUGUUAGAGAUUGGAAGUUUUUUUCAUUUUUUUCUUCCAGACUCUCCACCACUCACUAAUACAGUUUACUCAUGUGAUGAAUUUACAAAACCUAUUUCUCUACUCUCACAAAGACUAUACUUAGGGGGGGUGUAUUCAAUUAGGAGUCUAGAGCGUUUAAAAAGAUUUUGUUUAAGUGCCAGCUUUCAUAGAACUUGAUGGAACUUUAUAAUUCGUAUAGAACUUGAUAGACUUUCAGAAGACUUCUGUAUAAUUUGUUAAUAAAACUUUCUUAAGCUUUCAUAGAACUUGAUAGGCUUUUAUUCCAGAAUUAUGUAGACAGUAUAUUUCAUUUUAUCCCCAUCCUUGUCAUUUAAAGAAAGAAACUUGAAUGUUUUCAAUCAAAUUUGUUUUUGUUACCAAAGCAAAAACAAAAAGUACUUGUUUGCGAAGGAAGAACAUAUGCACAGUUCAAAAUGAAAAGAAUAAGAAGCAAAGUACCUAUUGGACCAAUGAAUGCUGUGUCAACUAGAGAAGCAAUUGGAUCGGCUGUCAAAGCCAAUGCUACAGGCAAUGCAUCGAUGGUCCAAAUUGCAAUAAAAAAUAUUUUGUAUAAUGGUUCUUGCAGACAAAGACCACAUAAAUUCUGGACUGGUCCAGCUUGAAUAAUAAGGUUAGAUUAGCCGAUGGAUGAGAGUAAAAGCAAAGAAAGUUGAUGAAUUCAUCACCAAUUAUUUAAUAACUGUAACAUCCCACAUUGACCAACGGAGAGGGGGUGAUGUGCCUUAUAUGUACAUGCCCACUUCCAUCUAGCAUGAGUCCUUUUGAGAGCUCACUGGCUUCGGAGUCAUGGGAACUCUGAAGUUAAGCGAGUUGGGGCUAAAGCAAUCCCAGGAUGGGUGACCCACUGGGAAGUUGCUCAUGAGCUUUAGAAACAAAAAUCAUGAGGGCAUAAAGGGAGGCCCAAAUUGGAUAAUAUCGUGCUACGGCGGAGCCGAUCCCAGGAUGUGACAAUAACCAAUAGAGUAUUUAAACAUAAACAACAAUGUUUGAUAAACAAAACAAAUAGUCCAAAUAUUAUCCAAAAAACAAUUCUAAAACCAAUCAUUCCAAACAAACUAGUCAUUCCCAAAAACUCUCAAAAAACCCACUCAUUCCAAAUUAUAGGAUAUCCAAUUUGAGCGCUCCUCAGGAGACAUUUUCAAAAAUGCAUCCUUUUUUGUGUUACUAUGCAACAAAGAGAGCGCUUUAUAAUGAGCACGUUCAUCCAAAUUUGAGGUCUCCUUAAUGGCAUCCCACAUAUAACUCUGCUGCUCUCGCUCUUUUCCCCUUUUUGCCAAUAGGUUAUGGACCUCCCGGAAGUCGGUGACAAUUGAAUCAAUGCUAAGGCUAAUUCUUCCCAUAGCUUGUUGGGUGGUCACAUUUGAGAUGGCAUUCCCUUCCAAAUCUAUUCUAGUUCGUUUCCUCUAGUAACAAGCAUAAAUCCUAGUAACAAGCAUAAACCCUAAUCCCAACCUAUAACCUAAUAACAAGAAAAACACGAUGAAAAAAAAAUCAUGGAAAAAGAAAACCCAACGAGGUAUUGAUCAAAAAAAAAAAUAGGGAGCAUACCUUCACAGAUGGAGGAAGGAAGCUGUUUGUCUUCACAGAGAGAAAAGCUAGGGAAAGAGAAAAACGUCUGAUGAAAUACUUUGGGGGGAGGUUGGAUUUCUUUUGGUCUUUGAUAUUUAUAACUCUCCCCUUAAAACCUACAAAAAUUUAUCACUUAAUGAAAUCCUUCCAAAUAUAUGACCUUUCGAAUACACCUAGAUUUGAUUCAACUUUUUUAUAAUCCUAAUUGAAUACACCCAUAUUUGAGUGGACUUUUUAAAAGUUCAUAUAAGUCCGAAUUGAAUACACCCAGACUUGUAAAACCUCUUUUAAAGUUUGUAUAAAUCCAAAUUGAAUACACCCGGAUUUUUAAAAUAUUUUUUAAACGCUUUAUAAUCCUAAUUGGUACAUCCCCCUUAUUCUCAAAAGACUAUAUCACUUUACCUCUAUCUCUGUGAAAUGUAAAAAGUUGAAACUUUAAUGUCAAACCUCGACAAAAGAUGAACUUCCAUCAGUUGCGUUGAAUUUGGAUUUGUUGAACUAAAGUGGUUUUACUUUCUCUGUCAGUGUUUGAUGACUUAAUUUGGUAUUUACUUCUUUUUUUCCUUGGAAAUGUGUUCCACCAACGUGAGGAAGAAAAAUGUGCACAAAUUAAUAUAUUUAAUAAAAGCCCAAGAUUUCGGAAGCACAUAAUUUCUACAAAAAUCUAGAAAGUGUUCUACUUUACAAACUUCUUAUGUCUAUCAAUUUCUACUAAAAUUAAUUUCUCUGUGGUGCUCAGAUUCAUCAUAUGUGUGUCCUUAAUUUUAUUGGAAAUUAGAAGUUUCCAUAAUUUUUAUUUUUUGGGAAUUUUCUGAACCAAGAAAAAUCAAGUAAAAUUAAUAAAGCUUAAAUUGGAAAGGGAAAAUAUCUAGAGGACGCAUUGUAGGAUUUCUCAUGCCGAUAAUUGUACCCUCUAAAUAUAUAGGGACAUAUUUUUUUUGUUUUCAUGACAUGUGGUCCUAAAAUUAUUGUUCCUAGCGGGCUCUCCACCCCCUCUCAAAUUUACGUGGUCCAUUAUGAUUAACCAUAUAUUUUAUUGACCAUCCAGCUGUGAGGUUUUAUCCCAAAAACCUUAGGUACAUUUCUCAAUUAUGUCUGAUACAUCACAUCAUGCCACAAUUGUAUAUUCACAAUUAUGUCUGAUACAUCACAUCAUGCCACUUGCCUCAAAUGAAUUUAAGUGAGUGUGGCAGUGGGAAGUAAUUACUUCUAGGUGCCCCUCAUCAUUCGUCUAUAAAAUGGUGAAGCCAGUGGCUAUAAGAGCCAGCUCCAACUUUCUUUUAUUCGUCUAUAAAAUGGUGAAGCCAGUUGCCAAGUUAAUUUCAGUCCUAAUGGGGUUUCAUCUCCCACUCAUCUUUGCUAUUCUCAGUGUAAGCUCUGCAAUUUGAUUAACUUUUCCAUUCUCUCUCAUUGUACUCUAUAUAAACGAAAGUUUUGUGUUCCUAUAAUUCUCUUUGAUUUUAUUUAGUACGUACUUAAGUGUCGUCCACUAAUUAAUUACAGUUUGUGAGAUUUGAUUUUAAUUAGAGUUCGAAUUAAUGUUGCAGCUAGCAGUGGUUGCACUGGCAAACCAUGCUGCUCAACCAGCACCUCAACUUUACUGGAACUCCGUCCUGCCAAACACACAAAUGCCAAGAUCUAUCAGUGAACUUCUGCAUCCUGGUUUGUGUUGAGCUCUUUAGAAUCUUAGAUAUCUCUUCUACCUGCCAUUUUACUAAAAUAUGUUCGACCACAUAUUUAUCAGUUAACUACUGUCAUUACAUGAGUGACACUUAUUCACAAAUCGGCUGAUCACUUAUUUUCCAUUUUACAUGAGUGAUAUAUAAUUUGCAGACUCCACAAAUGAAGAAAAUAUCGUGAAUGCUGUUGGGAAUGGAAAGCGCAAACCUGAAAUUUUCCCAUUGAGAAAUAUAAAUUACGUUCAAAGCCAUUAUGGAGUGUUAAAUAGAAAUUACGUUCAAAGCCAUUAUAAAAAACGUCCUCCUCCACCUGAAAAUAUCCCAUUUGCAAAUCGAAAAAAGUACGCACUAGGUUCUCCUCCAUCUGACAAUCAACUACUCCAUUAUAAAGAGUUAGCUAUUUUCUUCUUCGAGAAGGACAUGCGCCCUGGCGCAACAAUGAAGUUCCAAUUCCCUAGAAAUUCAAACACGGCUACUUUCCUGCCACGCGAAAGUGCUCAAUCGAUCCCCUUCUCCUCUAACAAACUACCAGAAAUUUUCAACCAUUUUUCAGUGAAGCCAACAUCUGUGGAAGCCAAAACAAUUAAGCAAACAAUCGAAGAGUGUGAAGCUCCAGGCACUAAGGGAGAGGAAAAAUAUUGCGCCACAUCUUUAGAAUCAAUGGUUGAUUUUAGCACUUCGAAGCUUGGAACAAGAAACGUUGAAGCAGUCUCGACGGAGGUAUUGGAAAAAGGAGCCACCAUGUCCAUGCACAACUAUACAACAAUGCCGGGACUGAAGAAGUUGGCAGGUGACAAAGUCGUUGUGUGUCAUAAGGAGAACUAUCCCUAUGCUGUGUUUUUCUGCCAUGCAAUAAAACAAACAGCAGCUUAUGUUCUCUCCCUGAAAGGCGAUGAUGGGGAGAAGGUUAAAGCAGUAACCAUCUGCCAUCUAGACACAUCAGAAUGGAACCCAGAGCAUUUGUCCUUCCAAAUCCUCAACGUUAAGCCCGGAACCGUUCCCAUCUGCCAUUUCAUUUCCACUGAUGCUAUUGCCUGGGUUCCAAAACACAAAUUUGCAUGAUCAUCACUUAGCACUGUGGUGUAAGAUAUAUGAUGAGAUAAAGUUUUUGGUAUUAGUGGUCGGGUUGCCUGAAAAACACAGAUUACAGAAACUGCUUGAAAUUAACCCGAUCAUGUUUUCUCUUGUAAGACUUCAACUUGUACUCCUAAAGCAAGUUAUAUUUAUGAAGAGAUAUUAAUCUAUAUAUAUUUUAUGUAUAUAUAUAUAUAUAUAUAUAUGCUUUGGCUUUGUGGUUCUACCCAGUGUUUGAGUGUUGAAUUGUUACGUUGGAAUAGGCUGAUAAUGCGUGUAGUUAGAGAAGCCUUCAUUUAUAUCAAAGUCCUCAAACUAUCAAGAACUAAUGUAUCCAGAAACAUAUACCAAGACGCAAAACAACAUAUUUUCCAUGCUCUGUCUGUAACGCCAAAGCAAACUUCCUUUAUCACAUCAUUUAAAGGAUCAAAUUCCAGUACUAAUCUAAUCCAUCAUGUAAAGCAUACAAGUGCCUCCCUAAAUUUGUCCAUUGGAUAUAAAUGUUGAGAAAAUUAGAGUACACAACUCUAAUAUGAUAGUUGUACACAACUCUAAUAUCAUAAAGCAAACAAAAUUUCUAAGUUAGUUUGCUUUAUGAUAGUUGUUUUUUGAAGGGGUCCUUAGAUCCUAUCUCAAAAAGUUUGGCUUUUAUUAGGUUUAACUCUGGUUUUUAUCUCUACCCACUAACUUUUAUCUCUCAUUUUUAUUACCCAUUUUACCCUUUAAAAUAAAUAGGGCAAUAAACUAAAAAUUCUGAUUUAAUGCAUGUUUUACUCAUAAGAGAACUAAAAACUAAAAAUUCUAUACUCUAACACAAAAAAUGAAAACUAAAAACUAAAAUUGAAAUGGUUUCAAGCAAUUGCAUGUCAGGCGCUAUAUAUAAUGUAUUAGCCAUGGUUUGUUUAAUACGCGGUCAUUCGUCAUUUUCCCAUUCAAAAUAUUGAAAUUACGAACUACAUACCAUGAAAGAUAAGAAACUAAAAGCUUCAAGCAAAUAGAAAUGUGCUACAAACAUAGUAAUGAAGAUGUGGAAGCAUUAUCUCAGACGAAUGAUUCUGAAGUGGAAAAAACAAGAACAAAAAAGGAAGUGAGUUAAAUUUGCACCUGCUAUGUUCAAACGACAAAGUUGGUUUCCCUUUGGUCGAUUACAAGAGAAGCUCAAUGCAGCUUACUUGGUUCCUCUGGUAGAUGAAAAUAUAAUUUUUCUCCUAAUAAUAAGGGUAUAGUGCAAUCAAUGAUGGGCUGUAUAGAACAACUUUUUUGUUUUAUGUGUUUAUGUGAGACAUGUUUUGCCAGAUUGAAUUAAUGUCUUCUAGCCAUGUACCUUAUCUUUUUGCCGGGCCAUGAGUUGAAUGUAGAGGCAAAGUAUGGACUUGGGGUCAAGUUUGACUUGUAAAAUAAUUAGGAAUUGAAUGGCUCCUACGUUCAAUUAUUUUAAUUUUUUUUCCCGAGCCAUUCAAUUCCUAAUUAUUUAGAUUUUCGAUUUAGUGAGCAUCCACAAUCAUGCUCUCUAUUUUUAAGUUAAAUUUUAGUUAAAAACAUAUAAAAGUUAUUUAGGAGCUCUCUAUAAAAUUUAAACUUCAAUCGUUUUCUAUAGUUUAGGGAGUCAUAAAUGUCAUAACUCUUUUUUGAUUGGUCCAUCUCUAUUAAAAAAUAAAAUAAAAAAUAGUUAGCAUGAAAUAAAGGUUUGAAAUACUCAUUAAAUAAAGCAGCAUUAAAUUAUAGGGAGCCACUAAGAGUCCUUUCUCUCUCCUCAAGUUUAGGAGCUCCUAGAGGUCUCCCUAUUUUAAGAGGUGGAUAGGGAGUAUGGUUGGAAUUGUAUUUUUACAAUUCCUCCCUAAAAAUUUUCUAUGGAUAGGUGGUUUUAAGGAACCCAUUGUGGAUGCUCUGAUCUCAAAGAAAGAAAACCUCGAGUUUGCAAGCAAGUUUUCUACGUAUGUAUAUAUGAAAAACUGACAUUUAUGAAAAUAAUAAAUCCAUAUUUUUAUGUAAGCCAACUUUCUAAAUCCAUGUACUAUAUUUAUUAGGGAAAUAUUGGAGAAACUGAUUAUUUUGAAAAAUUAAAUGUGAAAAACUGAACAAAAAUUUGACAGGUUACAUAUUUCAACUCAUUCAGCAGCUUAGGUUGUGAAGACCUCAGAAGAGGCUAUGCAAUGAGCCUAGCUAGUGCACUGUUGAUCACUUCAGUGUUUACCGAUCUGUAAUUUUUCCAGAUUGGUUAUAUUUUCCUUUACAUAUUCUUAUAUUUUUCCCAGUUGGGGAGACUUAUAAAUAAACCCAAAAUGGGUACAAUAUCUAUACAGAAGGACAAAAUUAAAGUGUUUGGACAAUAAUCCCCUAUUCAUUUUGGGAUUGCCUAAGGAAUUCUUUUUCUGAUUUUCAAUGAUGCAAAGGACUGUUGUUUGAUGCUUGCCGUAUGGAGCUAAGAAAACUUGCUUUGAUAGUUUUGGACAGAUGCAAGCUACUGUUGUUGGUAGGGGUGGGCACGGUCCGGAUUGGUUCGGUUUUACUCUCAAACCACAGCUGAACCAAUAAGAAAAUAACGGUUCGGUUUGGUUCGGAUUAGCCUAAAAUCAUAAUGGAAACCGAACCAAUCCAAACCACUUGUAAUCGGUUUGGUUCGGAUUGGUUCGGCCGGUUUGUGCCUAACACAAAACCAUGCAUUUUUCAACCUGCUCUUACAUUAUAAUGCUAACAUUUUGCCAUUAUAUCAUUCCAUUCCAUUCCAUCAAAGGCUAAUACAACAUCAUUCCAUUUAUUCAAAGGUUGUCCAAUGUCUAGCAUGCAUCUAAGUUCACAAUUUCCAUCAAAACAAACAUAUACAUAAUUUGCAUUAACCAAGUAGCAUUACAUUUACUCAUUGCAUUCAUCACAAUUCAUAAGAGAUGAGAACGAAUCAAUUUUACUUUAACAUAUUAAACAAAUGCAUUCUUUGUAAUAGUUAAACAUUCUCACAUCAUGAAUAUCGGCAAGCUUAUAAAGCUGCUGCACCAACUUGCUAAUUGAUUCGUCUGUACCAGGAACAACAGUAGUAAUGCGAGAGAACCCCUCAACUUCUGCAUGGCCAACAGCUAAACUCUGGAAACGAGAAACCAGCUCAAUUAUAACAAAUGCCUAAAACUUCUACCUUAACAGAAGACAAAGGAGGAAAUAACAGCAGAAGGAAACCAAAUUUCUCAAUUUAAUAACUGAUAUUUCCAAAGGAUUCUUAAGUCUAAAAUUCGACCAAGACUUGAUUAACUAUUCCAAUGUCUAGCAUGCAUCUAAGUUUAUAACUUUGUUCCUUCUUUAACAAAAAGAACAAGGAGAAAAAGCUAAUAAUAAGGUAUCCUUCUUUAACAGGCAUCAAGCAUAUCACAUAAGCAACAUUUUAUAUACAUUAUUCUAUGAACAAAACUAAAUCAAAGCAAGGUAUGCUACAGUCUUUUUGUACAAUAAAAUAGAUUAACAUAUUUUAUAACCAUAAAAAUGAAAAAUUAGGCCUCAUAGAAAAUACCAUUUUAUUUUUCAACUCUCUAACUUUUUAUAUAACCAGUUAUUGGAGACAAUACAAAAAAUAAAGUAGUAGACAGAACUAGCAUAUUUUACAAACCCAGCUGAUGAUGACGAUCCACCACCAACAAUAUUCCCAUAAUCAAUCCUUGCAUAACCUGAUGGUCGAUGAUGGAACUUGGGUUUUGUAGAGAUGGAUUUCGCUGAGGACAAAUGGGUGGGUUUCGCCGAGUUCGAAUCAUGUUGGCUUGAGUUAGCGUCGAGGGAGAGGGAGAGGGAGAUGUAGCAGAGAGACAAAGAGAGAGGGAGAGGUAGCAGAGAGAGAUGGAGAAAUAAUGAGAGGGAGUUGCGGCUAGGGUUAAGAGACGAAGGAAGGGAGAUAGGAGAGAGGCUCUUCUGAGGGAGAGAGAAUGGUUAGAUAACUUAGAUGUGUCCGUGAGUUGUAGUUUUGGAGUCCAAUCAAGUGUUGCAGGGUACAUGGUACACUCUUAAAUAACCACUCAAACCUUGCCACAUGUAAACUAAAUUAAAUAAAUAAUAAAUUGAUUUAUAAUCGGUCCGGUUCGGUUUAGGACAGUUUUUAAAACUCUCAAACCACAGCUGAACCAAACCAAACCGGUUCGGUUCGAUUUUUCAAAAUGUUGACUUUUUCUUUGGUCAAAACCAAACCAAACCAAUCCAAUAUAAUCGGUUCGGCUGGAUUGACCUGAUCGGCCAGAUUGAUGCCCACCCCUAGUUGUUGGGAUGAUCUUUUCACGUGAAAUGAGGAUGACGAUACUUCUACACUACACAAUCCAACGAAUUCACAUUUCUAUUUCAGAUACAUGUAUAAACAGACAAGGCUUUAAAAUAUGGGAUGCUGCACUGUUGUUGCUGCUGCUGACACUGUUACUGUGUUGCUGCUACUGUUACUGCGCUGCUACUGGAAGAAGGACAAGGACUUCACAUGUUGCUUUCGUCCUUUGUGGAGGAGAGAGACCUAGGACUUGCAUGUCUUAGAUAUUUAAGAUAAGGGGCUUUCGUGCCAUUUUGAAAAUACUUUGGGUGUUUUUGAAAGCUGCUUGUUUCUUUUGGGUUUCUCACUAAAUUUCGCUAUUAGAAGGGAAAAUAAUAAUAAUAAAAAUACAGCUCUUAUUAGCAACAGGGUUACAAAUUCUUCUACAACACACCAACUGUUGUAAAAGUUUGAAGGUGGAGCCCACAGAGGAAGUUUCCUUGCAUCUUCCAGGAACUUUCCCUUCCCUGUAUUUAUCAAUUCAGGAAGUUUCCUUGCAUCUUCCAGGAACUUUCCCUUCCCUGUAUUUAUCAAUUGAGGAAGUUUCCUUGCAUCUUCCAGGAACUUUCCUUCCAUGUAUUUAUCAAUUCAGGAAGUUUCCUUGCAUCUUCCAGGAACCUUCCCUUCCCUGUAUUUUACCAAAACCUUAGCCUAUAAAUAGGCUUGCUCAUUCACUUGUAAUACACACCAAAAUGAAGAGAAGAAUGAGUGAGGAAAGAAAGAAAGGAAGAGAAGGAAGAAAGAGGGUGAGUAAGUAGAGAGAAAAAUAGAGUGGAGAGAAAUUAGUGAGCCACAUAUAUUGUAAACACUAAAGUUGUAGCCCUAUUAUUUUACAUAGUGGAAAAGUUACUACUGCUGCUCUCCGGGGACGUAGGCAUAGCCGAACCUCGUUAAAUACUGUGUCUCAUUUACUUUACGUGCAGCUCAAUAUUCAUACAUAUUCCAGGUUAUUUUUAUAACACGUUAUCAGCACGAGAAGCUCUCAGGUAUAAUUUUUGUGCUGCACUAUUAUCUAUACUACUAACCACUAACAAAAAUGGACCCUUGGUAAUACUAAACAUAUUAUCAGUGGGAGACCGUUACUAAUACUAACUUUUUCUUAUUUUAUUCGGUGGUGGUUUUAACCCCACAUUUAUUUACUGUAUGGUGUAGGUUUAUUACCCAUACAUGCACCUUUACUUUAUCGCAAAUUUAUUUUACCGCAUAUUUAUUUUAUUUACUGUAUGGUGUAGGUUUAUUACCCAUACAACAGUAUUUAUUUAAAAGGGUGGUGCGAGUUUAUCGUCCACGCCUUUGCUUUUAUUUAAAUGUAUGGAGCAGAAUUAGUGCCCAUACAAGCACAAUUUACUUUACCGCACAUUUAAUUUUAUUUAAAGUAUGGUGCGGGAUUAACGUCCAUACAGCAAGCAAUUUAAUUUAUGAAUUUAAUUUACCGCACAUUUACAUUUAUUUAAAAGGGUGGUGCGGGUUUAUCGUCCACGCCUUUACUUUUAUUUAAAUGUAUGGAGCAGAAUUAAUGCCCAUACAAGCACCUUAACUUUAUGAAUUUAAUUUACUGCACAUUUACAUUUAUUUAAAGUGUGGUGCGGGUUUAUCGUCCAUACCAGUAAUUUAUUUAUCAGCAAUUUAUUUUAUGGAUUAAUUGUUUAUUUAUCAGCAAUUUAUUUUAUGGAUUAAUUGUGCUGUAUGAUGAGUUUUUCCAGUAUGCAGAUCAGGACCAGAAGUUCCUUGAUCCUCAUCAUACAAUUACAUCAGGACUUGAAGAUCCUUGAUGAUGAUAUUAAAAUGAGAGCUGGCAGUCUCACCGGUACUGUAUUUGUAAACAUGUGAUUGGACUUAAAGGUCCUUGAUCCCUGACAUGUAAAUAAGGACCUAGAGUUCCUUAAUGAUGUAACAGUACCGUAUUGGUUCAUAGUGCCGUACACAUUGAUGAUAACUGUACUGGCAGAUGAAUAGAUACGUAUUCAUGACUUGAUGAAUAGUACUAUUCACAUGAAUAGUGACGUAUGCAUAAAUAUUAACCAUUUUGGGUAAACCGUCACUAUAUACAAAAGGGAACCUGCAGUUCCUUAAACUCAUGGAUGAGCAAUUAAAUGAGAUGCCAGAAGUUCCUCAAAAUAUGGACAAUUAUGUAAGGGCUUGAAGUCCCGAAAUAUGUACAGAAAAUUGUAAAAAUGUCCAUACCAUGAGAAUAUGUGGCUUUGGCCUGAAGUUCCAAAUUUAACAGUGUUGAGAACCUGAAGUUCCAACAAUUAAAUGGACAACCCUUGAGGUAUUAUUGCAAAUUGUGGUAUGCCACAUAUUUCUUUGGCAUAAGAAGAUGAUGAAUUUAAUAAAGUUCGAUUUUGUUAUAAUCGACACCUCAAGGAAGAAAUAUAUUUUGUGAAUUCCGGUUGUUAAGAAUACACCGCGAAAUGGAUAAUAUUAAUAUAAACCUCAAAUAAUGAAUUGAGACUCCCCACAUAUUUUGUUAUAUCUGGGCCGGAAGCCCAUGGAUCCAAAUAUAUGAGAGAUCCUAAACUUGAAGUUGUGGGUAUAUAGUAGUUAAUGCUCUUCACUACUAUAUUGCGAUAUUAUCAUGGCUUUUACUCAAUUCAUAUUUCAUGUCCAUUUGAAAAGGGCAAAUAAAUUCUGAGUUUGUGCCCAGGCCAUAAGUUCCGGGCUACCAUACGUUGAAAUAUGAAAUUUGGGAGAGUCGAUGUGGUUAUUUGAACCUAUAAGGCACAAGGUUCCAAAUCGUCAUUUUGAAAAGACGUAAAAACCAAAGGUGCAAGUUUAAGAAUGUGCGCAAUUAUUAUUACAGGAACAUACAACAGAUAGAUUUUUUCCACUUGCAAUGAAGGUGCAGGCCCUGUAAAAUCUAUAAAAUUACAUUAUGUUCUGGAAGCCUCUGAAGGAAGAGGACGGCGCCUCUUAAGCUUAGCCAUGAGCUUCUCAUGGUCUCCCAAAAUUCUUUCAUUGGAGACCUGCAGCAUGUCUAGCCUUCUCAGUGUAUCAACAGAGUACGAACUCACCAGUUUCAACAAGGAAUUAUUCUCUCCUUUAAGUUUCUCAACCUCCUGUUGAGACUCAUGAAGCAUUCUUUGGAGAGACGAAUUUUCAGUUGUUAAAUUCUCAACCUCGUUUGCUCUGGCACGCAAACGAUCAGCCAUGUUAGAAACAGAAACAGCACUCUGAAUGCUAAAAGCCAUUGAGUCAUCAAUAGCCUCUUCCUCUGAUCUCCCCGUCAACAACAUUUCAUCCAUUGGAGUAAUGAAAUUCCUAGCUACUAUGACAGCAGUAGCAUCAUUCAUCAUCACAGAAUCAUUAACUGUGAGAUGACGAUUUUUGGAUACAAAGGAUGGACGCCAAACUUGGGCGUCACUGGUAGUUGUGGGAGUAUCAUUUAAAUUGAAAUAAUUUGGGCAGGAAGAAGAGGAAGCCAUUUUUAAGAAGGUUUCGAAGAAAGCCUUAGGAAAACUAAAGUUUCAUAAAAUGAAGGAAGUUAAGUUGAAACGCAAUUGCUCCAAUCAAGUUUUGCAAAGGCAAUAUCUAUAGACGAAAAUAUGGCAAUAUCUUCAGGAUUCCAAUAUCUUCUCGAAUCCCCAUAUUAUCUUUUUCUUUCCCAGAGUCCAAAACUUCACGUGGCCUCUAAUAAUGCCUGUCGGCACUUUCGGCGUUUUUCAAAGUAUUAUUUUCAAAGCCGAUCUUGCUUUACGGAUUUCACGGAACUACUUUUUCAAAAGUAUCCCGAGAAUCUCGCAAUUUUCCUAUGGUUAAUUUGAAAUUCACCGGUUCUACCUAUUUAUUGUAUUUAUGUAUAAAUGUGUUACUAACGAAAUUUUCUUUGCAAAAGACAUCCAGUUUUCUCCAUACCUAGUGAUGCGAUAUCUACUUAUUUUUCUUAUCAGUGAGCACUUAAUAUGCCUGAGAAGCAAGACUAUCUCUGAUCAUACAUUCAGGAAGCAAGACUAUCCCUGAUCAUGUUUCCGCUACAUUAGGGAACUGUGAAGGUGACCUUAUGCUCCAAUCUCCUGAGGUCUUUCUAGACUAGGAGAAAUGAGAGCUUGUUGUUUGCUCCCACCAGCUUCCUUCCUUGAUUGCUUACCUUACCUUGCAAUCAAUAUCACAAUCUUUUUGCAUUUUUUCUCUUUUUAUAACUCUCUGUUCAUAAGAGAUUUUAUUUCUUUAGAAUGAACAUCUGAAGAAUGAAUCCAUGAAGUAAUCCUAACUAUGAGGGUUAUUUGUUUUGACAGAGGCAAAAGAGUUGUGAUUUUUGCUCUUGCAGGAUAUAACUAGAUCAUCAAGCGCUACAUUAUAUUUACUGGGCUGAUAUGAGCUUGAAUGAUACUUGAGAAAAGUUUCUCCCACCUAAGGAUGUAAGCAAUACUUGUGUUAUUUUAUGCUUAUAUACCUAUUUGAUAUUUUAUCUUGAAAGGUAACUAAAUGGGGAGAUAAGUCCGUUCCAAAAGAAUGACUUGUAUGUAUCCAUGAAUUAUUAAUGCAAAUUUUACAGAUUGCAAGUUGGAUACAUUGAUAAUACACUGCACAGAUUAAAGUCCCAUAAGAACAGAAUAUGGGUAUAGCAGUGAUCAAUAUGAUGCACGCCUAUUGCGUAGCAAAUGAUAUGGAUUGAAGUCCCGAAAGGACAAUCCUUUGACAUUUCAAUAUUGAUAUUAUGCACGCCUAAUGCGUAGCAAAUUAUAUGGGUUAAAGUCCCAUAAUAUGGGUUAAAGUCCCAUAAAUUAAUUGACAUGUAUGUAUUAAUCUGUGGCAUGCCUGCAGCAUGACAGAUAUAUGGGUUCUAAAUGUUCCAACUCCCUAAAUGGAGAUUAUCCACGCCCUACUAUAAAAUAACGCUCCAUUGGAGGUUAUAAUCCACAUUCUCACAUAAUAAAAGCCCCCUGCAGUGGCUUGGGUACCCAAAAGCAAAGAAAUGCUUAUAAUUGAUGCAUGCGCAUGCACAUGAGAAUGGUGGGAUCAUGAAUUGAUGAAUGACAAUUUUUGAUCAUGAAUUGAUGAAUGACAAUUUUUGGUUUUAGAGUAGCUACUCAAAUCAUCAAUGGGCUGUGUUGAUUGGAACCACGUUCAAUUAUUAAAUGUCGACAAUAUCAUUGGCCAAAAUGGAACGAGGUAAUUCCAUUAUAAAUGAGAAUGAACGUGAAAGAACAAACCCACAAUACGAACCCCAAAAUUUGUUAAUACUAAAAGUUAUACUUGGGUGUUCGGAAUAAAAGGAAAUAUAUCUACUUUGUAUGACACACUGUUUCUGGCAGAAACAAGGAAUGUUGGGUUUUCUCCAUAUUUACAGAUUCAAUUGUGCCCCCCUUAUUACACAAUUACGGAGACCAACAUAUUAUCUUUAAGGGUUAUUAAUGCACAGAGCAUAUCGCCAGAAGCGAUUUCCUAAAGAUGUAUAAAUAGCUGGGUAAAAGCUAUAUAAUGUGUCAUAAAGUUUAAUCCCUUUUAACCAAAAUCUGUUGAGAGGAUUGAUAUUGCAUAGAGCAAGUCCCUAAAGAACAUGUGCUUGAAGCACAAAAUUUGUACUCAAUAUUAAUAUGCAUAAAUUACCUCAGUGAGUACAUUGAUUAUAAUGUGAUUGCAACACAUUAAAGCUUCUGCAGAAUUCAUGAAAUAUUUGUCUCGAUCGAGCAUUAUGCCAACGAGAUUCUUGCUUAUACUAAGAAAGUAUUAAAGUAUUUUUAUGAGGAUUAUCCGUUGGACACUUUAAUGAUUUUCCGGAAGUAUAUUGGACCGGACAUCAUAUUUUCCAGAUAGGGCUCAACUCCAUCACCAUCAUUUUGGGAUGAUGUGAGGUAUAUUUGAUGCUAUCUAAGCAUAACACCAUAUAGGGGCAUAUUUUUUUAGUGAACUUAUAAAUAGCCCAAGUGUUCUAAGAUAUGCGGACUCAGGAAAUCUCUAUGGUCGCUUACUGGAAAAAGCUAGUCAUGAAGUUUUCAGGGGGAGAUAUUCAUCAGGGAGAGCAUGGUAUUAAUAAAGACCUUCAUACACUAUUGACUCACAGCAGCAGUGUCAACUAUGAUAUUCAGACAGAUGAUCAACAGUAUGGCUUAAAGAUAUUUUGCCAAGCAUCAGGGGGAGCGUGCUGUCAAUACAGACCCUUACCCACUGUACUCUUUUUCCUUCGUCCAGGUUUUUAUCCCACUGGGUUUUUCCUGGCAAGGUUUUAACGAGGCAGUGUCGCACGCGCGUCAAUAUACACAGAAUUUUAUGUUACACGUGAUUAUGUACUCUUUUUCCCUUCGACCAGUUUUUGUCCCACUGGGUUUUUACUGGCAAGGUUUUUAACGAGGCAUAUUCCAUAUCAUUUGUGGUCUCCAAGGGGGAGUGUUGUAAAAGUUUUAAGGUGGAGCCCACAGAGGAAGUUUCCUUGCAUCUUCCAGGAACUUUCCCUUCCCUGUAUUUAUCAAUUGAGGAAGUUUCCUUGCAUCUUCCAGGAACUUUCCUUCCGUGUAUUUAUCAAUUCAGGAAGUUUCCUUGCAUCUUCCAGGAACCUUCCCUUCCCUGUAUUUUACCAAAACCUUAGCCUAUAAAUAGGCUUGCUCAUUCACUUGUAAUACACACCAAAAUGAAGAGAAGAAUGAGUGAGGAAAGAAAGAAAGGAAGAGAAGGAAGAAAGAGGGUGAGUAAGUAGAGAGAAAAAUAGAGUGGAGAGAAAUUUCUCCAAGAGAGAAAAAUUAGUGAGCCACAUAUAUUGUAAACACUAAAGUUGUAGCCCUAUUAUUUUACAUAGUGGAAAAGUUACUACUGCUGCUCUCCGGGGACGUAGGCAUAGCCGAACCUCGUUAAAUACUGUGUCUCAUUUACUUUACGUGCAGCUCAAUAUUCAUACAUAUUCCAGGUUAUUUUUAUAACACCAACAUCAAUCUAGCCCUGAUCCACUCUUUUACAUACUUGAAAACAAAACAAAACACGAAAAACAAAAAACAACAGGGAGAAAAUGGCUCCGGAGAGACUUACUGCUAAUACUUGAUCAAUAACAGAGAUAAUAGAGCACACUGUUUGUAUGGCAGUGAGUAUCAGAAGAAUAAUAGCUGCCCAAGGUGUGUUGAAAUACUUUUGUCUCAAAUUUGCCUUCCAUAUGUUCGUGGUCUUCUCGCAAUACUCGUUUAGUUUGCCAGCAAGAUCACCAAAAUAGUAGUUUCCCUGGUUAAUCAUAAUGGAAACCUUACUGUUGUCACCUAGCGUGUUUACAACAAUUCCAUUGUCAACAAGCAACUCUACAUCCUUUGGGGUGUUUACAAAUUUAUCCAGGAUGAAAACAUAAUCGCUUAAUUAUUUAUUAACGCAAUGGCAUUGUUCAAAGGCAAUGAGAUUUCUAAGUGUAAGCUCUGUGUAAUCAUGUAUUUCAAUUUUUGGAAUUUCCAAGGUGUUUUUCAAGAACUGUAUAUCGAAUAAGUUCUUGCUUGAUUCAACGUUAAACUUAACUCCGGCCUGGUGUAGUUUUGUCAUGCCGGGUGUACUUUGGAGCCCUACAUUUUCUUUUAGGGUUGGAUCUGGCAGAUGUAAAGUUCUAAUAAAAUCAACAAAUUGUACAGGUUUUUUAGGAUCAGGAGGCAUAAAAGACUUACGGAAGGCUGGUGAGUUCUCCAAGUUUUCUAAACGCAGUGCCUGUUGGAAGAACCUGUAAGAGAGUUCAAUUAUUGAAGGCUCCCCAGUCUGGGCACCUGUAAGAUUGUAAAGAUCCUCGAGAAUGAAAAAUGGCAGCUGAUUUUCUAGCAUAAGCAUGUCAGGCAAUAUAUUUUGUAGCACCCAUGGUUUUUUAAAUAUCCAAGCAUUAUCAUCCGGCAAUUUUUCUUCCUGAAAUUUUUCUUCGGAUUUAUUCCUCAACAAUAGCUCAAUGACAAAGGCGGCAUCAACUAGAAUGAUAUUCACAAAAGCGGCAAUGUUAAACUUCUUAGUGUCUUCAUAAUAAUGACGGAGUUCAACUUCUCUCUCCUUUAGGUACCUGAGUUUGUGAUCUUCCAUGGCUUCUAAGUUUUUGCUGCCAUGGUGAAGUGGGCCUAUUGAGACUACUUGUGGUGUGUAGGCCUUUUGUUUUACGUUCCGUAGUCGCUCAGGCACCCUGUAGAUACUGCAGGCAGGGGACAGGGCACGGAAGUUUGUCAACUGAUUUUCCAUGGAAGUUGCUUGGUUUUCUAUGUCAAAAGAAGCUUCAUUGCUGCUUUCUUCCACUUUCUUCCUCCGCAUUAUGUGUUGUUCUGAUUGUAAGUGACGAGGAUGGUGAUGAUUCUAGACACCAUAAUCAACAAAUGUUUCAAUCAUAAUUGACAUUUCAAGAUGCUCCGACAAAAAAUUAGAAAACAUUCAUCACAAAAUGCGAACUCAUACAACAGAUGGGUUGAGAAGAUCCACACAUUGCAAUCAUACAAUCCAAUUGAACAGGGAUUACUCCCUAUUCUCCUCUCUCUCUAAAAAAGAUUUUCAUAUCGAUAACAUCUUAUUGCAAGGGACUUGUACAUCAAGUGGUGAAGAACAGAAAUUCAUAUUCUUUCAAUCAACAAAUUUCGAAGAAGUUUGUUUGUUUUAUUUUUGGGGGAAAAAAAUCUGAGCAUAUAUAGAUGCAUAUUAUACGUAGACCUAAGGUGAAAACAUACCAGAUUUUUACUCCAUUUUUCAUGAGGUUUAAGUUCUUGAUGUAUAUAUUUAUCUCAAGUGUAACAUCCCACAUUGAUCAACGGAGAGGGGGUGAUGUGCCUUAUAUGUACAUGCCAGCCUUCAUCUAGCACGAGGCUUUUUGGGAGCUUAUUGGCUUUGGAGUCAUAGGAACUCUGAAGUUAAGCGAGUUGGAGCUAGAGCAAUCCCAGGAUGGGUGACUCACUGGGAAGUUGCUUGUGAGUUCCCAGAAACAAAACCGUGAGGGCAGAGAGGAGGGCCCAAAGCGACCAAUAUCAUGCUACGGCGGAGCCGAUUCUGGGAUGUGAUAAUUUGGCAUCAGAGCUACUCUGCCGUGUGGUGUGAGUGUGCCGACGAGGACGCCGAACCCUUGAGGGGGGUGGAUUGUAACAUCCCACAUUGACCAACGAAGAAUGGGUGAUGUGCUUUAUAUGUAUAUGCUUGCCUAUAUCUAGCACGAGGCCUUUUGGCAGCUUACUGGCUUCCGAGUCAUAGGAACUCCGAAGUUAAGUGAGUUGGUGCUAGAGCAAUCCUAGAAUGGAUGACCUACUGGGAAGUUGCUCAUGAAUUCCCAGAAAAAAAAAGCUGUGAGGGCAGAUAGGGGGGCCCAAAACGGGCAAUAUCGUGCUACGGCAGAGCCGAUCUUGGGAUGUGACAUCAAGAAUUUAUAUCCUCCCUUUUCAGAUCUCAUGUUCCAGUCAAUACAUAACGAAACAUAAGAAACUAAAGUCUUGUUUAUACCCAUCCUCCCACCCACCCACGGCCAUCCACCCCUACCCCCUAUCUCCAUUAAAUCUACAAGUAGCUCAUCAAUUUCUCCACCAUCCCAAGUUCAAUAUACCACCCAACAACCAUCUUACCCAUCUUCUCAUUGAUCUUCCACCCAACAUCCAACACUAUCUUCAUAAACUCUUUAGCUUAAUCUCUCUGUUGCUUUUGUUUUUUGUUUUUUAGAAAUUAAAUUUUUUAGUUUAUUUUUUUGUUGGUACAAAUUCAAUGAUAAAGAACAUCGAACUCGUCGCAACAUCCUGUUCUAGAUCCAAGCUCUACCACCAUCACAACCCUCUCUUGACCUCCGACCAACCUUAACACCCAACUUCAAAUCUAGGUUGUUUGAAACCCAGCCCCCAACAACCCCCCCAAGUCAUCCCAUUGCAACUGACUUGUAGAUGAAGUAGUAAAGAACAAAAAGUCAUAUUCUUCCAAUCAAAACGUAUCAAGUCAAACAAAAUUUCUAGUUAGUUUGCUUUAUGAUAGUUGUUUUUUGAAGGGGUCCUUAGAUCCAAUCUCAAAAAGUUUGACUUUUAUUAUGUUUAACUCUAGUUUUUUGCAAUUUUUUUUUAUCUCUACCCACUAACUUUUAUCUCUCAUUUUUAUUACCCAUUUUACCCUUUAAAAUAAAUAUAGUAAUAAACUAAAAAUUCUGAUUUAAUGCAUGUUUUGCUCAUAAGAGAACUAAAACCUAAAAAUUCUAUACUCUUACACAAAAAAUAAAAAAUAAAAACUAAAAUUAAAAUGGUUAUCAAACAGACCCUUAUAUUACAAAAAACCUUAACUGACCACCUUAUAUGGCAACUGAUNNNNNNNNNNNNNNNNNNNNNNNNNNNNNNNNNNNNNNNNNNNNNNNNNNNNNNNNNNNNNNNNNNNNNNNNNNNNNNNNNNNNNNNNNNNNNNNNNNNNUAGCAUUCUAAAAAAAGUGGCCUCAUGGCAGCAUUCAUUAAUUGACAUGGCAUGACACAUCAGUUGCCACAUAAGGUGGUCAGUUAAGGUGGUCAAUGUUGUGUGUCCAAAUAGCAUUACUAAAAAAAAAUCAAAUAUUGAACUCAUCAUAAGAGAACACAGAAAAACCUCACUGCUUGCAACUCUUACACCACCACUACACGAACAGAACAACUGCUAAUUAAAAUGAGUCACAUGUCACAUGUCACAUGUGGUACUUAACUCUAAAAACUUAUUUAGAUUAUAUAUCCAUAUUUAUAUAUCCUACUCCUCGAUCAAAACAACCAUGAAACAUAAGUGACUUAAACCUCUAGGCAAAUGGACGGUAUAUAGCAAUUUAUAGAACAAUACAGUAAUCCAGAAGAAAUAUUAUGAAAUAAAAAAAAUAAAAAGUAAAAAAAGAGAAGGAAAGGAAUUCCCACCUGAUAUGUAUAUCUAUGAAAGGAAGGACCAAGUUUGUUUUGCCUUUGGUUAAUGACUAGAAAAGCUCACUUGUAUAUUGCUUUCUCCGGCCGUAGAUGCAAGAGAAAUUUUCUCUUAAUAAUAGCACAAUGAUCGGGUAAUCGUAAGAACAAGUUGAUUUAAAAUUCAGGUCAACUCAUAGAUUUCUUGCCUUUUCUAUUCUCCUUCCUUGGACACGAGCUGUUUAAUCUUGGAAUCUUCCCCCAUCAUGUUGGGCCAGUCUUCUUCUUGAGGAUUGUAUAGGCCCAGGAAAUGCUUGGAGGUAGUUUUUGUGUAUUGGGCCUUGAGACCCAACUUCACAAAAAGAAAACAGAUUUGACCAAAAAAACAAAUUUGAAGGACAUUGAAAUUGUACCUGUAUGAUAGGUUAAAACACUGUAAGGGAGGUAAAUAGUACGUUUACAGAGUUUAAGUGUAAUAAAGGAAUAAAAACAUGCCCAGAGCACUACUACAAUUUUUCCCUGUCCUGGCAACCCUUUGUGAUCGGUAAAAACACCAUUAUUGACGGAACUUCGUCAGUAAUUGCUUCUUGACGACUGCAGCGACGAAAAUGAGUAUAGUCAGUAAAAGUCCCGUCAGUGUUACUAUUACUGACCAACUUUUGCAACUUAUUCGUCAGUAGAGGUGUGUCUCUGACACAAGUCAUGAAGUGACUCUAAAUUAUUACUGACAAAACAAAUAGCCACUAUUAAACAAGCUUUUGUCAGGAUUAUUAUUUUAGGAUGGAGUACUAGUGGCAAAGAUUUGUCAAUAUUGUUUUCAACAAAAAAAAAAAUUCAGUCAAUUUGCUUCUGAGCUGAUGCGCCUUUAGAUAUCCUUUUCUGAAAUGUCUUUUGUUUUCUAAUAUAAUGGAUGUUUUUCUUUAAUAAAAAUUUAAUGGAUUCUGAAAAUGUAAUAACAAUUAUAAAUACUCAUAGAUUGAACCAUUCAACCCCCAUCCUUAUAAAUAUAAACUACCAAUGUCGAUUACAAUAGCCAAAUAUUACAAAGUCUGCCUACAUCAGUAGAGUUCAAAAACUUUAGGUGCCCUUACUAUACAAAAGUAUGCAAUUCCAAAUAUUCAACAAAUACACUACAAAAGCAUGCAUACCCCAAUAGGGUCCAAAAUACAACGUCAGCAACUAUAUAUACCAAAAAUGCAUAACACUAAGUAACUGCAUCUAUUCAAGUCCAUGAGUACCUUGAUCUGAUUCUAAAAAGUCUGUCUCACUUGGGUAUGCAUCCCCCCUCAGCAAUCCAGUUAACCCACCAAUAGGAGUAACUGACCUGGCUUGAUAAGGCAUUUGAUGGAACAUCUGCGGCGAGUAAUAUGACAUAUGGAAUGGGUUUGGCAGCUGCUGGUACAAUGGGUGAUGCGAAGCUGACGAGCACGAUAACAUCUGCCUCAUUUCCUCAAUCUCUUGCUGGUUAUGCUUCAGCAACUCUUGCGUCGCCUUCAAUUCAGAACGCCAAUGAUCCUGGUCAUGUUUGUACCUUUCUUGUAACUCUACAUACUGUGACUCAAGGUGAACAUAGUCGUGCCCUCGCAAUCUCUUGGAUGACCCUGCUUUCGUUUGAAUCCAAGGCACCUGAUGGGGUUUCACCCCAAGUCCUUCACCACGAACACUAUUAUUUGUCUCAGGACCCAUUGCCUCAACAUAAGCCCUUCUUCGUGUCUCUAAAUUAUCAGGACAUUCAUCUUCAACCAAUUCCUUCAACUUUUCCUGCAUUUCAGCCUAACAAAAACAAAAUAUAUAUCCUUCUCCAUCAAAUUGUGGUCAUCAUAGAACUAGCCCAAUAAACUCUACAAUGAUGAAUUGCAUUAUGUAAUAAAAAUUUAGGCCAAUUAGUCUUCUGGACCUCUACUGUUUUGUUUUUCAUAUGCUUAAACAAAUAAAAGAACAUAAAGAAUAGUGAACAAGAAAAAAAAACUACCUCCAAACAACUUUCCAUAUGCUUAAAAAAAAAAAAAAAAAAAAGUCAACCAAAACAAAAUAAGAGAAACAUCCUGGACUAUGGCUAACAAUUCCUCAUGAAAAUGAACUUAUAUAUAAUUAUUCCAAUAUAUAGUCCAUAUGCUUACAUAUUUCUGCUCAGCCACCAAGUUAACCCAUGAUCGAUCUUCGUCACGCCGUGUAUGCUUAUCUUGGAAAAACCAAAUAGGAUCGGGGUCUUCACCAUGUUUCUUAUUCUUAGCAUGCAAUCAAUAAAAUAAAAUAAGAUAAUCAAUUAGCUAACACGACCUCAUAUGCUCAAUAUUUGAAUAUAGUAAAGAGUAAACAUUCAAGUGCAUCAUCAAAACUGACAUAUUGUGCUUUGCUGCGAGCAUAAGACUUUGUUCUAGAUGUGUGAUUCAAUGUUUGUUUACUCCGAUUUUCAACAUUUCUUUUAGCUUGCUCCUUUUAUUAGCAAAAACAAAACAUACUUAAUCAUUGCACAGAUUAUAUAUACUGAGUGUUGUGUAAUAAUACGUACUGCAAUCUCAUCUUUUUCCCAAUGUUCAACCAACACCCUCCAUUGAUCUGGGUCUACACGAGAAUCCCCACAUUGCCACCGUCUUUUACUUCCUGUGAAAGGCUUAUAAUAAGCUUUCUUCAAAUCACUCUUGAAACUUCUCCACAAUUUUUCAAUAUUCUUCAUUGUUACAUCCUUGAAGACAUGAAUCAUAGGUUGUUGUUCAGGACGAAAUUCAAUGGUGCCCUGCAUCCACAAUAAGGUAGUCUUACAUCAAGUUGAAAUAUACCUAUUAAACUCAAUUUCAUGCAAUAAGUAUUCAAUAAUUUUAGGAAAACCAAACCCGUAGAGUGUCCCAGACAUCAAGUUUGCAAGAGUCUGGUACUUUUUCCCAUUUUAAAUACUUGAUCGGAAUUAGAUUGGCAUCCCGCGCCAAAAUACCCAUGUAUCUAGAAAAAUGGGGACUAUUGUCACUAAUAACUCUGCCAAAUGGAGAUAAAUCAACUGACUCUUUUUUGUUAUUUAGAAACCAGUUGCAUUUCCCUUGACCUCGACCUUGCUUCGCCUCCUUGCCUACAUGAAAAGUUAAUUUUAACUGAUCAAUACAACAAGAAAAUAAUAAGAAACUGUAAGGUAAUAAGUUUCUCACACAUUAUUCAAAUGAAAAAUUAGCAUAGCUAUUUGGAGAUGAUGUGAUCGUGAAACAUCCCAUAUUCAAUACAUUUGUAUAUGAUUAAAACAUACCAAUUUAUUAAAAGAAAAAGGAAAAGAAAACCAACAUACCAGUAGCACUUAUAGAACCAUCUCCCUCUAGACUAUCCCUAAAGUCAGCGUUGGGCCCUUCUUGUGAACUAUCUUGAGAACUGCUCAUCUAAAAAAUUUGAUAUGCAUAACAGUGAAGGGGUAACAAAUUAAUCAGACAUCAUUGGUAAAAGAAACUAUUACUUCAACAUUCUAAUACAAAACAAUCUACUAAAGAAAUUCUUGUACAAUAUUCUUAAAAUUACGUAGUCCAUUUAAGCUGACAGCUCAUCAAAAUACAUGAAAAAUUCAAUACUCCAUGUCAUCAUAAAGCUCAUCCUCGUUUUCAGUAGAGAGAUCGUCUGAAGACUGUUCAUCUUCUUCAUCCUCAUUUCCGGGCUCAUGCUCAUCUACCAUCUCAUCCAUAUCAACCCUAAUAUGAAAUUCCUCAUUGUCUAGCAGCUGAUCAUCAAGAUUCGGAAUGGCAUAAUUAUCAGUAGCACUUAAAAGGGUUAUCUAUAGUUGGAGCUAGAUCACUAUCUUCUAGCACAUCAAAAAAAUCUCUUGGUUGAGUUUGGGUUGGCACAUGCCAAUGACUGUCUUCUGGAUCUACAACAUAAAACACUUGUGUAGCUUGAGAAGCCAAUAUGAAAGUGUGUCUUUCGUUUGUCGCAACCGAUUGAAACUAACCAAAGGGAAACCAUACCCAUCAAACCUCAUCCCCCUAUCACUAGCAGUAUCAACCCAAUCACAGUUAAAUAAUGUAAUUUUCCGACCAUUAUCAUUCUGUUCUAUUUGACCCCCGUAAUUAAGUUCAUAAAUCUCUUUAAGAACACCAUAAUAAUCAACAUUGCCAAUUACUGGAUUGCGAUCUCUUGCGCUUGAGUAACUAGAUGUCUCUGCACAUUGAAAUACACCACUAUUCUGAUUCUUCUUUUUAUCGUCUACUGAUUUAAUCCGGAACCUACACCCAUGAAUUAUGUGAUUCUUAUACUUGUUCACAAAUCUACUAGGACCAAUUGAUAGCCAACGCAAGUCCUCAGAUAUUGACAGAUCAUGGGCUGUGUACAAUUUAGUAACCUAUAAUUUAAAACAACAACUAAAGUAAAUAACUUUAAUUAAAAAUAUGGUGCAGCAACAUAAAAUGAAUCAUAUUACAACUAAACAUACUUACAUGAUCCUUGAACCAAGUUGGAAAUAUCUUAUUUCUCAUCCCCUCAAUUUCCUGUAUGGUCUUCCGUCGAUUACUUUGUCUCAAUUCUUGGAAGCAUUUUCUGUUUUACAAUAUAAUAUAAUGACUUGUUAGUUAUUAAUUCAUAAUUGAGGAUUGAAAAAAAAAAAUAUCAACAACUUGCUUGUUUUUAUUCAUAAAUAUCUUACUCUAAAAAAGGGGAAACUUCAUCGCAAUUGAACAAGACCACUCUGCGACAUUGGUCCCAAACAUCUUUGUCAAGAUAUAUUUGUUCAGCUGAACCCUUAGAAUGACAUGAAGAGUCAAAAACUUUUAGCUCCCCAAUGACACCACGACCAAUACCAUCAGCAUUUCGACCCUUUCGAUUCCUUCGAGUCUCAACGUUGCUAAGAUACAUGGUACACAUAGCUAAUCCCUCGUCGACAAGAUAUCCUUGUUCCAUACUUCCUUCAGGAUAACUCUUAUUCUGAACAUAUUUCUUUAAUGUUUGUAGGUAUCUAAAGAUAUGGCAAAAUUGAACAUGUUAAUUUACAAUUAAAAUGGAAAACUAGAAAUAAUAAAUAAGAUUUGAACUAAUUACCUUUCAAUGGGAUACAUCCACCGGUAUGGGGCAGGCCCUGCGAUUGCAGCCUCAUCUGCCAAAUGCAUGAUUAAGUGUACCAUCACAACAAAGAAGGAAGGAGGGAAUAUCUUUUCCAUCUGGCAUAAUGUCACUGCAAUCCGAGGUUUUAAAGCCAUGUAUGACGCUUCAUAUUCCUUCUUACUACAUAACCGUCUAAAAAUUGCACUUAGCUCAAGCAAAACAAUGGUAACAGCUUUUGGUAAUACUCGUCGUAUUGCAAGGGGCAGCAGCUGUUGCAUUAUAAUAUGAUAGUCAUGACUUUUCAAUCCGUGUAUUUUUCUCUCAUUCACAUUAACACAUCUAGACAGAUUUGCAGAAUACCCAUCAGGAACUCUCACAUUUGCCAAGACUUCGCAAAACAUUGUUUUUUCCCUUUUCCUCAUGUCAAAAAGUGCUGGAUCAAAAACUUCCUUACCUUUCCCAUUUAUAUAAGGGUGCUGUUUUCUCCUUAUAUUCAAAAUUUGAAGGUCCUUACGAGCUUUUAUUCCAUCCUUUGUCUUCCCAGGAAUAUUUAACAGUGUACCUAAAAUGUUUUCACAAACAUUCUUUUCAAUAUGCAUUAGAUCAAGGUUAUGCCGUAUCAAAAGAUAUUGCCAAUAUGGUAACUCAAAGAAUAUGCUUUUCUUCUUCCACUGAACUUUGUUACUAUUUAUAUUCGUUGUGGGAUAGGUAUUUGUAUUCCUAAUGGGACAAGAACAUUUUUUGGGUUUUCCUUGCCCAACAAAAACAGCUGACUUCUUUUUGGGUUUUCGAAAUGUGAAUGUCAAACUUGACAAUUUUUCUAAACACUGUGAACCUGUCAAGGGAAUAGGUGGAAGAGCAUGUUCUUCCUUACCGUUAAAGGCUGCUUUAUCUCUUCGAAACCUAUGUUGUAUAGGUAGAAAUCUCCGAUGACCCAUAUAACACAUCUUACUACUAUUUGCCAAAUGCAUUGAGACUGUAUCAUCCAUGCAAUGCGGACACGCUUUCUUCCCCUUCGUGCUCCAUCCUGAAAGAAUUGCAUAUGCGGGAAAGUCAUUAAUCGUCCAUAACAAUGCAGCCUUCAUUGUAAAAGUUUGGUUGGCAAACACAUCAAACGUCUUAAUACCAACCUCCCACAACUCUUUCAACUCAUCGAUUAAAGGCUUCAAAUACACGUCAAUAUUAUUGCCAGGCCCAUCAGGACCAGGAAUUAUUAACGAUAACAAUAAAUUUGGUUGCUUCAUACACAUCCAUGGAGGCAAAUUAUAAACUGACAGUACAACAGGCCAUGUACUAUGGGGUUUGUUCAUAUUUGAAAAGGGAUUAAACCCAUCACUUGCAAGCCCCAAUCGCACGUUGCGUAUCUCCGAAGAAAAUUCAGGGUAUAAGGAAUCUAAAUGCUUCCAUGCACGAGAAUCUGAUGGGUGCCUCAUGAAUCCAUCUUUAGGACAUUCGGUUGCAUGCCAUCUCAUAUCUUCAGCGGUAUGCUUCGACAUAAACAAUCUUUGCAACCUUGGUUUUAAUGGAAAAUACCGAAGAACCUUGGUUGGAACCUUAGCUGAUGUGUUCUUACUCAAAGAACCUCCCACAAUAUUGACUUUGUACCUUGAGGCACCACAAAGUGCACACUCAGUCAAGUCUGAUGUAUCUUUCCAAAACAGCAUACAAUCAUUGGGGCAAACAUCAAUCCUCUUGACUGUAAGUCCCAACUCCCUAAUGAUUUUUUUAGCAUCAUAAUUAUUUUUUGGUAAACAAUUCCCCUCUGGCAACAAUUGUUUAACCAAUUGUAACAGCAUUGUAAAGACAUUAUCGCUUCCCUAAACAUUUAAUCUGGAACAGUCUUACAACAGAAUACAAUUUCUUAUAUUUACACCUAGGGUACAACUCCAUAUCUGCUUCUUCAAGUAACUUAUAAAAUAUUUCAGCCUCAGGUGUUUGGCCAUCAAAGAUAGGUGGCUCUGUCGAAGUCCCAACAGUUUCUCCAAUUAUUGGUUGCACAAAGGCUUCAUUGAGAAAAUCAUGAAUGUCAUCUAUACAAACUUCUUCAUUAUGAACUGAUUCUAUAUCCUCUUGGAAUGGUAAAUUUGUCAUGGGCUCCCCAUGAUGCCUCCAAGGGCCAUUCAUAUAUGUGGGAUCCAUUCCUUUUUCUAUAAGAUGAAGCUGGAUGAUGUUUCUUUCAUAGUGAUAACGGUUACAACAUUUUUUGCAAGGACAUAUGACCCUCUCUCCAAAACCCACUUUGGCAAAGACGUCAUCUAAAAACAUUCUCAUUCCGUCUGCGUAUUCCUUACAAUUUCUCCUUAAAUGUACCCAACUUUUAUCCAUAGUUCACCUAUAUUGAGUGCAAGGCACCAAAUACAAUUAUUCAGCACAGAUCAUCCCUCAUACUUAUUGUCUAUAAAUUCCUAUCAGGUGGGUCAAUUUAUUAUCCAUUAGAUGACCCUCAUGACCAUCUACAUCAAUUCACAAGAAAAACCAAAUUAAAAUAACAAAAACCUGAGUCUAAAGAAUAUAUUAACUAAGAAAUUGCACAUUCAUUCAACUGAAGAAAAGAACUAUAACACCAAACAACUAGACCCACUUAAUAGCUAAAGAAACUCACGUCAUAACAACAAAGUAUACAUAUUAAACAACAUAUCAACUCAUAGAUAAAAGCCCGAUAAUCUCAAUACUAUGAACAAUCUUAUUCAAAAAUAAUAAGAUAACAGCAACAUAAUAGAAAAAAGUAAAGGGAAACACACCUGGAUUCUAAGUUUCCAACAACAAUUCAACACUCCUGCAGUAGAUUAAUACAUACAUACCCACAUAUCAAACUUCACCAACAAAUAAUAAAAAAUUAAAACAAGAGCUUUGAAAAAUCAAAGGAUUCGUGUCACAUCCCGGAAUCGGCUCCGCCGUAGCACGAUAUUGUCCGCUUUGGGCCCCCCUCUCUGCCCGCACGGUUUUGUUUCUAGGAGCUCACGAGCAACUUCCCAGUAGGUCACCCAUCCUGGGAUUGCUCUAGCCCCCAACUCGCUUAACUUCGGAGUUCCUACGACUCCGAAGCCAGUGAGCUCCCAAAAGGCCUCGUGCUAGAUGGAUGCGGGCAUGCACAUAUAAGGCACAUCACCCCCUCUCCGUUGGUUGAUGUGGAAUCUUACAAUCCACCCCCCUUAAGGACCCGACGUCCUCGUCGGCACACUCGCACCACACGGCAGAGUGGCUCUGAUACCAAAUUGUCACAUCCCGGAAUCGGCUCCGCCGUAGCACGAUAUUGUCCGUUUUGGGCCCCCCUCUCUGCCCGCACGGUUUUGUUUCUAGGAGCUCACGAGCAACUUCCCAGUAGGUCACCCAUCCUGGGAUUGCUCUAGCCCCCAACUCGCUUAACUUCGGAGUUCCUACGACUCCGAAGCCAGUGAGCUCACCCCCUCUCCAUUGGUUGAUGUGGGAUCUUACAAUUCGUUUAUAUCUUGGAAUAAAAUCAGUAUUCUAAUUUUUAUAUCUAAUUGGAAGGAUUCAUGGGUCAUUACCUACACUAAAAUACUUGAAAAAAUAAAAUAAACAAACAAAAUAAGAACAAAAAUUUCACCAGAACAGAGGCACAAAAAUCUCACCAAAACAGAGGGCCUCUUUAAUGAAGGACAACCAAGUCAGCCCCAAUUGAAAAGAGCAAAGAACCCCCAGAUUUAAUCUCUCUCUCAAUCUGAAUCAGCAACCCCAAUUGAGAAAAGCAAGGAAAACCCCCCAAAUUUAAUCUCUCUCUCUCAAUCUGAAUUAGCAACCCCAAUUGAGAAGAGCAAGGAAAACCCCCCAAAUUUAAUCUCUAUCUCUCUCAAUCUGAAUGAGCAGACACGAAAAUCACUACCACACAUGACUCCAACUCCAUUAGCUAUGAGGAAGAAUACAAUUCAUUCUUCAAUGAAAAGAAGAGGGAAGAGAUGGCCGGUUUGGAGGAAGUAGAAAAGCUCAAGUAAACAAUUGAAGUUUUUUAUAUAUCAAUAGGAAAAUUUUGAAGUUAAAAAUUAUAUUUAAGAAUAGUAUUGGCAAUCGAACUCGUCAGAAAAAAAGUUGGCUUCCUGGUGUCUGAAAAUUUAGGCGCUUAUGUUUUCACUUCCCGCGUUAAAAGAGACUGGCGCAGUGUCUCGUCAGUAAAGGUAGUAAUGACAAAAGACUUUGUCAGUAUUAUUUACUAGUGAAAAAUCACUUUAUUUUGCUAGUAUUUGGUCUCAGUACUGACUAAGCUGCUCUUUCAUCAGUAUUAGUCCGUCAGUAUAAGCUAAAAUUGUAGUAGUGAGAGGAUUGAUAAGUGAUAUUAAUUCUUGAAUAUACAGAAUGUAAAAUAAAGGAACACGUAAAAAAUUAUUUUAUGUGGUAAAACUCCAUCUCUGGGGAAAAUCCACGGGACUUCUUAGUCCAAAACAAAUCCAUUAUAGAAUGAUGAUUACAAGAAGUACUCACACACUUAUCCUAGACACAUUCUAGAUAAUGUUUACUGACCUCUUCGUAACUCAACUUCUGUCUCGAGAUGAUCUUUCAACACUCCUUAUGUUGAACGCAAUAUUGGUCACGAUUUCUUCAAGCUCGUCAGAGUUCUUCCAACUCUCCUAAUAUUGAAUCCGAUACUAGUCACGAUUGAUUCAAGCUCAUCGUAGAAAAACCGUCACAAUGGUCUUGGUGCCCUCAACCGUAUGAGUCAUUAAACAUGCAAAUGAAUACAUAUAUGAAUGAUAAAAGUGUUUGAUAAAUCACUGAGUUAUGGAACACUUGAUGAUUUAUCUCAAAUAAAAACUCAGCUUUAAUGCUUUCUAAACAAAGAAGACGAAGGUCUUACUUUAUAGACUUUUUCUUUACAAGAAAGAAAAUAAGUUGGAAACCAAAUCUCCAAUUUCCAAGGCAAAAUCACAAAAGUAUCUUUCCUAUUCUAGAGAUUGGUCACAUGUAGUCCAACCAAUAGGAAAUGAGAUAUUUAAGAAAGGAAGAUUUUGAUCAAUAUCAAUAUCAAAUGAAUUCUUAUACGCCUAGUCAACUAUUAAGGGUAUCUUGACUCCUUGAUAUUUUGAUAUGAUUGAAACAUGAUUUCCAAGUUAGAAAAUUAAGGGGUUGUUAAAACAUGAAAGUAAUAGGAGAAACAAAUUUAUUUGAACCAAAAUUGCCCAAAAAGAAAACACUCCUAAAUAAACUUCAAUUCACUUUAGUAAAACAUGAUUGAAUCGUUCGUUAAAACAAUUCCCUAAUAUACAUGCAUGAUAAUGACAUCACUUACCCCUGAAUCAAAUUUGUUAAUGUAUGCAUUUUGAGUUUUUUUUUCUUUUGGCUUCCCUUGACAAUUUUGUAAUAGGAAAAUCAUUGUAGUUUCUCAAGCUCUAAGUUUAGAUUAAGAAUUACUUCUCUAGGUGUUCUUAUCUGCCUACAUUCUGAUGGAAAACAAUGCGUUUGACAAAGGUAAAUUCUGCAUUACACUACAUUGCAUUCACUAAAUUUCUUAAGAUUAUGACUAGUCAUCUUUCUUUCGUAUGACUAGUCAUCUUGCAUUCGUAUGACUAGUCAUCUUUCCUUCGUAUGACUAGUCAUCCUUUGUUUCAAUUAGGAUUUCCAGCUCACUGUUUCCAGCUGGGGCUUAAGCAUUUUUUUGUCCUUUUCUACGAAUUUCUCAGCUUCCAUGUGUCUAUUCUGACCUAGGAAUUUUUGGUAAAAGCCAUAGAAUUCCUCAUUUGGCAGCCGUCACUUUUGGGGACAAGUUGUGGAAAGUUUCAUAGCAAACUUUCGCUUCUUCUUCCUCAAGAGUAACCUUCAUAUUUUUCAUCUUUGAGUUCUCUAAAUUGUUUCUUUUUGAAAACUGCAUUUGAAAUAUGAAAACUUCAUCUUGCUAGAUCAAACACUCUAUCAUAUACAUCUAGGUCAGAUUCAAGAUUGAUUUCUUCAAGAGUAUGGUUUCUUGAAGAAAUUGGUCAUUUUCUCCAUGAAUCCAAAUUUCAUUUCUGUCUGAGUUAGAGCUUGCAAGCUGGUGCCAUGGGAUGAAUGAGCUGAAGAAGGAGCUGCCAUUGCCAUGAAGAACUGAGCUUCAAGCUUUGCUAAGUUGGAGAAGAAGAUUGCACAAAGGAGAUAUAGCAUCUUCCUAAAUAGACCUAGGAAUUUCUUGAGCUUGCUAGUGUUCUUUGUAAGAAUCUUUUUGCUUAGUGGAUUGCCUGGUCGGUUGAUGACCCCCAGUUUUUCCCAAUGGUGGGUUUCUGGGUGAACAAUAUCUGGUUUCCAUCUCUGUAGAUUUUUUGGGUUUGUGUUCUUGAUAGUUGACUAGUCAUCUGAAUUUGUGUGGUUGACUAGUCAUCUUUUUCUGCUGUUUGGUGUUUUCUUGAUUAUGUUGUCUUCACACACUUUUACCAUAGUUGUUGCUAGCACAAGGGAUGCCUAGAUUGAUGGGUCCUUCUGAGUGCCUAGGUUGUCACUAGUAAUUCUCUAGGCCUGCAGGUACAUCUUGGUAUGCUUUGUGUAUGUUAUUGUUUGGUUUAAUUCAUAUCUAACAGUUGACUAGUCAUAAGAGUAUUUGGUCAAGGUCUAGAGUGUGUGAAGUUUGUUGCGUUCUUGAUUGAAUAUCUUUUAAAUUUACCCUUCGUCACCUAAUUACCAAUUUGCAGACUCCACAAAUGAAGAAAAGAGCACAAAUAUCGUGAAUGCUAUUGGGAAUGGAAAGGGCAAACCUGUUCAAAAAGGGUAUGGAGGGGGCGUUAGACUUUACGUUCAAAAAGGGUAUGGAAAACGUCCUCCUCCAUCUGACAGUCAACUACUCCAUUAUAAAGACAUAGCUAUUUUCUUCUUCGAGAAAGACAUGCGCCCUGGCUCAACAAUGAAGUUCCAAUUCCCUAGAAAUUCAAACACGGCUACUUUCCUGCCACGCGAAAGUGCUCAAUCGAUCCCCUUCUCCUUUAACAAACUACCAGAAAUUUUCAACCAUUUUUCAGUGAAGCCAACAUCUGUGGAAGCCAAAACAAUUAAGCAAACAAUCGAAGAGUGUGAAGCUCCAGGCAUUAAGGGAGAUGAAAAAUAUUGCGCCACAUCUUUAGAAUCAAUGGUUGAUUUUAGCACUUCGAAGCUUGGAACAAGAAACGUUGAAGCAGUCUCGACGGAGGUAUUGGAAAAAGGAGCCACCAUGUCCAUGCACAACUAUACAACAAUGCCGGGACUGAAGAAGUUGGCAGGUGACAAAGUCGUUGUGUGUCAUAAGGAGAACUAUCCCUAUGCUAUGCUAUGUUUUUCUGCCAUGCAAUAAAACAAACAGCAGCUUAUGUUCUCUCCCUGAAAGCCGAUGAUGGGGAGAAGGUUAAAGCUGUAACCAUCUGCCAUCUAGACACAUCAGAAUGGAACCCAGAGCAUUUGUCCUUCCAAAUCCUCAACGUUAAGCCCGGAACCGUUCCUAUCUGCCAUUUCAUUUCCACUGAUGCUAUUGCCUGGGUUCCAAAACACAAAUCUGCAUGAUCAUCACUUAGCACUGUACGUAUAAUAAGCUUGGUUGGGUUGCACCCCUGUAUAAUUAUCUCCCUACUUAUUUCUGCCUCUUCAUCAUGUGGUGUAAGAUAUAUGAUGAAAUGAAGUUUUUGGGAUUAGUGGUCGGGUUGCCUGAAAAACACAGAUUAUAGAAACUGCUUGAAAUUAACCCGAUCAUGUUUUCUCUUGUAACGAUAUAGACUUCAACUUGUACUCAUAAUAAAGCAUGCUAUAUUUAUGAAGAGAUAUUAAUCUAUAUAUGCUUUGGCUUUGUGGUUUUACCCAGUGUUUGAAUGUUGAAUUGUUACGUUGGAAUAGGCUGCUAAUGCAUGUAGUUAGAGAAGCCUUCAUUUAUAUCAAAGUCCUCAAACUAUCAAGAACUAAUGUAUCCAGAAACACAUACCAAGACGCAAAACAACAUAUUUUCC